AUCAUCAUGCUGCUGUGUCCCAGAAGUACCGGCCCCAUCAUGUCGUGGCCGGAAUGGUGGAGGGUAAGGAACCGAGUACUGAAACCCCUAGUGGGAAAAGAAUACGGUCAACGCAUCCCCAUACCACUAUUGUUGCCUGUCCACAUGUGCAACAUACUCACUAAGGUUCUGAACCCUCAUGUCAAGACAGUCAAUGCCCUGAGCUAGGUAGCGCAUAUCAAUCUUCGGCUCAGGUCCCUGUUGCGCUCCCCGAGGAGCAGGUCUACGCUGCUGGACCCGUCUCGGCUGUGGCUCGGCAGCACCCUCCUCGUCCGCCACAUCAUCUGCUCGUACNNNNNNNNNNNNNNNNNNNNNNNNNNNNNNNNNNNNNNNNNNNNNNNNNNNNNNNNNNNNNNNNNNNNNNNNNNNNNNNUGAUCUCUCGUUAACAACUGAUAUGAUCGGGCUAGUCGCGUGAUAAAAUGCCCUCUGCACAUCGGGCUAUCCUCCCGAAGUCCCCUGGCCCUCUGUCCCAAAUAUGCAGCUAAAGCAACUGGAAGGUUCAGGUGCCUCCCUGGAGUAACAAGUGCCCAUAGGAAAUACAAGUCUAUCGAAGGCACUCUCUCACUAUUCUUAUGAUGCGUGAGAGUCAUGGAAAUCAACCGGUGCAACAGUCUAUAUGUAGUAGACCGAAUCAUCCUACCCCGUGCAGUAGAUGGCGUAUAAACUCCCCCUGUAAUCUCAGCCCAAAAAGUGUGCUCAUUAUAUUCAUCUGGCCGCUCCGUGAGACAAUCAGCAAGGAAUGUCGGGAAGUGGACACUCCUCGUCUCAUCUGCUGUGUAUAUACCCACUCAAGUCGCAAGCUCUAUGACACUGCACUCCCGACUCACACCCCCCAGUCUAAAGGCAAAAGUUGUCCUAUCAUCGGGUGCCUUCCUAGGAUCAUAGGAAACUGUAGCGUAAAACUCCAACAAAAAUUCCCGAUAAACAGGCUCCUGGAUCCUGAACAAUCGUGCCCACCCCUGCCAUACGAACAAUUCCACUCCAAUCGCGUCCGAGUGCGUGUAUUGCAAAAAAAUCCUGGAUCAGUGUAGCAAGUCCAGUCCAGGUCGCCAAUUCCCAGUCGAAUGAUGGUGCUAUGUCGAUCUCCUUGGUGAGCAGCAAACUCAAACUGUUGACAUAUCGUGCCCGGGUUGCAUCGUUCAGAGUUUGCGGAAAUUGUAAGAAACGNUCAGAGUUUGGGAAAUUGUAAGAAACGGUGAUCGGUCACAUCCUCGGGUGGGUUGGUCCUUUGAGUUCUUCGGGCCAUAAUCUGCACACAUAAACACAAAACCAAACAAAAUAUAACAGCAUUAAAAAAAUUUUAAACCAAAAAAAAAUGGUGCUGGAUAUGGACUGUACGCUGGGCGUACGUCCAGGUUCCACGAAUAUGUGUUCUGCUUCCUUUUCUUGUGCUAAAGUUAUAACCCAUAUCAAAAAAUUUCAAAUUAACCAACUGCAAGCAAUAAACACAGCAGGGCAAACACAUGGGGCAUAUCGAGCUUCGUGGUCCAAGACAGUAGAAAAACGGGACCACUCUAAAAAAUAUGAACCAUUCUCCUGUUCGUUCCUUAUCUUAUCAAGAUUAGAAAGCACUACAAAAGAAAAACUUCAUUGGGGCAGUCAAGAAUCGAAGUCAACAGGGUUACGCUUAGCGUCCGUCCCCGAGCUCAAAAUGAUGGGUCUAUCACGGGAUUAAGACCAAAUUAGGUACUAGGGUUUAGUCCAUUGAUGGAAAUCGGUCUUUUUAAGUCCUAAUCAAAACAUACAAUUAUGAAAUCGGCCCUAAUUCAAGAACCCUAUAAACCCUAGAUUUCGAACAAAGGCAUUUUGCAGCUUAUUCCAUCGAUUUAAACACAAAUCCAAAACAUUGAGUAACCGAAAAACUUACCUGUGUGCUGAAUUUUACAAGAAAAGAAGCAAAAUUGAAAAUCCUUGGGAGAGCUUGCCGUCACAGUUCGUGUGUGCGAAGGAAAGGAUUUUGAAAAAGUAACAAAAAAGUCAAGGGUCAAAAGAUAUAACCUGGUCACCGAUUUACGCUGGGCGUAAAACAAGGUUACGCUGGGCGUAACUCCAACUCCAUGAAAAGUCCAUCCGCGAUCCGGGGUUUAUUACGCUUGGCGUAAUUAAAAUUACGCUGGGCGUAAUGAAGUAUUCCUUUUCUUUAACUGAAAUUUCUUUUCUUUUAACUAUUUAAUUAAGGGACUAAAAACUUAAUUAUUUUUCUUUUUAAUUUCUUCAGCAACUGAUGACUUUCCGAUGAGUAAAAAAAAUGAGACGUCAUAAUCACUUAUCUUUGUCAAGAUCAAACAACAAUGGUUGAUUAAAAACCUUUGCACGCAAGAAUUGGUUUGCGAAAACACCCACUUUCGGGACCCGUUAGAAUAUUUCCUUUGUUUUCUUUGCACCUUUAACUAAAAGCGGAACAAGAAGUGACCUAACUAGUCAAGAACAGCAAGAGUUCGGUCUUCCACUUAACCACCACAAUACGCCUUACUAUACUACGCCUCAUGGAUUGAGUUGGACAAAUCAACAAAGUAGUAAGCCAACCAGGUCAAGAAUUUCCUAAUCGCUUGGAUUCUCGAAACCCAUGCAAAAAGUAAAGUCAAGCAAUGUGUACAAUCCCAAAUUCCUGCAAUUAACAACAAGAACCUUCCCGACAAGUGAAAUGAUAUCAACGAAAACCAAACUAAAAAUAAAAACUAACUAAAAACAAAUAACGAAUAAUCAAAAAAACUAAAUUAAUGACAAGCUGUUCCCGGCAACAGCGCCAAAAACUUGAUGUGCACAAAAGUACCCACUAAUUUUAAUAUUUAUAACCUAACAAACUUAGACUAUCUAUGCACUUAUAGGCAGUGUACCUAGUCAGAUUACAGUAUAGCUUAGGUAAGUCGGGUGUCGAUCACAGGGAACGGUGGUGAAUUAAUUUAAAAUAUUUGAUUAUAGGUUACAGGUCACAUGAAAAGAAUAAAGAAAUAGUUUAAUAAAUCUCAAACUAACAAUUAAUUAACAACUUUCGAUAAACUAACAGGAAAGAAAAUCUCUUCAGGUACUUUGGUUUAGAUAAAUUACGCCUUAAAAAACAUAGACAAUUGUAUACACAACUUCAUUUAUUCAUGUUCACCGAUUCCUAAAAUGAUUAGAUUCGUGUUCACUAUAACUAAUCCUUUAGCAAACAAGUCAAUUCAAACAGUGAUCAGUUGAUUAAACUAACAUGCUUCCUAGUGUUCAGUUCGUAUCAAGCAAGACUUGUAAAUAUAGUUAAUCAAAUUACUAAUUCAAUUUAACCUCUUGUUGAUGGUCAUCAAACAAGGCUCACACAUUAACUUACUUAUUCCCAAGUUAAUCCUAGUUUUACAUUCGUUAAUCCUAGACUUCUAAUCUCGAUGGUCAUCAAAAUCAUAAGCGACAAGCAAUCAAGCAGAUGUUCAUACAACUCAAUUUACUUAAUAAUUAACAGCAAAUAAUUAUCAUUAAUACGUAAGGAUCUUUUAACAAGCUUGGCAAGAUAAAUUAAACAUAAACAAACAAUUCAAUAUAGCAAUUAGUCUAAUAAUCAAGGUUUCAUUCAAUCAUAAACGCAAAGUAAAAGGUUUUUACACCCAAAUCAGAAACUAAAUACAGAAUAGUAACACAAUGGAAUGCUAAACAUGGUCACGUUAACAACCCAUAUGAUUACCGACAUGUAUCCGCUCUCCAACCCUUCCGAUCUUCGCUCCCGUUAGCUUAACGGCCUUCCGACCACCUUCUAGACCCUCAAAACGGCUUAAAAGAAGUUUAAUAUCGACUAAAUUAGGUUGGAAGUCGAAUCCCCCCUUCUGGUUAGCUGAUAAUCGACUUUUAUAACCUUUGUAACUGACUUACGUAUGCUGGGCGUAAGUCGGAUUACGCUGGGCGUACUAAGGAUUUAUACGCGAUUGGAGUUAUCCGAUGCCAGCCAUUACGCGGGGCGUACACAAGAAUUACGCUGGGCGUAACUCGUCUUAGCCAUUACGCUUGGCGUACAAGUAAAUUACGUGGGGCAUAAUCGUUCCUCCAACAUUUUCCUUUCUUUUAGCCUCUAAGCCCGAUUUCUGCUUCAGUCUUUUCUUUUGUGCUUUAUCGACAACGAAUAGCUGCAAAUCAUAAUUUAAAGCAUUGUGAGUACUUUUUCGUUCUAAAAGAGAAUAAUAAAGGCCAAAAUAUUAAGAUAUAAUGCAUAAAAAUAUAUAUAAAAAUACACAUAUCAAUUAUGUAUUAUCAAUAUUAAUUUUUCUUCAAAAUAAGUUGAAUAUAUCAAGAUAAAAAGUAUAUUCAAACUAAGAAAAUAAACCAGAAACACACAUACAAUAUUUUUGAACAACAAAAGCAUAAAAGUACAUACAAAAAAUAUAAAGACAAAGAAUUUACCAUUAUGUCCCUAGAGUACUAAUAAUGAGAAGAACAAAGAGAAACUGAAAUAUAAAUUUAUAUAGUUGCACUCAUGAAUGACUAAAAUAACACGAAAUGUAUUAAUUGUCAAUGUGGUUGAGCGCAAAUUACCAUUAUGUCCCUGGAGUACUAAUAAUAAAAACAAAAAUUAUAAAAUCCUUAAAAUAGUUCUAUAGAUGGUAUACUGGUAAUUAAAACAAUCAGUUUUUCCACAUGCCUCUUAAAAAAUCAUUUACAACCAUAAAUAAGUUUACCAAUAUACCCGUAACACAUUAAUUUUGUAUAUGUAAUAUGUAAGAUAUGAGAUAUAUGUGGCGAGGGCAUUUUCGUCCUUUAAACAUACUUAUAACAAUUAACAAACCUCAUGAUACAUUAUAACAGUGGAUAAUGGAUCGACAUACAUAUAUACUUUUCCUUUUAAUGAAGAGGCGUGAAAUAUGCAAUUGACAGAAAUGCCCCUUCUACAAGACACACCUAUUUAAAUUGCAUAAAACCACACCGCUUAACCUAUUUAUUCAUAUUUGAUGUUAGAGUUCUAUAAUUACCAAGGUGUUUUUAUCUUUUACUUAAUAGAAAUAUGUCUCGAUCAAGUAAGUUCAGGUAUAUGUUUUUUUUAUCUAAUGCAAAUAUAAUGACAUAAUAAGUAAAAUAAGAGAAAAACUACAAAAUAUUGGGUAAAAUUAAAAAACGAGCCACACCCUUUAAACAAACCAUCAUUGGGUUAUCAAAAUCAGUAACAUGAAUGUAGUCACUAUAAAUUAUAUGCAAAUAGGUAUACAUGAGAAAUAGCUAAAAUGAAAAAUGAUAACUACCUCCACCUUAUAGUUUAUAAAAAAUAAGGCAAACACCUUAACUACAUGCAUAGAUACUCUACUCCCAAUACUAAAGAAAUUAGUCUACAAAUGGCUUUAGUUAAUAUGUUUUUGGUUUAAACCGGUUCAGAUCAAUGACAAAAAAAUAUAAUUAUAGUAAAACAUGACAGAAAUGCCCCUUAAUUCAAAAUGGGACCAAUCAAUCAAGUAAUACAAAAUACAAUCACGUAAUACCUAAGCAGAGAAAAUAUAACACAAAAAACAGAAAAAAAAUUUAUUUCUAUAAAACAUGACAGAAAUACCCCCGAACUAAAAAAAUAAAAAUAAUCAAAAUUACAUUUCUAUUCGUAUGAGUUUGACGGUACUUUUAGGUUUCUUUGUGUAAUCCGUCAAUGAAUCUGGCCUAUGAGUUUGACGGUACUUUUAGGUUUCUUUGUGUAAUCCGUCAAUGAAUCUGGCCUAUAAACAUGACCUGAACCAAUUUUUUUACUUGGUGAACCAAUUUAAUAGAAAAAAAAAUUUGUUCUAAUUACCAUUCUACCAUUUGUAACUUGGGAAUGAUUAAUUAACAUACAAAGGUGAAUUUUCUCUACCUGCUGCCUUACGUUCAAAAUGACAAAAUUGUAUUGGUAAACAUGAACCAAAAUGGACAAAGGUUUCAAUUUUGGACAAACACAGUAAAAAUAUGAACCAAAACAAUAAACAUUGAUAUAAUUUUGCGAUGGUAUUAUCUCCAAAAGAAUAAAAAAUUUCAAUUUUGCGAUGAUAUAGUUUCAAUUUUGCGAAGAAGCAACGUAAGCAGUAAACCAGAUUGCGGUGAGAGAGAGAGAGAGAGGGCCUGCCGCCUGCGAUUGGUAAUUUGUGAUGGUAUCUCUCGACCGAGAAAGGGGAGCGAUUGAUGAACAGAACCAUAUUAAGAGGAAUUAUGAUUGUCAAAUAAGUUUUUGAUCGUUCUUUUGAUCGUUGUUAUUUAGGACAAUAUCUCAUAGUGAAAUACGAAUAAGGUAUCAGUUAAAGUGUCACACACACGCAUACACAUUAAGAAGCAUAAAUAACUUUCAAUUUUGCGAUUAACACAGACAUUGAGAAGCAGGGGCUUACAUAUACACAAUGAGAAGCAGAAUUGAGAAGCAGAAACUUACCGAAGGAUUGAAGUCGUUGACACAGACUCCAAUAACUGAAGUGUCGAUGAUGCUUGAUUGUUGGAAGACAAUGCUGUAAAGAACCUUGGAAACACGAUGCUAUAAAUAAAUUAAGAAGCAGAAUUGAGAAGAAGAAACUGAAAUCGAGAUUGAAGUCUAAGAUUGAAUAUCCGAUAAAUAAUUAGUCCAUGAUUCAGAAACUUGAAAACAUAAUGCUGUAAAGAAAUAUUGAUUAUCAUAUUUUUGAAAUAUAUAUUGACAAUAAUAUGAUCAAAUCGACAUAAUAAUCAAAAUUAAAUGUAAUCGAUGUGAUUGAUAUGGAUACCAUAAUAACAUGCUCUUAAUCGGGUAAGAAAUGAUUUUGAGUUAAUGUGUACAACUGGUAGCAAAGAUAAAAAUCGGUAAUUAAAAUAGGGAGUUAUAUGGAUUCCAUAUUGGAUUCAAUAUUCAAUUUCAAAUUUCCAUAUUCCACAUCGAUUACUACGUGAAACAAUAAAAUAACAAAAACGGUAUUUUACAUUUGUAGAAUACUAAUUAAUUGCAGAAUACUGAUUUUUUGAAGUUUAUAAUUUCACUAUAAAAAACUGUAAUAACAUAACCAUUUUUAUUUUUCUGAUUUAUUUGAAGUAAUUUAGACUUAUAAUACCUGAAAUAGUGGUAUGUGUUUUAGAGUUUUGUACAAGAGCAUUGUGUUUUUUAAAAGUAUUUACAUAUCUACGGUACUUUUAAAUUUAUUUACUAAAAGAUUGUAAAAUUUUAAAAUUCAUGUGGACCUAUCCCUUUUAUACCAAAAAUAUAAGAAAUUAAUUAUGCGCCUCCCCACCGCUCAUUUUUCUCGCAUUUGUCGCUGGAAAAUGAUGGCCAACAAGAUAAUUUCAAAACAUUAUAAAAAGAUUUCUCUUUCGCUUGUUUGCUCGCUAGAAAAUGAAAACAAACAUAAACGGUCAUAAAUAAAAACAACCAAACACGAAUUAAAUAUAUUGACAGAUUUAGAUUCUUCCGGCUGCGAACUUGGUUUGCUCAUUGGAAUAUGAAUACAACCAAACAAUUUGGAAAUCGAAAAGGAAAUUGUUGGAAAUGCACCACGUUCAUAGAUCUUGUGCCAAAACAUUUCUCGUAUAUAUUUGUUUCAAACAUUGGUCGUUCAAUCAAUGUCAUAUAACUUGGAAAUUUGGAGGGGGGAGGGGUUGUUUAACAGAUGAUACCGAGGGUUAUGAAUGGGUUAGUCGGUGGCAAGGCGGAUGUAGAGGUUCAUCCGCAGUGUGGUUUGGGGAGAAUUUCAGCAGUGUUUUGGAGUUGACGAUGUCGGACGGUGAUCGUGUCAUAGGUGUAAACACUGCACAACACAACAUGUAGACUAGGUAUUACUGGCAAUGCUUGUUAUGAAAAAAAUAAAAAACCAGUAGACUUCAAUCGUUGAAGCAGGGAAAAUGUGGUUGUGGUAGGUUCAAUGGAUGUAUGCGCACUCAUGCACAGUAGGGGUUUGCAGCGGUGCUAAGGGUUGCCAAAUGGUUUUGCAAGUAAUGUGAGCAUCAAAAGACAAUUAACAUGAUUUCAUUUAUUUUAUUUAAGUACAAUUAAAUGGGAAAUAAUUUUAAAAGUACUAUAUUAUAGUAAAUAUUUUUCUUAACCGCUACCUUUUAGUAAAAAACUAUGUGUUUUAAACAGGUAUAACUGUAUAAAAAACCUAAGAGUUUGCAGAGGUUCAUGGGAUUACAUCUUAGUGGUAUGUGCUUUAAGGGUAAACACAUUUUUCUUCUUUUAGGCUAGAUUUAUUACAUCACAAGGAAUCCCGUGGCGAGGGCAUUUUCGUCCUUAGGAUAUAUAAAUUUUGUUUCCGGUACUGUUUUGUACUUUGUAGUGCUUAAGAAACGGGAAGAUAUGAUUAAGUUGUGAAUGAUCUGGAUCCAUAUCAAUGAUCCGGUACUAUUCUACCCUUUGUAAGAGAAAAACACAUAAAGUCACAAACUAUAUACCCCUGUUGUGAAAAUUACCAAUAUGUCACUAUAAAAAAAUGAGCAUUAUUUUGAACAGGUUGUUCUAAUUACCAUUCUACCCUUUGUAACUAGAGAAUGAUUAGUUAAUAUGUCAUGCAUUGUUUCCUCCUGUUGCGUGUUCAAUAUUAUAACAAUCAAUAAACAAUUUUAAUGGAAUUUAAAUGAUUGAAAUUGUAGAGAUGAACAAAAGAAUUGACAAAGGGCAAAAUUGACAUCUAAUGCAUUGUUUCUUCCUGUUGCGUGUUCAAUAUCAUGACAAAUCUCAUUUGACAGCUUCAUUACAAUUUUUGUUUCAUACAUUACCUCAAAUAAUAUACAAGCACAUUCCCAAGAAUGCAUUCACCGAUAUACCAUUUUAUUGUGAAAAUUACCAAUAUGUCCAUGUACAAAAAAUGAGUAUUAUUUUCAACAGGAUUUUAUUGAAUUUAUUCAUAUUUGAGACAUCUUUUUUAUAGAGCAAAUAUACUUAUAACACGAAAAUGAAAAGUAGAAUGGUAUAUUUUUUAAUUUUUUUGAAUUUUAUUGCAAAUAUAUUGGUAAAAAAAAUCUUUAAAAACAUAAUGGUUUCCUUCUUUUACACUAUCAAUAGACACACAUAUAUUAAAAGAAGAUUAAUCUAAUUACAGGCAUAACCCAAAAAGCAGUUUUUUACUUAAGAUAGAGAUUAGCAGCGUAAAGAAACCAAGAACUAUCAAUGUUUGAAUACUGAACACCACGAAGAGCAAAACUGUCAAACAAAAUCCCCAAAAAAAAUAAUUCAAGAAUAUUGUUGGUGCAUAAAAAGGACAAUCUAAAAUUACUUUUCAAGCUUUGGUAUUAAUAGACCUGUGUUUCCAUCCACCCUGGAAUUCAAGCGAGGUAUUUUUGUCGACGAAUUCACAUUAUCAUACUCAUCAAUAUCAAUGCUAUCUCCAACGUUUCGCUUUUUUACCAUUGUGGGCGAAUUAAACUUGAACGGACUUGUAGCUUCUAUUUGUCAUGCAUGGAAGGGGUCAAAUUAUCACUGGUUUGUUAUAUCGCGUCCUUAAAGCAAAAACCCGAAACAGCGUUAGUACGAUAAUAUUAACAAAUUAACAAAAAAAUAAUUUAUAAAAGGAAUUUAUAUAAAAUUAAAAAAUGUGGAUUUAUAUUAUAACCUUUAAUGACUUUGUUUCAUGAGAUGCUUCGUGAGAUGCGAUUUUGUAUCGUCAGCAUUUGUAGAAUUACCUCCCUGCUUCAAAAGUUUAAAUAUGUAUUAUCAUUUGUGGGAUUAAAUUUUUGUUCCAUCAAGAUUUACAAUUAAUUAGUGACGAUCAUUAAAUAAAAGUAUGCAUCAUAAUAAUUAAUUAAUUUUCAAAAAACAUAAAAAUAUAUGUAUAUAAAUACCUCAACAGCUAACUUUUUUUCCAAAACAUUGAUAAUGUUACUAUCAAGCGUAUAGCCAAGUAUCCCAAAACGAUUGUAGUUAUUGGAUACGUUAAAACUAUUAACAUCUAACACGAAUGCCAUCUUUUUAUGCACCAGACAGUUGAGGUCAUAAGGAUACAAUCUCGGAUCAUCACCAGCCUGGAAAGAAUGAGUUAUGUAAUAUUAUUAUGGUUAAAAGCACAUUAAUAUAGAUAAAAUCAAAUAGAUAAUAGAAUUUAAUAAAACAAAUAAUAUAUUUAUAGUAUGUCUGUUUGAUUUUCUCUAUGGGUUCACUUGCACGUUUUUUGACGAGUUUAUAAGCAUCUCUAUCAAACAUAGUGAGUGUGAUUGUUCCAGAUUCAUCUUGGACACGAAUAGGUAUUUUAUACCUACAAAAAAGUACGACAUAAAUAUCAUAUUAAAUAUUAAAUAUGUUUAAUGUGUAAUGUUUGUUAAUGUAUUUAAUUUGUGGGUGAACUAUUGUUAAAUUUUAAAAACCUUGGAACUGAAGAUAUCUCCUUUUUUUACACUUAGAAUUAUAACAUUCAACAACCACACUUGCAUCACCACUAUCUGGACCGCUGAAAACGUUUCUUGGUUCAACCUUCCUUCCACAUUUUGAACACGCAUCAUAAUACCAAUCAAUAUCUUGUCGGAUACCAUAAAUGGUACCAACAAUGAUAUAUUUCCCGACCUUAAAAAAUAUAAAAUACAAAAAGAAUCAUAAAAAAAAAUACAAUUAUAAUAUUAUAAUAAACGAAUAAUAGAUAACAAAAUCACAUUAAAAAAAACUAAAUUAUUCACAUACCUCUUGUGGUUCUAGCAAAUCGACAACAUUUUUAACGUUGUGAUUUGUCAAAAAGUCAUCAUAUUCAUUGCAUGAUUGAGAGCUAUCAACGGUCAAAGAAGAAGAAGGAUUUUGAAUUCCUCGUAAUCCAACCAUGUUGUUUUUUUUAUUUGAUAGAUUAAUUAUGAAAUUAGUAAAAUUAUUAAAAAGAAACAAAAAAAACAAUGAAUUAUUAAAAUAGAUUGUUACCUAUCUGUGAAUGUAACAAUUUCGGGAAGAUCAACAUUUAUGAACAUCGGUGUGUGUUUAUAAUAACUGUUAAAAUAGUUAAAAUAAUGAGCAAUAUAAAAGCCUAAAAUAACAAAGGGGUCCUUUUAUAAGAAAUGUACCGUUAUAGACAUUAAGUCUUGCAAACUGCAAAAUAACAACCACACGACCAACUUCUUUAUGUGCUUCAAGAUAAGAAAUCAAUUGGUAUGCAAUAUCUCCAAACAAUGUGACGUUAACCUGCAAACCUCUGCAAAAACAGUACGGGUUAAAUGAUAAUAUAAUAAUAAAAUUACAUAUGGCAGUUGUAACCUAAUCAAUUUAAUAUAUAAUAAUAAUAAUAAUAAUAAUAAUAAUAAUAAUAAUAAUAAUAAUAUAAGAUAUAAUAUAAGAAAAGUUAUGAUUUGUAAAGUUAGCCGAUGUUUGGAUUUGCUGACAUCACGGGAAUCAAGCUUUCCUAACGAAACAACUUCACCAAUAACAUCUACAAAAUGAUAAUACAAUAUGUCAAAAUGAUGUAAAAUUAAAGAAUUAAAUAUAAGAUGCAAUUAAAUAGGGGAAACAUUUACCAAUUGAGUUAUUAGAUGUAGCUGUUGCAGAAAUAAUGCUUUCAAACGAUACACAACAAAAGUCAUAUGUUGUUUUGGACUAAAAAGUUAGACAAUCAUUAACAGUUUUUCGUCCAUGCAAGUUUAACUUGGAGAGUACAUCACUUAUUUUAAAAAUGUAUCUGUUUGGAGCUAUAGUGGGGGAUCGGAUGUAAAUUGCUUUAUCUUCUUUCAGUUUUAAAAGUGUAUCUCUUGGGUAGACACUUGCUCGGAUUUUUGUACCCUAUUCACAUAUCGUAAGAAUAUUAUAUAUAUUGCGAAACAAUUGUAUAUUAAUUUAUAUAAAUUGGUCAACAUUGAAUCAAUUAUUUGACCAUGAAUGAUUUUAAAUAAUAUUAUUGGAAUGAGCAAAUAAACAAAAAAAAAUAAUUUUGAAUAAUGUAAUUAGAAUAGGAUAUUUUACCAUCUCAUCCAUUAAUAUCAUUUCAAGUGCUUUGACAAUACUAGGGUUAACUUUGGAUAAUGAUCUCCACAGCCGGAUAAUACACACUUUUAGUGUUUAAUCAUCCCUCAUGUUGUCUAAGUCUUUGAUCAAAGUGACAUUUCUAUCUGCCAUUGUCACUAUAAUAGAAAGACAUAACAUAUUAAGAAAAAAUAAUGGAACAAAAUUACACAAAAAAUAUAAAGACAAACAUAAUUACAAUUAUGUCCCUGGAGUAGUAGGCGGAUAAAAAGAUUCUGAAUAAUACAAUAAAUUAUUAUAAAACAUUCAAACAUAUUCAAACAAACUAUAUACCGCUGCUGUGAAAAUUACCAAUAUGUCCCUGGAGUUGUAGGCGGAUAAAAAGAUGAAAAACAAACAGGGCAUUUUCGUCCAUUGAACUUACUUAUAACAUGAAAAAUAAAAGUACAAUGCCAUUAUAUGUAAUAUUUUCGAAUUUUGUUGCACAUAUAAUUUUUUUUUUUGUACUGUACUGUUGGAAUACAUUUUUCUUUCCUUCUGUUAUUUUACUUUGUAACUAUUGGAACUAAUGUUUAUUAUGUUAUAUAAAGAUAAGCAUUGAUGGAAAGGAUACUAUUAGGGAGGAUGAUGUUGAUGAAUUGACUUCCAAUUCCAUAGUUACAGAUUAUGAAAUAUCAAGCAUAUCAGGUUCAGAACUAAAAUAGAACAAAAUUACACAGAAAGACAUAACAUAUUAAGAAAAAAUAAUGGAACAAAAUUACACAGAACAUAUAAAGACAAACAUAAUUACAAUUAUGUCCCUGUAGUAGUAGGUGGAUAAAAAGAUUCUGAAUAAUGCAAUAAAGUAUUAUAAAACAUUCAAACAUAUUCAAAUAAACUAUAUACCCCUGAUGUAAAAAUUACCAAUAUGUCCCUGGAGUAGUAGGCAGAUAAAAAGAUGAAAAACAAACAGGGACAACCUCAGUGAUUCAAGCAUAUCAGGUUCAGAAAAAACAAAAAACAGAGAAUUAGAUAAAAAGAUGAAAAUACAUUCUCCAUAUUUUACAGAUUUACAGAUUAUGAUAUAUCAAGCAUAUCAGGUUCAGAAAAACAAAAAACAUAGAAUUUGACAGCCUCAGUGAUAAAAUCGGUAAUUAUAAGUAAAACAAUAACAUACAACGUUAAUGUGGCCUAAGUCCUAAUUCAUAUAAAUCUGAUUAUUUACCAAUCGCAGGCGUACCUUCAAUAGUUCAAUGGGAUAGACUCGAAGAAGCAACGUAAGCAGUAAAGCAGAUUGCGAUGGGGGUAGAGAGAGAGAGAGAGGGCAUGCCGCCUGCGAUUGGUAAUUUGCGAUGGUAUCUCUCGACUAAGAAAGGGGAGCGAUAGAUGAACAGAACCAUAUUCAGACGAAUUAUGAUUGUCAAAUAAGUUUUUGAUCGUUCUUUUGCAAUUAACACAGACAUUGAGAAGCAGGGGAUUACAUAUACACAAUGAGAAGCAGAAUUGAGAAGAAGAAACUUACCGAAUGAUUGAAGCCGCUGAUUGAAUAUCUAAUAACUGAAGUAUGGAUGAUGCUUGAUUGUUGGAAGAUGAUGCUGUAAAGAAUGAUUCAUAUUUGUAUGCUUCAAGUAUAUAUUGAACAUAAUAAGAUCAAAUCGACCUAAUAAUCAAAUUUAAAUGUAAUUGAUAUGAUUGAUAUUGAUACAAUAAAAAGAUGCUCUUAAUCGGGCAUAUAACGAAAUUGAUUCAAUAUUCCAUUCGAUUUCCAUCCAUAUUCCAAAUUCCACAUUCAAAUUGCCAUAUUUCCAUAUCUAAUUUCCGUAUGUAAUGCUACGUGAAACCAAGCAGGGGUAAAAAUGGGAUUUAACAUUGGCAAGAAAGUGAAUUUUUGUUAGGACACGUUUCAAACAGGUUUUGUUUAUUAGAUAGGGAGAUGUUAUGAAUCUUGGUUAUGAUAAUACGAAUAUUGUAUGCUUGUACUUGAUUUACGAUCGAUUAUGUGGGGUUAUGCAUAGAGGGCAAGGGUAGGACCUAACACUUAGCAUGAAACCCUAUCCAGAUACAUUCGAGCCUCGUUAGUUGAGAAAUACCUUCUAGGAAAAGAGAUUAAUCCAUUUACGAGUUGAUCGGUCUUUCUAGAUGCCCGUGCGACACAUUGUACGCGUACACUUCGGUGUUUGCGGAUUGGAGUGAUGUUGGCCAUUCGAACGAGGCUUGUACAGACAUCACGUAGGUGUUGGGAGGUGGCGGACGAAUGCCACUGCUUGUACCAACACCAGAACGGCACCGCGAUGUACUUGUACAUUACAUAGUCGGAGUAGUGAAAGUGGAGUCUUGGGGUCGGUGUGGCAGGGGGGGGUCACGAACCACCUAAAGCACUUGGUUGUCCAGACACACAAGUAGCGAACGGGUUUUCCUUUUGGGUUAGGUAUUACUACGAGACUACCUAUGCCUAUACGAUUAUGAUACAUUUUUUUUUAUAUGAUGAUAUACGAUUACGAUAUGAUUAUGCAUGAAAUACAAUUGAUGUUACAUAAAUGAAUGAUAUGUGAAUGGAUGAUACAAAGUUGAAUGAUUGAAUUUUAUGUGAAAUAUGAUUGAUUAUUGAUUGGUAUGUGAAUUUUGUUUAUAUGAUUAAAAUAUGAAUGAUUGACCCGUUAAGGGAUGGUAUGUUUUCCCUUUGAUUGUGUACAAACUCUUAUUGGCUCACGAAGCAUUUGUUGACACUUGUUUCUUUGCUUUGUGCCUUUAUGAUUGGUACAGGUAGCUUAAGAGCUUCGCUUGGUGAGAUGGGGUCAUUUUUUGGUAGUUUAUCCUUAGAAUAAAGAUGCCACUUGGAAACGUUAUUUAUUUUUUGAUACUUAUGCUUCCACUACAAUUAAAUACUUUUGAUAUUUUGGUUUUAAAUUGAACGUAACUUGGUGGUUUGAAAUGUUUUUAAAAUAAAUAAUGUGUACACUCUUCCGUUGCAUUUUCCGUUAAAAGAUUUUAAAAAUAAAUGAAAUUUUUUCGCGAAAAAUCAUGACUUUACAAUUAAAUCCUUAAUAGAUUAAGUCCUUAACAGGUUAAGUAGGAACACUUAACCCUAAUCGUCAUUUUAUGUGAAAAACCCUAAUUGGGUUUGGGUUCUUAUUAGGUCACUUAUUGGACUGAGUUGUUGUGGGCCUUUGUGGGCCAAUUGGGAACAUAUUUAUGGACUAAGGAAAUUAUUGGUCUUUAGGAUAAGGCCCGUUGGAAAGGCUUGGGCCCAAUUUGGAAAAUUGGGCCAUAAUUAGGCCUUGAUGAUUAUGAGACUGGAUUAAAUGGUUGGGCCUUAAGAUAAGCCCAUGUAGAGGUUUGGGUCCAAUUUGGAAAAUUAGGCCAUAUGUUGGGCUUUGGUCCAUAGUUUGACUUUUGGGCUUUUGGAUUGGGCCUUGGAGUUGAAUAAAGCUAAGUCAGGGGUAAAAUAGUCUUUUACCCUAACCAUGGAAUUAUGGUUAUGUAUUGGAACCCAAUUAUUAAUUGGGUGUCGUUUUGAUGUUGAUAGUUUAGGAACCUAUCAACCAGCAGCUAAGAUUUUACCCGUGGAACUUGAGCAAUGCGAAGUGAGUCUCCUCACCAUACCAACGGGUCGAAGGCACCAAUGUCAGCCCAUUUUAUGUUAUGUGAUACACUAGCUAAAGUUGUAUUAUGUGGCAUGUUAGCUGGUUAUGUCAUAGGAAGUAUGCUAGUGGUAUAUGUGGUAUGCUUGUAUGGAAGACCAUGGGAGAGCCCAUGGCACCUGGAUGUAAGACCAUGUGGAGAGCCUAUGGCUUUCUUACUAUGUUUUAGUGUUAAUGUAGAUUCACUAUUGAUAUGUUUGGUAUGCACGUAUAUGUGGUAUGCUAGUGAUUAAGUGAUAUACUAGCUGACUAUGUGGUAUGUGGUAUGCUAGUUGUCUUUGUGAUACUUGCAUGAAAGCCCAUGGGAGAGCCCAUGGCACCUGGAUGUAAGACCAUGCGGAGAGCCCAUAACUUUCUUACUAAAGACCAUGGGAGAGCCCAUGGUAACCAGAUGUAAGACCAUGUGGAGAGCCCAUGGCUUUCCUAUUAAAGACCAUGGGAGAGCCCGUGGCAUUUAGGUGUAAGACCAUGUGGGGAGCCCAUGACAUCCUGGAGUAAGACCCUGGGGACGAGCCCACGACAUCCUUAUAUGUUUAUAUUCAUGGCUUAUAUGAUUGAUAUGACUUAUGUGGAUAUGUAGCUAAUAUAACUAAUAAAUAUUAUGAGAUUAUGUGGAUUGUAUGAGGUAUGCUCUGGGGAAUUCACUAAGCUUCGUGCUUACAGUUUUGUUUAUGGUUUCAGAUAUUUAACUUUAGGAAAGGAAGGGCUCAGCUUGACCGCAGCGUACACACCCAUGCUUUCCACAAUGAAUGAAAUGUUUUAAUUAACAAUGUUUUGGAAUGAUUGGAAUAAAUGAUAUCUAUGUUUGGGUUAUAUUAAAAAUGAAAUUGUUACCCCUGAUUUUUGGGUUGUUACAAUGAUAUUCAAUUAAAACACAGGUCUUUUGGCCUAGCACUAUCAUAUGUUGGAAAAGUGACCCUUCCUAAUGUUAGAAAAACGGGUUAUUUUGAUUGCUUGGAUACCAUUGAAAGUCAUGAUACACUUUCAAAUUGAAUUAUUUUGAUGGUACAAUCAAAAUAUCAAUUGGAUAAAAUUCAGUGACAAACAGAGAAUGAAAAUGUUAUGAUUCUUGUGUGUACCAGAUUUAAAUAACCAAAAAGGGAUAUAACUCCUUAUCUGAAAACUAUCAUAUUGACAUUUACAAACUGCCACAAAACCGUCACUAAAUUGACUUAGUCAGCUUGACAAACAAGAACCACAUAUUUAACAUACAAAGCAAAGAGAAAAAGUUUCCUAAUACUUGUAAAAAUCAAAUGAUGUAAAAAAAUUAGAUGUCACAAAAUCUAGUAUUAACAUAGAUUUAAUAAAACUGAUAGAUUACUUGUUUAUAUAUCGUAAAAAUUUAUUCCCAAGGUCAUCCUUAACUCACUAAUAAAUUUUGGGAGUAACGAUAUAACAAUAUCUAUUCGGUACUCCUUUGAUAAAAUUUUGAAUUUUGUGUGGUCAAUAAGUCGUAUUUUUGGAUUGCUAAUAGGAGUAGAAAAGCUAAAAUCAUUUGGGUCUAUGAGCUUCGUAAUCCUAUUUUAGCUUGCACUCUUAUGUAAUGCUAUUUUUCCUUGCUUCCUGCUAGUUUUUAUAAAAUUUUUUGCUGUUCCAAAAAAAAAAAAAAAAAAAAACUCCUCUAAUAUAUUGGUCGGUCGACUUUGAGAUACAAUUAAGAAGGUUCUCUAGCCACAUCACACAUCAUCCUCCCCCAAUGACCACCACACAAUAAUAUCGAUUUGGUAUAGACCAACAACUCUCUAUUUCCCCAUCUCCCUUAAAUCAAUCUUCACUUCCUUACUUUUCAGUUUGUUUUUUAAUAUUCAUACAUAGAAACUCAUGUUGGAGCAGUUAACACACAUAAAUGUCCUUAAUAUUGGAAUCCCUCACCAACAAAGUAGCAUCGUUAAGUAACUAAUAAGUUAGAGACCAUACGUACAAAUUAGCCCAAACCAUAGGGACCAUUCGUGUAAUUUACUCUUCCUCUUAAUAUACAUAUUUUUUAUUAGAGACAGACCGCUGUCAUCCUCAAUAUAAUACAUGUGUCCCCAAGUCCAUUUUGCAAUUCUUUUUGGAUUUGGCAAACUUGUAUAUACAAUUUCCUCUCUUUACUUUUCAUAUGUCAUAACCUUUGCUUUAGUUAUUGCUUUCUUCUUCCAAUUUCUUGUCACCUUGUAAAUAUUUCUUUGACCUCUCUUCUUUCCCAAUUGUCACUACUUAAUAGAAAUUCUUUAAAAGGAGUUUCUUUAUUUUGACCUUGAACCUUCUUGCUCCACCAUUCCGAUUAUUAGCUUAGCCUUUCAUCCUUGACGGAUAUGGCCUCCUGCUACAAUUACCAUGUAACAGAGCCGGCCCAAAGCAAGUUCAUCCAGUGCCUUUGAACAUGGCCCAAAAAAUCAGAGGGCCCAUUUUUUUUCAUUCUUUAAUAGGGUAUGUUCAUUUGGCCCAAAAAAUUUAGGUUAUAUCCAUCUAUAUACUCAGUUAACGAAUGCAGGAAGCAGGCAAGAGGGAGCAGGAACUCAAUUUUCGGGAAAAAGAGAACUCUUCGGUUUCUUCAUUGGUAACGCACGCAUGGAUAAUAGGAAUCAUCAUUGCUGGAACGGUAACAUCAAUUUACAUUCAUUUAUCAUUCAUUCUAUUCCAUCAAUUUACCUUCACUUCUUAUUUCUUCCUUCUUUAUCUUCUUCUUCACUGAUCAGUUUUUACAAAGAUUACCAACAAUUUUAGAAGAUUCAAAAGAAGAAAUUCAAAGCCAUCAAAUUUCGAAAUCAGAAGGUUCAAUAUCAGAAUUCAGAACAAUCAAAAUUCGAAAUAAGAAGCUUCAAAAUCUUACAGUCUUACAGUCUUACAGUUUGAGUUUCGAAAUCAAAGGUAUAAUACUAAAAUUAAACUUUAGUUUAUUGUUUCAUGGGUUUGUUUUUUCUAAUUGAGUAAUUUGAUAAUUUCAGAUUUCUUAUCGGUUCUUCUUUUUUCAUUUUCUUUAAUUCCAAAUUACUAAAUCAGGAUGAACAAUCAACAGUGAUAUCAGUUUUCAAAAAUUUGAACUUAGAAGGAACAAGGAAUUGAGGUAAAUUCUAAUUCAGAUUUCUACUUUUUAUGUUUUUUUGUUUAUGAUAAUUUCGAAUUUGUAAGAACUAAGAAGUAAUUAUGAAUUUAUGAUCUCAUCAUUUCAGAUUGCAAAUUUUCUGAUUUCCUUAGAAUCAUAUUCUUGUUUUUUUGAUUUGAAGUGUCGAUGAUAAUAAGGUAAUUUUUGGAUUUCUUAUAUGAUAUCAUUGCAGAUUUUGUGAUUUCUUUAGAAGCAUAUUCUGAUUUUUUUUCUUUGCAGUUUUGUUACAUUCUUUUGGUGAUUUGAAGUGUGGAAAAUCUGAACCAAGAAGGAAUCUAUAAAUUGGAAGUCAUAAAUAAGGUCGUUUCUUUCUUUUCUAUAACUUAUUAUGCCUCCUAAAAUAAAAAAAUAUGCAUCUGGAUAUGAAAAACGUAAGAAAAAACAAAAAAUUGAAGAAGAUAAUAAAACUCAAGCAGGAUCUAUGGAUAAGUUUAUAACAAAAAAAACACAAAACUUUACGAAAAAUGAAACACAAAAUGUUAAUGAAGCUAAUCUUGAUAAAAUGAUAAUGUUGAUGUUGAUGUUGAUGUUGAUGUUAAUGAUAAUGUUGAUGUUGAUGUUAAUGCUAAUGUUAAUGUUAAUGUUAGUGAUAAAGUUGAUUUUAAUGAUAAUCCUAAUGUUGUUGUUGAUGAUAAUGUUGAUUUUCACACUUUUGAUAUAUUUGAUCCAAGAAAUCGGGAUGCUCUUGAUUCUAGUAUGAUAAAUAUUUUAGUGUUGAAAGGUCCUAAAAGAGAUUUGUCUCUUACAAAAGGUCCUAAAGAUAAAUAUUUAAGAAGAUUUUCUGCAACAUAUUAUACUAAAACUUUACCAAAUGGGGAAAAAUGUGAUAGAGAUUGGCUUGUUUAUUCUAAAGAAAUUGAUAAAAUUUUUUGUUUUUGUUGUAAAAUAUUUCGAAAAGGGUGUCGGAAGGGUCAAUUAGCAAAUGAGGGUUUUAGGGAUUGGAUACAUCUUAACACUAGAAUUAAAGAGUAUGAAACUAGUAUGAAACAUGUUAAAACUAUAAAUACUUGGUAUGAUUUGCGUUUAAGAUUACAAAAAAAUGAAACUAUUGAUAAUGCGGCUCAAAAACAAUUAGAAAAAGAAAAAGUUCAUUAGAGACAAGUUUUGUUGAGAAUUAUUUCUAUUGUGAAAUUUCUUGCUAAACAUAAUCUAGCUUUUCGUGGUACUAAUGAGAAAUUGUAUGAAGAUAACAAUGGAAAUUUUUUAGGCUUAUUUGAAAUGUUGGCUGAAUUUGACAUGGUUUCUUAUGACCAUAUACAACGUAUUACAAAUGAAAUUGGUAUCCAUAAACAUUAUCUUGGGCAUAGGAUACAAAAUGAAUUAAUACUUUUGCUUUCUUCAGAAAUAAAGUCUAUGAUUAUUAAAAAGAUAAAAAAUGCAAAAUAUUUUUCUAUAAUACUUGAUUGUACUCCUGAUAUAAGUUACCAAGAGCAAAUGACUAUUAUUUUAAGAUGUGUAGAUGUCUUGUCAAAUGUUGUUUGCAUUGAAGAGUCUUUUUUAGGGUUUUUAGAUGUAAAUGAUACAACCGGCCAAGGACUCUUUGAUGUUUUACAAAAUGAAUUGAAUUUGCUUGAUCUUGACAUUAAUAAUAUACGUGGCCAAGGUUAUGAUAAUGGAUCAAAUAUGAAAGGAAAACAUCAAGGAGUGCAAAAAAAGCUUUUAGAUAUAAAUUCAAGGGCUUUUUAUACUCCUUGUGGUUGUCAUAGUUUGAACUUAACUUUAUGUGAUAUGGCUAAUACUUGUGGUAAAGCUAAAGGUUUUUUUUGGAACAAUACAACGUAUCUAUACAAUUUUUGCAAAUCCCACUAAGAGAUGACAAAUUUUAAAAGAUAAUGUGAAAGGGGUAACUCCUAAAUCGUUGUCAUCCACUCGUUGGGAGAGUCGUGUUGAUAGUGUUAAAGCUAUAAGAUUUCAUAUACAAAAAGCUUUACUUCAAGUAGCCAAAAAUGAUAAUGAUCCAAAAAUAACAAGUGAAGCUAAAUCCUUAGCAAAAAAUGAACUUGACAACUUUGAGUUUAUAUUGGCAUUAGUAAUUUGGUAUGAAAUGUUAAACACUAUUAAUUUAAUUAGCAAACAAUUGCAAUCAAAAGAUAUGUUUAUUGAUGUUGCUAUGGAAAAAAUAAUGGGGUUAAUUUCGUAUUUUAAGGAAUAUAAAGAAAAUGGGUUUUUAAAUGCUUUACAAACCGCAAAAGAUAUUGCCUUAGAAAUGGGGAUCGAUCCAAUAUUUCCUAAAAAACGUGAACCUAAAAUAAAAAAACAUUUUGAUGAGAUUUCAAACGACACUUCUUAUAGUUUUUCACAAUCCGCCCAAGAGAAAUUUAGAGUUAAAUAUUUUAUUUAUAUUGUUGAUCAAGCAAUUAGUUCUUUAACUACAAGGUUUGAACUAUAUCAAUAAUAUGAUAAAAUAUUUGGCUUUUUAUUUAAUUCAGAAAAAUUGCUUUCAUUAGAUGAUAUAACAUUAAAGUCUUGUUGUAUGUCUCUUGAAACUUCACUCAAGAAAGAUGAGCAAUCGGAUAUUGAUGGAAAUGACUUAUAUGUUGAAUUAAAAUUACUUUUACAUCUCUUGCCUAAGGAAAAAUUGACAGCAAUUGAUAUUCUAAAUUUUUUAAAACGUGUUGAUUGUUUUCCUAUUACAUCUAUUACAUAUAAAAUUAUGUUGACUAUUCUUGUUACUGUUGCAUCUGCAGAACAGAGUUUUCCAAAAUUGAAGAUUCUGAAGUCCUACUUAAGAUUUACAAUGACUCAAGAACGACUUAAUGGAUUGGUUUUGAUGACGAUUGAGCGUAAUAUGUUGGAUAAAGUUACUUAUGAAGAUGCUAUUGAAAAAGUUUAUUUCAACGAAUAUUAGGAGGAUGACUGUUUUCAAGUAGAAGCUAAUUUUUUUUUGUAUUAUUUUGAAUGAAAUUUUAAUUUUAUGUAUUUGCAAUAGAAAAUUAAACUAUAAUUUUUUUUUUGCUUAAAUUUUGAGAUCUUUCAAAUUUUAGAGCCUAUUUUUUGUUAAAUCGCACAUGGUCUUCAAUAUCUCAGGGCCGGCCCUGCCAUGUAGACCGAGACCCCUACUUGUAACUAACCUUUUCGGUCCUAAUAGAUACACAUGUAAAAAACUAAUAACUACUAACUAACUAUUAAUUAUUUAAUAUAAAAUACAAAUAGAACAUCAAUGAUAAAUAUUAAAAGGGUGUUGCUAAAUUGACACCCCUUAGACACCCUAUAAACACUUUUAUUAAAAGUCAAUUUAUAAUAAACUAUUCACAAUUUACUUUUUCAAAAAACAAUGCAAAUUAACUAAUAAAAAAAUCUUAAAAAUCAAAUAAGGUUUCAACAUGAGAGAAAUUAUAUUGCAAUAAGUUUGUUGUCAGGUGAGGAAUACAAUGCAUAAAUGAUUUACAAAAUCGAAAGUUCCAGACACAAGUUAAAACUUAAAACCCUAAAAGACCACACAAAUUUCAAUCGUCGACAUACCCCACCACAAAGGCACAAACAAUCAAUGAAACAAGUGUAGAUGUAGAGGCCUUUUUCACCACAAUCACCCUUCAUCGGCCAUUUCGAAGGCCACGUGAAAUGUCACUAACGUGGCCCUCUAAAUAUCCACUACUUUGUCUUUAACCCCUCCCCCCUCCCUUAUAAAACACUCCAUCCUCCUCCUUAAUCACCAUCACCAACAACCUUCUCUCCUCCCUCAAAAGUACCACCAUCUUUUCCGACAUGGCUACUUCUUCAAUCUUCAUGGCAACUCCCAUCACACUCCUCAAGAAAACUCCCACCUUCUCCGUCAAAUGUAUGUCACAAACACCUCAAAGCGGUGAACCGGAGGUUUCAAAACCAGCAACCACCCCAACACUACCACAGAUCAACAUUCCUCCUCCUCCGCCACCUGCUCCAAAGGUCAGCACGAAGUUCUCUGACGUGUUGGCGUUUAGUGGACCUGCACCGGAGAGGAUCAACGGAAGGUUAGCCAUGAUAGGGUUUGUGUCGGCGAUGGCUGUGGAACUGAGCAGCGGUCAAGACGUGUUCACCCAGAUCGGCAACGGCGGUGUUGCGGUGUUUGUCGGGACAAGUGUGGUGUUGACGUUGGCGUCGUUGGUGCCGUUGUUUAAAGGAGUGAGCGUGCAGUCGAAGUCGAGUGGACUGAUGACAUCAGAUGCAGAGCUUUGGAAUGGGCGGGUUGCGAUGUUGGGUCUGGUGGCUUUGGCUUUUACUGAAUAUGUUAAAGGCAGUGCCCUUGUCUAGAUAAUGUAGCAUAAACUUUUCUAUUACAGAAUUACAUCUAAGAUAGGCAAAUGUAUAUUCUUUUGAAUAUUUAUGUGUAUCGAUUUACCAUACAUAGUUCAAAUCAUGAAAAUCAUGUUUUUUUGAUAAUAUAGUAUAAAACAAAUAUGAUCAAUCAAAUCGAACGAUUGUGGUAUCUUUCAAUAUAAAAUUCUUUUUACAAAAAUAAACAAACAACAUACUAAGAUAAUUUUUUGAGGAAUGAACCUAGAUUAGCAAUAUAAGAGUCAAAGUCUACAAAGAUAUUGACAUCCUAGUUUCACAACUUCCUCUUUGAAUGUUGAAGGUGAUCAUUAAUUCAGACUGAAUAUGUGGCUAAGUCCAGCCUAGUCAAUUAGCCAAUUUAAGUUGACAAGUAUCCAAAAUUCAAAUAAACUACAUGGCUCAAUUUCAAAGAAAACUGAAAAAUGACUAAUGCUCACAAAAUGAUCACCGAAUCAAUUUAGGCUAUGAGGAGUGGUCACAUUCAAACCACCGGAAAAACGCUGCAAAGUCAGUGAUAUGUCAACUCCAUCACCUUCUAAACAUUGGAAACAAUUACCACUCCGUGUCAUUUAUAUUUUCAUUUUUUUUACAUUAGAUUAAAUAAAAAACAUAAUUACUAACUUAAGUAAUCAUUUUACUAAUUAAAAAAUCAACUAAACAUAUAUUAAUUUUCAAAAUUAAAUAAACAUAUAUAGUAUAUAUAGUUGAGGGUUUAACUUAAUUCAAAGAAAAGUAAGAGGGUAUAAUAAGAUUAAAAGACAUAAUUUUAGAGACCAAAUUUGUAACUUUAGUUAAAGCAAAUAUGAAUGGUCUUCUUCACAGGUCAUUGCUCAAUACCAUUUUUUUUCUUUUACUUCGAUGGAUACAAAGGAAAAGGGAAAAAAAGGGUCAAAUAAAUGACCGUUAUUGUUCUUGCUUUCUUAUCCGUCGUCUUCAUCCGUCUUUGCACCCACAUUACACCCAAACCACCGGCCUUAGGGGUGGUGGUGUUCACGUGUCCUUAGGCCGGACACAUCAGCAAGAUGUGUGAGUUAGUCCUCCCACUCCGAUUAGCCUUAAGCACUUAUUAAAAGCUAGUCUAUUUCUUGUUAGGUUGAAAUCUAAUGUUAUCAUCAAAUCUAUACAAGAUUGAGAUUGAUAUUAUAGUAACAAUCUCCCAAAGAAAAAUAAUAUAUUUAAAAGAAUAUAUAUAUANNNNNNNNUAUAUAUAUAUAUGAAUUAUGCCCCAAGAAGUACUAUGCAUGAGUAUAAGAUUACUAUUAUCUUUGGAUCCAUUAAUUGAUAACUAAGCAUACUUCAAAGUUACUAUAUGGUCGUAUGAGACCCGCGAAUAGGAAAUUGGCUGCACCCUUGGCCCGAUUCGAAGGCUAAAACCCAAAAGAACCAUGCACAUGAUUCGAACCAAGUGCUCUAAUGCUAUUUUGCCCAACUUACAUGAACUACCUCCAUACACAUACUUAAGAAACCCAUAAUCUCAUCCAGAUAGAGCAGGAAUGCCAGAGAUAAUCGGAAUAAUACCUCAAUCAAUUACAAAAAACAUCCGCAUUAUCGGUUGAAACAAGAUCCCAUACUUGAUUGAGACUGAACGGAUUCCAUCGCUACACAACUAGCUCGAGAAGACUUCCACGGAUCUCGAAAGUUGCCUAAACCUGAGUCUGCUAUGAAAUAGGUUCCCACUCCACCAUUGAGGGUAAACACACUUGAAGCCCCAAUGGACAUAGAUCAUACUAAGCUUGAUAACAGAUCAGCCUGACCACUACAUCUCGACUGACACAAUUAAACUUCCAAGUGAACUUUUAUUGAUUGAUGAACCCCACAACCAGUGGUCGAGGACACUUUAACACUUAGUCCAGAGAAUCAAGACCACAUAGAACUGAACAUACCCACUCAUGGAAAGAUCCAUCGACCAACGUCUGCCCAACUAAUAUGAAAAUAGUAAUCCAACAACAAACUGGGAAAUCCCUCAACAGCUAAAAAUACUCAACCUGAGAAUCCCGAUUCUCCUCCACUUAGGGCUUAAACUACCAUUCACUAGCGCUAAAACCAAAUCAUAAAUCAAACCAUAUUGAGGAUAUACUCCCUUCCUAACCCUGGAAGUUACGAGCCUCUUCACUCCUUCCCCGAACUCGGAAAAAAUGAAAGGGCAUAACCCUAGCCAUUGAUAAUGACGUUCCAAACCAACAAUCAACCACUUCCAACUGUAAAACCCAAGUCAAUCUUAAUCAUCGUCCCCUUCACGAGUCCCGCGACUCGAAUACCCGACCUCAAGCAAAACCCCCGAGGCCUCAAACAAAAAAGCUCCCUAGGUCUGCACCAAACAAACAAAAUCACUAACGCCACUGGGGCUCAAAACACUUACCAUAUCCAUCCGCAUGUCGGAGCAUCCACAAGCAAAAUAUUAACAGGAACAUAAACACUGCCGCGAAUCAUGGUAUCCAACCAUGCUAUCUUCACCGACCAACCCUUAGAAUCCCCAAAACCUUCCUUGAUUAGAUUAUGGAUCCUGUGCUUCAAGUAGUACUGGCCCAAUACUACCUUCCAUACCUAUCCAUACUUUCCUCAAGAAUCAUCCCAAGUCUUUUAAGUCCUAGUCAUAAAAUACUCCUGAAACUUGCUUAACAAUGAAGCAACCACGCUAAAAUACUCACCUACACUCCCUCUGCCAUCAACUGCUGAUAAACCCCUACCAAUGCCAGCUAACCACUUCAUGAAUACAAUUACACACAACCAAGCUUAAAUAAUCCUUCGAAUAAAGGGCUUAGCCCUACAACGAUUGGACUCAAACGAGAGCUGCACAAUAGGUUUGAGUCCUUCAUUCUAAGAUUAUUUAACCUUCAUAGCAUGUAAUUUUAUUAUAUUCACUUGAUGGUUAACUCCCAUCAACAUGGGUCCCACAAAGCACAAAGCAAGCAACAUUCGGGUAGAGAAGCCGACUGCGACUAAAACGCAACAAAAUCAGACAUAUCCUCAUAGAAAAUCCUCGAUCUCAAACUCCUCGCACCACGAGUGCGCCUUCACCCUGCUCUCACUCUCCCCAGAGUGGUUAAUCAUUCCUCGUGCUUACCCGCUAUACACUGCACCCACUCAUGAAACUUCCACCAACCCUACAACACUCGUGUAUGCUAGCCGUACAUAACACUGGAUCCUAUAGACAGUCGAAUAUCUGAUCCUACUCUAAGCCCUUCAUCAAACAAGAACAUGAAAUAAGGCCAAACCAAACAUUCUCAGGCUAUAGAAUCUUAGUUAUGUACAACUAUGAUGUAUACACUAAGUAACUGUAGUAGAUGAUGUCAAUUUCAUUUAAGGAAGAACCCUAGGCUAUCAGACAUCAUAUAAUCAUGCAACUUUGUCAUGCAAUUCCUGAAGAUCCCUAGCCUAUCACUACCAUGCUAUUCUAAUAUUUCACAAGAUCAAAUAAAGUGUGGUAAUUUGGGGUCUACUUACUAGCUCCGACUGAUCAUACACAUCGUAUCCUCUUUAGUUUGAAAGUUAUUUUUAAAACCUUUACUUUGAAAAUUACUUUUUUUAAAACACCUUUUCCUUAGUUUGAGACCGGAUUCACACGAGUUUUCCUCCCAUUCACUCAAACCAAGGCUCUGAUACCAACUAGUAACGUCACAAAAAUUUCAACAAAUCUAAACCUUUCAAAACAACCCAUAUGUUAACAAAAGUGAUUUGAUCCGCAGGCACUCUGCACGCCUUGAACUCCCGUAAUGAGGGAGUUCGAGCCCCAAUCUGACCCACAGUGAUCUCAGAUCGGAAAGAACAAUCCGCUCCUCCAUAUCCUCCAUGAUCCCCUCCUUGACGGUACUGAACCCGAUCUCGAACCUGAACCUCCUCGCGUAGCCAUCAUAAUCUUCAACUGAAAAUACAACAUAGAAAGAAAUUGAUAAGGAAGUUCAAAGGGAUUUCUCCCCACUGGACUCCUUAAAGCCUUCAGGUAUGUCCUUGUCUCGGGUACAAGUCUUGUGCUUUUAGUAGUACGGACCAAAUACUACCUUCCACACCUACCUGUACAUUCCCCCAAGGCCAUACCUGAUACCUCCAAUUCACCAAACCAUAGAUAAAACAUGACCUACGAAACACAGCACAUACACAUAUCUUAGAAUCUUCGGGGAUUUCUCAAUCCUCAUAGAACCAGAAACCUCAAUCAACACCGCAUGUUGCCUUAUGCAUGCAAGUUAUACAUUAAUAGAAUCAUAGAGACUGUCAAAUAAAGUUUCUACCCUAAGACCACAACCAAACAAGGAACAAGAAGUAAGGCAGAAUCCAUCGUUCUAGGGCUAUAAAAUCCUAAACAUAUACAACUUUGAAAGCAUACACUUAGCAAAUAACAACGUCAACAUCGAUUCCAAGCAUUAUAUUCAUAGCAUUGAACUCUCCUAGGCUACAAGGCAUCUCACAAAUCAGACAAUUCUCAUAACACCUAAAGGUAUCCUUAGCCCUAUUCUAGCAUGCAUUUCACACAUUAACAUACUAGUUGCAAUUCAUAAGCAUGGUUAAAUUUUUGGAAACACUUACUUGAGCUUGGCUGAUUUCGCGCAUUGCGCUCUCCCUUUUUACUUAAGAAAACCGGUUUAAGAAAAACUUGACUUUUGUUUCUUUUUUUAAAAAGGUUUACCAUUUCCUCAGUUUGAGUUGUGACACAUAGUGUGCCCGAAUUCCUCAAACCAAGGCUAUGAUACCAACUUGUAAAAGCCCAAAAAUCCAGAUAAAAAUUUUCAUUUAAAAAAAAAUAGAAAUUACAAUCAUAAUUUGUUUCUUAAAAUCCAUUACAUCAUUUCAUAUCAAAAUAUCAGAGUAUCAAUAUCAAUAAAUGAGGAAAUUCUUGGGAGUGAAUGUUGCGCCAUCUAGCUAGGCCCUUCCCCUUAGUACCGAAAGUACCUGAAAACACCUAAAUAAACUGUAAGCAAAAACUUAGCGAGUUCCCAAAAUACAACAUAACAUAUAACCACAGAAUACCACGCCACAUACAUAAGAUUGCCAUGGACAACCCCAUGGUCUUUACUUGGAAUGCCAUGGGCUACCCCAUGGUAUUUACCUAGAAUGCCAUGGGAUACCCCCAAGGUCGGAUAUCCAAGUGCCAUGUGCUACCCCAUUGGUCUUUACCUGGAAUGCCAUGGGCUACCCCCAUGCUCUAAUAUCCAAGUGUCGUGCGCUACCCCCAUGGUCUUCAUAUAAGUGCCACAGGCUACCCCCGUGGUCUUCACAUAAUGAAUUGCAUAAAAACUAUCAAUCCACAUGUCAGGCAAUGGGCCGCCAUUGGUGCCUUCGACCCAUUGAUAUAGUGAGAAGACUCACCUCAGACUGCUGAUAAAAAUACUGCUCGGCUAACGCUCUAGAUAUCUGACACUGAAUAUACACAAGUUAACCUAAUUAGAAUUAAGUCACAAACUCAAGGCCUAGGCCAAAACCCUAAGUACAAACUCCUCCAAUAAGGCCCAAAGUCUUUUUCCUUUAAUGGGCCUAACAUCCAAGAUCCAAAAAGGGGCAUAAGGCCCAAAAGGCCUAGCCAUGCCACUUAUGGUCCAACAACAAGUUCAAAGGCCCAAAUACUAUAAUAGAUCCAGGCCCAAGUCUAAGUAGAGCCCAAAUAGCUUAAAGGCCCAACAAAAGCCCAAAACUCAUUGGAAGCGUACGCCCAACGUACAUCAUCAGUACGCUUAGCAUACUGGGUUCUUUGGCGGUUAGCGUAGUGUACAAGCUAGUAUGCCCAACGUACAAGCUACUUUGCACAAAAAGCCAUUAAGUGCUUAAUUCAUGAAGCCAUUUCGUCCGAUUCCAGAUCUUGGUCAUCUUAAAGGUCCUAGGGCAUAAAGAUGGUAACUUUAUGUGUUUACAUGCCAUAUGGGAACCCAACACCUGAUUUUAUCCAUUAAGACUCCCUUUAAGAUCUUAAACUCAUGCAUGGUGCCAUAACAACCAUCAAGUUAGCAUUUUUAUGCUUUUAACAUGCCAAAGGAACUAGGAUCUAACAUUUAUAAUCUCUGGAGUUGUUCAAACUUACAAAAGAGGAUCCAUGGACCAAAAAUGGACUUAUUACCAAACCCUAACUCAAACUAGCGAAAGGAUAAGCAAGUUCUGGACUUUUUACCUCCAAAAGUUUUCCAAGAUGAAGUAGAUGCAGGAUCUAGAAGCUCAAACACGUCUAAGAGUUGAUCACAACCUUCUCCUUCUUACACACACAUUAAAAUAGCCACCAAAAUCACUUUUAAGCUCAAGAAUCACACUCACUUGCAAACUAGGGUUUAGGGACGAUAAGAGGCAAUAAAAGCUAUGUAGGGUUAGGUCCAAAUGUCAUAAGAGUGUUAAAAUAGGGUUCAUGCGCAAAAAUUAGGGUUUUUGUCAUAUGCCACGUACUCCUCGCAUACAUGGUGCAUGUACGCAUCUAAACCACCCUAGUACGCUAAGCGUACACGUAUGUACGCCCUGUUGGAUUAGUGUUUAAGUCCAUAACUAUAUUUGGUAUGUAUUUGACCAGGUUGUGCAUGGUCCUUUUAGGUUGCCUUCACCGAAGCAACUUGACUAGAGGAAUUAUAUAGAAAGAGGUGAUUAUGGUUUAUUAAUAUAUUAUAAGAUUUAUAUAUUAAAAGAGAAAUCAUGUUUGAUUAAUUAACAUUGGUCAAGAGUUAAUUAAACAUUAGUUUUGUGAUCAAAAGAAGUUAAUUGAACUUAAGGGGCUGAACUGUAAUUAUGUGAUAGUUACAAAGUUAGGCAAGGAAACCCUAAUGGAUAGGGUGGAUGAAUUCUAGGGAUAUAGCCUUAAGAAUUCGCCCAUGAUAGGGAUUCUAGAAUUAUCUUAUGGGCUGCUUGGUGGCUAAGUAACCAUAUAAGAAUAAUGAAUGAAACCCUAAUUCCUAAACCUAUAUAAAGGACCCUUGGUCAUGGGAAUUUCGGCAACUUGAACCCUAGAAGUCCUAGAGCCGAAAUUCUCCUCUUCCCUCUCUUGCUUCCUCUAAUUGCUAUUGGUGUUUGUUAUUAAUUAGAGGCACAACACUUGAGGUGCUAAAGUUGUCAAGGCUUCAAGAUCUUCAAUCAACAACGAGGUAAGCAUCUUGAUAUACUUUGCUAAGUUAAUUUCAAUUAUAUACACUAGAUCUAGGGUUUGAAAGUCUUGGAUGAAUGCACGUACAAUUAGAGAAACCUAGAUCCAAGCAUUAGGGUUUGCAUGAGCACAUAGGAUGUUCUUUUGGCUCAAACCUAUCAGUGGUAUCAGAGCUUUUGUUUGGUUUCUAUUGUAUUGAUGCCUUGCUUGUUCAUCCUCUCUUGAAAAUCGUGAUUUUGUGUUCUCUGCCUGACGAACUCGAUGAGUCCCAAUGUGGGCUCGACGAGUAGGAUGAACUCGACGAGUCCAUAAGGGCACUCAACGAGUCGGAGCGUCAGACAUAGAUUUUCGGGAUUUCUUGUUGUUUUGCUUAAUGAUAAUUACCUAAAUCGUUUUUGACUAAUAAAAUCUGAAUUUUAUUACUGCUUUAUGUUUAUCCUUUCCAAAACAAAAGAUAAUUUCCAUUUAUUUGAAUAAUAAAUUCCUUAUAUGAUAAUAAUUGAUUAUUUAAAUUAUUUGUUGAAUUAUCUUAUGAAUAAAAUUGAUUAGGUCAAAUUUAGAUAAUCAUUAAAUUAAUUGUUUAAUUUAAAUUAUUUGCUAUUUGAUCCUUUAUGUUUUGAAAAGUUCAAAACUUGUCCUCAAGUUUUGAAAUUUAAAUUUGUGAUUAAAAGUUUAAUUUAAACUAUUUAAAUUUCAAACCCUAGAAUUUUACAAGUUUAAAAUUCAACCUUAUACUUUACAAUANUUAAACGCUAGUCUUACUGUUAGUAGGCCUCAUUCACGAAGCCGAUCUAGAAGGAGGUAUAAGGUUAUGACCUAUAAAAUGGCCAUUUAAUGGGUGUCCACUCUCACCCACCACAUCCUUGAUUGGUGGAGGGUCGUUAGCCGAACGGGUAAGAUAGGGCAACCCUUUCUCAUGAAUAAGUAUAAUGAAUUAUAAAAGUAACUAAAUGUUUUACAAAAUUCCCAAUCUUAAUUACUUUAGGCAAAAGUGAAAUUGAUGCAAUUCCAUUAAAUUACAUUUUGUACCCGUGCUAAGACGUUAGUGGAGCGUGUGUGGUUAACUGGCACACUAAUUCGGUUCUAAGAAAAGGUGGUAAAGGGUGACUCAUUGUUUCUCAUUGUUCGAUGGAGCAUGUGUGGUUAACCAGCACAUCGAAUAGGUGACUGUAACAAUGAGGGCACCAUGUAUAUUUGCAUGGUUAUUCAUACCCACUUUGUGAUCCUCAGCAUCCCAGUCACAAACUAGAGGGGCAUAUCAAGAUUUAUACAUGCCAUUGAAAAGUUCAAUGAAUCUCAAAAUAUCUAGGAGUUUUCAAUACAUUUAAAACUUAAUCUCUUUUUCGUUUUUCAUGGUGGAGAAUUAGUGAAUCGUCAUUCACUUACCUUCAAAUUAUUUGCAUGUUAGAUUACGACACCCCUCUUCUAAUAUGUAAAUAAUGUUGUUGGAUCCUAGCCCUAAUUUCUCAUUUAGGUGUUUCAUUAGGGAUUCAUUUCUAAUCAAACUUUGUUCUUUUUCCUUUUCAGAUGUCGAACAACAACAAUGCUUCCGGAUCGUUCUCACUCAUGAACUUGUGUGGGAGAGUGAUCUUUGACGAGUCCAAUUUCAAUGAUUGGAUUCGCAACAUCCGAAUGGUCACUCGUUACGAGGACAAAGAGUAUGUCCUUGAUAAGAAGCUGAAGGAAAUCAACCUCAACACUGCUACUACUGAAGAGAUCGCCACCUUUAAGGCUCAUGAGCGUGAUGCCACGAAAGUCCAUUGCAUCAUGCUAGCGACCAUAACUGCAGAACUCCAAAAGUCCUAUGAGGACAUGUAUCCCUAUGAAAUUCAUCAAAACUUGUUGGACCGGUACCACCAAAGUGCAAGGCAAGAAAGGUAUGAGAUCAUCACUUCGAUGAUCACUACCAGAAUGGGUAAUGGAGAGUCCCUUACCGCCCAUCUGCAAAAGAUGCAGAGAUAUGUUGAUCACCUGCUAAAGUUGAAAGUUAACUUUGAUGAAGAGAUGGCAAUCGACAUUAUCCUUCACUCCUUACCUCCCUGCUACAACCAGUUCCGCAUGACUACCACAUGAAUAAGGAAGAGGUCACCUUGAGCAAGCUUCACGGCUUGCUAAGAACUGUUGAGAGCAAUUUCAAGGAUAAGUAUGUUGCAUCAACUCCAACUCCCACUGCUGCCCUUGUCUUGGAAAAAGGGCAAGGGAAGGGUAAGAAAAGGAAGGCUCCCUCAAAUAUCCACCACAAGGGAAAGUCCCAAGAUGUUACCUCUUCUAGUGGAACCAAGGCUGGUUCUGCUAAACCCAACUCUAACCCUAAUGAGCCAGAGUGCCACCACUGCCACAAAAUAGGGCAUUGGAAGAGAAGCCGCCCAGAAUAUCUGCAAGCUAUCUAGGAUGGGACGAUCAAGCCAUCCUUCGCAGGUAUUUACACUAUUAAAUCUAAUGAUUCAUCGCAUGCUAUUUCUUGGGUUAUUGAUACAGGAUGUGGUUUUCACAUAUGUUCUGAUUUGCAGGGACUAAGAAGAAAUAGGGAUGUGGAGCAUGGAAGAAUAAACCUAAUAAUGCGAAACAAAAGAUUGUCGCCUGCCACCAAUAUUGGAGUAUAUAUAUUCCUUAAUGCUUAGUAAUGGAUUAGGUUUUGAUUUAAACAAUUGCUGCUAUUCGCCAGAUAUGGCAAGAAACAUCAUUUCAUUUCAUGGUUUAUAUAGGCAAGGAUUUAGAUAUUCAUUUGAUAAUGAAAAGGGUUCUAUUUAUGCUUAUCUUAAUAGUGUUUUAUAUUUUGAAGCAUUGCCUUGUAAUGUAAUAUAUGAAACUGUGAUGGUUGUAGAUAACUUAGGAAAUGAUGUAUUGUGUGUUGAUUCUUCCAACAAUAUAGAUAAAGCAUGCUUGUGGCAUUGUCGUCUUGGACAUGUCAACAAGAAACGCAUAGCCCAACUCUAAAAGGAUGGAGUGUUGGAGUCAUUCGACCUUAGGGAUGAUGACGUGUGUGAGUCUUGUUUACUUGGAAAGAUGACCGAUGUGUGUGGGCACUUGUGAAAGGGGUGAGGGUUUAUUGGAUCUCAUACACACCGAUGUGUGUGGGCCCUUUAGAUUACCACAAAAGAUGCAAGCCACUUCUAUGUGACUUUUACCGAUGAUUAUAACAGAUAUGGGUAUAUCUACUUAAUCAAGCACAAGUCGGUAACCUUUGAAAGGUUCAAAGUGUUUAAAGAAGAAGUGGAGAAUCAUUUGGGCAGGAAUAUCAAGAUGCUUCGAUCCGAUCGAGGAGGAGAGUACCUAAGUCUUGAAUUCCAUGACUAUCUCAAGGAAUGCGGAAUCGUUUCACAAUUGACGUCACCUAGGACACCGCAGUUAAAUGGUGUGGCUGAGAGGCGUAAUCGAACCUUGUUGGACAUGGUUCAUUCCAUGAUGAUUCGUGCUUCACUACCUAUCUCAUUCUGGGGGUAUGCCUUAGAGACUGCCGCCCAUAUCCUUAACUUAUUCCCUACGAAGAAGGUUGCCAAAACACCUCACGAGAUGUAGACAGGGAAAGCUUCCUCGUUAGCACAUAUCAAGGUUUGGGGGUUGCGAGGCUUUCGUAAGACGAGAGACUCACGACAAGCUCGAACCUCGUAGUGAGUGGUGUAUUUUCACCAGCUACCCACAAAAGACCUUUGGAUAUCUCUUCUAUAGUCCGAGUGAGAACGUUGCCUUCAUUGCGAGGAGAGGGGUUUUCCGUGAGCGAGAACUCAUAAGCCUAGGGGACAGUAGGAGGCAAAUCGAUCUUGAAGAGAUUCAAGAGUUGAGCGAUGAAGGAACCUCCAACACCGGGGCUUACCCGAGGAGGAAACUCCGGUUGAACCGAUUGACGAGUCCUUACCUCUUAGACGUUCCGAAAGAGUUAGGUUUCAACCCCAGUUAUAUGGCUUUCAUAUUACUACAGAAGGGGAUACGUAUAUUAGUGAUAUUAUACUAAUAAAUUUGGAUGAACUUAACAGCUAUAAGGAAGCCAUUGCAGGCCCAGAGUCUGCAAAGUGGAAAGAGGCGACGGACAGUGAGAUUCUGUCCAAGUAUGACAACCAAGUUUGGAAUUUGGUUGACAAUGUACUAGGUCGUAAGAUGGUCUGGUGCAAAAUGAUCUUUAGGAAGAAGGUACUAAAACGUUUUGUGACAACCCGAAAUUUCCAUUUUGUACGAACAUUAGCUAUUCAAUAGAAGCUAGUCCAAUUUCAAUGAAUUUCAGACUUUUCUAAAUAAAUUUGUGUACAUUAGGGUUUACGUUUAAGGAGAUAUCAGGAGAGUGGAUGCUCAUGGGUUUGUGAAACUUGAGCAUUUCAAAACUUCAUAAUGUUAGAGUCCAAUUCCGGAAUAAAAAUAUUUUCUGCCAAAAUAUUUCAGGACUAUAAAUAGAUUUCUGAACUAAAUUCAUUCAUUAUUCACACUUCCAACUAGAGAAAAGCCAUUUUCUCUCUCACAGAUCUUCGGGUUUUCAUCCCAAAUCGUGAGUACACUUCUUUAGUUGUUUUAUAAUGCUUGUUAUAUGCUUAAUAACAUAGAUUACAUGUCAAAUAUGUGAGAUCCGGGAGUUUACCGCCCAAGAACGUUCUUGGGGAGUAAACUCGAAAAUAAAGCUUUAAGGCUAUCUAGUCCCAUUUCCUUGUUAGGUAACUAGCUUAGGAUAAUAUGUAGGAUCAUUUGAGACAAGAAAACAAUCCAGAACACAUAGCUUUAGGAGUUUUCGGCCCAAGAGUUUCUUGGACCGUAAACACCAAAUACAAGGGCUUAAAUGUGCCCUAAUCACUCCCAAAGGCUUUAGACUUUAACCCUAAAUUACUUCUAGCUAAUAUGGGGACAUUAACACAUCAAAAAAACCCCUAAAAGGGAGUUUACGGCCAAGAAAUGCUCUUGGGCCGUAAACACCAAUUAAGGGCACCAAAGUGUGCCUAGGGCCCCCCUUAGCAUAAAUCAAAUGCCUCGAAAGUAUUCUACUUGUGUUUGAGACUUGAAAGAAUUAAAACAUCCAUCCCAUGAGAGUUUACGGCCGUAAACUCUAAGGGAUAUGGCCUUUUGGCCGUAAACUCCUCAAAGGAGUGUUAUCUAUGCCCUAAACUACCCAAAGGAUUAAACCACCAAACUAGGCUUAUUCUAGAAAUCAUUUAGCACUUUAAAACACCCAUUACCACCAAGAUUGGAGUUCACGGCCGUAAACUCAAGGUUUUACGACCGUAAACUCCUUGUGUGGGGUUUAUUGGGUAGUAAACUCUUAUACAAAGUCCUUGGAAGCUUUAAACCCCUUUAGCUUGUCCCAUAACAACUUAGAUGCAACCAUUAGGACCUAUAACACUUAUACAAGGUGUUUACAUGUUCCUAAGUGUCCCAACUUAUUUCAUUAAGUUAUUAUUUGGCUAAUUAGUUAUAUAUAUGCUCAUUAUAUGAUAACUAGGCUCGUGCGUGUGAACAAGUCUCCGUUUGCCACCUAGCACGGUAUCCGACACUACAAUCCAAACCACUCACCACAAGUGAGUUCAUACCCCUUUAAUUAACCUUUGAAAUACUUUUAAAUGUUUUAAAUACUUUAUGGGGGGGAUACAAGUUAAAUGCUUAUAGUUAUUGCAUCAAUCACAUGUGAUUACAUUAAUCAUAUGUGAUUAAUAACUAGAAAACCAAUGAUCUUAUCACUGUUUAAACUGUUUAUCAAACUGUUUUACUUCAAACUGUUUUACAAACUCUUUUACUCAUCAAAUACUUUUAUUUAAACUUUGUUAUACUUCUUAUAAACCGCAUGCCCAUAUAUGUAUAGAUAUAUAAGCAAUGUUUAAAGGGUUUAGGAAGGUCAUCCGCCCUAUUUCCUUUUUCUCGAUUUGGAUGUGGUCUGGUGGGAUUUCGGGUAACCAUCCGAAGGUCGUUUCAAUAUUAAUUAUAUAUCAAAUGUACAUAUAUAGACAUAAAAGUACUCCUUNUAUACUAGGAGAAGAACAUAUACAACUAUACUAGAGGAAGAACAUAUACAACUAUACUAGAGGAAGAACAUAUACAACUAUACUAGAGGAAGAACAUAUACAACUAUACUAGAAAGAGAACAUAUACAACUAUACUAGAGGAAGAACAUAUACAACUAUACUAGAACAGUUCAUUACAUUACACAUACUAGAAUACGUUCAUUAUUGUGAUAUGAAUCGGGGCAUGACUUAAAUGCCAUGGCCCGAGUUGUAGCCAGAGUCUCUUGAAGGGAGAGCGUGAGUUUGCGUAUAGAUCUAUACUGGAUUGACUAUCCUACACCUUGCUGCUAGCUACAGCCGGACCUGCAGGUCUGCGGGUGCCAAACGUCAUUCCGUUAUUACGACCAUUCGUAUGUCGUUGUUACCAGUCGAUAGUAUGGUGCAAUUAGUCACAUGAUACCUUAAUAUAAAUCCGGUUUAAGGUAGUUAGUACAACAAUAGUUCCUAUAAUACAACACUACAGUACUACAAUAAUUUACCCAUUACAUAUAUUUAGUGAUUAUUUCACUUAAACAUUAAUGUACAAACUAUAUUUUGUUAAAUGAUAGUUACACUUGGGAAAUUACACACUUUUACAACAAACGAGCAUACAAAACAGUUAAGCCUUGGUAGAAGGCUACUUUAAUAGAAAAUAUAGGUUUUUCUGAGAGAUUCAAACUUUUACAAACACUUACAUACAUUUUACAAACUUACACUUGAGACACGUUCAAACGUUUUGAUAACAAACAUCGACACUAAAAUACUUAUGAACUCACCAGCUUAAUGCUGAUAAACUCUUUCAAAAUAACUUGUAUUCUCAGGUCAUCAAUAGACAGGUACUUAGGCCAGCUUUUGAGAAGAUGGAGCGCAUUCAAGACUCAUCUUAUUAUUUUGAUUUACAUUAUAUUUUGGUGUCUAAAACUGUACAGAACACGCUUGUAUUAAAAUUAUAUAUUUAAUGCAAUGGAUGAUGCUGUUUGCUUAUUUACAUUUACUGUGUUGUGAUACUUUACAUGACGUCCUCCGCCCCACAACGUUUCCGCCGUUCUUGGUUUUGGGGUGCGACACGUUUUAGUAUGGAGAAUUCAAAGAAGGCAGAGUUACCAAUCCAAAGUAAUGCGAAGUUGAGUACGACUCAAAGUCCGAGUACUGAAGUCGAGAUAGCAGAAAUGAGCUAAGUACCUUACGCUUCCGCAGUUGGCUCGAUCAUGUACGCUAUGACUUGUACUCGCCCUGAUGUGGCCUUCGCUUUGAGCAUGGUCAUUAGAUAUCUAGGGAACCCUAGAAAAGCACAUUGGACCGCAAUCAAGAAUAUUCUUAAGUACCAUCGAAGGACCAAGGAAUGGUUUCUAGUCCUCGGUGGGAGUGAUGACUUAAAGGUGCGAGGGUAUAGUGACGCCAGUUUUCAGACCGACAGGGACAACUACCGUUCGCAGUCGGGCUGGGUCUUUACCCUAAAUGGUGGAGCAGUGACUUGGAAAAGUUCCAAGCAAGAGACCGUAGCUGACUCAACAUGUGAAUCAUAGUACAUUGAAGCAAGCGAAGCGUCAAAUGAGGCAAUAUGGUUGAAGAACUUCAUUGGAGACCUUGGAGUUGUGCCGACCAUACAGGAGCCUAUUGAGAUUUUCUGUGAUAAUGAAGGAGCGGUUGCCUUGACCAAGGAACUGAGGGAUCACGGCAGAUCUCAACAUAUUGACAGAAAAUAUCACUUUAUUCGAUAUCAGAUGGAAAAAGGACUCCUCGUAGUGAAGUGCGUAUCGUCAGAAGAUAACCCAUCAGAUCUGCUUACGAAGGGACUGAGCAGGGUUAAGCACUUGCAGCAUGCUAGGAGCAUCGGGCUGAAGGACGAUAUUAGUUUAGAUUAGAUAGUUUGGAAACGUGUAAUAGAUAAAUUAUAAUUAACAUCUGAUGAUUAAAUAAAAGAGUAUUAUUUAUUAGUAAUGUUACUAUCUUAUGUUAAUUGUUUACCUAUUGUUUCAUUUUGCAUGUUUUGACUUCCUGAAUAAUAAGAAUUAUUUAAAUGGUCUACAGUUGUUCAUAUGUUGGAACUAGGUAUGAAUGAAGACUGUCAUGAAUUGGUGUGUAGAUUGUCUAAAGUGUAUUAGACAUAGCAAAAGUUUGCUACAACAUUCAUGAGUGCUUAUGAAAAGUUUUGAGCAUUGGAAUAAACCCAUGCUUGCUGGAAUCACUUCAUGGAAUUCAUCAUGAGUGAUCGCAAGACGAUAAUAUAUCAUAUGGUCUUAAAACAUAGAUAUAUGGUUUAUUGUUUUCUAAUUGGUUGUGCAUUGAUAAUGCGUAAACACAUCAGUAACUUGAUGUUAUAAAACGCAUUGUUGUGUAUGAUUUGAUUAGUGGAUAGUAAAUGCAUAUAAGUCUAAGUUCAUCUGUUCCUUUUAUCCUAAUAGGUUAAAAGUGAUAUCAGGACCCCUUGAUGAUUUGAUUUGACUUAUGUGUCGGGCCCGGUCAGGACUGAAUUGAUGUGUUCAAUUACGUUCUAUGUCAAAUGAAUCAGAGAUUAAGAAACAAACUGUUGGAUAAUAAGUAUGACUAUGUUCCAUGUAAUUGUCCGCAUGAUAUCUAGAACAAAGGAUUAUACGAUCCCUUAUCUUAAGGACAAGUUACUGAUAAGAUCAAGAGUUUUGAGAACUGUGAUUGCUAAUCGAAUCCAGAAGUUGCAUUUGCAUUUAUAGUUAUUAUCAAGGUUGUAAAAAAUUCUCGACGUUAGCUAGUCGGUGGACUGGGGUUAAGAGAUUAAUCGGGUAGGCGGAGAUUAAUCGGGGGAUUAAUGGAGACCAUUAAUUGAUAAUUUGUUGAAUUUUAAAAAAUUGAAUAUGACUAAUAUCAUAUCAAAGUCCGUAAGUACCACUAAUAUCAUAACAAAAUAGGUUGAUAUGUUUAAUACAACAUUAAUCAUGCUUGAAAUAGUUUCUAUUGAGAUAAAACUUCUUAAAAAUGUUUAAAUUUCAUCGUUUUAUACAGUUUUACUCAUUAUUUAUGCAUGGAUUAAUCGCUAGGUGCCAUCUAGUUGGUUGAGUAAUGCCUAGGGAUUAAUCGGAGAUUAAUCGGGACCUAGUCAUGAUUUUUACAAUAAUGGUUAUUAGACUUAUCCAAGUAGGGGAAUGUUGGAUUAGUGUCCAAGUCCAUAACUAUAUUUGGUAUGUAUUUGACCCAGUUAUGCAUGGUCCUUUUAGGUUGCCUUCACCAAAGCAACUUGAUUGGAGGAAUAAUAUAGAAAGAGGUGAUUAUGGUUUAUUAAUAUAUUAUAAGAUUUAUAUAUUAAAGGAGAAAUCAUGUUUGUUUAAUUAACGUUGGUCAAUAAUUAAUUAAACAUUAGUUUUGUGAUCAAAAGAAGUUAAUUGAACUUAAGGGGCUGAACUGUAAUUAUGUGAUAGUUACAAAGUUAGGCAAGGAAACCUUAAUGGAUAGGGUGGACAAAUUCUGGGGAUAAUGCCUUAAGAAUUCGUCCAUGAUAGGGAUUCUAGAAUUAUCUUAUAGGCUGCUUGGUGGCUAAGUAACCAGAUAAGGAUAAUGACUGAAACCCUAAUUCAUACACCUAUAUAAAGGACCAUUGGGCAUGGGAAUUUCGGCCACUUGAACCCUAGAAGUCCUAGAGCUGAAAUUCUCCUCUCCCCUCUCUCUCUUGCUUCCUCCAAUUGCUAUUGGUGUUUGUGAUUCAUUAGAGGCACAACACUUAAGGUGCUAAAGUUUUCAAGGCUUCAAGAUCUUCAAUCAACAACAAGGUAAACAUCUAGAUCUACUUUGCUAUGUUAAUUUCGAUUAUAUACACUAGAUCUAGGGUUUGAAAGUCUUGGAUGAAUGCAUGUACAAUUAGAGAAACCUAGAUCCAAGCAUUAGGGUUUGCAGGAGCACAUAGGGUGUUCUUUUGGCUCAAACCCAUCACGCCCAAUGUACGUAGGGACCUCCUUUACAAAUAAGUUUCAUUCCAAGGGUUAAAAGGGUAAAUACCUACAUUCCGAAUGUUACAUAUAGAUAGUAAAAUACUUGAUUCUACCCUAAGCCCUUCAUCAAACAAGAAAAUGAAAUAAAGCUAAACAAAAAUUCUCAAGCUAUACAAUCUUAGUUAUGUACAACUACGAUGCAUACACUAAGCAACUACAAUAAUGACGCUAAUUAUAUAUAAGAAGUAAUCCUAGGGUAUCAAGCAUCCUAUAUCAGGAAAUCCUUUCAUGUAAUUCCUGAAGAUCCCUAUCCUACCACUAGCAUGAUGUUAUAUCAUGAAAAACAUAUCAAGUAACCGUGUGGGUAACUUUGGGUAAAUUUUCUUGCUCUGGCUGAUCAUACACAUCGCAUCAUUCCUUGGUUACUUUUGAAAACAAUUUUUGAAAACCAUUAAAAGAAAACUUUACAGCUUCCUAGUUUGAGUUUGGAUUCACACGAAUGUUCAUCCAGUUCUCUCAAACCGAGGCUCUGUUACAAACUUGUAACACUCCAAAUAUCAUAGAAAAUUAAAAAUUUUAAAUUUCAACCAUUAACCAACAUUUUUUACAAAAAGAGUCAUUGCUUCAAAAGUAUUAUUCAAAAUCAUAGUUUUUCCUAAGACCUAAUAACACAAAAUAGGAAGAUGUGCACGAUCACGCCUUCUCCUUCCUACGAUCAUCCGAAGUACCUAAAACAAUAAACUGAAAUUGUAAGCCAAAGCUUAGUGAGUUCCUCCAAAGUACCAUCAUGGAACAUAUAAAAUACAUAGAUUAACAUGUUGGGUCCAUAACCUCCCAGUUGGAUUACCUUGGCUCACAACCUCCCUGUUGGAUUGCCCUGCAUACCACAUACUGGGUCCACUACCUACCGACUGGGUUGACUUAGAUGGUUUGUGGAGUUUGGCCUAUUUUGACCCAAGGAUAUUUUGGAUAAGUUGGUAGUUAUUUAAGUCGACCAAUAUUUUGGGAUAAUAGGUGUCGAGUAGAGCCGGUUGUCAGGGAAGAGAUUUAUUCAGCUUAUGUUCAGACUGAGAGGUGAGUUUUCCUCACUGUACUUACGGGUCGAAGGCACCAAGGCCGACCCAACGAAUUGAUAUCCUGUCUAUACUGAUUGAAGAUAUGUUGAGUAUGCGAUAGAUCUGAAUGAUUAUAUGAUAGUUAUGAUAUACGUUAGACUGGUAGAUCUAUAGGGCUACCUAUGAUUAUUGGUUGUAUAAUCAUCUGUAUGUUGUAUAUAUAUUAUAUGUUAUAUGCCGACAUGUUACAUUGGGGUUGAGACUACUGCUUUGUGUCGUCAGUCAACAGACCAUGUCAAUCCAAUUGGGAUGUUGUGGGCUAGGGUAAUUCAACCAGGAGGUUGUGGACACAAUAUGCUAAUCUGUGUAUUUUAUAUGUUGCAUGAUGGUACUUUGGUGGAACUCACUAAACUUUGUGUUAUAGUUUCAGUUUAUUUUCAGGUACUUCUGAUGAUCGCGGUACGAUGAAGGUGUGGUCAUGCACAUCUUCCUGUUUUGUGUUAUUGGGUCUUGGUGAAAACUCUGAAAGUCAUGACACACUUCAAAUUGAAGUAUUUCGAUGGUACAAUCAAAAUCUCUAUUGGAUAAAAUUUAGUGACAACAACAGAGAAUUAAAAGGUUACGAUUCUUGUGUGUACCAUAUUCAAAUACCCAAAAAGGGAUAUAACUCCUUGUUCGAAAUAAAGCUAAACCAAAAAUUCUCAAGCUAUAGAAUCUUAGUUAUGUACAACUAUGAUGCAUACACUAAGCAACUACAAUAAUGAUGCCAAUUCUAUAUAAGAAGUAAUCUUAGGGUAUCAAGCAUCAUAUAUCAAGAAAUUCUAUCAUGUAAUUCCUGAAGAUCCCUAGCCUACCACUAGCAUAUUGUUCUAUCGUGAAAAACAUAUCAAAUAAUAGUGUGGUUAACUUGGGGUAUACUUUCUUACUCCGGCUGAUCGUACACAUAUCAUCAUUCUUUGGUUACUUUUGAAAACCAUUAAAAAAACUUUUACAGCUCCCUAGUUUGAGUUUGGAUUCACACGAAUGUUCAUCCAAUUCGCUCAAACCAAGGCUCUAAUACCAACUUGUAACACUCCAAAUAUCAUAGAAAAUUAAAAAUUAAAAAUUUCAACCAUUAACCAACAUUGUUUACAAAAAGAGUCAUUGCUUCAAAAGUAUUAUUCAAAAUAAUAGUUUUUCCCAAGACCCAAUAAUACAAAGCAGGAAGAUGUGCACGAUCAUGCCUUCGCCUUCCCGCGAUCAUCAGAAGUACCUGAAACAAUAAACAGAAACUGUAAGCCGAAGCUUAGUGAGUUCCCCCAAAGUACCAUAAUGCAACAUUUAAAAUACAUAGAUUAACAAAAUGGGUCCACAACCUCCCAUUUGGAUUACCUUGGCCCACAACCUCCCCGUUGGAUUGCCUUGCAUACUACAUACUGGGUCCAUAACCUUCCGACUAGGUUGACUUGGCUAGUUUGUGGAGUUUGACCUAUUUUGACCAAAGGAUAUUUUGGAUAAUUUGGUAGUAAUUUAAGUCGGGCAAUAUUUUUGGAUAAUAGUUGUUGAGUAGAGUCGGUUUUCGGGGAAGAGAUUUAUUCAGCUUGUCUUCUUACUCAGAGGUGAGUUUUCCUCACUGUACUUAUAGGCCAAAGGCACCAAGGCCGACCCAAUGGAUUGAUAUCCUGUUAGGUACUGAUUGAUGAUUUGUUGAGUAUGCGAUAGAUCUGUAUGAUUAUAUGAUAGUUAUUGAUAUACGUUAGACAUGUAGAUCUAUAGGGCUACCUGUGAUUAUUGGUUGUAUAAUCAUAUGUCUAUUGUAUGUAUAUUAUAUGUUAUAUGUCAACAUGUUACGUUAGGGUUGAGACUACUACUUUGUGUCGUCAGUCAACAGACCAUGAGAAUCUAACCGGGAGGUUGUGAGCCAGAGUAACCCAGCCGGGAGGUUGUGGGCCCAACAUGCCAAUCUAGGUGUUUUAUAUGUUGCAUGAUGGUACUUUGGAGGAACUCACUAAGCUUUGGCUUACAAUUUCAGUUUAUCGUUUCAGGUACUUGUGAUGAUCGCAGGACGGUGAAGGUGUGAUCAUGCACAUCUUCCUGUUUUGUGUUAUUGAGACUUAGGAAAAACUCUGAUUGUGAAUAAUACUUUUGAAGCAAUGAAUCUUUUUGUAAACAAUGUUGGUUAAUGGUUGGAAUUUUUUUUUUUUUUUAAAUUUUUAUGAUUUUUGGAGUGUUACAUUGGUUUUGUCUUAUAACUGAUCCAAACCCCCACACACCCUUGUUAAUCAUCAAAGAAGAAUCCAAUUAGAACUAAUUCUAUUCAACAAUAACAACCAUAGGGUGUUAGAAAUCCAUUACCUCAAAUGUAGGGAUCUUUUGAUGUCUAAGAACAUUAAUCAAGAUAAAUUAAUAAGGAUAUUCAAUUAAACCAAAGGUCUUUUGGCCUAGCACUAUCAUAUGUUGGAAAAAUGACCCUUCCUAAUGUUAGAAAAACGGGUUAUUUCGAUUGCUUGGAUUCCACUGAAAGUCAUGAUACACUUUCAAAUUGAAGUAUUUCGGUGGUACAAUCAAAAUCUCAAUUGGAUAAAAUUUAGUGACAACAAUAGAGAAUGAAAAGGUUAUGAUUCUUGUGUGUACCAGAUUCAAAUGACCAAAAAGGGAUAUGACUCCUUGUCCGAAAACUGUCAUAUUAACAGUUACAAACUGCCACAAAGCUGUCACUAAACUUGUAACACCCCAAGUUCAGAAGUGCAAGUUCAGGGUUCUUGGUGUAAUUAAGGAAGAUCGACUCGGCGAGUCGAGUCGUGAUUUGGCCAUGUGCUAAGUGACUGACUCGGCGAGUAGGCAGCUAGACUCGACGAGUCAGUGCUGGAGUGAGAAACCCUAAUUCAUGGGGUUUGCACCCUAUAUAAGGAACCUUAAGUCCCACCCCAGCCUCUUUAGGACUCCCUCUGAUGUCCAGAAACUUUCCACAUCGAUUUCAAACCCUAAAUUGAGAGUGAGAGGGAUUUAAGUGUGUUUUGGAGCUUGAAGAAGAAGGAUACUUGAAGCAAGAGUUGGUGGGAUCAUAGAGGAGCGAAGUGGAUCUGAUUUCCUUGCUUCUUGGCAUCAGCAUCAAGGUAAAAAGUUGUUGCCUUGACUUUGUUGUGUUUAGAUGGUUCAUGAAUGAAGUUUUAGGGCCAAUUUAUCAUAUAUGAGCCUCUUUUCGAGUAUUGGGUUUAGAUCUGUGGUUGCUACUACAGAUCUAGACUGGUCCUGACUCAUGAAUCUGGAAAGUGAUAGCUUUGGGGCUUGAUUGAGAGUGUCCUUGCCUUAAAACUUCACUUUAGCUUGAGUAGAGCUUGUUGAGCCUUGCAUGCACGUAAAGUUGGAAACUUUACAUGUAGAUCUUGCCCUAGGAGUCCAGAUCUAUGUAUUGAAAGCAAUAGUUUGGCCUGUGAUCAUCUGAAUGAAGGUAUUACGUAUGGACUCGGCGAGUCUGGGAGAUGACUUGACGAGUCGGACAAAAGAUUUGGAAUGAAUCGCGUAGUAACUCGGCGAGUCACAUGGGUGUACUCGACGAGUUGGAUGAAGAUAGGCAAGAACUCGACGAGUUGGAAGAACAACUCGACGAGUCUAUUGAAGAUUGCCUUGGGCUCAACGAGUCUGUUCUUGGACUCGGCGAGUCUGGUCGAGGAGUCCUAACCUUUUCUGGUUAAGUCGUGAAUCGGUGAGUCGAAGGAUGACUCGGUGAGUUGAGCAUGAAGGGACUCAGAGUUUGUUGGACUCGGCGAGUCUUGGGGCAACUCGACGAGUUGAGUCGUAAUAUGAGAGUUUUGAGUAUGGGAACUCGAAGAGUCAACGAGUUGACUCGGCGAGUAGGGUCAACCAGGAAGGUUGACCUUGACUGAGGACUUGGACUUUAACCAAGGGUUGACCAGUUGACUUCCGGGGGUAUUUUGGUAAUUAUUGGUAUUUAUUGAUUUGGUUUUUGGUAAUGAUCAGUGGCGGAGUUCGUGCUGGUGGUUGGAGCAGCGUGAUCUUAUUCUUCAGUCGGCAGUGACAGUUGAGUUAUCCUCACUAUACUGACAGGGUCUACGGCACCAAGGCCGACCCUCCAUCGGAUGGAAAUCCGGGUAUUGUUGUUAUGUUAUUGCUAUAUGGAGAUCCUUGUUGAUGGAAAGGCGGCCGACGAACGCUCGGUGGACUCUAUAUCCUCAAGGAAUCAAUUUGGAACCCGGAAAAUCAUAUUUAUUUAGGAAUGUAGCAUAUGGUUUUAGAGGUUGUCCUAAAUGGGAGGAUGUGGAUACGGUUAGUUAAGUUUAAUAAUUAUUAUUUUAUAUAUAUAAUAUUACUGAAAUUACUAGUAUUUAAUUUAUAUUUUUUUUGCAGGUUAUAUCUGUAAUAAAUGUUGUGCAUACCCAUUGGUUUUUGGUGGUUCUACAUUUAGAUACCUGGAAAGUAGAAAUUUUUGAUUCAGCACAAGUUGCGGGUUACUUCUCAACAUACAACACUAAUGGAGAAUUCAAAAGUUUUGGAGAUAGUAUUAUCUCAGAGUUGGAUGCCAUUGAUUACUGGAGCCAUUUCCCCCAUUGGACACAGAGACAAGCAAAGGUCGAGUUUUUUGAUGUUUNGACACAGAGACAAAGCAAAGGUCGAGUUUGUUGAUGUUGUAGACGCCCCACAACAAGAAUAUAGUCUUGAAAGAGGGGAUUGUGGAGUAUUUGUAUGCAUGUUUAUGGAAAUGAUUGUUUCUGGGGGUACCAGUGGCGAUUUCAAGGACAUGUAGAGAAGCUGCAUUUCUCUAUAGAAAUAAGAUGGCAAAUGUUAUUUGGGAUACUAUAUAAGUUGAUAUUAGGAACUUUGUAUAUAUAUUAAUAUUAAAUACUUGUUUCUAGUAUGUAAUCGUGUCACUUCUGGUAGUAUGUAAUCUUGUAAUUAUCUUUUAUAUUUUUUAAACAUAAUUCACCAAAAAAUGUUACGAAACCAUACAUUCAAACAAAAUAAACAUUACAAAUAACAUGAAUACAUUACAAUAGAGUCGUCUACAUAAAAAUAAGGUUUCUUACGACUAACAAACAUUAGAUAAAACAUUGGAAAUAAAAUACUCAUCUACUUGAAAAAAACUUUAUCUUUUACCAGAUUCCAAACGUCCGUAUACUCGAAAUCAUGUCCAUCAAACUUGCAUAGGUAAUAUCCAUUCACAUCUUCAAGAAGUUCUUCAUUAUCUGCUUGAGAGCGUCGCAUUUUCUCAGGAUUGUAGCAUCGAUUGAACCAUGUGACCUUAAACUUUAAAUCCAUCCAUUUACUAACAAUAGCAGGUUUUAGUCGUUCGUGUCCUUGCCCGACUUGAUAGUUGAACAAAGCUAUGAGGCGGGACCAUUCAUCACCUACAAGGCAAUUCAGGGGAGCCAUCACUGGUAGACCCUCGUAAAUGGUAAUCCAACUUUGUAUUAGGACCAACAACUCUGUUGGCGUCCAUGGAGAUGUACAAUUUGUUGGAGAGGCUGCAUUAGAUGGAUUUGUUGCAUUCGAAGAACUUGGUACAUUGGACGCCAUUUCUUAAUUGAUCUACUAUCAACUAAAGAAUUGAAUUUCGUAUAGACACUACGUUUAAUAUAUGUACAAACAUAUGUUAUACAAAGAUAUGUCAGUAACGCGGACUGACGAGCCAGUAACGCGGACUUACGAGCCAGUAACGUGGACUGACAACGAUUAAUAUAUAUAAAUAGUUUCUUAAUGCGGACUGACGAGUCAGUAACGCGGACUUACGAGUCAGUAACGCGGACUGACAACGAUUAACAUAUAUAAAAAGUUUCUUAACGCGGACUAACGAGUCAGUAACGCGGUCUUACGAGUCAGUAACACGGACUGAAAACGAUUAAUAUAUAUCAAAAGUUUCUUAACGCGGACUGAUGAGUCAGUAACACGGACUAACAAUUACUAGACAAAACAGUUUUGCGGACUGACAAGACAGAAACACGGAUUGACAAGUCAGUAACGCGGAGUGAUCAUUGGCUUUGCGGACUCACAAGUCAGUAACGCGGACUGACAACGAAGUAACACGGACUAACAACCCCGUAACGCGGAUUGAGAACGCAGUAACGCGGACUAACAAGUCUAUAUAAAACGACAAACAACAAUGUAUCACUUCAUCUAAGGUAUUUUAGUUCAUGUGCUUUGUAUGUUUUACAANUUCAUGUGCUUGUAUGUUUUACAAUGGGUUCAAACCAAUGGACCGCUAACGAGUAUUUCCUUCUAGCUCGUGCAUAUAUUAAUGUCAAAGAGAACACCAGUUUGGAGGAUAUAAUGUUUUUCUCCCAACUAACGAAUACCUUCAACACUGACGCUGAAACCACCAUACAAAACCAUCGCAACACGCUUGAUAUAGCUACAAAAUGGUAUGAAUUGAAAACGGAAGUUGUGUUAUUAAACGAUCUUUAUAAUAAGAUUGAAGAUGAUCAUGUCAAUGAUACUGAGGAAGAGAUCUUGGAGGUGUCUAAAGAAGAAUACAAAUCCAUUAGCAACGGACAGAGUUUCGAGUUUGAAGCCCCUUGGAAUCUUUUGAAAAAUGUACCGUUUUUUUAAGUAGAACUGCAUUUUGUAUUGUUCUUGUAUUUCUUUAUUUAAAUGUAAUAUGGUAUUUAUCCUUUAUUUUAAAAAAAAAUAUUUGACCAACAAAUGUUACAAAACCAUACAUUCAAAAAACAUUAUCUGACAAACAGCUUACGCGGACUGACAAAUAAGCUACGCGUAAUGACAACACAUUUACGCGGACUGACAAGUAAGUUCUGCGGAAUAAUGUAUACUAAUUCCUUAUAAAUUUUGACAACCAUGACGAAAAUUUACAAGGUGUCGAAAGUUGUGAAAAUGAGUUCAGUCAAUCAGGUAUUAAGGAAAAGUUUCUCCAGCCUACCGACUUUUUUCCAUAAGCUGCAAAGAAGCAAUCCUACCACCUUCACGUACAUUACGAAGGAUCGGUACAAUCGUUUCCAAAUUUGUUUCGUGGCAUUGGGAUGCGUGGUAUGUAAUCCCUUAUAGUAAAUAAAUAUUUAGUUAUUUCAAGUUGGUAUAUGCCUAAUAUUCUUAUGUUGACUUACAGAUUCGUACAUUUCUCACGUCUAUGAUAUCAAUCAUAUUCGUUGGUCAAGUACCUCUAAUUGGGGCAUAUGUAACAUCCAUGUACAUUGCUUUUGCUUUAGAUGGAAAUCAUGAACCCCUUCUCAUAGUGUUUGCCUUGGGAACCAUAAAUUGUGACAAUUCAUGGUUAUGGUUCAUAAGGAGGCUUAAAGACUGUUUAGGUGACAAUACAUAAUUUGGUUUCAUAAGCCAUAUGUCUGAUUCUAUGGACUUUGCAGUCCACAGAGUCUACCCUGAUUCAUAUCAUGGCUAUUGUUGUAAAAAUAUAGCCAAGAAAAUACGCGCUUCCAUCGGAACCAAUACAGUCGUAGAACAGUGGUUCUGUAAGACGUGUAAAGCAUAUAAUUUAUCUCAAUUUUAUGCAUGUUUGAACAAUUUAAAAAAUGAGGUAAAUGGGAAUGAUCUUCAUUGGCUUGACAAUAUUCCCAUUGCAAAAUGGGUACGGGCUUGUUUUCCAAGAGUAAGUUUCAAUGUUAAAUUCAUUGACAUUCCCGAUGUUUUCAAUUGGUUUAAAACAAACACGCAUGAGUUUCCAAUAACAACAAUCAUUGAAAUGGUUCAUGACUCGAUGUAAGAAGUUUAUCUUCGACGUGCUGUUUUUGGAGGUAAUUAUAAGUUAUGACAUCAUUAAAACGGUGAAUUGAUAUGUUUAUUAUACGUUAUGACCUUAUAAUUUUUUUUAUUGAUUCAGUUGAUUUCACAGGGGAUAUCCAUAAUCUUCUAACCCCUUAUGCACUUAAGGUGAUUCAUAAAAGAUUUAUCCACUCGGAUGGUUGUAGGAUUACGCAUAUUGUUGGCGAUAGAUAUGAAGUGACUAAGUAUUCAACAACCGAAUAUGUACAACUAGACCGUGGUAUUUGUAGUUGCGGUAAAUGGCAAAAAUGCGGUAUACCUUGUGAGCAUGCUAUAGCUUCACUACACAGACUCGAAAUUGCAGAAAUCCAUCAAAUGGUAAAUUUAAAGUUAAGUACAGCGGUGUAUCGAAAUGCUUAUCAAACUGAGACGGUCUAUCCUAUUCCAACCCUUAGGCAUUGGGAAAAACCAGUCGAAAGUGUUGUGGUCUUACCUCCACGCCAAUUCAAUUGAACUUUAUUGUAUGGAUCACAACGAAUAUUAGUUUUUAUUCAGUUCUAUGUUAACCGUACUUGUAAUGGUUUGUUGGCAUUCUUUACUUUUUAAUAAAAAAAAUGUUUACCUUUAAAUAAAUAAUUGUAUUUUCAUAAUUGUAAUAUGUAUGCAUGACAACGACUAGACAAAAAAACUAUGCGAACUGACAAACGCAGUAACGCGGACUGACAAAAACCUCUACGGACUAACAACAGCUCUCUGCAGAGUGGAAGGGACUAUAUAUAGUCAUGGAUGGUCGUCGGAUUUUUCGUAUAGAGUUAUAAUUUUUUAAAUUUAAAAUGACUUCAUCUUCAUCUUUGUAUAUUUGCUCGUGCAACGAAGUUGAUUGUUUCUAUUGUGAUCCGAUCGACCCUUUUCUUGCACCAUCACCAAAUUUAAGAGAGUCAUAUAUGUCGGAGGAUACUUUGCAACAACUACAAUGGGCUGAAGAACAACAAAAAAAAAGAUAAAGACUCGUCUCGGGCUCUCACUGAACGACGUGACCUCAUUGCGGCGGAGUGCAAAGAUGUUGAGGAAAGGAUGACGAUUACAAAAAAAAAUCAAAAAUCAUGGGGAAUGGAAAAAAAAACNCUAAGAAGAAUCUCAAACUGUCUGAAAAAUGGCUUGCUGACAAGGAUGCAGAAAUGAUAGAACUUGGUAGGCAAAAGGACCGUAUGGAAGAUAAAAUAAGAAUAAGGGACGACUACAUAACAAUGGAGAAAGAAAAGUAUCCUUUGCAAUUCCCUUAAGUUAAUUACCGUUGUUGUACGUUUACUAUAUGUUUCUAGUUUGUUGAAUGUAUUAACUUCGAGUAUUAGUUAUUAUUCUACUAGUAAUUAUGCAGUAAUAUAAUCAUAAUAUUACCCAUCAUCUUUAAAAUAAACACACCAGCUCAAAGUAGACAAAUUAAUGUCCUCUAAAACAAAACAUAAUUAAUUAUAAAUACAACAUCAAUCAUUCAAAUCAAACGUUGAACAAUAGUCUUCUCUCUACGUCCCACUCGUCCAACGCGUGUCUUGUGUCCCGUGCGUCUCUAGCGUCUCCUGAGUCCCUUCUGUCCCUUUCCCUUUUCCUUUUGUGUUACUACUUGAUGUCGUAUUAGUUUUUCUAGCCUUUUUUUGUUUCUUUGGGACCAAUGUCGGACAAGUCGCUGCAUUAUGUGUUGUACUAUCACAUCUACUACACCUUCUUAUUAUAGGUUCCUCACCUUGUGACGGAAUACGAUUUCUGUUUCUCGGUCUACCAGCUUGACGUGUAUCCAUUAUCGGGGGUUUCACAACCAUCAUGUUAGCAGGAAUCUCCCAAUCACACGGUUCUGGAAGGGGGUAAACCGGCUCCUCAUACGUACUUCGGUAUGUUUCCAUUUUGUAAGCAUCUAUAGCCAGAUGUCCGAAGUUAGUUUUUUUCAAGUGCUUCAAGACCAUUAUCACAUGACCACAAGGCAACCCAGUUCCUUCCCAAUAUUUGCAUGUACAAGUCUCUUGCCUCAGAUCAACUAUGCCACCAUGUUUGAAAUCAUGAACUUCAUAAAGUGCAUCUGAAACACCAGAAAUGGACCAUCCUGUCGUACGCUCUUCAUUUUUACUAACUACUUUUUCAGCCCACUCGGUUAGCACUGUUGAACGUUUCCCUAUAAAGAAGAUAUAUAUAAUUAACUAAUUAUUCGACCUAAUUAAAGACAAAAUAAAAUUCAUACCUCCUUCGAUGCGACGCUUGUAACACCAUUCCUGUGAAAGACGUCGGAAGAACUCAAGAAGGGGUAUUAUAGGCAUCUUCCUUGCAUCUACAGAUAAAGCAUUCAUGAACUCUGCACUGUUCGAGGUCAUGUAAUCGUAACGUUUCGAUGGCGAAUAUGCUCUAGUCCAUUUAACACAGGGAAUUUCACUUAGAUACGCUGCUACUUGCGGCCUAGUAGAACUAAAUAUAUACCACAAUUCUUCAAAAACAUUUCUUUUGUAAGCUUUCACAAGCCUCCAAAACAACCCUUUUGUUUUAUCAUUUUUCCCAAACUUGUGUACUAUGUUUCCUAGUGUGACAUCCCCAAAAUCUUGGCCAGAAAAGACCGAUUUCAUUGAUGCUUUUUAAAAUAAUUUCAGAGUAAAUCCUUUUGAUUUUAAAAGAGAUGCGGAAUUUGUUCCCAAAAACAAAACAUGAUAAAAUAGAUCUUUUAUCAAAACAUUUCAUAAAGAAAUAUAAUUUCAUUUCAUAAUCAAAACCGGGAUGUCAUGUUCCGAUACAGACCAUAAAGCAUAAACGAUAACAUUACAAGUCAUUCAACAAAUAUUAUACAUAUGCAGACUUGUAAACAAAACAACUUGAUGAUUCAUCCAUCUUAUGCCCUUACGCCACUUCCUGUAAUACAAGUAAACUGAGUGGGUCAGGCUUGGGAGCCUGGUGAGCAUAUAGGGUUUUCAACCCACAAUAAAUAAUUAUAUUUAAUUCAACAAUCAACAAUAACCCGAUUACCCAUUCCCGUUUUCCUUACUUUACGUCCCUAAAACAACAUCUAUUAUAAGGGACCUAAUCUAGGAGUUUCAUCGGGACAAACAUUACUGCAAAGGGGCUUCCUUAGCAAUAAAUAUCCUAAAGGCAACCAUGAGGGGGAUAUAGUUCACCGGUGAACACGUCGUUCACAAGACCUACAGGUUAUGAGCCUACUAGUGUUCCACAGGACUGUCUAGAAUAGUCCGUGGUCGUCAUCCAUACUCUGCUGAAUGACUAGAAUAACACCAACAACAUCGAGGCCUCUCAUCUGUUUAUUACACACCAACUAUCUACCCAUGUUCUACCCAACAUAUUAGUAGAUAAAAAUAUACAUUUGUAUACAUAGUUUAAAACCUGUAUAGCAUGCUCAAUCAAUACAUUUUUCCACAUAACAGAUGAGGUACACACACAUAACACGUAUUUCAUAGAGAAUAAAUCAGAUCUAUGAGAUAGAAGAAAGUGAAUAUACAUCCACACAUAUAGUCAACAAAGUAUACACGUAACACGUAUUUCGUAUAAAAUACUUCAUAAUAAUGUGUUAGAAGAAAAUGACUACACACUCACUUGAUCAGAAGAUGAUCGGGCAACACUACGACUUGUAGAAGUAGUGUUUCUCCGUAGAUCUGGAAGAUCUUCACAUAAACCGGGCUCCUCGCGGGCAGGUCUUCGGCUCUGAAAUCUCACUUCUCGGGAUUCUCGGGACUUCGGAUCUUGCUUCGGGGCUCGCGAAUAAUAUUGGGGCUUCGGGGUAUGAUUGGCAAGCAAAUCGAGGCAAAAACUAGAGAGAAGAAAGAGUUUGAACUAGAGAAAAUGGUUGAUCUCGCAUUCUAUUUAUAGGCUGCUGGGUCUAGGAUUAUGCCGGGCGUAAUUUCCAGGUACGCUGGGCGUACUAAGUACACUGGGCGUAAUUAGGUUACGUUGGGCGUACUUUGACGUCACUGCAUGCGUCAAUUGGUGGCACUCGAGUAUUGGUCAGACAAGUUGCACCCCUCUGAGUACGCUGGGCGUACUCAAAUUACGCUGGGCGUAAUUUGACUCGUCAAACUUCUAAAUUGCGUAACUUUGGCAUACGAGCUCCGUUUUCGACGUUCUUUAUAUCAACGCGUAGGUUAGACCAUACUCUACAACUUUCAUUUAGACUCAAUUUUUACUUUUAUUUUUAUUAUUUAUUUUUAGUAGGCCGGGACAGGAAAACUUCGUUAUAAAUUCAUAACUUCUUCGUUCGACGUCCGUUCUCGCCUAACUUUUCAUCGUUUCACUACUAACAACGAGAUAUUCGAUUCUCGUUUAGAUUGUUCUGGCUAAAAACCGCUCGAUCUCAAAUCGAGUAUUCGGGCUGCAUACUGCCAAGUCGAAACUUCAGANGAAAAUCAUAUUCCUCAUACGAAGUCAGAUUUGGGCGUUCUAUAUAUAUUUAGAAACCUAGUUUCAACUACUACAACAUUAUCCAAAGAUAUCGAGUUUAUUUUACACUUCAUUUUGACGCUAAUUUUUAUUCUUAAUUCAAUUAAAUUAUAAUAAUUAAGAAAACACACACAUAAUUCACAUAAUUCACAAAUAAUACAUUUUUAUUAUUUCAGAUUGGGUUACAAAGGUUAACCUAGACUAUUACAUUGCUAAAAAUGGCAAGCCCAUAAUCACGGGCGUUACAAUUUUCUCCACCUUAGAAUGAUUCCGUCCCUGGAAUCACACAUCAACAAAUAAAUGCGGAUAGCGACCCAUCAUGUCACUCUCCGUCUCCCAGGUGAGAUACGACCCAUUCGUGUGUUUCCAACGGACAAGCACUAACUCAACCAUCUUACGUCGCAAUUUCUUAGUCUUCCGGUCAACGAUUGCUUCUGGUUCUUCAAUCAAUCUUUUGUUUUCAUCAAUUAUUAACUCUGAAAGUGGAAUCAUGUCGGGAACUUCUCCCGUGAACUUCCUCAAGUAACACAUAUGAAAAGUGUUAUGAAUUCCAUUCAGUUCUUCGAGUAGUUCGAGCUUGUAAGCUUGGUUCCUAAUUCUCUGAAGAACUUUAAACGGUCCAAUAAACCUUGGACUUAACUUUCCCCUUUUACCACAUCUUAUAAGUCCCUUCCACGGCGAGACUUUAAGCAAAACCGAAUCUCCAACUUCAAAAGUCAUCGGUCUUCGCUUUUUGUCAGCAUAGCUCUUUUGACGGUCGUGAGCUGCUAACAUUCUUUCCCUAAUUAUUUUCAACUUUUCAGCCGUUUGAUGGACUAUCUCUGGUCCCAUAAACUGCUUUUCCCCAGCCUCAAGCCAACAAGACUGCGUACGACACUUCUGUCCGUACAAAGCUUGAUAAGGUGCCAUCUUAAUGCUCGAGUGGAAACUAUUAUUAUAGGAAAAUUCUACCAAUGGUAAAUGUUCAUCCCAAUUACCUAGGAAUUCCAAGGUACAUGCUCUCAGCAUAUCUUCAAGUGUUUGUAUCGUUCUUUCACUCUGACCAUCAGUCUGCGGAUGGUAAGCUGUGCUUAAACACAACUUGGUACCCAAUUCCUCUUGUAGACUUUUCCAAAACCGUGAGGUGAAACGACUAUCACGAUCCGACACAAUUGUUAACGGAACACCGUGAAGCCUCACAAUUUCCUUCACGUAAGAAUUCGCAAGCUUUUCCAUAGACCAUUUCUCAUUGGCUGCUAUGAAAUGCGCACUCUUAGUGAAUCGAUCAACGACCACCCAAAUCAUGUCGUGACCAUUCUUUGUUCUGGGCAGUUUAGUGACAAAAUCCAUAGCAAUGUCUUCCCACUUACCCAUAGGCACAGGCAAUGGUUCUAAACUCCCGUACGGUUUCUGAUGUUGUGUCUUGACUCUCGCACAAGUCACACACUCGGCCACAUACUUUGCAACAUCAAGCUUCAUCGUCGGCCACCAGUAGUAGGGUUUCAGGUCCCUAUACAUUUUAGUGCUACCCGGAUGAAUCGAGUACAUGGUCUUGUGAGCUUCUUCCAUCAGAAGAUCUCUGACUCCUCCUGUCUUAGGUAUCCAAAUCCGAUCUUGGAACACCUUCAGUCCAUGACUGUUUACACCGAACACCAACGUUUUGCCCAAACGUUCCUCCUUUCUGUCAUUCUUCUCAGAAGCUUCGCUCUGAGCUUUCUUUAUACUUUCCAAAAUAGUUGAGACAACUUCAAUUCUCAACGCUCUUGGCCUUUUCCUUUCGGGAUUGACUUUCCGACUGAGAGCAUCAGCAACAACAUUAGCUUUACCGGGGUGGUAAAGUAUCUCGCAGUCAUAGUCUUUAAGUAAUUCUAGCCAGCGUCGUUGCCUCAUAUUCAAUUCUUUCUGAUUAAAGAGGUAUUGGAGACUCUUAUGAUCAGUGAAAAGUUUGCACUUCGUGCCAUAGAGGUAAUGCCUCCAUAUUUUCAGAGCGAAAACUACCGCUGCCAACUCCAAAUCAUGAGUCGGGUAAUUCUUUUCAUGCUCUUUCAGCUGUCGAGACGCAUAUGCUAUCACCUUUUCUCUUUGGGUCAAAACACAACCCAAUCCAACACCAGACGCAUCGCUAUAAACAGCGAAGUCUUCAACUCCAUCGGGUAGAGAAAGUAUCGGUGCCUCGCAUAGCUUCUUCUUUAACUUCUCGAAUGCUUCUUUAUGCUUCUCACUCCAAGCAUAAGUAGCUCCUUUGUGGGUCAAAGCUGUCAAUGGAGUAGCAAUCGAAGAAAAGCCUUGGAUAAACCUUCAAUAAUAUCCGGCUAAUCCCAAAAAGCUUCGAAUCUCCGUGGGACUUUUCGGUUGUUCCCACUUCAUCACAGCUUCGAUCUUCGCUGGAUCAACCAUUAUCCCUUCUUGGUUGACCACGUGACCCAAGAAUUGUACUUCUCGAAUCCAAAAAUCACAUCUGGAGAACUUUGCAUACAACUUAUCCUUCUUUAAAACUUCUAACACUUCUCGCAAGUGUCUGCCAUGCUCCUCCUGGCUUUUCGAGUAAAUCAGAAUGUCGUCUAUGAACACUAUNGAACGGAUUACAAACCCUGUUCAUUAAAUCCAUGAAUGCUGCUGGAGCAUUGGUUAGUCCAAACGACAUAACCAAAAACUCGUAGUGCCCAUAUCAUGUUCUGAAUGCAGUCUUCUCUAUAUCCUGCUCUCUUACUUUUAGCUGAUGAUAUCCUGACCUCAGGUCGAUUUUUGAAAAAUAACUUGAACCUUGUAGUUGAUCGAACAGGUCAUCAAUCCUCGGCAACGAAUAUCUAUUCUUUAUUGUUGCCUUGUUCAGUUCUCUGUAAUCGAUGCACAUCCUCAUACUUCCAUAUUUCUUUUGACGAAUAACAUCGGAGCUCCCCAGGCCGAUGAACUAGGUCUUAUGAAACCUUUGUCCAAUAACUCCUGAAGUUGCAUCAUCCGCUCCUUCAUCUCCAUCGGUGCUAGUCGGUAAGGUGCUUUUGCUAUAGGCGUCGUUCCCGGCAACAAGUCGAUACGAAAUUCUACUUGUCGAUCAGAAGGUAAUCCAGGAAGAUCUUCGGGAAAUACUUCCGGAUAAUCACAUACGACAGGAAUAUUCUGCAUCACCUUUUUUUCCUUCUUAGCAUCGAUCACGAAUGCUAAAUAUGAUGUACACCCCUUGGUCAAACAUUUUCUGGCUUUCAUUAGAGAAAUGAUUCCAGAAUUUACUCUGCGUUUAUCUCCAUACACCAUAAACGAUUCCUUCCCAGGCGGGUUCACUUUCACUAUUUUCUUCUUGCAUAAAAUUUCGGCAUCAUUGGCGCUAAGCCAAUCCAUUCCCAAAAUGAUGUCGAAACUGUUAAGUUCGAUAUAAAGGAGUAGUUUUCUACCAAAUUCAUGCGAUAUAAAGGAGUAGUUGGCUCCAGAAUCAAAUAAAAUUUGGGCAGACGAUUUGUUUACGAGAAAGGUACCUGAACGACAUCAGCUUCAUCUUUAGCAGCUUCCAGUGUCAUCUGGAAUGCUCUCGCCUUCGGCUUUGGCGAAAUGUUGGGUUUUGUUGCCUCCUUCUUCUUCGGACAAUCUCUUGAUAUGUGCCCUUCCUCACCACAACCAUAACAAACAUUCUUGGUGAGGGUGCAGUCGUUGGCAUAAUGCCCUGGCUUUCCACAUUUCAAGCAUGUGGCUUCCCCGCCGCACUUCCCAUGAUGCUUCUUCUUGCAUUUGUCGCACCAUUUCGCUUCGCCUCCUCCACCCCCUCUCGAACUAGACUUCGAGAAUUUACCCUUUUUGCUGGACCCUGAAGAUCCCUCGAACUUCCUCUUUUCACCAACCUCUGACCUUUCCAGACCUUUUUCCCUGAUCUGGGUCUCAACAUUUCUAGCAGCCCAGAUGGCGGCUUUCAAUGUGGUUGCUUGCUUAACCAUUAGACCAUAGUCCGCUGGUAGUCCAAGGGCAAACUUGUUGACCUUAGAGAGUUCUGUAGGCACCAAAUAUGGGAUAAACUUCAUCUUUUCUGUGAAACUUGCAGCGUAUUCAGUAACGCUCAAUUUCCCUUUCUUCAAAUUCUGAAACUCAUUACUGAUUUCCAGAAGGUCCUGCUCGGAGCAGUAUUGCAGUUUUAGUUGUUCCACAAAGUCUUCCCAAGACAUUUUGCUUGCUUCUCCCUUGGGCAUAGAGUCAGCUAACAGCUUCCACCAACUCAACACGCCAGAUUUUAGCAGAGGGAUCGCAAGAGCGGUCUUCUGCCUGUUGCUGCAUUCGCAACUUUCAAACAUAGUCUCCAUUUCGGAGAUCCAGUCCAUAACUUGCACCGGCGUCGGGCUUCCGGAUAGACAUGGUGGUUUGGAUGCCAUGAAAUCCUUAUACUUGCACCCACGACCAUCAUUUCCUCCAUACUGGUUAUUGCGUCUAACCACUGGUUGUUCGUCUUGACCAAUGAUCCCACUAAAGUUUUCUCCUUCAGACUGCCCUCCAUUCUCCUCGGGCUCUUCCGCUUGAAUUGACGGUUCUUCACGAUUCUGCCUAAGCAGGCGUCUUGUUUCUUCCAUCUGACGAUCCAACAUCAUUUGAAUCAUCAUUUGUACACCAGCCAUUGUUAUCGGCUCAGGUGCAUCAGCUACGACAGGUACUUGUUGAAUUACAGGCGGUUGAUUCCUGUUUUCAUCAGCAUUUCCAACUCCGCUUCUUGUUCUCACCAUUUUUGAUCUACACACCGAAUAAUUUCACCUUAUUACUCCAAACGAUUACAUGCUAGUUCUAAUAUCGUAUACAUACGCUUAGAAUCCUAAACACAUAAACCUUCAGAUCCGGUUGGCAACAAACCGUAGAUCCGAACAAAUAAUAUCAUAUAUGGCAACAUAUAACAUUUAGCACAUAAAAGCAUUUUAGGCAACUUUCCUAAAAUAAACUAGUGCUCGUGUCUAAAAUUUAUCAGACACACAUCUCACAAUCUCCACUUAGCAUACUAAGUUUAAGUCUAGAAAUCCUACAAAUUCCUAGUUCGCUUAAACUAAUGCUCUGAUACCAACUGUGACAUCCCCAAAAUCUCGGCCAGAAAAGACCGAUUUCAUUUAUGCUUUUUAAAACAAUUUCAGAGUAAAUCCUUUUGAUUUUAAAAGAGAUGCGGAAUUUGUUCCCAAAAACAAAACAUGAUAAAAUAGAUCUUUUAUCAAAACAUUUCAUAAAGAAAUAUAAUUUCAUUUCAUAAUCAAAAAUCGGGAUGUCAUGUUCCGAUACAGACCAUAAAGCAUAAACGAUAACAUUACAAGUCAUUCAACAAAUAUAUACAUAUACAGACUUGUAAACAAAACAACUUGAUGAUUCAUCCAUCUUAUGCCCUUGCGCCACUUCCUGUAAUACAAAUAAACUGAGUGGGUCAGGCUUGGGAGCCUGGUGAGCAUAUAGGGUUUUCAACCCACAAUAAAUAAUUAUAUUUAAUUCAACAAUCAACAAUAACCCGAUUACCCAUUCCCGUUUUCCUCACUUUACGUCCCUAAAACAACAUCUAUUAUAAGGGACCUAAUCUAGGAUUUUCAUCAGGACGGACAUUACUGCAAAGGGGCUUCCUUAGCAAUAAAUAUCCUAAAGGCAACCAUGAGGGGGAUAGAGUACACCGGUGAACACGUCGUUCACAACACCUACAGGUUAUGAGCCUGCUAGUGUUCCAUAGGACUGUCUAAAAUAGUCCGUGGUCGUCAUCCAUACUCUGUUGAAUGACUAGAAUAACACCAACAUCAAGGCCUCUCAUCUGUUUAUUACACACCAAUUAUCUACCCAUGUUCUACCCAACAUAUUAGUAGAUAAAAAUAUACAUUUUUAUACAAAGUUUAAAACCUGUAUAGCAUGCUCGAUCAAUACAUUUUUCCACAUAACAGAUGAGGUACACACACAUAACACGUAUUUCAUAGAGAAUAAAUCAGAUCUAUGAGAUAGAAGAAAGUGAAUAUACAUCCACACAUAUAGUCAACAAAGUAUACACGUAACACGUAUUUCGUAUAAAAUACUUCAUAAUAAUGUGUUAGAAGAAAAUGACUACACACUCACUUGAUCAGAAGAUGAUCGGGCAACACUACGACUUGUAGAAGUAGUGUUUCUCCGUAGAUCUGGAAGAUCUUCACAUAAACCGGGCUCCUCGCGGGCAGGUCUUCGGCUCUGAAAUCUCACUUCUCGGGAUUCUCGGGACUUCGGAUCUUGCUUCGGGGCUCGGGAAUAAUACCGGGACUUCGGGGUAUGAUUGGCACGCAAAUCGAGGCAAAAACUAGAGAGAAGAAAGAGUUUGAACAAGAGAAAAUGGUUGAUCUCGCAUUCUAUUUAUUGGCUGUUGGGUCUGGGAUUACGUUGGGCGUAAUUUCCAGGUACGCUGGGCGUACUCAAUACACUGGGCGUAAUUAGGUUACGUUGGGCGUACUUUGACGUCACUGCGUGCGUCAAUUGGUGGCACUCGAGUAUUGGUCAGACAAGUUGCACCCCUCUGAGUAUGCUGGACGUAAUUUGACUCAUCAAACUUCUAAAUUGCGUAACUUUCGCAUACGAGCUCUGUUUUCGACGUUCUUUAUAUCCACGCGUAGGUCAGACCAUACUCUACAACUUUCAUUUAGACUCCAUCGGCUAAUUUUGACUUUUAUUUUUAUUAUUUAUUUUUAGUAGGCCGGGACAGGAAAACUUCGUUAUAAAUUCAUAACUUCUUUGUCCGACGUCCGUUCUCGCCUAACUUUUUAUCGUUUCGCUACUAACAACGAGAUCUUCAAUUCUCAUUUAGAUUGUUUCGGCUAAAAACCGCUCGAUCUCAAAUCGAGUAUUUGGGCUGCAUACUGCCAAGUCGAAACUUCAGAAAAUCAUAACUUCCUCAUACGAAGUCAAAUUUGGGCGUUCUAUAUAUAUUCUGAAACCUCGUUUCAACUACUACAACAUUAUCCAAAGAUAUCGAGUUUAUUUUACACUUCAUUUUGAUGCUUAUUUUUAUUCUUAAUUCAAUUAAAUUAUAAUUAAGAAAACACACACAUAAUUCACAUAAUUCACAAAUAAUACAUUUUUAUUAUUUCAGAUUGCAUUACAAAGGUUAACCUAGACUAUUACAUUGCUAAAAAUGGCAAGCCCAGAAACACAGACGUUACACCUAGUAUAUGAAAAGCACACAAGCCAUGAUGAGCAUGUGGAAAAACAUUUUCAAUACUAACGCGAAUUGUAUCGGCCCUAUCAGUUACAAAAGUCAAUUCUUGACAAUCACUAACACAUUCAUACAACUUUUCAAGAAACCAUGUCCACGUAAGACCACUUUUUUUUUUCAUAUUCCGUGCGUAAGGGGCAGUAUCUGGUUGUUCCCAUCCAUAGCUACUCCAUGCAAUAUGGUUCCCUUAAAAGCACCCUUCAAAUGGGCACCAUCCAUAAUUAUAACUUUACGACAAAAACUUUUGAACGCUCGUAUCUGCAAUAUAUAAAAAUGGAACACAUAAACACUCUAUAAUUUGUUUACAAAAAUUAUAUAUUAAAUAACAACAAGUUUUUUGUAUUUACCGUGCUCCCAAUGGCAUAAAAACAACACUCGAAACAAUCUUCAGAAUCUGUUUGAAUAUACGCAACUGUACCGGGAUUAUGCCUCUUCAAAUUGUGAAAAUAAAUAGGAAGUUUGGCAAAACAUUCUUCAGAGGAUCCCAACAACAGUUUCAUAGCAUAUUGUUUUGCACGCCAAGCUUGUUUGUAAUCUACGUUGAUUUCCAGCAAAGCAUUCAAAUCCCUUGAUAUUUCAUUAGGCCUCCAAACCUUGGAACGAGUUUUUCCCAUAAUCUCAUGCAAUAUAGUACCCAUGACUUUUUUAUUAGCAUGCUUAUGAUUAGGGUGUAUCUGUAAUGACGAACAUGUGUACACGUUGUUGAAAGUCCUGAUUUCAAAUUCAUCAGUGAGAUCAAGGCGUUUUGCAUACAAACGCCAACUACAGUUCUCAAUUUCACAAUAUACCUCAUAACGAUUUUUGUUAGAAUGUUUGGUCUUAAACUGAAACUUUUCUCUUGUUGCUUUAAGAAUCAAUGCAAAAAUUAGUUGUUGUUUGUUGUCAUAUGUUUGACGAACAAACAUAUCAUCAUUUGGACCUAAACUGUGAAAUGGUCCGGGUUCAACAAUAGGAUCAGGACAAUCAGGUAUGGGAGACAUACCGUAAAAAAUGUCUGAAGCUUUUUUCCCGUAUGUGAACUCAUCUUCUGACCAUCCUUCAUUUGACUCUUCACUGUCUGAGAAAGUUUUGUUAGUCAAUCUUCUAAACCCAUAUAAAUUUUUUUCUUCAACCGUAUUCAGUGCCACCGUUUCUUCUUCUGGACAAUCUUCAACAUUAUCAGAUACAAUGUUAUCAACAUUGUAUGGUACAACUUUCUCAGCUGCUUCUGUCUGUUCGACCAAUCCCUGAAACACCUCUAAAUACAAAUGCACAAUCUCCUUCGUUUCAGAAAUUACAUUUCUGAGUUGAUUAACAUCUGCUUCAUCUAAAAUAUUCAUCACAUACCCAUGAACCGGGUGUUGAAAUGACAAUGAUAUAUUACUAUUGAACACCUUAGCCUUACUUUUGACCAAAUCAAACAAUAUUCGAAAAUCAAAAUUAGGCGGAGGCAGUAAACCCAAGUUGUUUAACUUUGGUCUAACGUAGGUGUUAAUCGCAUUACUUAUCUGCAAAAAACCUCCAGUACAUAAAAUAACAAAACUCAUAUUUGGUUUUGAAAAUCAAAUGAAAACGAACUGAUCUAUCGACCAAAAUAAAACAAACAUAUGAAAAAGAAACUUUUGUAUCAAAAAACUCUUCAAAAUCCGCUCCAACCACCCAUUCCACGGAGGCAUUACUCUCUCCGCAGAGACCCAUUCCGCGGAGCAUGAUUAAAAAGGCUAACAACCUAUUGUUCGACCACUUCGCAGAGAUGACUUCAUUCCGCGGAGGUCCGCGGAGGGUCCUCCGCGGAAUGCAUGUCUAUAGCUGGAAUUUUUUUUUUGUGUCUAAAUUUUUAAAUUUCCCCCUUUUUUCGUCUAUAGCCUAUAUUUUCUCUAAAUGAUUUACAUAUUGAAAGUUCAGAAACAAGUUAAAACUUAAACCCUAAAAGAGCGUACAAAUUUCAAUCGUCAACAUACCCCACCACAAAGGCACAAAUAAUCAAAGAAACAAAUGUAGAUGUAGAGGCCUUUUUCACCACAAUCACCCUUCAUCGGCCAUUUCGAAGGCCACGUGAAAUGUCACUAACGUGGCCCUAUAAAUAUCCACUACUUUGUCUUUAACCUUUCCCCCCUCUCAUAUAAAACCCUCCAUCCUCCUCCUUUACCACCAUCACCAACUACCUUCUCUCCUCCAUCAAAAGUAUCCCCAUCUUUUCCGACAUGGCUGCUUCUUCAAUCUUCAUGGCAACUCCCAUCACACUCCUCAAGAAAACUCCCACCUUCUCCGUCAAAUGUAUGUCACAAACACCUCAAAGCGGUGAACCGGGGGUUUCAAAACCAGCAACCACCCCAACACCACCACAGAUCAACAUUCCUCCUCCUCCGCCACCUGCUCCAAAGGUCAGCACGAAGUUCUCUGACGUGUUGGCGUUUAGUGGACCUGCACCGGAGAGGAUCAACGGAAGGUUAGCCAUGAUAGGGUUUGUGUCGGCGAUGGCUGUGGAACUGAGCAGCGGUCAAGACGUGUUCACCCAGAUCGGCAACGGCGGUGUUGCGGUGUUUGUCGGGACAAGUGUGGUGUUGACGUUGGCGUCGUUGGUGCCGUUGUUUAAAGGAGUGAGCGUGCAGUCGAAGUCGAGUGGACUGAUGACAUCAGAUGCAGAGCUUUGGAAUGGGCGGGUUGCGAUGUUGGGUCUGGUGGCUUUGGCUUUUACUGAAUAUGUUAAAGGCAGUGCCCUUGUCUAGAUAAUGUAUCAUAAACUUUUCUAUUACAGAAUUACAUCUAAGAUAGACAAAUGUAUAUUGUUUUGAAUAUUUAUGUUUAUCGAUUUACCAUACAUAGUUCAAAUCAUAAAAAGCAUGUUUUUUGAUAAUAUAGUAUAAAACAAAUAUAAUAUCAAUCAAAUUGAACGAUGUUGUGGUAUCUUUCAAUAUAAAAUUCUCUUUAUAAAAAUAAACAAACAACGUACUAAGAUAAAUUUUAGAGGAAUGAACUUAGAUUAGCAAUAUAAGAGUCAAAGUCUACAAAUUAAGGUAUUGAAAUCCUAGUUUCACAACUUCCUCUUUGAAUGUUGAACUGAGGUGAUCUUCAUUAAUUCAGACUGAAUAAGUGACUUAGUCCAGCCUAGUCAAUUAGCUAAUUUAAGAUGACAAGUAUCCAAAAUUCAAAAACAUUAUAGAGCUCAAUUUCAAACAAAAGUGACAAAUGACUAAUGCUCACAAAACGAUCACCGAAUCAUUCAAAGCAUUUACUAAAAGCCAGUCUAAUUCUUAUUGGUUUGAAAUCUAAUUUUAUCAUCAACUGUAUACAAGAUUGAGAUUGAUAUCAGAGUAAUAAUCUCUAAAAGCAAAAUAAUGUAUUCAAAAGAAUAUAUAUACAAAAUGAAUUAUGUCCCAAGCAGUACUGUGCAUGAGUAUAAGAUUACUAUUAUGUUGGGAUCCAUUAAUUGAUAACUAAGCACACUUCCAAAUUUACUAUAUGGAAUUUAGUUAAGGAUUAAUGUCAAGUGGGGUGCAUCCACCCCACUCAAAGGCCUUGUAUAUGUUACGGUCCCAAGUGAUAUUUUAUAAGGGUCUUUUUGUAGUUUUUCUUUUCCUAAUAUAUUAACAUUUUUUUUUGAUAUUUUUGGAACUUUUUAUUUUCUGAGAAAAGUAUACAAAAUAAUGUAUAUACAAGCUUACUUGAAGAUAUGAUCGUUUAUGAGGUUAUUCAAGACUUAUUCUCUUGAAGUAUCUAUUCCUAGCUAGAUAUGAACAAAUGUGUUUGCAUUUAUCCUUUUUUGCCCUUUGUCAAUUCUUGACUAAUAAGGUAAUGGUAGUUCUUGGUGAGGGAUUCACCUCUGUAUUGAUUCUUCAUUCUAUUUAAAUGUUUGGAUUCACCUCUGUAUUGAUUCUUCAUUCUAUUUAAAUGUUUGGAUUCACCUCUGUAUUGAUUCUUCAUUCUAUUUAAAUGUUUGGAUUCACCUCUGUAUUGAUUCUUCAUUCUAUUUAAAUGUUUGGAUUCAACAAUGUCUAGUUGAGUAGUUCUUUAAAAGCACAUUCUACCAUAUGCAUCUUUAUGUCAAUAUUAAUUGGGGAUUCCAUAAACUGAAACUCUUGGAGCUCAAUAGUGUAGUUGAAAAACUUUUGUUGAGCCCACCACUUACAUGAAAUAGGAGACUUUUUUCAAUAAACUAAGUGGUUCCUUCUUUAUGGAUCAUCUUUUCGUUUCUCCUUUUGAAAGGUCCCCUGGUGAUACUUUUAUGUGUUAAUGAAACUCAGUCCUUAUGGCAUGCUUUUUGGAUAUGAUAGUACGUGACUAUCAAGAGCUUAUUUCUACUCAGUAUAGUCAUACUCUCAUAAGUCUCUCAAGAUUUUACACUCAGAAGCAUCGUUAGAUUGUAUGGCUACCUACCUUGUACUAUAAGCAUGUUUAUUAACAUUUAGGGAUUUAUUUAGAAGGAUAUCAUUUUUCAUAUUUUUUGUCUAACACCAGAUCUUUUUUCUCAGCUCAAUUGUUUCAAGUAAAACUAAGUGUCUUCUUGAUUCGACAACAAACCAUUGGUCAUCUUUCCGAUUUCAAGUAUUUUGCAUAUCCUCUCAAAACUUCUUUAUUUUUUAACACAAAUUCAAAAACUAUUAGGUAUCGGGAUUUUAAGGCUUCUUUAUUUUCACCCUCAAUUAGAUUCAUAUUUUUCAUUGCCUUGCAGAUUUCCUUUUUAGUUUGAGUCUAUUUAUCACGAGCCUGAAGUCAUUUUCUUCCCCUACCCUUGUUAGUUUUGGCUAUUGCUAGUGCACGUACUUCAUUGGCUAAAUGAGAAGACACCUCGAUAAUGGUGGAUGACUUGGUGAAAUUUAUAGGUUGUUCCUUAGGCUAUCCAAAGUGGAGGUAGAAGAAGACGCAUGAUGCUGAAUGGACAUCCAAGUCAUGCGUGAACACUGCCCGAUGGCUUGGCUAUGGAGUCUCCAUGAAGACGAUGCAUUCGAUUGGUUUAGAAUCUGGUCCCUCAUAUUUUCUCUCCUCCUUUUUGUCCCUUCACUACCAACCCACCGGUAAACACCAUUUCCACAACCUAAUGGGUUGAUUGUGGAAUGGUAAACUACCUAUGUGGCGCUGAGUUAGAAGGUGUUUUGGAUAUAACCACUCCCCACAACCUUAGCAUUAGAACAUCCUGAUGCUCCACAUGAACUAAGAACAUCACUUAAUCUUCAUUAAAUACUUUGGGGUUGUACUCAUAAAGUAAAAUAUCUCCCCCCUUAGACAUAUCAUCAUUUUCCUCAUCUGAUGACCAAGGAAUUUGUGGAGAUAUAUGUGACUUUGGAUUAAAGGGGGUUAUAUUGGUCAUCCUUUUUAGACAACUUUUUAAAUUAAUCAAUCCAAGCUCCUAUACCGACGACAUUUUCUGGAAUCUCUUUAGAUGGGGAUGAUGGUUCAUUAAGCGACGACAUUUUCUAACCGUGUACCGACGACAAGUCGUCACAGACAAGUCAGGAUAGGUCAAAAAAGUCGUCGGCAUAGGUGUCGUCGGGAUAGGUACCCCAUAUACCGACGACAUGACGUUGGUACAAGUACCGUCUGGAAUGAUUUUCGAGAAAAAAAAUAAAGUUUUAUUAAUUACUUGUGGCGACGACAUGUCGUCGGGACAGGUGCCACCUAUAGCGACGCCAUUUUGUCGCCACAUGUUUUCCACAAAUAUCAAUCAAAUACCUAUAGUGGCGACUAGUCGUUAGGAUAGCCACUGGGUGUUUUUUUUUUUUUUUUUUUUUUUUUUUUUUUUUUUUUUAGUUUUUACAGAUUUUGUACAUUUACCAUUCGUGCAUUUUUAACAAAUCCAAACAUUUUGCAGCAUAUAUCAAAUAAGAUACAAUAACUGGGUACCAUUGUUUAAAUUCAAAACAUCAAAUUCAAGUUUAAUAUUACAUACCGAAUUAGAUAAAAUAAGUAGUUAACAUUGUUCAAAAUAACACAAAACAUAAACAUCAUUAUAUUCUUUUUUUUUUCUUCUUCUUCUUCUUCCAUCCUCUCGGGUUCACAUUUUGUUGAGAGGUAUUUCCUUGUGAUGUACUUCCUUCUGUGUUGGAAUUGAAUAGAAAACUAGCAAACGGUGGUGGUUGUGUAACAUCCCAAAAAUUUUAACAAAUAUGAACUUUUCAAAACAACCCAUUUAUUAACAAAAGUGUUUACAAAAACAUGAUUUAAAAUUAGAGUCUCCCAAGAUCCACUUUGUUCUAAAACCGAGGAUGCGUACGGUCACGCCUUUGCCUUGCCAUGAAUCAUUUGAAGAAACUGAAACCAUAAACAAAUCGUAAGCAAGAAUCUUAGUGAGUUCCUCCAAAAUACCACCGCACAAACAGAUAGCACAUAAAUAACGACAACAUGUACUAGGUCCACAACUAAAAGACUGGAUUACCCCUGAGCCUAUAAUAUGAAUCUGGCUUGCCUAUUGGGCCCACAACUCAUAUCUGGUUUGCUCUUGAGCCCACAACAUAAGUCAGACUUGCCCCUGGGGCUCACAACUUAUGUCAGGCUUGCUCCCAACUCAAUCAGUCAUCGGACUAGAAUACCAAUGUUCAGCCCUGUGACAACCUGAAAUUUCCAUUCUGAACAAACCAUAUCAAUCCAAUAGAAGUUAGAACAGUUACAAUGAAAUUCCAGACUUUGGGCAUAAGUUUGACAGUUUUUCAGGAUUUACACUUAAGGAGAUAUCAGGAGAGUGGAUGCACUAGGGUUUUGUGCAACACUGUUAUUCCAAAACUCUAGGAUAUUAGGGUUCAAUUCCGGAAUAAAAAUAUUUUCUGCCAAAAAUCUCAGGACUAUAUAUAGAAAUCUGAGCCAUAUUCAUUCAUUAGUUACAUUUCCAACUAGAGAAAAGCCAAAUUCUCUCUCACGGAUCUUCAGGUUUUUAUCCCAAAUCGUGAGUACUUCUAUCUAGUUGUAUUAUAUAGCUUAGAUUGUUUUUUAUAACAUCAAAAUCGGAUCAAAACCCCAAGAUUUGGGAGUUUACCGCCCAAGAACACUUGGAGAGUAAACUCCUUUUUAAGGGCCAAAAGUGUGCCCAAUGUCCCUCAAAGCCUUGGGAAUGAACCUAGAAGCUACCAUUACAUGUUUAAGACCACAAAACAAUUAAGAAUCAUGGCUAGAAGUGAGUUCACGGCCAAGGAAGUUCUUCGUCCGUGAACUCCAUUUUUAUGUGCCAAAAUGCCCUAAAAGCCUUCCUUAAGCCAAGAGACUAAUUUAGACAUGUACCUAGAUGAGUUUAGGACUAGCAAACACCUUUAGAACACCAAGAGUAAGGUGUUCACGGCCCAAGAAGUUCUAGGGUCGUGAACUCCAAACAAUGGUGCCAAAUGGUGCUAUAAACUCUCCUAAAGCCUUGGACAAUUUCCUUGCUUCAUUCUUAGAUAAAUUAGGGACUUGAAAACACCACAAACACCCUCCUAAGGGAGAUUACGGCCGUAAUCUCCAUGGGAUAUGGUCCAUGGCGCGUGAACUCCUCAAAGGAGUUAAAAGGAAGCCCAAACACUUGUUUAAGCCUAGAAGCACUUCACCACUUAAGUUGUAAUAAUGUUAGGCUUCAUUUAGUGACCCUAUAGAGAGUUUACGGCCAAGAGUUUACUCCCCUAGGCCGUAAACUCCAACACAUAUGGUCUUUUGACCAUAAACUCCCAUAAGAGGUCUUGCACUCCUUUGUUGCAACCCAUUAGCCUCCUAGCACUUGACCAAAGUGUUUUCCUCACAUUAGGAUGUUUAUACAUGUUUAAUUAGUGUUAUAAUCACUAAUUGUUUAUAUACAUAUGUCUUCAUAUGUAAUUAGGACCAUUGUGUGUGUCUAAAGUCUUCACUUGACACCUAGCAGUCCUACCUCUUCAGUUCAUCCGUAUCACCCACAACAGGUGAGUUUAUACCUNGGGGAUACAAGUAGAAUUAUGCUAAUUAUUAUAUCAAUCACAGGUGAUUAAUAAGCAGCAUUCAAAUGAUUAGCUACUCAUUAGCCGUUUUACCAAACCGUUUCCUUCAAAUGUUUUUCAUAAACACCUUAUGUGUUUAAAACUCCUUAUUACACUGUACCUUUUAUUCUGUAUGUUUCAAUUCAAACUUAUUUACAAUUGUGUUUCAAACAAAUGUUUCUUUAUACUAAACUAUUUUGUCAAACCCAUGCCUUCAAAACCGUUUUAUAGAUUGACAUCAAGUCGAUCUUUUCUUAGAUAAUAAUUAUGUUCAAAGGUUUUACAAAACUUAUUUUAUGUUUUUAUAUUAUAAAUUGGAUGCCUAUAUAUGCAUAGUUAUAUAAUAAAUGUUGAAAGGACUUAGGAAGGCUAUCCACCCUAUUUCCUUUUCCUCGAUUUGGAUGUGGUCUGGUGGGAUAUCAGGUACCCGUCCGAAGGUUGUUUAAAUAUUAAUUAUAUAUCAUGUGUACGUAUAUAGUCAUAAAAGUCCUUCCAGCUCAGCCAAUGCCCUUGGGUAGCAAGGGUAUAUUUAACAUCCCCCUCUUGCACGUAUCACAAUAUUAUCCGCUUUGGGCCACUCGGCACGAGGACUUCCCAGGGGGUCACCCGUCCUGGUACUACUCCCGCCCGAGCACGCUUAACUACAGAGUUCUUAUGGGAUUUGCUGCCCUCACGGCUUUAAAACGCGUUGUGCUAGGGAAUGUAUCCACACCCCUUAUAAGGAAUGCUUAGAUCUCCUUCCCAGCCGAUGUGGGAUCAGAUCUAACCCACUUUCACCCCCCAUUAUAGGGUUCGACGUCCCCGUCGAACACAUCGACCCAUGCCCUGGCUCUGAUACCAAUUGUGACAUCCCCUAAUUUCUCGGCCAGAAAAUACCGAUUUAAUUUAUGCUUUUUAAAAUAAAAUCAGAGAAAUCUUUUUAAAAGAUGUUGCGGAAUUGGUCCCCAAACAACAUAUGAUAAAAGUUUAUCAAAAUCCUUCAUUAAGAAGGUAUAUAUUUUCCAUAUAUAUCAAAACCUCGGGAUUUCAUGUUCCGAUACAGAUCAAAAGCAUAAACAAGACAUUAUAAGCCUUUCAACAGUUAUUUACAACUACUGGCCUAUAAUCCAAAAAUUCUCUCGUCGUCCUCCGACUAUGCUCAGGGUCCACUACCUGUAAUCAUAAAAACUGAGUGGGUCAGGCUUGGGAGUCUGGUGAGCAUAUAGGGGUUUCAACCCACAAUAAUAAUAUACUUAUUAAGUUCACCAAUCAACAAUAACCCUGAUUACCCAUUCCCGUUGUCCUCACUUUACGUCCCUAAACACCUAUCACAAGGGACCUAGCCUAAGGAUUAUCAUCGGGAUGGACACUACUGCUAAGGGGUUUCCUCAGCCAUACAUGUCCUUAAGGCAACCAUGAGGGGGAUGAAGUACGCCAAUGAACAUUUAAUUCAUCAACACCUACAAGUUGCGAACCUGCUAGUGUUCGACUGGACUAUCUAGAAAGUCUGUGGUCGUCAUCUAUACUCCGCUAGAUGACUACAACAACAACAACAACAACAUCGAGGCCUCUCACCUUUUUAACACACAUCAACUAUUUCAUCUACCCAUGUUCUACCCAACAUAUUUUGUAGAUAAAAAGAAUAUACAGUUUGAAACUUGUAUAAAACAUCAAAUCAAUAGUCACCUUAGUUAAACAAUUACUAUAUUUACACAUAACACGUAUUUCAAGGUAAAUACUUCAUAUCUAUGUGUAAAUUGAAAGUAACUACACACUCACAUAUUUUGAUGAACAUCGGGCAACAAUUCAUUUCCUAAAACGAUCGUUUCUAAUAAAACCGGGAGUUUUAUUGAGAAACUGGGCUCUGCAAAAGUCGGGGUUUGAAACCGAAAAGAUAAAUUUUCCGGGCUUCACGGGCACUUCGUGGAGUAUUCCGGGCUUUACAAUCGAUACCGGGGCUUUGCGGGAUGUUAAGAUGAAGAAAAUAUGGGUUUAGGGGUUAAAUAUGGCAAAAUUUCAAAGUUACCUGGGAGGUCUCGCACCCUUCUAUUUAUAGGGGCGAGGCUUCUGAUCCAACGGAUAGAAAGAGGACACGCGUCGCAGAUCCGAAGGCUCGCAGGGAAGCCUCGCACGUGGCUGCGCAUGGCUCGCACCUGUGAGGGGCUCGCUGGCAGCUUGUGAUUGGACCGAGGUCUAGGGUCCGAAGUAGAGGGUUCGUGGCAUGUUGCGAGGGCUCGGUCUCGUGCAUGAGGGUACGUGUCACCUUCUCAGUGGACCACUUCGGAUAAGGCCAUGUGCUCGGAUGACUCAGCAGCUCGGGUGACUCAACAGCUCGGAUGACUCAGCAGGACACAUGGCACUUUUUCAGCGAGGGUGACGUGGCAACUCGUGACUAUGCGAAUUUUCUCGAUUUUCGCGCCAAAACUUCUAAAAUCCAUAACUUUCGCAUACGAGCUCCGUUUUUGACGUUCUUUAUAUGCACGCGUAGCUAAAAUUACGCUCUACAACUUCCGUUUAGACUUCGUCGGCUAAUUUUGAAUUUAAAUUUUAUAUUAUUAUUUUUAACAGACCGGGACAGGAAAUCCGUUAAAAAUUCAUAACUUCUUCAUCCGACGUCCGUUUUCAUCAGAAUUUUUACCGUUGUGCUCCUAAUGACGAGACCUUCAAUUCUCGUUUAGGUUGUGUCGGCUAAAAAUCGCUCGAUCUAAAAUUCGAGUUUUUUAGCUGUCUACUGCUAAGCUGAAACUUCGAAAAAUCAUAACUUCCUCAUACGAAGUCAGAUUUGGGCGUUCCUUUUAUCGAACUUCUCAGUUUAACGACUACUACGACUUUCAUUUAGAUUACUAAGGCUAAAAAGUAGUUUAUCGAAAACUCACUUUUUACAACAUUCAGCACCGUGCCGGUUUUGUCGCGAAACUUCGACAUGUCAUAACUUCUUCGUUAUAACUCGGAUUUUGGUAUUCUUUAUAUCCCCGAAAUCCUUGUUUCGACCACUACAAAUUUAUGUAAAGAUAUCGGGCUUAUCUCCCACUUUAAUUUUGACGCUUAUUUUUAUUCUUAACUAAUUAAGCCCUAAUAAUUAAGCAUAAAACACAUAAUUCAUAUAAUAUUCACAUAAUUCCUUUUCAUUUCUUCAAAAUGAGUUACAAAGGUUAACCUAGACUAUCAACUCAAUAUAAAUGCCUAGGAUAGAAACAUGAGUGUUACAAAUUGUAUCAAGACAUGUUAUAUGGACGUGUUGAACUUCCGUGUCCAUUUCUCCUUCUGCUGUUUGUUCUUCUAAAGAAUGAGGAAAGAUAUCCAAGUCUAGCAUAUGCAGAGAACUAGCAACAAGUAGAUCUAAGUCGUCCAAGUUGUUGGCAAUUUCGACUGGACUCGUCGGGUCUAGGAAAGUGACUCGGUGAGUCAGAUCAUAUUUCACCAUUUCCACUGUGUUUUCCGAGUCGGCUCCUUCCAGUAGCUUUUCUAUCUCCUCCAAGUCCUUGUUAACAUCUCCAUCCUCUCCAGAAGGUAGCAAAAGCUUGCUUGGAUCUUCUUCUUGCAAAAGUGCAAGUUCUUUUUGUAGUAUCUCAUCAUCCAAAUCGAUAAAUGAGAUAUCUUCUUUUCCUUCCUCUUCUUGCUUGGCUUCUGGUAAAGCUCUAAAUAUUGCUGACUCGUCUCCUACCCUUAAUGUUAGUGUAGACUCGCAUACAUCAAUUAAAGCACAUGCGGUGUUUAAAAAUGACCUCCCCAAAAUAAUCGGAAUUUCGGGGUCUUCUUCCAUAUCAAGCACCACAAAGUCUACUGGAAAUAUGAACUUGUCGAUUUUAAUAAGAAGAUCCUCACAAACGCCUCUUGGAUGAAUUGUUGUCUUGUCUGCCAAAUGGAUCUUCAUGUUUACCGGCCUUGGCUCCGAUAAAUUCAGUUUCUUGAAGAAAGAGAAAGACAUUAGGUUAAUGCUUGCACCUGAGUCGGUCAACGCUUGAGUGACAAAUGCAUUUCCAAAUUGGCACGGAAUUAUGAUACUCCCCGGAUCGCCCUUCUUUUCGAGUAACUCACUCAAUAUUAUUUCCGUGACUUCAGCCAAAUAUUUCCUAGCAGCAAAGAGACCCUUUAGUAAGUUGAAGUACUUGGGUGUUUUAAGCAUCGUUUCUACAAAUGGCACAUUGACUUGUAGGGAUUUAACAUGCUCCAUAAAAGCUCAAUAAGCUUCAACUUUUUCAACUGGCAUGGCUUUGAUUGGGAAUGGCAAAGGGGGAUUAUAUGGCUUUAAGGGAAUGACGGUUUUGUCAUUAACGCAUGGACUCGUCGAGUCCAUUAGAGGGACUCGGCGAGUCUUGUCGGGCUUAGCUGGAGCCGACUCUUCUGCCUUUUCUGUCUUCCUAUUGGAGAUCCUCUGUGCAUGUGUGAAAAUUUCUUCAUUGCUGGAAGUUACUGCACUCACAUUCUCCAUUCUCGGAUUGUUUUCGGUGUUACUUGGAAGUUGACCCGGUCUUCUUUCGUUCACUUGAUGUGAAAGUUGUCCCAGCUGUUUCUCAAUGUUGAGAAUGGAUGCCUGCUCAUUCCUUAGCAUAUUUCUGGUCUCGUGUAUUGCAGCAUCGUGAUCAUUGUGUCUCUUUUCGGACACGGCUAUGAAUCUAGUGAACAAUUCUUCUAAAUCGGCUUUCUUUUCCAUUACCGGUUCUUCCUUUUGAUAAAAUACCCUCUCCUUCUGCUUGUAUUUCUCCUCCUUAUCCUUCUUGUAUUCUUCGUAUGGGAGCCAUUCCUUCUUCGGUUUCCCCCAAUUCUCGUCGUAUCUAUCGCCACUUGAGUAGAACACUUGAGCCUUCUUGUUUCCAUUUUCAUCCAAAUCACAAUCCUUUGUGAGAUGGGGCCCUCUACAAUUCUCACAUCCAACAUGAAUAGCAUGGAUUGUUUGAUCCAUUUUUGUCAUCCUUCUAUCUAGACUAUCGAGCUUAGCUAUCAUCGCCGCCAUGCUAUCAUUUGCCGAGUUCACUACCCCCCGACUUACUUCAUUUAUUGGAUUGUGGUAUUCUCUAGAAUGCUUAGAGAAUUCUUCAAUUAACUCCUUGAUUACCGGGGGCGCCUUCUUCGUGAGCGGGCCUUGUGAAUCGAGCAAUUGCCUUGUGGUGACAUUGACUCCAUCAUAGAAAAUGGAGACCUCUUGUUGGAUAUUGAGGUCAUGGUGUGGGCAAUUUCUAAGCAAGCUCUUGUACCUUUCCCAAGCUUCAUAAAGAGAUUCUCCGGGUUGUUGCUCGAAGUUGGCAAUGGCUUUCUUUAGUUUAGCUAUUUUGGAGGGCGGGCAAAAGUGGUCUAUGAACUCUUCUUUCAUCUUGGCCCAUGUGGUGACCGAUCCGGGAGGAAGUGACUUGAGCCAAUCCUUUGCAUCACCCUUGAACGUGACUGGAAGCAUGCGAAGUAGUUGGGUCUCGCGAGGCAUAUUUGGUACAUUGAAGUAGUCAGCCACAUCAUUUACUUCAUCCAAGUGCUUGUAGGCGUCUUCGUGGUCCUUCCCAUAAAAAGGAAUCUCCUUGAGUUGAGCGAGAAUAUGGCCUUUUAGUUCGAACGUAGUGGUUGCGGGAAUUGCGGGUUGCACAAGUCCCGAGCCGGUGUCAUCGCGCAUCCUUUUCUUCCAUUACCCCAUGGGGACUUCAUCGAUAUUAGCCAUAGCGAUAGCUAAAUCGUCUUCAAACUCGGAUUCUUGCUCGUAUGUGGGUUCUUCUUCUUCCUCGGUCUCGUACUCGAUGUCUUCUUGAAUUGGGUCUCUGAUUGUCAAAGAGGCACUGGAUGCUCCUGAUUUGCUGCUCCUUGUCUUGCUGAAAACGGACUUGAGGUUUUUGAGUGGUAAGUUCUUUGAAGAAGCGGAUUCUCCAACGGUUUUGCCUUUGCUCCUCCUUAGUGCGGAUUCCGGGUCUUCAAGAGGAGGGACCAGAGGUGUAUCAGAUCCUCAGGUCAUGAAACAACUGUAAACAAAACAAAAAACGCGUAAAAAGAACAAAAAAUAAAUAAAAAUUAAAACUGUGAAUCAGCGAUGUACUCGCCGAGUCGGCACGAGUGCACUAGGCGAGUCUGGUCAAAACAUAGAAAAAUUUUUCUAGUUACUUUAAAAACGGAUUUUUAUUAAAACUUAUACUACUUACUAAAUUACCUUUUAAAUAACUUUGUGUAAGAUAAAUCCCACACAAAUGAUCGAUUAAAUUAGAAUUUAACGUUAAUUUUAGAACCGUUCCCCAGCAACGGCGCCAAAAACUUGAUGUGUGCAAACUCACUUAGUUUUAAACCUACUUUUAAUUUUAAAAUAAACACACAAAGGCAGUGGACCUAUCAAUUGUGGUAUAGUUAAAUAAGUAGGGUAUCGAACACAGGGAACGGCAAAUUAAAACUAAAAACUAAUUCUAUCUAAAUUAAUUAAUAAGUAGGAGGUUUUCUCUAGUUUUUCAAGACUAGAAACUUACUAACUAUUACUUAUUCUAAAACUUAGAAAAACAAAGAAUUAACUAGAUUCAAUAAUGGGAAGGAACUUCUGUUUAGUUCAACUCAAUUGAUCCUAUGGUUGAUAUCAAGGUAAUGGUGCAAUGGAUUAACUCUUUUGUUGGUUACCGAUUCAAGUGAUUAGAUUUGCGUUCACUACACUAAUCCUUAGCAAAUAAACUAACUUAAACAGUGGCCAGUUGUCUAAUUUAAUUAAAUUCACUAGAUUAAUUAUUCGGGUUAAUUUAGACUUGCAAUAGUUAACUAAUUUGGUCCUUUAAUUAACUUNUUUGUUGAUGGUCAUCACAAGCUCACACAUGAAUUUACUCAAUUUUCUUAUUAAUUCUAGUUUCAUGUUCAUUAAUCCUAGACAUAUGACAAAGUGGUCACAUAGCAUAUGAGGUUGAUAAUCAAUAGAUGUUCAUGCUAUUCAAUUACCUUCCUAUUAAUAGAAAAUUAAUUAUCAUUCACACACAAGGUUCUUUAGCAAGCUAAAAUAACAAAAAUCACUAACUUUAAAUUAAUCCUACCAAUAAUCAAACCAUAGUAUCAAUUUUGUAUCCCCAAACAGAAGUUUAAGAGUUUUAGCUCAUGAUUGAAGUAAAUUACAGCAAACAAACAGAUUUUAAUUGUUUAACCAUUAUGAAAAAUAAAAAAUUAAGUAGAAUGAUGAAAUUUGCCUCAAAUCUCCUUCGGAAUUGGAUUCUAGCUUGUAUCUUCGUCCUCUAGGUUUUUUCUGACUCUUCAAUCGCAGCUAACCUCUCCAGAAUCGUUCCAGAAUUCCUCCCCAUCGUUCUCAGAAGUUAUCUUUAUAUAUGCAAAACGACUCGUCGAGUCAGAUGCCGACUCGUCGAGCCCAUCUCUAAGUCCCCGUAUGCGAUAAGUCUCUAGGUCUCCGAGUCUUUAUCUUCUCGAAUAUUCGCUUGGGCUCGCCGAGUAGUUGACCCUACUCACCGAGUAUGUGUUGUUUUUAGUGUUUUUCUUCUUUGUUCGAUUCCCGAGCUCUCAACCGCUUCUCCUGCUUCCUUUUGCUUCCGAGCUUCACUUUUGGACUGAAAACAUAAUUCAAACACUUUUAAGUACCUUUUGUCCAUGAAAUGCAAUAAUUUAGCUAAUAAAUGAAUAAAAAUCUACACUUAAUAUGAACUAAAUAUGCACAUAUCACUUUCCUUAGAUUCAUAGUCUCUCCAACCAAAAUUCCUAGAUAAUUGAAUGGGAUGGAUGAAGGUUCACAUCCAAGAGGAGCUGCCCAAUUUAUUACUUCCAUGUGGGUAGCUCCUAUCCCAUACACCUUCGAUUUCCUAAAGUUCACCUUUAGCCCCGAUGAUACACAGAAGCACCUUAAUAUCCGGGCCAAGUUUGCAAUAUUUCGCCUUGACCAUUAGCCUAUAAACAGUGUGUCAUCUGCAUAGAAUAAAUGAGACAAACAUUGAUUAGAUUGUGAAAAUUUGAUGCCUUCGAAGAUUCCUUUUUCCACAACUGUCUUCAUCGCCUGAUUUAAUCCUUCAAUCACAAUGAUAAAAAGAAAUGGGGAGAGUGGAUCUCCCUGUCUGACACCUUUUGACAUAGAGAACUCCUUGGUCGGACUGUCGUUGAUCGACUGGGAAGGAGAACUAAGCAUUCCUUAUAAGGGGUGUGGAUACCUUCCCUAUCACAACGCGUUUGAAAACCGUGAGGGAAGCAGAUCCCAUAGGAACUCUGCAGUUAAGCGUGCUUGGGCGCGAGUAGUACCAGGAUGGGUGACCCCCUGGGAAGUCCUCGUGCCGAGUGGCCCAAGACGAACAAUAUUGUGAUACGUGCCAGAGGGGAAUGUUACAAAUGGUAUCAGAGCCAGCGCACAGUUCGAUGUGUUCGACGAGGACGUCGAACCCUAUAAUGGGGGGUGAAAGUGGGUUAGAUUUGAUCCCACAUCGGCUGGGAAGGAGAACUAAGCAUUCCUUAUAAGGGGUGUGGAUACCUUCCCUAUCACAACGCGUUUUAAAGCCGUGAGGGCAGCAGAUCCCAUAAGAACUCUGCAGUUAAGCGUGCUCGGGCGGGAGUAGUACCAGGAUGGGUGACCCCCUGGGAAGUCCUCGUGCCGAGUGGCCCAAGGCGGAAAAUAUUGUGAUAUGUGCCAGAGGGGGAUGUUACAGUAUAUAGCCAUGUUCAUACGUACCAGUUAAAUUACUAGUAAGCUAUUGACUAUCCUACACCUUGCUGCUUGCUACAGCCGGACGUCAUUUCUUUCUACAUAUAGAUCAGUUAAGUCUUGGUAGAAGACUCCCUGUUAUAGUAGUAGGAAUCAUAGGGAUUUCUAGAGUUUUUCAAACGUUUACAGUUGUUUUACAUACAUUUUCAAUACUUACGAUUUACAUACAUUUUCAAUACUUACAAAUUCUUACAUACAAAUUCUUACAUACAAAUUAAGACACUAAAAUACUUAUGAUCUCACCAGCUUCAAAGUUGAUACUCGCUUUCAAAAUUACUUGUAUCCUCAGGUCAAACAUAGACAGGUACCGAUGCAAGGUUUAGAGAAGAUGGAGCUCGUUCAAGACUCAUCUUUCAUUUUGAUUUAUGCCUUAGUGUUUAUCAAAAUUUGACAGAACACAGUUGUAUAAUAAUUAUAUUAUUAAUGCAAUGGAUGAUGUUGCUGCUUGUUUACUACUUUUCAUUGUUGUGAUAUUGUACAUGACGUCCUCCGCCCCAGAACGUUUCCGCGGUUCUUGGUUUUGGGGUGUGACAAGCCCUCAGUAAGAGUCUAGCAUACCAACUGGUCCUCAGAUCAUAUCUGGAAUGCUACUAAUCCCCCAGUAUGAGUCUGGCAUGCCCCAUCCGAGACUCAACUCAUAUCUGGAUUUCUCCGAUACCCUCAACCCCUUAGUACGAGUCUGGCAUACCAAUCGGGUCCUCAGCUCGUAUCUUGAAUGCACCUGAGCCCUUAGUAUGCGUAUGGCAUGCCCUAAUCAGCUCUUAGCUCAUAUAUGGAAUGCUCCAGGGUUUGUUGGCUACAGAACGAAGCAGUACAACCUCAACCCAACACAAUAUGUCGACAAAUAACCAACAUAUACAGAUAAUCAUGCACACAUAAUCAUAGGUACUCCUAUAGAUCUACCAUACUAACAUAUCGGCAACUAGCAUACUCAUGCAGAUCUAUUCCAUACUCAGAAUAUUAGUGAAUUGUAGGAUAACAAACCAAUACACCGGCAUUGGUGCCUUCGACUCGUAAAUAUAGUGAGGAAAAAUCACAUCGCACUGCUGAACAUAAAGACGAUCCAUGGUUGAUGGCUGCCAGAUCCCCGAACCGCCAAUAUCAAGACAACACCCCAUCACAGCUGAUCCCAUGAAUAAUUUCUGACUACAGAACCACUAUGAUCCACGUGCUAUCAAAUACUACAAUGACAACCCAUCAAUAGACCUGGCAAUGGAGCGGGUUUGGAGCGAAUCAGCCUUGAUCCAAACCCUUUUAACAAAUUUCAAAAUCCGAUCCAAACCCGCUCCGUAACCCACAGGGUUUUAAAUAAUCAGACCCAUACCUUUAUCCGCCGAAUCAACGAAUAUUCAAGCCCGCCCCAUAACCCAAAGUUUUUUUAAAUAAUCAAACACAUUUUAAUAAACUCCUAAAAUAAAAUUUCUUAAAUAAGAAACUGUAUACUAUAUCUUAAUACUUAAAAUAACAUUUUUUUAAAUAAAAAAAAUUGAUUUAGAAAAGGACAUUACAUACUCGAAGAAUUUCAAUCGGAAUUAAAAAUCACUAUUGCAACAACUUUGAAUUGAUUUAUGACUGUUGGUUGUAGUGAUAGCGAAUUGCAAUUGCCAUCUUUUUUCAUGUUAAAAAUUGAUUUAUUGAAUUAGAAAUGGAUAUGAUGAUUUCUUGAUGCAAAUAAAUUAAAUGACAUUAUGAUUCUUGAUAGAAAUCUAUAAGUUUAGAAUCUGAAUUAUCGAUUCCUAUGUAAAAGCAUUUUUUUUCUUUGGCCUUUGCAUUUUGGACUUUUGAUUGGUAUUAAAAUUAAACGUUAAGAAGUAUAAAAUAUAAAUAUAUAAUUCUAAAUUUAUAUGGGGCGAGUUAUAAAUGGAGCGGAUCGGUGAUGAUCCAUACCUGACCCAUUUAAUAAAAGGGCUAGUGGGAAUGGAUCGUUAACGGGUAAACGAAUCAAAAACUACACUCCAAACCCAUAUAAUUCUUACGAGUUUGGAUCGGAUUAGGGUCAAAACCCACUUCAUUGCCAGGUCUACCCAUCAACCUUUAGCCCCUGACUCACGUUAUGAGUGAAAAUUAGGGUAAAAGACCUUUUUAUCCUUCUUAAGCUUGGCCCGAAGCCAAGGCCCAACUAAAUGGUUAAUGGCCCAAAAUCCAAAAUAGACUUCUAAGGCCCAAAUAUGGCCCAAUUUUCCAAAUUGGGCCCAAUUCCUUUCUUGGGCCUUCAGCUAAGAAAGUCCAUCAAAACAAAAGCCCAAACCAUAAAAUCUAGAUGGCCUAACAUGGCCCAAGACAAUCCGAGCCCAAAACCGGAGCCAAAAAUGAAGGCCCAAUAGUACCGCAUACGCGGGGAGUACUCCAAAGGCACACUUAGCGUACAUGAGGCUGCGUAGAAUCCACCAUUGGGGUGGCAGAUUGGGUAUGCGGGGCGUACACCUCCCUACGCGGGGCGUACCCUCUUAAAACUCAAUUUCUUCAUAACUGCUUAAUGGCUUAGCAUUUGAGCUCAUACUUCAGAUCCAAGGUCCAGAGCCAUACUAUGGCCAUAAAAUUCCCAACUUUAUGAAUUUCCACGUCCAAAAAGUCCUUAAUGAAAGGUCUUAAUGGAUUAAUACUUUCUACAAGAAGUAUGGAGAAAAACUAGCUAAGGUGAUCUCACUUUUAUGGCUUAGAACCCCUCUUAGGGUCUGAAAGGACAGCCCAAAAUGACCAAAACCAAACAUGCAUAACAAUGGGACUUUUGGGACAAAAAGAACAUCAUAAUGCUACCAAAAUGAGAUCCAAGCAAACAAAGCAUAAAGGUAGAAACUUUUUACCUUCUGGAGCUUCCCAAGAAGAUGAUGAUCCAAGAUCCACAAGCUUGCUUCAACUACUAAUCUCCUUGAUGCAACUCCUUCUUCCUUAAGAACACAAAGAACACACUUUUAGCUCAAAACACUCUCUUAUUGGGUUAGGGUUGCCAAAAAUGACUCAAGGGUGUGGAGGCUGAAAAGAUGAGGCUAAAUGAUCUAUAAAGGUGAUUAAAUACCCCACAAACCCUAAAACUUAGGGUUUUUUCUAACAAGAGUACACCCAUCGUACAUAUGAGUACGCCCAACAUACUAGGGUACACCCUAGUAUGCUUAGCGUAUGCACAUGUACGCUUAGCGUACCACUCCUUCUCCCAAAAUUACGAUUUUUCCAAUAGGGCUUCUUGCGACCACUUCCUUCCAAAACAAGGACCAAAAUGGUAUACUCUAAAGCCAAGAGAUGAAUUUGAAAAUGCCUGAAAACUGGGGCAUUACAGGUUGGGAGUUCGGAAUACAUGUCGCCAAUGAUGCAUUAUAUUGUUGCAAGUAUUCUUGCAUUUGUUGUGCAUUAGAUUGGGAUUGAGAUUGGAAAGAUGUGGAAGUUGAAGCACAUUUAUUUGGAAUUAGACCGAAGUUGGUGACUGGUCUCCUACCCACUACGCGAGCCUGCCCUUGUCUCGUCCUGAGGGCACGUGCAAGCCAUUCUUCCUCAUCUACUUCUUCACCUUACCCGACCCCGCUUUGCAUUUUCUCGUAUUUAUCUUGAAUCUUCUUCUAAAAUAAACAAGAUAAUAAACAUACGAUAAUUAAAACAAACAACUAAACUUAAACAUUAAAAUAAUAAUAAUAUACCUUAGACAUAAACUAUAAUUAAUAAUAAUAACAUAUUUAACUAACGUAUUAAUUUCGCUUAUGACUUACCUAAUCUUGUUGUGCUCGACUUGUACACCAACCCUAGCCUUCUUUGUAGCGCAUUUGUCUCCAACCCUCAAUAUGUUGCGGCUUCAGUCCUAGUUUUUCCUGUAAUAUGUAAAAAACAAUAAAUAUAUUUAUACGAGUGAUAGUAACAUUUUUAAAUAAUACUAAUAUACUUUAUUACUUUUAAAUGACGUCGUUGAGCAUACGACCUACAUCCAUGAGAACUUGUGUCCGGAAGUUUAAUUCGACCUAGUAACUUUAUUUUUGGCCGAUGUGUGUAUAUAUUCAUCAGUAAAAAACAACAUGCCAAUCGUCUUAUUCUAAGCUUUGGCAGACCAAUCAAUCUGUGGAUGUUUUUUUGUCCUUUCCACAUCCGCAUAUCCACCAGCUUUUUCAAAAUGAUUUUCCAUGUCAUGCUUGCAAUCUCGAUAAGCUUUUUGCAUACUAUCUUGGGUACCCGCUCGAACGGGUUCCCACAACUCUGUGCCCUAGUGCAUAUCGGGAUCAAAAUAAGUCUGCAAAAAAUACAUAUUUGAUUAGUAAUAAGAAAUAUUUAAUAAGUGUAAAAUUCAAUACAUAUAAAAUAUUUUGUAUAUACUUACUUCUAGCUCGAGAUAUAAAUUAUCUUCGUACUUGGUAGAAACAUGGCGCCAAGAAUGAUAAUGCAACAGUACCUCUGAUCCCACCAGAUUUGAGAUCAAUCUAACAAAUAAGUGUCUGUUGUCCCGCACGAAUCGAUACGUCCUCCUGGAGGUAUCAAGGCUCACAACCAAAGGAUUACUACCUUUAUCUUCAUACUCAUCGUACAAUUUUAAGUUUCUCCAUCUGCCAUGUACAUUCACAUUCUUCACUUUUGUUACAUUUACACAUAGAAUUGGAAAUUUAGAAAUUUAAAUCCAAUACUUAAUAUUUUCAUGUAACUUACAUGAUUGGCAACCCGAUGGUAAACCAUGUGUGACCAUGUGUGGGGCUCUAUCACCACUGUCUCCUCCAUGUUACCUCAUGACUUCUGCCAUUUAUUUAACAAAUAUUAUAAACAUUCAAAAUCUAUAAUAAAGCUACUUAUAAAUAGGCAAAAUUUAAAAACUUAACACAUAUUAUAAACAAUCAGGAUAUAUAAUAACCGUAACAUACCAUCAAUGAGAAUCAUCACUAGAACAAUAUAACAUCAUCAUCGUUAUCAUAGUCUUUGUUAUUUAUUUCUUCUUCUGAAGAGUACGUAUCCCCACCAUCAUCGUCAUCGUUAAUUGUCACACCCCUGAACCAGACGACGGAAACGUCUGGGGGCUCGUGUGACUAACAAUUGAAUUAUCAUCACAAUGAAUAUACAUGAAACAUUACACAUUCAUCACCAACAUUACAUAUUACAACCAGCAUUGUUCACAGCAAGUACAUUGUUAAAGAUUACAUAAAUUCAAAGUAUUAAUAGUAAGAUAGGUGAUGUUACACAAAAUAAAUCGAUACACUUGAAAAUCUUCCUGCUUAACGAUUACCUGAGAAUACCAGUUAUUUUGAAAAACGGUCAACAUAUAUAAUGUUGGUGAGUUCAUAAGUAUGUGUGAAUAAAAGUCUUUGCAUCUUUUGUAAAAACCUAGAAAAUCUGAUAUUUUCUGUAAAAUGUCUUAAAAUGAUGUGAAAAUCAAGUAUAAAUGCAUGUGUGAAUUUCAUAGCAAUAACAUAUAUGAUUUCAGUUUAAAUUUCUUUGUAUUUUAAGUAAGUGAUAAAUGAAUAAUAGUAUUUCCCUAGAAAAUCUGAGUAUUUCCUGAUUUAUAAUAAUGUCGAGGUUCUUGUAUCAUUAAUUAAGUUGUUUCGUAUUGACACAAUCGAAGGGUUAAUCUUCGAAAUGUCAAAUUGGUAUUGGAUCUCUAUAUGAGCAGUUAUAACCAUGUAUGAUAAUGACUAGGUUGUCUUUCUUGGCAUUUUCCAAACGUCGGUAUUUGCUCAAGGUUUUGUCGCCCAAGACUGGCCUAGUCUAGUUGUAGCGAACAACUAAGGCGUGGGGGGUCACCCCAUAUAGAUCUAUACACAAACUCCCGCUCUCCCUCCAGGAAACUCUGGUUAUAACUACAGACUACGAUUGUACACUCAGAGGUGUCAACCGACAUGUCUCACUAGAUUCUCAACUUUUCAUACCAUGUUUAAUGUUUACGUGAAUGUUGUAUGUUUUCAAAUCCAAAGGUAUAUAUAUAAGUAUACGAACUUUAGGGCUGGCAAUUGUUGACACGAUACGCGACACGACAUGAAAUAAAUGGGUUUGGGUUGAGUUUUUCAACCCGCCAACCCGCUAACCCGUCAACCCACCAACCCGUUUAUUAAACGGGUCAUAUAUGGGUUUCUCAAAAAAUAAACGGGUUGACCCGCCAACCCGUUUAUAUUCUUAAUAAAAAAAUUAUUAUAUUUUUAAAUGUAUUUAUGUAUCAAGUAUUAAUAUUUAAUAUGUAUUAUAUAAUAUAUACCAUUUAUUCAUAGACCAUUUGAUUGUUUUGACAUUAUUACUCGUGGUGGAUGGUCUAAGGUCAUAAGUCGUAACCUAUAAGACUAAGUCUGUAACAUGUUUCUAUGAAUGUUUUUAAUUUUCAUUUGGAUGUUUAAGACUUAAAUAUCUAAAAUUUAGACCCACGAACCCAAAUCUGACCCACGAACCCGCCAACUUGUCAACCCGUAUAAAUAAAUGGGUUGGUGGGUCAUAUAUAGGUUUAAGUUCCAAACCCGCCAACCCGUGACCUGUAUAUUUAAAUGGGUCGUCAUUGGGUUGGCAUAUUUUGACCCGCCAACCCGCCAACCCGCGACACGCCAACUCGAACACAACACGAUUGCCACGCCUAACGAACUUCAAGAAUUAUGUAAAGGUAUAGUUACAAUCUACUAAGCAUGUGAAUUUCAGUCCAAGCCCAACUAGCAUGUAAAUGGACCACAAAGGUCCAAUGACAUGUAAGAAGGUAAUUUAGACCCAAUAGGCAUGUAAGUGGACCACCAAGGCCCAACAAACAUGUAACCUAUAGCUCAGGCCCAAAUUAACAUGUAAAUGGGUCGCAAGGCCCAAUAAACAGGUCAUUGAAAAUAUUGGGCUCAAUAUAUACUUGAAUGGGCCCUUAAGGCCCAUUGGCCAUGUAAUGUGAAUAUUAGGUCCAAUAAAAUUAUUAUCGAUGUAUUUCGUCAAUUCGUUAUUAUUUCAUGGUUUGCUUUAGCUCGAUGUUUACCGAAUUAAAUAUAAAAGUCCCCUUUUUGUAUAAACGACGUUCUUGGCCAAUAAGACUAAAAUUUUGAAUUAAGGCCCAAAGUUUUGUAAAAAUUAACACUUUAGUCCAUAAUGUAUAAAAAUUUGUAAUUUUGCCCCAAAUGUUUAGAAAUUUACGGAUCUAGUCCAAAAAAUUAUAUUUUGACAUUUAUGGCCCAGUUUCGCAGAAUAUUACAUUUUCAGACCCUUGUUUGUAAAAAUGACACUUUUGACCCAGUUUUUAUAAAAGUUACAUUUUUGGUCCAAUUUAGAAAUAUAUGUUAUUUUUACCCCUAAAUUUGGUUUAUUUACAUUUAUGACUAAAACUUUGGUCAAAUAACAUUUUUAAUCCCAAAACUUCCAUUUUUUCGCAAAUUUGGCCCCAAAACCGUGAGGCCCAAAUAUUCAGCCCAUUAGGCUAAAAUUUACGUUUUUGGCCCUUUGGAAAGCAUGUUUAUCAUAAAAAUCCCUUUUUAUACAAACAGGACCUGUUUGGUCCUUUAAAAACCGUAAAUGUCACUUUUUUCCCUUAUCUUUUGUUUUCUUGACAGUUUUGACCCUUAACAAGGUUUUUGCUUUAAAUUUUUGUAUCUUAAACAUAUAAACACUUUUAACUUGAUAAUAUGAUGUAUAAGGUGUUUUAGUGUUGGAUUAAUGUCUAAGUUUAUAACUAUAAUUGGUAAGACUUGACCCGAUCCGGCAUGGUCCAUUUGGGUUGCAUGGCAUCAUGCACUUGGAUAGACUAUAAUGAGAGAAAUAAGACACUUAUGGUUAUUAAUAUAUUAUAAGUUCUAGUAUAUUAAUAAUAAGAAUAAUAAGAUUAUUUAAUUAGUAUUGAUCAAGAAUUAAUCUAGGAUUAAUUAAGUGAUCAAAAGAAGACUAAUUAAAUAUAUGGGUUGAUUGUGUAAAUCAUCCAUACUUAUAUAGUGGGCUAAUGCUCCAUGGAUAAUCAAGUUGGGCUAAAACCCAUAGGAUGGUCCAUGGAUGCUCCAUGGUGUAUUUGAACCCAUGGAUCCAAGGAAAUGGAAAGUCAUGACAAUUAGGGUUUACCCUAAUUGUAACACUAUAUAAAGAUCUUAUUAUUGACCAAAAUCGGCCACUAGAAUCAUUCUAGAGAAGGGCUAGCCGAUUUCAUGUAGUGUAGAUUUCUCUCAAGUUAUUCCAAGUGUAUUUGGUGUUGUGUGAACCAUUUGAGGUGUCACACUUGGGGCACUAGACACUCAAGCUUCAUGAAGACUUUCUACAUCAAAGAAGUAUGUAUUCUAUCUUGUUACAUUCAUUGUUUUGUAUGCUAGAUUAGGAUAAUACCUUGGAAGUUCUUAUUUGCAUGUAUAAUAGAGAAAACAUAGAUCCAAGGUAUUUAGGGUUGCAUGUACACUUAGGAGUGUUAGAAUGCUCAAAACCCAACAGUGGUAUCAGAGCCUAGGCUUGUUUUCUUGUUAUACUUGCAAAAGAAGCUGAAAAAUCGAGUUUUGAUGCUGUCUGCCCAGCAGACUCGCCGAGUCCAUGAAUGGACUCGCCGAGUCCAAGGCAAAAUGCAUCCAACUCGCCGAGUUGGUUCGUGCACUCGACGAGUUGGACCCCCAGACAGCAUAAAUUCGACUUUUUUGGCUGGAAUUGGACUAGGAACAUUACCCUAAGAUGUUUUUGGACUUAUAAACUUGUUUUUGAUGUGGUAAUGUUCAUGCUAAUCCAAUUUCAAAGAUAAUUGUCAAUAGAUUCAUGUUUUGUAUUAGUUUAAGGUUUAGACUAAUUACAUGAAAAAGUUUGAUUUGAAUUAUCUUGUUCUUAUGAGUUGCUUAGAUUAAUAGAAAAGUUGAGUGAAAUAGUUGUUUUCAAUCCAAAUUAAUCUAAGAGUUGAUUCUAAAAUGUGUUUUUGUAACUUGUCCUCAAGUUAUAUGAAAAGUCACAUUUAAGUUUCAUAAAACUCAUAAAAGUUGGCAAAGGUUACAAAAUGAAGAGUCUAGUUCUAAUUAAAUGGUUUUAUGACUCCAUAACUUGUCCUCAAGUUAUGGAGGACCAAGAGUCUCUUCAUUAAAUAAUAAAUAAAAAAAAAAAGUAACCUUAAUUAAUUCCAUAAGUUAUAAAAUAAAGAAAAGUUAAUUCUUUUAUUAGUUUAAAGUCUUCCAUAACUUGUCCUCAAGUUAUGGAACUUGAAGAGUUUUUGGAUUAAAACUACUUUAAACACAUAAGUUAUGGAAUUAAUUAGUUUUGAAUAGUUUCAAAACUUGCCCUCAAGUUUUGGAAUUUGAAAAGUUUUCACUUAUGAAUACUUUAAUUCCAAGUUAGCCCUUAGAAUUUUAAAAGUUAAAAUUCAACCCUUAUACUUUAUAAUAUUAUAAGUUAAUAAUAUAUAUAUGUAUAAGAGUAAAGUCAGUCUUACCGCUAGUACGCCUCAUUCACGAAGCCGGUCUAUAAGGUGGGUAUAAGGUUGUUGCCUAUAAAAUGGCAACUUAAUGGGUGUCCACUCUCACCCACCGCUUGCUUGACUGGUGGAGGGUCGUUAGCCGAACGGGUUUGACAGGACUAGAAUUCUCCCUUCAUUAAAAGUAUUAAUGAUAAUACUAAGUAACUAAACUCUUAAUAAUACCCAAUCUUAGUUACUUAGGAAAAAUGUGAAUAAGGUGCUAAUCCAUGAAAUUACACUUUGCACUUUGUUUAAGUCGGUUAGUGGAGCGUGUGUGGUUAACCGGCACACUAACUCGUAUUUAACAAGGUAGGCAAAGGGUAACUUAAUGUUUAUCAUAGUAUCGAUGGAGCGUGUGUGGUUAACCGGCACAUCGAUUGAGGGGUAAACACUUAAGGGUACCAAGUAAUUUGCAUGGUUACUUCACACCUUGUUUUGUGAUCCUCGGCAUCCCAGUCACAAAACCUGAAGGGCACACUCGAGAUUGAAACAUGCCAUUGAACAGUUCAAUGAAUCUCAAAGAUCUAGGAGUUUCAAAACCAAUUAAAACCUAAUAAUACAUUUCGUUUAUCUUGGUGGAAAUUGGUGAAUCGUCAUUCACCUACCUUCAAAUAUUUUAUAGCUUGGAUUACGGCAUACCUCUUCUAAGUUAUAAAAUAGUUUGUUGGGUCCUAGCCUUAAUAUUUCAUAUUGGGUGUCAUAUUAAGGACUUUAAAUCAACUAUCUUGAAUAUCUCCCAAAAGAUGUCUGGUUUAGACACCUAUGAUCUUCCCAAAUCUCUUGAAACAAGGUUUCCUAAUGAAGAUGAUGUCCCAUGGAUAUCAUACUUCUUCACCUCUUCAAAUUAUUCUCCCUAACCCACAAGUUCUUGAAAAGUUUAAGGUCACUCAGGCCCUAUUGGCAAGGCAAGGUCUAGGUGUGAUCACAUCUUGGAGAUGUAGUCACAUAUUGACAAGCCGGGAGAGUUGGGUGUCAAAGUCUUGAGAAAGUUGGUGGUUCAAUCACUUUCUAAGUCACAUAGUGAGUUCCUUUGGGACACCUAUGAAACAGACUAUGACAAGACCCUUAAUGAUCUUAUCUAUUUGAUAAGAUCAACUUCCUAAAACUUUAUGGACAUUGACAAUGAUAACAUUGGAUAUCUAGUAAAGCUCUCUCUUCCCAGUGGAAAGGGAUCAGCCAUAGUCAACUGGGUUGACCAAAAUGGUAAAGAGAAAAGCUAAGUCUGUGAUAGUCCCGUGUACCAUUAUCAAAGGGUCCAUAUGUUUAUAUUGCCAAAGGAAGGGGGAUUGGUUGCGAAGCUGCCAAAUUUACCUAAAGAUGUUAAAGUCAAUAAGUUUGACUCUACUUCAUGUAAAGUCCACUAUCUAACUCUGUUAAGUUUCUAUUCUGAGAUUCCUGAUACAUGAUGUGACUGGGUCACAUGGUGAUGUUUUAAGAAUCGGAGCAUAUCCUCGAGUGUCUGGAUGGUGCACUCACUCUGACCAUCCGUCUGUGGGUGGUAGGCAGUGCUCAUAUCUAGCUGUGUUCCCAUUGCCUUCUGAAGAUAUUGCCAGAAACUUGAAGUGAAUCUGCUAUAUCGAUUUGAGAUAAUAGAUAUUGGCACUCCAUGGAGUCUCACAACCUCCUUGAUGUAGAUUCGGGUCAGCUUUUCCAUCUUGUAAGAUUCUUUUAUUGGUAGGAAAUGAGCGGAUUUUGUUAAUCUAUCCACGAUUACCCAAAUAGCAUCCAAUCCGUCUGCUAUCUUUGGCAAUUUUGUCACAAAGUCCAUGGUAAUCCUCUCCGAUUUCCACUUGGGUAUCACUGGUUGUUGCAGUAGUCCCGAGGGCUUUUGGUAUUCCACUUUCACUUUGGCACAAGUAAAACACUUGCCCACGAAAGUGGCUAUCUCUGCCUUCAUAUUAGGCCACCAAUAUUGUUGCUUGAUAUCCAAAUACACCUUAUCUGACGCCGGAUGAAUAGAAUAUCGCGUCUUGUGGGCUUCAUGCAUGACUACUUCUUUGAAUCCCUUAAAUUUGGGAACCCAGAUUCUAUUCAUGAAGUAGUGAGUUCCAUCGUCUUUAACUUCGAGCACCUUCUCCAUUCCACGUAGUGAGUCACUAGCGACAUUCUCUGGCUUCAAUGGUUCCAAUUGGUCUUCCUUGAUCUGUGAGGCUAGAUGAGAUUGGAUGGUGAUUGAUAGAGUUUUCACACGACGACUUGAAUACUCCUUUUGGAUCAAGGCAUCGGCUACCACGUUAGCCUUGCCUGGAUGAUAUUUGAUCUCACACUCAUAAUCAUUUAACAGCUCAACCCAUCUCCACUGCCUCAUGUUUAGUUCCUUUUGAUUUAGAAUGUGCUGGAGGCUCUUGUGGUCUGUAAAGAUGGUGCACUUGGUACCAUAUAGGUAGUGCCUCCAAAUUUUCAAGGAGAAGACCACCUCCCCCAAUUCGAGAUGUUGAGUAGUAUAAUUUACUUCAUGUGUUUUCAAUUUUCUAGAUGCAUAUGCAAUUACCUUCCCGCGUUGCAUAAGGACACAACCUAAACCAUGAUUCGAAGCAUCAUAGUAAAUUAUGAAGUCUUUAAUUCCCUUCGGUAAGGAUAACAAUGGAGCACUACAGAGGGCUUGCUUCAAGGUUUGGAAGGCGAUCUCUUGCUUCUCAGUCCAGUUGAAAGGUACGCCUUUCUGUGUCAAUGUGGUGAGGGGUUUGGCUAUCUUAGAAAAGUUCUGAAUGAAUCUUCGGUAGUAGCCCACAAGACCCAAAAAUUGGCGAAUUUAUGUUGGCGUUGUUGGAAUUUCCCAGUUUUUGAUUGCUUUGAUCUUUGAAAGAUCCAUGUGUAUUCCUUCCUAACUAACUACAUGGCUUGGAAAGUUUACACUGCGGAGCCAGAACUCACACUUGGAGAGUUUCGUAUACAACUUUUCAGCUCGAAGGGUCUUCAAGAUCUGUUGGAGAUGUUGACUAUGCUCUUCUUUGCUUCGAGAGUAUAUGAGGAUAUCAUCGAUGAAAACGAUCAGGAAUUUGUCAAGGAAUGGGCGGAAGACUCGAUUCAUGAGGUCCAUAAAUGCAGUGGGGGCAUUUGUUAGACCGAAGGGCAUCACGACGAAUUCGUAAUAACCGUAACGGGUUUGGAAAGCAGACUUAGGAAUGUCCUCAUCUCGGACCUUGAGUUGAUGAUAACUGGAUCUUAGAUCUAUCUUUGAAAAGUAACUAGCCCCUUGAAGCUGGUCAAAUAGAUCAUCGAUUCGUGGAAGUGGAUACCGGUUUUUGAUGGUGAGCUUAUUUAGUUCCCUAUAAUCAAUGCACAUCCUGAAGGAUUCGUCUUUCUUUUUAACGAAAAGAAUCGGAGCUCCCCAUGGAGAGAAGCUUGGUCUUAUGAAUCCUUUAUUCAAGAGUUCACUUAGUUGGCUUGACAAUUCAUGCAUUUCAGCGGGAGCCAACCUAUAGGGUGAUUUGGCUAUUGAAGUGGCUCUAGGCACUAGGUCGAUUCAGAAUUCGAUUUGUCGUUCUGGGGGUAUUCCUGGAAGCUCUUCUAGAAACACAUCCGGGAAGUCACAUGCCACUGGGAUGUUUUGAAUGUUCGCUUCCUCUUUGGUAUUAUCCACCACAUGAGCAAGGAAUGUGUAGUUCUUCUUUUGUAGACACUUUUGUGCCUUGAUACACGAGAUAAGGUAAAGGUUUGCACCGGGUUUAUCUCCGUAGAUUAUUAGGGUUUCGUGAUUAGAAAGAUGAAAGUGAAUGACCUUCUCGUGACACAUAAUAUCGGCAUGAUGGGGGCUUAACCAAUCCAUGCCGAUGAUGACAUCAAAACUCCUAAUAUUUACUGGCAUCAAAUUUAUUUGGAAAAAGUGGUUGUUUAGUGUUAACGUACAUCCUAUAUAGAUAUCUUUGGUUGUUUCAGUGUUCCCAUUAUCCAUUUCCACCGUGAAGGAUUCGUUGAGCUUCUGGGGUUGUUGAUUUAGAAAGUAUUUGAAUUUAUUACUAACGAAACUUCGCUCCGCCCCACUAUCAAAUAAGAUGCAUGCAUACGAGUUGUUAAGUAGGAACGUACCGAUGAUAACAGCUGGGUCCUACACUGCUUCAUCCUAACCCAUUGUCAACACUCUCCCUGCUGCUCCUGCCCCUUGAUUGUUUGCGUUGGGGAAAUUUCUCCUGAAAUUCCCGGUUUUCCCACAUACGUAACAGGUAUAAUUGGCCCCAACAUUGGUGUUGUUGUUAUUGUUGUUGUUGUUGGUGUUGUUGUUGUUGUUGUUUUUUGGCAUCUGGUUUUGUUGAAGCUGAGUCCUGCAAUACUUUGUUGUAUGGCGUUUCUGGUUGAACCUUGCGCAAAUCAUCUCUCUGUAUUCCCCAUGAUGGUGGAAGUUGCAUUUGUUACACUUGGCGAGAUUUCCUGAAUACUGCUUUGGAGCAUUUGGCGUGGAUGAGGCUGGAGCAUGGGGUGUGGUGGUAGCUUGAGUUACAGCAUGGACAGUCACAGUUUGUUGCUUCUUAGAUGAUUCUGAGUUAUGUUUUCCAUUUCUCUUGUUGUUUAUCCCUUUCUUUCUCUCUUCUUCCUUCUUAACCUCCGCUUCCACUGUUUUGGCACGCUUCUUAUUUCCAUGAUCAUACGAUUUCUUGUCCAGUCUCUUGGCGCUAUCAAACAUCUCAGGGUUUUGCUGCAAUAACAUUCCCUUAGAUAGGUGCAGUCAAUCCCUAGAUAAACCUAUCAAUCUUUUUCCCUUCUAAGGUGAUCAUUCCGGGACACAAAAGAGAUAGCUCACUAAACCUAGAUAUGUAUGCGGUUAUAUUGGAGUUUUGAACUGUGAGGUUCCACAACUCUUGUUCCAUCUUCUGAAUUUCACCUCCAAGACAGUAUUCUGCCAACAUCAUUUCCUUAAGCUCUUCCCAGAGCAUCGCGUUCGCUACCGGGAGUGUCAUGGCCUCUACAUGCCCAUUCCACCAGGAGAUGGCUUGAUCAAUGAAUUUGCAGGUUGCGAACAUGACCUUACACUCAUCUGGGCACCCACAGAUUUCAAAAAUGGAUUCUACUUUCUCGAUCCAUCGCUUCAGGGCUAUUACGCCUCCUGUCCCAUUAAAGGUUCGAGGUUUGGCAUUGGUGAAGUCCUUGUAGGUGCAUGUUCGUGUGGCUCCAUGGAUUGUUCCUUGAUUUGUGCUUCCGUUUCCCUGUCGGUUGCCUUCUCUAUUGUUUCCAUUGCGAAUCUGCACAAGUGUUGUAGUGACCGCAACAGACAAUGUUGCCUGGAAUGCAACCGAGAUUAUUUUCGGCGGGUUUGGUGUUGCGUUGUUUCCACGAUUGGGCCUUUGAGGCAUCUUUCUGUCAUGGAACGGAAAGAUGUAGAGUGACUAUUGUUUUGCGAGUUUGGAAUCCCCUAGGCUAGGUGUAUCGAGUGUGUAUUUAAGUAAUUUCAUACAUUAACAUAAAAUAGGGAAGUAAAACACAUAGCAGAUGACAACAUCAUGAUAAAACGUAAAGCAUUUUCAUUAAUACUAAUUGUUUUGAUACAUGAACAUUUGCCAGAAGGCAUACAGUACAUAGGGAAAUAUAAAAUAUGGCAGCAUUACAACCCUAUGAGCAGUGUGAUCACUUAAACAUAGAGUCGAUAGUACAUAGCAUAGUACACAUAAGGGAAACCUAAUAGUAUUAAGAGAUACUACUGGUCCUGAUCAUACUGAGAAGUGCCUAAUGGUGGUGGUGAAAUCAUAUCCCAAAAUGUUAUGCUAAUAACUGAUCCAUCUCGGUCAUCUCUCCGAUGACCUCAUCUUUUUCCUACUCAGUUUGCAUGGCUCGUGCCUCCAUAGCAAAUAGUUGUUGUCGAAGUGUGGCAACCUCCGCUUCCAGAGACCGAUCCUCAUCAACGGGGUUCCCUAGUGGACCAGGGUGGUCCUGGUGUGCCUCAUUGGUAGGUGGUUCGACGGGGGCUUCAUUUUUGUCCCCAUCCUCCUCCAUGUCUUCGUCAGUCCUAUCAAACUCAUAGUCUGUAUUAGUGUACUCGUCGGGCCCAAUGGUAGGGGCUCCUCCUUGUUCCUCCUCGGGAUUCUCCUCAAGCAUCCCAUGUGCCACUAGGGAUUGAUAAAAAUGGACUCCUUGCUGAGCGUCGUCCAUGGUGACUGCAUGAGGGCGUAUGAAUAAGUCAUGUUUUGAUUAUUCCUAUAGUAUAUUUUACUUAUUUAGGUUUGGUUUCCCUAGAGUUGUUGGAGAGUGAGGUAGGCUUUUGGAUUCAUUUCCCGCUAUGAUUACUCCCAAACACAAUUUGGUCAUAUUCUGAAUAAAUAUAGUUGAUCAGGCUAUAUUUAUCCCUAAUAGGACUACAUAACUGCCCAUGUUUAAUUAUAAUGUUCAAUAUCCUCCAAAAGCUUUUAUUAAAUAUUGUUAGGUUAUUAUCCUAAUAUGCGCAUAUAAGUAUGAAAUUUUUGUUUUGUUCACAGUUAUUUAGUCCCAUUGUGUUUAUAGUUGCAUAUCAUGUAUGGUUAGAUAUGCUAGUUCACUAUAAACAUUGCUUUGAUACCAACCUGUCACACCCCCGACCCAGACGGUGGAAACGUCUAGGGGCUCCUGUGACUAACAAUUGAAUUAUCAUCACAAUGGAUAUACAUGAAACAUAACACAUUCAUCACUAACAUUACAUAUUACAACCAGCAUUGUUCACAUCAAGUACAUUGUUAAAGAUUACAUAAAUUCAAAGUAUUAAUAGUAAGAUAGGUGAUGUGACACAAAAUAAAUCCAUACACACUUGAAAAUCUUCCUGCUUAACAAUUACCUGAGAAUACAAGUUAUUUUGAAAAAUGGUCAACAUAUAUAAUGUUGGUGAGUUCAUAAGUAUGUUUGAAUAAAAGUCUUUGCAUCUUUUGUAAAAACCCAGAAAAUCCGAUAUUUUCUGUAAAAUGUCUGAAAAUGAUGUGAAAAUCAAGUAUAAAUUCAUGUGUGAAUUUCAUAGCAGUAACAUAUAUGAUUUCAGUUUAAAUUUCUUUGUAUUGUAAGUAAGUGAUAAUUGAAUAAUAGUCUUUACCCAGAAAAUCCGAUAUUUCCUGAUUUAUAAUAAUGUCAAGGUUCUUGUAUCAUUAAUUAAGUUGUUUCGUAUUGACAAAAUCGAAGGGUUAAUCUUCGAAAUGUUAAAUUGGUAUUGGAUCUCUAUAUGAGUUGUUAUAACCAUGCAUGAUAAUGACUAGGUUGGCUGUCUUGGCAUUUUCCAAACGCCUGUAUUUGCUCAAGGUUUUGUCACCCUAGACUGGCCUAGUCUAGUUGUAGCCAACAACUAAGGCGUGGGGGGUCACCCCAUAUAGAUCUAUACACAAACUCCCGCUCUCCCUCCAGGAAACUCUGGUUAUAACUACAGACUACGAUUGUACACUCAGAGGUGUCAACCGACAUGUCUCACUAGAUUCUCAACUUUUCAUACCAUGUUUAAUGUUUACGUGAAUGUUGUAUGUUUUCAAAUCCAAAGGUAUAUAUAUAAGUAUACGAACUUUAGGGCUGGCAAUUGUUGACACGAUACGCGACACGACAUGAAAUAAAUGGGUUUGGGUUGAGUUUUUCAACCCGCCAACCCGCUAACCCGUCAACCCACCAACCCGUUUAUUAAACGGGUCAUAUAUGGGUUUCUCAAAAAAUAAACGGGUUGACCCGCCAANUGUAAGUGGACCACCAAGGCCCAACAAACAUGUAACCUAUAGCUCAGGCCCAAAUUAACAUGUAAAUGGGUCGCAAGGCCCAAUAAACAGGUCAUGGAAAAUAUUGGGCUCAAUAUAUACUUGAAUGGGCCCUUAAGGCCCAUUGGCCAUGUAAUGUGAAUAUUAGGUCCAAUAAAAUUGCUAUCAAUGUAUUUCGUCAAUUCGUUAUUAUUUUGUGGUUUGCUUUAGCUCGAUGUUUACCGAAUUAAAUAUAAAAGUCCUCUUUUUGUAUAAACGACGUUCUUGGCCAAGAAGCCUAAAAUUUUGAAUUAAGGCCCAAAGUUUUGUAAAAAUUAACACUUUAGUCCAUAAUUUAUAAAAAUUUGUAAUUUCGCCCCAAAUGUUUAGAAAUUUACGGAUCUAGUCCAAAAAAUUAUAUUUUGAUAUUUAUGGCCCAGUUUCGUAGAAUAUUACACUUUCAGACUCUUGUUUGUAAAAAUGACACUUUUGACCCAAUUUUUAUAAAAGUUACAUUUUUGGUCCAAUUUAGAAAUAUAUGUUAUUUUUUCCCCUAAAUAUGGUUUAUUUACAUUUAUGACUCAAACUUUGGUCAAAUAACAUUUUUAAUCCCAAAACUUCCAUUUUUUUGCAAAUUUGGGCCCAAAACCGUGAGGCCCAAAUAUUCAGCCCAUUAAGCUAAAACUUACGUUUUUGGCCCUUUGGAAAGCAUGUUUAUCAUAAAAAUCCCUUUAUAUACAAGUAGAACCUGUUUGGUCCUUUAAAAACCACUUUUUGCCCUUAUCUUUUGUUUUCUUGACAAUUUUGACUCUUAACAACGUUUUUGCUUUAAAUUUUUGUAUCUUAAACAUAUAAACACUUUUAACUUGAUAAUAUGAUGUAUAAGGUGUCUUAGUUCAUGGGUUUUUUACUUAAUGUUGCUUAAGAUGUCGAGACAUGCUAAGAUCUAACAUAUUUUUUACAAAAUAGACUAAGAAAUCACACACGACAUGCAUAUAACACAUAGAUCUACACAUUUUACUUGUAUUCUCCCCCAAAACUAAUAUGAAAACCAAAAACAAGGGGGUAAGAACUCACCUUUGCUUCGAUGUUUCGGUUUUGAAGAAGAAAUGGAAGAAGUUGAUGUGAUUUUUUGCUCUAGCAAGCUCCUUGAGUAGAUUUCGAGCUUAAGAAGUUUCCAAGAGUCUGACCAUGGAAUAAAGCUAUGUAACAAGGAAUUUUUUGAUGUUAAAAUAAAAGGAGAUGUUUGUGUUUGAUAACAACUUACCAAAGAUUGAAAAUGCUUGAUGAAGAUCCUUAAAACUCAAGCAAAAUUUUGAGAUCCUUGGAGAAAGGAGGAUGAUCUUUGAGAGUGUUUGGAGAGGAUUUGAAAGAGUGUGUGUGUGUGUGUGUGUGUGGUUUGCCUCUCGGCCGUGAGUAGAAGAAGAAGGGGGAAAGAGAAGAUGUGAUGGAUACUUAGGAGUAUAAGCUUUGUAUUUGCUUAAUGGGUAAUUAGCUUGGAGAACCACCAUGUAAUUAUCAUGUGUCAAUGCAUGGUAAUUCUCUUAUUUUCCUUUUUUUACAUGUAUAUGAAUGUACAUAUCUAAUGGGCCGAGAAAAAGAAAGAAUGGAGGGGCUUUGGCCUCUUUUUGAUUUGGUUCGAGUUUAUGAGGCCCAUAGAAAGAGGCUUUCGGCCCAUUGGGCCUUUAGGUGUGUUCACGGCCCAUUUCGAAAGAAGAAAGGGUGUUUAUGGCCCAUUACGGCUAAUUAAUUCAUUAAUGGCCUAAUAAGGCCCAUUAAGGAUAAACCAAUUUAUUUUGGACCCAAAAUGGCCCAAAAUGCUAAGUUUCACGGAAGUGGGUCCAAUUAGUGCCCAUUUAAGGGUCCUAAGCCCAAAAUAGUUAAAUUGGAACCUCAUUGGUCCAUUAGGCCCAAUAAGGAAAUCCUAGUCCAAUAUGGACUUAAAUCGGGAUUCUUAGGGUUUUCAAACUCUUUGUUGAACAUGAGAGGUGAAUUUAAAUGAGCAUUGCGUGAUAUUUACUUAAAGUAUAUGUUUUACACUAGUUGAAUGAUUACACGAGAAUAGAGUUUUCUAGCAAAAAUGCUAGUUGUGACAUUAAUGAAAUCGUGAUUAUUUAUAGUAGGAGCAACAUUCCUCAUAGCAACCACACUUGAUUUACCAACUUCACCUAAAGUCAUCUGCAUAGGCAAGGUGCUUAAGUUUACAAACAAGGUAAAAUCAGUUGAUCGAGUUUUGUUCACGACAUCUAUCUCAUUAACAACACUGAUACUUGGAUGAUCCUAAAGUUUUGAUGAUGAACCUCUUCCACAAAUAUCCGUUUAUUGUUUUGAGUAUGAUCUUUGAGAUAAAACACUUGUUUAGCUUGUGUGGAUAAGAUGUAUUAUUGAUCAUCAUACCUUCUUUUAUUGACAUACCAUCCAUGACUGGUAUCUAUAACGACCAUAUUAUUUAUAGUCUUUAAACAUCCAUUACGUAAUGACACAUUGAACCAUUUACCACGACAGAGUAAAAUUGAGUUACCAUAUAAAUAAUGCGAAUCUAGGAUCUCCUCUAAUUGUCCAUAGAAUGGUCUACCAUCUUCUUGUUGGAUUAGUGUCUAAUUCCAUAACUAUAUUUGGUAUGUACUUGACCCAAUUGGCAUGGUCCAUUUGGGUUGCAUGACAUCAUGCAUUUGGAUAGACUAAAAUGAGAGAAUAACACUUAAGGUUUAUUAAUAUAUUAUAAGUUCUAAUAUAUUAAUAAGAUUAUUUAAUUAGUAUUGAUCAAGAAUUAAUUUGGAACUAAUUAAGUGAUCAAAUGGAGACUAAUUAAAUAUAUGGGUUGAUUGUGUAAAUCAUCCAUACUUGUAUAGUGGGCUAAUGCCCCAUGGAUUAUCAAGUUGGGCUAAAACCCAUAGGAUGCUCCAUGGUGUGUUUGUACCCAUGGAUCAUGGAAAUGAAAAGCCAUGAAAAUUAGGGUUUACAUGGUGUAACCCUAAUUGUGACACACUAUAUAAGUAUCUUAUUCUUCCCAAAAAAAGAGCUAUAAAGGAAUGGUGAGGGCUAGCCGAUUUCAUGAAGUGUCUAAUUUCUCUCAAGUUAUUCUAAGUGUAUUUGGUGUUGUGUGAACCAUCUGAGGUGUCACACUUGGGGAACUAGGCUCUUAAGCUCCGUGGAAUCAAGCUACACCAAAAGGAAUGUCUUCUAACUUGUAUUAUUCCUCAUGAAUCAAUAUUUUGUAUGCUAGUUAGGAUAAUACCUUGGAAUAUUAAUAUUUGCAUGUAUAAUAGAGAAAACAUAGAUCCAAGAUAUUUAGGGUUGCAUGUACACAUAGGAGUGUUAGAAUGCUCAAAACCAUUCACUUCUCCAAAUUUAACAACACCACUAUUUUUAGUAGUGUGUCAGAGAUCACGAAUACUCACAACAAAACGAACACCGACAAUAUGUAUUAUGUUGGUCAUAGACAAUUCUUGAAUAUGAACCAUAGAUGGAGGGAGAGUCUAUUGUUUGAUGGUCCACCCGAUACAAGACCGUAUCCUAGACGAUUUAGUAAUUUAACUAUAUUAAAGUAAUGUAACGUCUGUGUUUCUGGGCUUGCCAUUUUUAGCAAUGUANNNNNNNNNNNNNNNNNNNNNNNNNNNNNNNNNNNNNNNNNNNNNNNNNNNNNNNNNNNNNNNNNNNNNNNNNNNNNNNNNNNNNNNNNNNNNNNNNNNNGACGAAGGUGGACCGGUAUGCGAAGGGACUCCCAUGGGAGUAUGACGUGCCAGUACGUCAGGCACAUACUUUAGAGGCAGCUAUCUGGGCUACCAAGUCUGUUGAGAACAUGAUAAAGGGGAGAACCACCAACAAGGUUGAGGUUGGUGAGAAGAGGAAGUUUGAGGGAACAUCUGGUUCCGGUAAGAAAAGCAAAUUUUCGAAAUCUGAUUCGAAAAGGUUUGGUGGGGGUAAAGGAGGGGAAGCGAAGUGGUGUGAAAAGUGUAAGAAAAAGCAUUUCGGGAAAUGUAGCGAGGAUGUAACUUGCUACAAGUGUGGAAAGGUUGGACAUUUUGCCAAUGAAUGUCCGAACAACAAAAGGAUGUGUUUUGGUUGUAAUGAAGAGGGGCAUAUUUUGAAAGACUGUCCGAAGAAGAAGGAGGCAGCUAAGCCCAACAUUCCACCAAAGCCGAAGGCGAGAGCCUUCCAGAUGACACUUGAGGCUGCGAAAGAUGAAGCUGAUGUCGCUUCAGGUACCUUUCUCGUAAACGAAUUACCUGCUCAUAUAUUGUUUGAUUCUGGAGCCAACUACUCCUUUAUUUCGCAUGAGUUUGGUAGAAAGCUAGCUUUGCCUAUUGAUAGACUAGAUGAUGCUUUAUUAGUCGAAGUAGCUAGUGGCAAGUUUGUACCUGUUAGUCAUCGUAUGAAAAGCAUCUUAAUUGAUCUGAAUGGGAAUAAGUUUCACGAGGAAUUAUUGCCUAUCGAACUAAAUGGUUUCGACAUCGUGUUGGGAAUGGAUUGGCUUAGCGCCAAUGAUGCCGAAAUUUUGUGCAAGAAGAAGAUAGUUAAAGUAAACCCGCCUGGGAAAGAUUCGUUUAUGGUGUAUGGGGACAAACGCAGAGUGAAUUCUGGAAUCAUUUCUCUAAUGAAAGCCAGAAAGUGUUUGACCAAGGGAUGUACAUCAUAUUUAGCAUUCGUGAUUGAUGCUAAGAAGGAAAAGAAGGUGAUGCAGAGUAUUCCAGUGGUGUGUGAUUAUCCGGAAGUAUUUCCCGAGGAUCUUCCUGGAUUACCACCUGAUAGACAAGUGGAGUUCAGAAUAGACUUGUUACCAGGAACCACGCCAAUAGCAAAAGCACCUUAUCGAUUAGCACCGACGGAGAUGAAGGAGCUGAUGAUGCAACUUCAGGAGUUAUUGGACAAAGGUUUCAUUAGACCUAGUUCAUCGCCCUGGGGAGCUCCGGUGUUAUUUGUAAAGAAGAAAGAUGGAAGUAUGAGAAUGUGCAUCGAUUACAGAGAGCUGAACAAGGCAACAAUAAAGAAUAGAUAUCCGUUGCCGAGGAUUGAUGACCUGUUUGAUCAAUUGCAAGGUUCGAGCUAUUUCUCGAAGAUCGAUCUUAGGUCAGGAUAUCAUCAGCUGAAAGUAAGAGAGCAAGAUAUCGAGAAGACUGCAUUCAGAACUAGAUAUGGACACUACGAGUUCUUGGUUAUGUCGUUUGGACUAACCAAUGCUCCAGCAGCGUUCAUGGAUUUGAUGAAUAGGGUUUGUAAUCCUUUCCUUGAUAAAUCCGUGAUAGUGUUCAUAGACGACAUUCUGAUCUACUCGAAAAGCCAGGAGGAGCAUGGCAGACACUUGCGAGAAGUGUUAGAAGUUUUGAAGAAGGAGAAGCUUUAUGCGAAGUUCUCCAAAUGUGAUUUUUGGAUUCGUGAGGUCCAAUUCUUGGGUCACGUGGUCAACCAAGAAGGGAUAAUGGUUGAUCCAGCGAAGAUCGAAGCUGUGACGAAGUGGGAACAACCGAAAAGUCCCACGGAGAUUCGAAGCUUUUUAGGAUUAGCCGGAUAUUACCGAAGGUUUAUCCAAGGCUUUUCUUCGAUUGCUACUCCAUUAACAGCUUUGACCCACAAAGGAGCUACUUAUGCUUGGAGUGAGAAGCAUAAAGAAGCAUUCGAGAAGUUAAAGAAGAAGCUAUGCGAGGCACCGAUACUUUCUCUACCCGAUGGAGUUGAAGACUUCGCUGUUUAUAGCGAUGCGUCUGGUGUUGGAUUGGGUUGUGUUUUGACCCAAAGAGAAAAGGUGAUAGCAUAUGCGUCUCGACAGCUGAAAGAGCAUGAAAAGAAUUACCCGACUCAUGAUUUGGAGUUGGCAGCGGUAGUUUUCGCUCUGAAAAUAUGGAGGCAUUACCUCUAUGGCACGAAGUGCAAACUUUUCACUGAUCAUAAGAGUCUCCAAUACCUCUUUAAUCAGAAAGAAUUGAAUAUGAGGCAACGACGCUGGCUAGAAUUACUUAAAGACUACGACUGCGAGAUACUUUACCACCCCGGUAAAGCUAAUGUUGUUGCUGAUGCUCUCAGUCGGAAAGUCAAUCUUGAAAGGAAGAGGCCAAGAGCGUUGAGAAUUGAAGUUGUCUCGACUAUUGUGGAAAGUAUAAAGAAAGCUCAAGAGGAAGCUUCUGAGAAAAAUGACCGAAAGGAGGAACGUUUGGGUAAAACGUUGGUGUUUGGUACUAACGGUCAUGGACUGAAGGUAUUCCAAGAUCGUAUUUGGGUACCUAAGUCAGGAGGAAUUAGGGAUCUUCUGAUGGAAGAAGCUCACAAAACCAUGUACUCAAUUCAUCCGGGUAGCACUAAAAUGUAUAGGGACCUGAAACCCUACUACUGGUGGCCGACGAUGAAGCUUGAUGUUGCAAAGUAUGUGGCCGAGUGUGUGACUUGUGCGAGAGUCAAGACACAACAUCAGAAACCUUACGGGAGUUUAGAACCAUUGCCUGUGCCUAUGGGUAAGUGGGAAGACAUUGCUAUGGAUUUUGUCACUAAACUGCCCAGAACAAAGAAUGGUCACGACAUGAUUUGGGUGGUCGUUGAUCGAUUCACUAAGAGUGCGCAUUUCAUAGCGGCCAGGGAGAAAUGGUCUAUGGAAAAGCUUGCGAAUUCUUACGUGAAGGAAAUUGUGAGGCUUCACGGUGUUCCGUUAACGAUUGUAUCGGAUCGUGAUAGCCGUUUCACCUCAAGGUUUUGGAAAAGUCUACAAGAGGAAAUGGGUACCAAGUUAUGUUUAAGCACAGCUUACCAUCCGCAGACUGAUGGUCAGAGUGAAAGAACAAUACAAACACUUGAAGAUAUGCUGAGAGCAUGUACCUUGGAAUUCCUAGGUAAUUGGGAUGAACAUUUACCGUUGGUAGAAUUUUCCUAUAAUAAUAGUUUUCACUCGAGCAUUAAGAUGGCACCUUAUCAAGCUUUGUAUGGACAGAAGUGUCGUACGCCGUCUUGUUGGCUUGAGGCUGGGGAAAAGCAGUUUAUGGGACCGGAGAUGGUUCAUCAAACUGCUGAAAAGUUGAAAAUAAUUAGGGAAAGAAUGUUAGCAGCUCAAGAUCGUCAAAAGAGCUAUGCUGACAAGAAGCGAAGACCGAUGACUUUUGAGGUUGGAGAUUCGGUUUUGCUUAAAGUCUCGCCGUGGAAGGGACUUAUAAGAUUUGGUAAAAGGGGAAAGUUGAGUCCAAGGUUUAUUGGACCGUUUAAAGUCCUUCAGAGGAUUGGGAAUCAAGCUUACAAGCUCGAAUUACCCGAAGAACUGAAUGGAAUUCACAACACCUUUCAUGUGUGUUAUUUGAGGAAGUUCACGGGAGAAGUUCCCGAUAUAAUUCCAAUUUCUGAAUUGAGAAUUGAUGAGAACAAAAGGUUGAUUGAAGAACCAGAGGCAAUUGUUGACCGAAAGACUAAGAAGUUGCGACGCAAAAUGGUUGGGUUAGUGCUUGUCCGAUGGAAACACACGAAUGGGCCGAAUCUCACCUGGGAGACGGAGAGUGACAUGUUGAGUCGCUAUCCGCAUUUGUUUGUUGAUGUGUGAUUCCGGGGACGGAAUCAUUCUAAGGUGGAGAGAAUUGUAACGCCUGUGUUUCCGGGCUUGCCAUUUUUAGCAAUGUAAUAGUCUAGGUUAACCUUUGUAACCCGUUUUGAAAUAAUAAGAUUGUAUUAUUUGAGUAUUAUGUGUUUUGUGCUUAAUUGCUUAAUUAUGUGGUUUGAUUAAUUAAGAAUAAAAAUAAGCGUCAAAAUUUAAGUGUAAAAUAAACUUAAUAUCUUUGGUUAAUGUUGUAGUAGUUGAAACGAGGUUUCCGAAUAUAUAUAGAACGCCCAAAUCUGACUUCGUAUGAGGAAGUUAUGAUUUAUCGAAGUUCCGGCUUAGCGAUAUACAGCCUGUUUUACUCGAUUUGAGAUCGAGCGGUUGUUAGCCGAAGCAAUCUAAAUGAGAAUCGAAGAUCUCAUUGUUGGUAUUGAAACGAUAAAAAGUUAGGCGAGAACGGACGUCAAACGAAGAAGUUAUGAAUUUAUAACGAAAGUUUCUGUCCCGGCCUAUUAAAAAUAAUUAAUAAAAAUAAAGUCAAAAUUAGCCGACGGAGUCUAAACGAAAGUCGUAGAGCGUGGUCUCACCUUCGCGUGGAUAUAAAGAACGUCGAAAACGGAGUUCGUAUGAAGAAGUUAUGAAUUUCCGAAGUUUAUUAAUCAUUUUGUAUUUAUUUUUAAUUCAAAAUUCGGAAGCAUUAUCCGAAGGAGUCACCGAUCUGAUCCGAGGUACGCCCCGCGUACUCGAGUACGCCCCGCGUACUCCGAGGGAUGUCGACACUCGCACUCGAGCACUUCGGAUACGUAAGCAAUGACGUUUUGGGCAGUACGCCCCGCGUAACGCAGUACGCCCCGCGUACUCCGAGGCUCCAGCCUCCUAUAAAUAGGAUGCGAGGGUUCCGGGUAUUUUUGCCAAUUCCCUCUCGUUUUCGUGUCGAAGCUCUGUGCAAAAACCCCCGAAGCUACCCCGAAGUCCCGGUAUCAUACUCUAGCCCCGAGGCAAGUCCCGAGAUCCUGAAGAUCCCGAAAAGUGCGGUUCCCGAGUCGAAGCUCUGCCCGCGAGAAGUUCGAUUUUCGAGAAGAUCUUCCAGAUCUGCUGUGGAUUACUACUUCUAUAAGCCGUAGUGCUGUCCGAUCAUCUUCUGAUCAAGUGAGUGUGUAGUUAUUUCUUCUAAUACAAUAAUACGAAGUAUUUUAUAUAAAAAUACGUGCUAUGUGUAUAUAUUUUGUUGUUAUAUAUGUGAAUGUAUACCCACUCUCUUCUAUCUUAUAGAUCUGAUUAUUUCUCAAUGAAAUACGUGUUAUGUGUGUGUGCCUCAUCUGUUAUGUGAAAAAUGUUUUGAUUGAGCAUGCUAUACAGGUUUUGAAACUACGUAUAAAAAUGUAUAUUUUAUCUACUAAUAUGUUGGGUAGAAUAUGGGUAGAUAGUUGGUGUGUAAUAAACAGAUGAGAGGCCUCGAUGUUGUUUUGAUCCAGUCAUCUAGCGGAAUUUAGAUGACGACCACGGACUUUUCUAGACAGUCCAGUGGAACGCUAGCAGGCUCAUAACCUGUAGGUGUUAAUGAACUUGGGUGUUCAUUCGCUGUAUUCCAUCCCCCCCAUGGUUGCCUUAUUUGACUUAUAUUGCUGAGGAACCCCCGAAGCAUGUGUAGUCGCCCCGAUGAAAUAUUCUUUGACUAGGUCCCUUGUGUUAGUUAUUUUAGGGACAUAAAGUGAGAAUAACGGGAAUGGGUAACUGGGUUAUUGUUGGAUGAUAAUAAUUAAUUAAAUUAUUUAUUGUGGGUUGAAAACCCUAUAUGCUCACCAGGCUCCCAAGCCUGACCCACUCAGUUGAUUUAUUUUACAGGAAGUGGCGCAAGAGCUUAAGAUGGGCGAACAUCAAGUUGUUUUGUUUACAAGUCUGUAUAUGUAUAUAUUUGUUGAAAGACUUGUAAUGCUAUCGUUUAUGCUUUAUGAUCUGUAUCGGAACAUGACAUCCCGACUUUUGAUUAUGAAAUGAAAUCAUAUUUCUUUAUGAAAUGUUUUGAUAAAUAUCUAUUUUAUCAUGUUUUGUUUUUGGGAACAAAUUCCGCAUCUCUUUUAAAAAUUAAAAGGAUUUACUCUGAAAAUUAUUUUAAAAAGCAUAAAUGAAAUCGGUCUUUUCUGGCCGAGAUUUUGGGGAUGUCACAAGUAAGUAGCUCGUCUCUCUGAUAAUAUGUAUUAUGUUGGUCAUAGAUGAUUCUUGAAUAUGAACCAUAGCUAGAGGGAUAGCCUAUUGUUUGAUAGUCCACCUAACACAAGACCGCGUCUUAGACAAUUCAGUAAUGUAACUAUAUUAAAGUAAGUAGCUCGUCUCUCUGAUAAUAUUCCAGGGGAAUAUCCUAAUCAUGGGGCUAAAAAAGAAAGCAUGAACAUGAAAGCAAAAAGGCAGAGUUGAAUCGGAUGAAACAAAGUAUCUUAUUUGAGCUUGAGUAUUGGUCUUCCCUCCACCUAAAACAUAAUUUUGAUGUUCUACAUGUUUUGAAAAAUAUGAAUGAGAGUGUGUAUAAUACUACACUGAUGAACGAUAAAAGAAAAUACAUAAAAGAAGUAAGAAUUGACUUGAAAAAUACGGUCAUUCGACCAGAUCAAUGGCCAAAAGAGAAAGUCAAGAAGAAGAAGACAGUACACCAUUCUAUGGUCCCUUGGUUGAUGCAUCUCUCAUUUGGACUCCUUCAACCCAUAACAUUUUCAACUCAGCCACCAAAGGCCUCAAGUAAACAUCAAUGUCCUUUGUAGGUGAUCUAGGGCCAGGAAUCAACAAAGUUAGCAUGAAAGAAGAGUCCUUCAUACAUAUCCAUGGUGGUGUAUUGUAGUUAGUAAAUAUAACCAUCCAAAUAAUAUAAGUAUUAUUAAAGUUGUUGAACGGAUUAAAGCCAUCAGCAGCUGAACCUAGACGAAUAUUUCUAUAUUCUUUAGCAAACUCUCGAUAUCUCUUAUCAAAUUAUUUCCAUGACUUCUCGUCAACCGGAUGACGCAUCUUACCAUCCAUUGAGCAUCCAGUAUUAUGACAACUAAUAUAUUUACCAGUGAAUCUGGAACUAUACAUUCGUCGAAGCCUUGAGUCAAAGGAAACUACCACAAUGCUUUUUGUGGUACUCUCUUCCCAUUUUGUUGUUGUGUCCACCCAUUUGCUUGCAUUACAAAUUCGGGCAAUUUUACAUGGAAUCAUUCUCCUUCCAAAACGAAGCACAAUCAUAUUUACAAGUAUGGAUGGAUUGAUAUCAAACCCUAUCUUUCUCAACUUAUUCUUAGCUUCAUAGUGUGAAGUUGCUCUUCGGGAAUGAAACUCUUAGUAACUCUACAAGUUGGUUAAAAAAAAUAUUUGUCCAUUUAUUUAUCACUUUAGUAUGCAACAACUUUGCCAGAAAGUUUAUGUAACGUCCCAAAAAUUAAGACUAAAAGUUUUUAAUUUUAAAUUAAUUAAAACCAUUAUCCAAACAACAUCUUAGAAAUCAUAGUGCAUCAAAGUGUAUCAAUAACAUCCAUGUACAUCAGCAAGAUAUAAAAAUGCAGAACGACGUGGUGGGUGCAUUGCAAUCAUCCCGUGUAACGCCCGUAAACUCGGGCUAGUCAAUUUAGAGACAAUGUGCGUCAAAAAUGACUUUUUGAUGGGAGAUUGUUUACAAGAAACAAUCUUAACCAAGUUAUAUUAUAUGUCACAAAGGUUCCUUAUAUAUAAAGAACGCCAAAAUCCGAGUUAUAACGAAGAAGUUACGACCUUUCGAAGUUCUACGACAAAACCAACACGGCACCGUGUAACGUAAAAAGUGAAAUCUUGAUAAAUUACUUUUUAGCCUUAGGGAUCUAAAUGAAAGUUGUUUUAUACAUUAAAUUGAGAGCAUGCAUAAAAAGAACGUCAAAAUCUGACUUUGUAUGAGGAAGUGAUGAUUUUUCUAAGAUUUCGCACAGAGUAUACAACCUGGAAUUCGAAUGUCAGAUCGAGUGAUUUUUAGCCAACACAACCUAAAUUAUAAUUGAAUAUCUCAUUAAUAGGAGUUCAACGAUAAAAAGACAGUUAAAAACGGAGUCUGUAUGCAGAAGUUAUGAAUUUUACACGGUCGUUAACAAAAUAAUAUUUUCAUACUGUUAUAUUUAAAAUUGGUUGAGAAUUAGCCGAUUCAAUCUAAAGGAAAGUUGUAGAUCUUGUCAAUACCUAUGUGUGGAUAUAAAGAACGUAAAAAACGGAGCUCGUAUGCGAAAGUUAUGAAUUUUUUAAAAUUUGUUGUUUUACCUGCGUCCAGCGCCACGUGUCAGCACCAGGCGAAGCCUUAGUGCCUACACAAGGCCACGACGUGGAUUAUAAGUCUAUGAUGUUGAUUUCCCCAGAUAACCUAUAAAUAGAGGUGGAAAUAAUCCAUUUCCUUCACACCUUCACCCUUCUUUCUGUCUCAACACUCCCAAUCUCUCCCUCCUAAUCCCUAGCAACUUCUAAGUGCUAGAGGCGAGUCCCGGAGCGCCAAAAGGGUCCGAGAAGAAGAGUUUUCGUCUCAAAAUUUCCGCCCCCUCAGAGCCCGGUUCCUAGCCAAACCCCCAGGAAGUGAGUUAUGCUUACACUACUUUAAGUAUACUUAUGUUUAAGUUUAUUAUCGUUAUUAUGAACUUAUAAACAAGAUUUAUCAGUGAUUCCAAGUCGUUAUACUAAUUGAUCUACUUACGGGGAUGAUAUAUAGGUUGUGAUUUAGUGAGGUGUUUAAAGUGGGAUUUCAAAACAGUAUACUUCGUAUACGAAACGGAACUUACCUCCGAUAUGAUCCUACAUGGUUGUUCCUUACUUGAUAGAUCAUGAAAGUAGACUUUGAGUUAAUGAUGAAUCUAGACUAAUAAUUAGUCGUGCGUAAAGAUUAGACUAAAACUUAGCGAUAAUAAUGCUAGGUUUCAUCGAAGGAAAAUAGAAUCAUGAGAAGCAAAGUGCUUCCCGAGUUUGGAAUUAUCACUUUGAUAAGUGAGUGCAUAGUUACUUUCAUCUUACACAUAGAUAUGAAGUAUAUUAUAUAAAUUACAUGCUAUGUGUUCAUAUUAUAUGUUUACUUUAUAUCUAUGCUAGAUGAAUGAUCCUAUACAUGUUUUGAAUGAUUUAAACUGUAUAUAUAUUUUUUGUAUCUAUAAAAUCUAUUGGGUAAAACAUGGGUAGAUGAAUGAUAAGGGAUGAAAGUUGAUAUAGAGGAACAUUGGCAGUUAUAGACAUAGUGUCCUAUAGGUGAACAUUGACAACAAUGGACUUAGUGCCCUAUAGAUGAGCAUUGGCAGCCGUGCCACCACCUGUAGAUGUUUUGAUCUACGAUGUACUCUAAACAUCAUAGCAGCUGCGCUCAAAGGGUAGUAUCGGCAGCUGCGUGUAACGCAUGUGUUUCUAGGCUUGUCAUUAAUAUUGAUGUAAUAGUGUAGGUUAACCAUUGUAACCUGUUUCGAAAUAAUAGAAGUGUAUUAUUUGAGUAUUAUGUGUUUUGUACUUAAUUGUGUGUCUUAAUUAAAUUAAGUAUGAAAAUAAGCAUCAAAAUUAAAUGUUACAUAAAGCUGAUAUCUAUGGAUAAUUUUGUAGUAGUUGAAACGAGGUUUCUGAAUAUAUAUAGAAUGCUGAAAUCCGAGUUAUAACGAAGAAGUUAUGAUCUGUCGAAGUUUCGCGACAUAAAUCGGCACGACGAUGAAUGACGUAAAAAGUGAAUUUAUGUUAGAUUUAUCUUUAGUCCUAGUGAUCUAAACGAAAGUUGUAGAGUUCGUUAAACCGAUAGCGUGCAUAAAAAGAUCGACCAAAUCUGACUUCGUAUGAGUAAGUUAUGAUUUUCCGAAGUUUCGACUUAGCAGUGUGCAGCCCGAAUACUCGAUUUGAGAUCGAGCGGUUUUUAGUCGAAACAAUCUAAACGAGAAUCGAAGAUCUCGUCAAUGGUAGAGCAACGGUAAAAAGAUAAAUGAAAACGGACGUCAGAUGAAGAAGUUAUGAAUUUAUAACAGAGUUUUCCUAUCCCGGCCUACUAAAAAUAAAUAAUAAUAAAAUAAAUUCAAAAUCAGCCGACAGAGUCUAAACGAAAGUUGUAGAGUGUAGUCUCACCUACGCAUGGAUAUAAAGAACGUCGAAAACGGAAUUCAUAUGAAGAAGAUAUGAAUUUCUGAAGGAUUUAUAUGAUUAAUAUUUAUUAAUUAAUCUUUAAUUCGAAUGUAUAUCCGAAGGAGUCACCGACCUGAUCCACACUAUGCCCAGCGUACACCGAAGCGUGACCCACCUCGCACUCGAGUGCUCCGAUGACACAUGCAGUGACGAAUCCGAAGCGUACGCCCCGCGUACUGAGCAUUACGCCUAGCGUAAUGCGAGGCUUCAGCCACUAUAAAAGGGCAUGCGAGGGCAGCCAAUCCUUUUGCUCAAUUUCUUUUCUCUCUCUCUUGUUUUCCAUCGUUUUGCGUUCAACUUAUACCCCGAAUCCCCAGUAUCAUUCCCGAGCCCCGAAGCAAGUCCCGAAGCCCCGAAGAUCCCGAGGAGUAGAGUUCCCGAGCCGAAGCUCUACCCGCGAGAAGCCAAUUUUUGUGAAGAUCUUCCAGAUCUAUCAAAGAAUACUACUUCUACAAGUCGUAGUGCUAUCUGUUCAUCUUCUAAUCAAGUGAGUGUGUUGUUACUUUCUUCUAACGCAUAAUUACGAAGUAUUUUAUAUGAAAUACGUGUUAUGUCUAUAUUUUGUGUUGGAUAAGGUGUCUAAGUCCAUAACUAUUUCUGGUAUGUACUUGACCCGACCCGGCAUGGUCCAUUUGGGUUGCAUGGCAUCAUCCAUUUGGAUAGACUAUAUGAGAGAAUUAACACUUGUGGUUUAUUAAUAUAUUAUAAGUUCAAAUAUAUUAAUAGUAUUAUUUAAUUAGUAUUGAUCAAGAAUUAAUCUAGAAUUAAUUAAGUGAUCAAAUGGUGACUAAUUAAAUAUAUGAGUUGAUUAUGUAAAUCCUCCAUAACUUAUAUAGUGGACUAAAGGGCUCCAUUGAUAAUCAAGUUGGGUUUGUUGGAUUAUUGUCUAAGUCCAUAAACUAUUUUGGUAUGUACUUGACCCGAUGGUGUAUGGUCAUUUUGGGUUGCCUUCACCAAAGCAACUUGAUAGGAUGAAUUAUAAAGAGAAAGGAUUAAAUAUGAUUUAUUAAUAUAUUAUGAUAAUACUAUAUUAAAGGAGAAAUCAUAUUGUUUAAUUAAUAUUAGUCAAGAAUUAAUUGAUAAUUAAUUUUGUGACUAAAAGAGAUUAAUUAAACUUAAGGGACUAGAACUGUCAAUUGUAUGAUAGUUGAAUAUUGAGCUAAUGGACUCCAUAUUAAAGGAGUGGAUGAAUUCUAUGGGGAAACCCAUUAGAAAUCGUCCUAGGCCUUUAAGGAAGGAGCCCAUGGGUUACUUAGGGCUUAAGCAUCCAAAUUAGGGUUUCCUUGUUAGAUAACCCUAAUAGCCUCACUAUUUAAGGACCCUUUGGGCACCAAAAACGUAGGCAACUGAAUCCUAGGGGUUUCUACACGUUUUUGGGUGUUUCUUCUCUUCUCCUAUUCAUCCUCUUGCUCUUGGUGUUUGUGAACCAUUAGAGGAGUGACAUUUGUGACUCUAAGCUUUCUAAAGUCAUUACAAAGGAGGAUUUGAGAUUGUUAUUGCUACAUAACAAUCAAGGUAUGAUCUAAACCCUAAUUCAUAUCUUAUACUGAUUAUCAUAUACUAGAUCCAAGCAUUAGGGUUUGUAUGAGCACAUAGGAUGUUCUUAUAGCUAAAACCCAUCAGUGGUAUCAGAGCCUUGAUUGGUUUCUAUUGUAUUGAUGCCUUGUUAAUUUGUUCAUGCUUGAAAAAUUCGAUUUUGUGAGUCUGCCUAAUGAACUCGGCGAGUCCCAUUGUGGACUCGGCGAGUAGGCCCCUACUCGGCGGGUCCAUAGGGGUACUCGGCGAGUUCGAGCGUCAGAAAGAGGGGACUUCGAGAUUUCUUGCUGAUUUACUCAUGGAUACUUGCCUUAUCUGUUUUAGAUCAUUAAAAUCCGAUUUUAAACAUAUUUAUGAGUAUAUCCUUGAUUAAACAAAAGAUAAUUACCAAUUGAUUAGAUAAUAACUUCCUUAUAUGAUAAAGUUUGAUUAUUUGUAUUAAUUGGGUAACUUAUUUUGCAAGAAAUUGAAAUUAGGUCAAAUAUAGAUAAUGAUGAGAUUAAUUGUUUAAUUUAUAUUAUUUGUUAUUUGAUCCUUGUGUUAUGAAAAGUUUCAAUUUUCCCCUUUAGGUUUUAUAGUUUAAAUUUGAACUCAAAAGUUUNUAGGGUUUCAUGUACACCACAGGAACGAUGUUUCAUAAACUUGACGAGUUCCAUAGACUCGAUGAGUUAAGUGUCCUGGUGCCGGGAUUUUCGAUUUUCUGGCCAAAUUUUAAUGAGGAUAACUGUGAAAACUCGUUUUUCUUUCCUAAAUUCAAAUCUUUAAGAUCGGUAUGGAUAUCCUUAUCAGAUUUGGUGGAUUUAGUUAAAUAUGGAUGAUAUAGGAUUAUUUUGAUUCAAAUAUUUAACCUAGUAAGUUUGAAAAGUUUCAAAUUACACCCUUUAGGUUUUAUAGUUUAAAUUUGAACUUAAAAGUUUUAGUUUUGAAAUUUAAAUAGUUAAACCCUAAUAUUUUGAAAAGUUUUAAAAUUUGUCCUUAAAUUUUGGAAUUUAAAAUUUAAUUAAAAGGUAUUACUUUUGCAAUAUUAAUUUCUAAAACCCUAGUGUUUUGAAAAGUUCAUAUUACACCCUUAUGGUUUUAUUAAAUUAAUUAAGUGCUUAAUUAAGAGAGAGAAUUAAUAAAUCCAUAACAAUAUGGUUUAAGAUUAAUCAAAUUAAAAGUGUAAUUUAUUAAUAGAUUAAACCACCUAAUAUUUUUAAAGUGUAAAAUACACCAUUAUACUAUAUAUAAAAUUAAAAGUCUAAUAUAUUAUAUAUGUAUAAGUAAAGAGUCUGUCUUAUCGUUAGUAAGCCUUAUUCACGAAGUUGGUCUUUAAGGGGUGUUUAAGGAAGCGGCAUGUAAAAUGACCGUCAUUGGAUAUCCACUCUUACCCACCGCACCAUUAACUAGUGGAGGGUCAUUAGCCGAAUGGGUAGGAUAGGACAUAACCUUCCAUUAUAAGUAUAAUGAAAUACGAAGUAACUAAACGUUUAUAUAAAUUCUCAAAUCUUAGUUACUGUAGGAAAAAUGUGAAUUUGGUGCUAAUCCAUGAAAUUGCACAUUGCACCUUGUUGGUCGUUAGUGGAGCGUGUGUGGUUAACAGAACACUAAUAUGGGACCAAUGAAGGAUGGCAAUGGGUUUCUCGUAAUAUUAUCAUUGAUCAAUGGAGCGUGUGUGGUUAACCGGCACAUUGAUUGGGUGGUGAUCGACAUCGAGAGUAUCAAGCUAAUUUGCAUGGUUAUUCACACCUUGUUUGUGAUCCUCGGCGUCCCAGUCACAAACUUGAAAGGCAUAAUCGAGAUUAAACAUGCCAUUGAAAAGUUUAAUGAAUCUCAAAAGAUCUAGGGCUUUCAAUUCAUUAAUAACCUAAUUUUCAUUUUUGUUUUUCAUGGUGGAAAUUGGUAAAUCGUCAUUUACCUACCUUCAAAUAUUUUGCGACUGGAUUACGGCAUCCCUCUUCCGAAUUGUAGAAUAUUGUGUUGGAUCCUAGCCUUAAUAUUCCCUUUGGGUGUUAUAUUAAGGAUUGAAUCAACUAACUUGAACUUCUCCCAUUUUGUAGAUGUCUAAAUCUAACAACUAUGGUAUUCCACAAUCCUUUGGAAAAAGUCUUCCACAUGAAGAUGAUGUUCCACGAUUCGAUCGAGGAACAAGAGAUCAUGCUUCACUUCAUCCUCCUCCUCCCGUUGUUCUCCCUAACCCACAAGAUCGAAGAAUUGAAAGGUUCAAUGUCACUAAAGCCCUAUUGGAAAUGAAACAUGAAGAUAAUGUUGGGUGCGUCAUUCCCCGAUAAGUUGGCUGUGAACUGGGUUCUGCAGUCGCUCCCUGAAUCAUAUAAUGAGUUCAAGAGAAUGUAUUAUAUGAUGGAUCAUGACGAUAACCUCAUUGACCUAACUUACAUGCUCAUUGCUGCUGAAUCAGAAAUAAUUUGGCAAAGCAAUGGAGCGGUUUUGUUGGGAAAGUCAACCAACCAUGCUUUCGAGGACGUUCUAGGAGAACCGACCUGCGUUUGCUGCCAAGAGAAAGGGCGUUGGAUACAAGUUUGCCCUAAGAGCCUGAAGAAUCCAAAAGAUGGGAGAGUCAAAGAGUAUGGUUGUGCUUCAGGUAAAAAUCCACUAUCUAACUCCAUUAAGUUCUUAUUCGUUGAUUCUUAAUACAUGAUGUGAUAAGAUUGCAUUUGAAUGUUUUGCAGGAUCAGUGAAAAGAGAGGAAGCUUGAUGGAAAAGCAAGAUAAGUCUAAUCACAAAGAAAUGGAUCUCGAUCGCAUGGACUUGAAGAUUAGAUUUUGAGCUUAGAAAGUUAUGAUAGAGUUGUUAGGAAUAUUAGACUACAUAGUUUUUCAGUUAAUUUUGCAUUGUAAGGAAAAAUGUUUUCCGCUGCUUUUAUGAAUAAAAUAAAUUUUGAUUUGACUCAUUUAUUUAUUUAUUUCCUUGCAAUGAAAUCGUUAUGAAAAAUUGAUGUUUGCAUAUUUCUACAACGAAUGGAUGUGAUUCUUAAUUAUGUUAAUUAUGGAAAGGUCAAGAAUUUACCAAAUAGGAAAAGUUUCUCAUCGCCCAAGUUUCAAUUGGAUAGAGACUUGGGUCAUGCAACUUGGUUGCACGAUGAAUGAGAAAUUUCAUAUGUGGAAAUAAGACUAAUUCGUUGACAAAGUGUCAAGUGAAGAACUAGGAGAUCGAGUACACAAAGUUGUGUGUUGAUCAAGUCCACCGCAAGAGUAACGAAGAUAUUCGUCAUGAUUUACUAGAGGUUUAGUAAAAAUGAUUAUACUUAUAAGAUUAAGUGUAAUUCUGAAUUGAUUGAAAAAGGUUUAAAUCAAUAGCAUAACGAAUAAGAAGAAUCAAGUAGACAGAAAGAUAAAAGUCUCUCUAUUCUAAGAAGAAGGGAGAGUAUCUUUAUGCUUUAUGAUAUGUCUUAAUGAUUAAGAACCAUAUCUCAAUUGAUCCUCUAAGUAAGUCUUAGUACAAUUGUAUGUCUGAGAAGAGGAAUCAAGAAUUAAAGAAAUGGUUAAAAUCAAGAAGUCAAUCGUAUUUCGUUCCAAACAAGUCUUAGAGUUAAGAUUGUGACAUAGAGUGACAAGUAUUAGGAAGGUUUAUGACAAUCAUCAAAUGUAGAAUUUGGAAAAGGGUUUUCUUAUUCUUGCACAUUUGAAAUUCGUAAGUUGUGAUGUCUUGGAUUAGACAAAGACCAACGAGGACCAAUUUGUGAAGUGUUUUGUCUUGAUAAAAGCUACACUAACUCUUGAAUAUUUGGUUGUCGAGAAAUGUUUAUUGACAAGAGAAUCUUAUAUGUCAAGGAGUCAGUGGGAGUCUUAAUGGUCUUGAAAAGGUUUCAAUAACAAAUCAAAAUAAACCUUAUCAAUCAUCACUAGCACACGAGUUGAGGUUUACAACCUAUCGUGUUGACAUUAUCUUGUUUCUGUGCCGUUCCAAUCGAGUUAAUUAUGCAUGUGAGUUCUAUGAGUUCUCAUUUGAAUGCAUAAAAGGCAAGGACCUUGAUCAAUGGAAAGUACAUUGAUAGGAAAGGGUGAGCUGCUUAACUACUUGGAAGACAUGGUGGGCAGCCGUGUUACCAUAAGGCAAGAAAUCAAGAUUAAGAGUUCGGUCCAUAUAAGUUUGAAUUUGUCAUAAACUUUGGUUUUAACAAAUUCACAUGGAUAGGAACACAUACACUAUUAAAAUCUAAGUGUCAUAAGAUUCCCUCCUUCAUGGAAAUGACUGUGAGGUAAUGCUUUCACUAAAAGAGAUUUUAAGAAGAUAGUAAUUGUGAAAAUUGGAUUCUCGAAUUCGAUUAUGGUUACAGUAUCCCUUUCCAUGAUUCGAAUUGUAAGAUUUGGCAAUUAGUCUGAAUUGUUUAGACACACAUAUGAGCUAUCUAAGGGAAAGGUGUAUAAGCUUAGAUAAAGGAUUAUCAAAGCAUUAGUUAUUAGAAACAUGAACUUAAGAAAUUCAAUAGGUAUUGUUCUUCUGAAAGUUAAGUUGUUUCUAAAUACAUGUCAAAGCUAGUGGGAGCAUAAGUGUUAUGUUUAUAAUAAUCAUCAUGAUAGUGGGAGCAUAAAUGUUAUGAUUAUGUGAUUAUUAAGGCAAGUAUUGCAAGUUAGCAAUAUUAAUUAUAGAAAACAAGAGUUAUACUUUGCAAAGUCACAAUGGUUAAAAGGUUGUUUUGCUAUAAUUAAGGGAGAGAAUAUUAUGCUUCAUUUCAAAACUAAAGGCUUAGGUUGUGGAAUGUUAAUUAUUUUAGUCAAGGAUACAUAGUAUUCUUAAAUUUCGAUUAUGAUUACGACAUUUCUCUUCAUAGUUCGAAUUGUGAGAACAUAGCACAUAAAAUAUUAUGGCAGAAGACUGAUAAAGUAUCAAAUCUUUAUGCAUCGUGUCCCAUGCGCUUCGGGUAUAGGAUCGAUUGCAAAUGCUAUAAUAUUUGACCAUUCCAAAAUUUUCCAAAUGUCUAGCGCAUUUAGAGGGAAAAGGACAAGAAUAGGUUUUGACUAAGAUAAUUAAACAACUAUCAAAGGACAAUCCAAAGUUCGCCAAGGAUUGGUCACUUAUGAGUAGUUGGAAGUAUAGUAUUGAAUAGACCAUAUCGACAUUAUUAUGAAUAGAAAAGAUUCUAUUAAGAAUGAGUUGUCAUAUGGAAAAUAUGGAAACGUUUCCAUAUUGGGAGUCGGAUAUUGAGAAUCUAUGUCUAGAUUAGAAAUUUUAUGCAAAAGGAUGUUCAAAGGAAUGUCCUUUGAGUGAGAGACAUCACAUCUAAGGAAUUGUCUUGUAACAAUCUCCAAUAGACAGCUUUGUAAUUCAUUGGCAAUAGUCAUUGUGACUUUGGUGCAGUGACAUUAUGAAAGGAUGAUUGCAUAAAAUAUUAGAAUCUAACAUAUUCCAUAAGUGGCAAGAAUUUGAUAUUCUUUCACUUGUGAAAAGGAUUGGGAGUUAUGAAAUGAUUAUGAUUGGAAAUGUGUUCAUUUGAUCUAUUUCACAAAGUAAGAACCAUAGAUAAACACUGUGUGCAUGCUAAGAGCAUGGGACAAGUGUUGUAAUAAUUUAAGUAAGAAGUUUAUUACCCGAAACAAGAAAUAAUGAGUAAUCGAUAUGGUGAUAAUAAAAGGUGUUUUAUUUAUACUCAAGGUUUGAGGCCAUAUGGGACUAGUAUUAUUCUUGUGUUUCACUUUGCAUGUUUUGACUUCCUAAAUAAUUUAAAUUGGUUUAGAACAGUUAAAUUAUUCGAACGGGCCCUAGUCGUUCAUAUGUUGGAAGUAGGUAUGAAUGAAGACUGUCAUGAAUUGGUGUGUGGAUUGUCUAAAGAGCAUUAGACAUAAGCAAAUGUUUGCUGCAACGUUCAUGAGUGCUUAUAAAUAUGAUUUGAGCAUUGCAUUAAACCCACGCUCACUUGGAUCACUUCAUGGAUUUUAUCACGAGUGAUUGGUGAGACGAUAAUAUCUUAUAUUCUUGAAACCGAGAUGUGUGAGUUGUAUCUUGCGAGUUGGUUGCACAUUGAUAAUACGUAAACGCACCAGUAACUUGGUGUUAUAAAACAUAUUGUUGUGUGUGAUUCGGUGAGUAAGUGCAAUCGAACAUUGAGUCAAAGUUUAUCCGUUCCUUUUAUCAAAAGUAGGAUAAAAACGAUUUCUGUGGGCCCCUCGAUUAUUUAGUGAUGGCACCUAAGCGCUUGGCCAAGCCGGGACUAAAUUGAUGUGUUCAAUUGUAGUCUAUUGUUAGUCGUCAUAAAUCUGAAUUCGGGAAACAACACAUAGACAGAGAGAAUGUUUUAGAUCCAUGUCUCAGUCUAUACGAUAUCUAGAAUGGAGGAAUAUAUGAUCCCUUAUCUAAAGGAUACGCGAAUAUGAUAAGAUCAGAGUUGACAGCGGCUUUAGAAAGCUACGAUUGCAGAUCAGGAUCUGAAGUCAUACGCAUAAUAGUUAUUAGACUUAUCCAAGUGGGAGACUGUUGGAUUAGUGUCUAAGUCCAUAAACUAUUUUGGUAUGUACUUGACCCGAUGGUGUAUGGUCCUUUUGGGUUGUCUUCACCAAAGCAACUUGAUAGGAUGAAUUAUAGAGAGAAAGGAUUAAAUAUGAUUUAUUAAUAUAAUAUGAGAAUAAUAUAUUAAAGGAGAAAUCAUAUUGUUUCAUUAAUAUUAGUCAAGAAUUAAUUGAUAAUUAAUUUUAUGACUAAAAGAGAUUAAUUAAACUUAAGGGACUAGAACUGUCAAUUGUAUGAUAGGUGAAUAUUGAGCUAAUGGACUCCAUAUUAAAGGAGUAGACAAAUUCUAUGGGGAAACCCAUUAGAAAUCGUCCUAGGCCUUUAAGGAAGGAGCCCAUGGGUUGCUUAGGGCUUAAGCAUCCAAAUUAGGUUUUCCUUGUUAGAUAACCCUAAUAGCCUCACUAUUUAAGGACCCCUUGGGCACCAAAAACGUGGGCAACUGACUCCUAGGGGUUUCUACACAUUUUUGGGUGUUUCUUCUCUUCUCCUAUUCAUCCUCUUGCUCUUGGUGUUUGUGAACCAUUAGAGGAGUGACAUUUGUGACUCUAAGCUUUCUAAAGUCAUUAUAAAGGAGGAUUUGAGAUUGUUAUUGCUACAUAACAAUCAAGGUAUGAUGUAAACCCUAAUUCAUAUGUUAUAUUGAUUAUCAUAUACUAGAUAUAGGGUUUAUAGUCUUGGAUGAGUUGCAUGUACAAUAGAGAAACCUAGAUCCAAGCAUUAGGGUUUUUAUGAGCACAUAGGAUGUUUUUAUAGCUAAAACCCAUCAGGGUUAAACCCAUUGGAUGCUCCAUGGAGGCUCCAUGGGAGUUACAAACCCAUGGGUAAUGGAAAUGAAGAGUCAUGUCACAUUAGGGUUUACAUGGCGUAACCCUAGAUGUGACACACUAUAUAAAGAACAUCAUACUCCCUAAAAUCGGCUACACAUAGUGACAAGAGGGCUUGCCUGAUUUUUUGAGUGUUACACGUUCUCUCAAAGUUGUUCCAAAGCAUUUGGUGUUGUAUGAAGCAUUUGAGGAAUCACACUUAGGGUGCUAGGCUCUCAAGGUUUCAAGGAAUCAUAACAACAACAAGGUAUGUGUUUCUAGCUAUCUUUUAUAUUAUAAAGUUCCCCAUGUAUGCUAGAUAGGUUUAUGAACCUUGGAAAAAAGUAAUUUGCAUGUAUCUUAUACAAACAUAGAUCCAAGGUUCUCUAGGGUUGCAUGUACACUUAGGAGUGUUAGAAUUGCUCAAAACCCUUCGAUGGUAUCAGAGACUAGGCUUGCUUGUUUGAUAUUUGAUGCAAAAUAGUGAAAAAAGUCGAUUUUUUGUUGUCUGCCUGCUGAAAUCGCCAAGUCCAUGGGGGGACUUGCCGAGUUCAUGUGUAAAAUCAUCCUACUCGUCGAGUAGGUUCAUGCACUCGACGAGUAGGAGCCUCAGAAUGCAGUUUUUUGACUUUUGCUGCUGGAAAUGGACUAGAAACGUUACCCUAAACUGUUUGGGUGUUAUUAAACAUGUUUUAGAUGGUGUAAUGGUUGUUCUAAUCCAUUUAUAAUGACUAAUAUCAAAAUUCCAUGAUUUUAUGUUUUCUUGAAAAUUUGAUAUUCAUAUUCAUGUUCUUAUGAGUUUAGAUGAUCAUAGGAAUUAUGUGUAACUUCUUGAUAGUUUUAAUUCUUAAUCAUUAUGUGUUUUAAUGGAAUCCAUAAUUUGUCCUCAAGUUAUGAAUUACCAAAAGUUUUAUCUUUGAAUGUCCAUUGAAGAAACACAUAGGUUACAUAAAAUGAAGAUUUACUCAUUUUAAUGAACCAAUUAAUCUCAUAAGUUAUGGAUUGAAGAGUUUUGUUAAGUUACAAAACUUUCCCUCAAAUUUUGGAACUUGUAAAGUCACCUAAUUAACUUUAGUUCCAACCCCUAGAAUUUAAAAUGUUAAAAUUCAACACUUAUACUUUAUAAUAUUAUAAGUUUAAUAUAUAUAUAUAUAUAUAUAUAUAUNNNNNNNNNNNNNNNNNNNNNNNNNNNNNNNNNNNNNNNNNNNNNNNNNNNNNNNNNNNNNNNNNNNNNNNNNNNNNNNNNNNNNNNNNNNNNNNNNNNNNNNNNNNNNNNNNNNNNNNNNNNNNNNNNNNNNNNNNNNNNNNNNNNNNNNNNNNNNNNNNNNNNNNNNNNNNNNNNNNNNNNNNNNNNNNNNNNNNNNNNNNNNNNNNNNNNNNNNNNNNNNNNNNNNNNNNNNNNNNNNNNNNNNNNNNNNNNNNNNNNNNNNNNNNNNNNNNNNNNNNNNNNNNNNNNNNNNNNNNNNNNNNNNNNNNNNNNNNNNNNNNNNNNNNNNNNNNNNNNNNNNNNNNNNNNNNNNNNNNNNNNNNNNNNNNNNNNNNNNNNNNNNNNNNNNNNNNNNNNNNNNNNNNNNNNNNNNNNNNNNNNNNNNNNNNNNNNNNNNNNNNNNNNNNNNNNNNNNNNNNNNNNNNNNNNNNNNNNNNNNNNNNNNNNNNNNNNNNNNNNNNNNNNNNNNNNNNNNNNNNNNNNNNNNNNNNNNNNNNNNNNNNNNNNNNNNNNNNNNNNNNNNNNNNNNNNNNNNNNNNNNNNNNNNNNNNNNNNNNNNNNNNNNNNNNNNNNNNNNNNNNNNNNNNNNNNNNNNNNNNNNNNNNNNNNNNNNNNNNNNNNNNNNNNNNNNNNNNNNNNNNNNNNNNNNNNNNNNNNNNNNNNNNNNNNNNNNNNNNNNNNNNNNNNNNNNNNNNNNNNNNNNNNNNNNNNNNNNNNNNNNNNNNNNNNNNNNNNNNNNNNNNNNNNNNNNNNNNNNNNNNNNNNNNNNNNNNNNNNNNNNNNNNNNNNNNNNNNNNNNNNNNNNNNNNNNNNNNNNNNNNNNNNNNNNNNNNNNNNNNNNNNNNNNNNNNNNNNNNNNNNNNNNNNNNNNNNNNNNNNNNNNNNNNNNNNNNNNNNNNNNNNNNNNNNNNNNNNNNNNNNNNNNNNNNNNNNNNNNNNNNNNNNNNNNNNNNNNNNNNNNNNNNNNNNNNNNNNNNNNNNNNNNNNNNNNNNNNNNNCUCCUGGAAGAAUCGCGGGGCCACCCCGACUCAACUCGCCGAGUCUGAAGAACAACUCGACGAGUCCCAGUUAAUCUUCAAGCUACUCGCCGAGUCUGUUCAUCGGACUCGGCGAGUCCAUGCCAUGCAACCGCUCAAACUGCUUUCUAAGGUCAGAACUGCUCCGACCAUUCAUAGGUCUGGCCUUCCUAGACUGAUUCAUCACGUAAGGUCCUCAUUUCGGUGCUCAUAAUACACCCCAUGACUCAUAAUUUACAUUUUGACCUAAGGCAUAAGGAUUCCAAUCCAAAACCUCCAUUGAUUCCUGAAAUGCUCAGGCAUGGGACAUUCUGGACUUCCAAAGAUCUCAAUACAGGGUUCCAAUCGUUUGGGGGACUAAAGUAACACUCAAUCUAGCCACAAAAGGGUUCAAUAAAUCCUAAAUCCAUAUACACAUCAACAUAGAAGAAUGUAACUCGAAAUAUUACCUGAAUAACGUGCUCUCUGUGUCCCCAAUCCACAGAACGUGGCUCUUCCUGUUGUUCCCUUAACCAAGCCUCUUCUUCCUUGCAAAACCACACUUCCAAAAUCAACAAUGGUCUUCAACCUUGCUCCAGACGCUCACAAUCGAAUUAGGGUUUCUCUCAGAGGACUAGGGUGAACAAUGACGGCCAUAAAGUCCCUCAUAUACGUCCCAAACCUGAACGGUUAGGGUUUUCGCUAAAUAGCGCAGACUCGCCGAGUCCAUAUCCGGACUCGUCGAGUCCAGUCGCGAACCCGCAACCAGAUCCGCGAUCCUACUCGGCGAGUCUAGGCUCCAACUCGCCGAGUCCCCUCUUAAAACACCCAAAAUCAUAAAUAUAACAAUACCUGAAAUUCCAGGCUGUUACAGUAAUCGGGUUAUUGUUGGUUGGUAAAAGUAAAUACAAUUAUUUAUUGCGGGUUGAAAACACUAUAUGCUCACCAGGCUCCCAAGCCUGACCCACUCAGUUUAUUUGUAUUACAGGUAGUGGCGCGAGGGCAUAAGAUGGACGAAUCAUCAAGUUAUUUUGUUUAUUAGACCAGUUGUUAUAUGUAACUAUUGUAUGGUCUAUCUUUUGUUGUUUAUGCUUUUGUGUCUGUAUCGGAACAUGACAUCUCGAGUUUUGAUUUUAUAGUGAAAAUACAUUUCUUUAUGAAAUGCUUUGGUAAAUAUUAUUUUAUCAUACUUUGUUUUUGGGAACAAAUUUCGCAACUCUUUUAAAUCAAAAGGAUUUACUCUUAAAUUAUUUUAAAAAGCAUAAAUGAAACUGGUCUUUUAUGGCCGUGAUUUUGGGGAUGUCACAGUGGGUAUCAGAGCAUUAGUUUAAGCGAACUAGGAAUUUGUAAGAUUUCUAGACUUAAACUUAGAAUGCUAAGUGGAGAUUGUGAGAAGUGUGUCUGUUAUAUUAUGGACACGAGCACUAGUAUAUUUUAGGAAGUUGCCUAAAAUGCUCUUAGGUGCUAAAUGUUAUAUGUUGCCAUAUAUGAUAUUAUUUGUUUGGAUCUAUGGUCUGUUGCCGACCGGAUCAUGAAACCUUAUGUGUGUAGGAUUCUAAGCAUACGUCUACGACAUUAGAACUAGCAUGUAAACGUUUCGGAGUGAUAUGGAAGAUCGUAAUAUCUAUCAUGAAUAAAGAUCUAAAUUUCACCUUAUUCGGUGUAUUGAUCAAGAAUGGCAAGAACAAGAAGCAGUGAUGGAAAUGCAAACAAGAACAGGAAUCAACCGCCUCUAAUUGAACAAGUAAUUGUUGAAACUGCUGCACCAGAGCAAAUCACUCUGGCUGGGGUGCAAGCCAUGAUUCGGGCUAUGUUAGCCGAACAAAAGGAAGAAAUGCGACAGAUGUUGCAUGAAAAUAGGGACGAACCAAUCAUACCCAUUGAGGAACCCAAACUGAUUCCCGAACAAUCGGAGGAAGGAAACAAUAGUCGCGUUGUGAGUCAAGUUGGGAGUCAAGGAGAACGAAGGAACGACCCGGAAAGGGGAAACAAAAAGGAUGGGAGAAUGUAUAAGAAUUUCUUGGGCGCCAAGCCGCCAAGUCUUUCUGGGAACCUAAAGCCCAUUGAGAUUAUGGAUUAGAUCUCCGAAAUGAAGAUGGUAUUUGAAAGUUGCGACUGUAUCAACAAACAGAAGACUGUCUUUGCAGUUAGACAACUGAAGACCGGAGUCUUGAGCUGGUGGAAGUUGUUGGCAGAUAUUAUGUCAUGAGGAGAAGCCCUGAAAAUGUCAUGAGAGGAGUUCUUAGAACAACUAAGGGCGCAGUAGUGUUCAGAGAUAGAUCUGAUUGAUCUGAACAAUGAGUUCCAAAACUUAAAGAAGGGGAGGAUGAGCAUAAAUGACUAUGCUAUCGCAUUCACUGAUAAAAUGAGGUUAUUUCCAUACCUAGUGCGAAUGAAACUCUCCAAGAUUGAGAGGUUCGCUAAUGGACUACCUUCCGACUUUUGCCCGAUAGUCAAGAUGGCAACUACUCUAAAAAUAGUUGUUUGUGCGGCUAAGAAUGUGGAGACCCAGCAGAAGGAAAAGGGUCUGGAAAGAAUAGAGGUUGGUGAGAAAAGGAAGUUGGAUGGACCUUUAGGGUCCAACAAGAAAAUCAAGUUUUCGAAGUCUAGUUCGAGAGGAGGAGGAGGAAGAGAAGCCAAAUGGUACGACAAAUGUAAGAAGAAGCAUCAUGGAAAAUGUGAAGUAGUAGCCACAUGUUUUAAAUGUGGAAAGCCAGGGCACUAUGCCAAUGAAUGCACUCUCACCAAGAAAGUUUGUUAUGGCUAUGGUGAGGAGGGGCACAUCUCGAGAGAUUGUUCGAAGAAGAAGGAGGCAUCAAAACCCAAUAUUCCCCCAAAGCCGAAGGCGAGAGCAUUCCAGAUGACACUGGAAGCUGCAAAAUAUGAAGCUGAUGUCGCUUCAGGUACCUUUCUCGUAAACAAAUUGCAUGCCCAAAUUUUAUUUGAUUCUGGAGCCAACUACUCCUUUAUUUCGCAUGAAUUUGGUAGAAACUAGCUUCUCCUGUCGAUAGACUAGAUAAUGCUUUAUUAGUCGAAGUUGCUAGUAGCAAAUUUCUACCUAUUAGCCAUCGUAUGAAAAACAUCUUAAUUCACUUGAAUGGGAAUAAGUUCCAUGAGGAAUUAUUGCCUAUCGAACUAAACAAUUUCGACAUCGUGCUGGGAAUGGAUUGGCUUAGCGCCAAUGACGCCGAAAUAUUGUGCAAGAAGAAGAUUGUAAAGGUAAAUCCGCCAGGNGCAAGAAGAAGAUAGUAAAAGUAAACCCACCAGUGAAAGAGUCAUUUAUGGUGUAUGGGGACAAACGCAGAGUAAAUUCUAGAAUCAUUUAUCUAAUGAAAGCCAGAAAGUGUUUGGCCAAAGGAUGUACAUCAUAUUUGGCAUUUGUGAUAGAUUCUAAGAAGGAGAAAAAGGUGAUGCAAAGCAUUCCUAUCGUAUGUGAUUAUCGGGAAGUAUUUCCCAAAGAUCUUCCCGGAUUACCGCCUGAUAGAAAUUUGGAGUUCAUAAUAGACUUGUUACCAGGGACGACGCCUAUAGCAAAAGCACCUAAUCGAUUAGCACCAUCAGAGAUGAAGGAGCUAAUGAUGCAACUUCAGGAGUUAUUGGGCAAAGGUUUAAUUAGACCUAGUUUAUCACCCUGGGGAGCUCCGAUGUUAUUCGUGAAGAAGAAAGAUGGAAGUAUGAGAAUGUGCAUCGAUUAUAGAGAGCUGAACAAGGCAACAAUAAAGAAUAGAUAUCCGUUGCUGAGGAUUGAUGACUUGUUCGAUCAACUACAAGGUUCAAGUUAUUUUUCAAAGAUCGACCAAAGGUCAAGAUAUCAUCAGCUGAAGGUGAAAGAGCAGAUAUAGAGAAGACUGCAUUCAGAACACGAUAUGGACACUAAGAGUUUUUGGUUAUAUCAUUUGGACUAACCAAUGCUCCAGCAUCAUUCAUGGAUUUAAUGAUCAUGGUUUGUAAUCCGUUCCUAGAUAAAUCUGUGAUAGUGUUCAUAGAUGACAUUCUGAUUUAUUUGAAAAGCGAAGAGGAGCAUGGCAUACACUUGCGAGAAGUGUUAGAAGUCUUGAAGAAGGAGAAGUUGUAUACAAAUUUCUCCAAAUGUGAUUUCUGGAUUCGAGAAGUCCAAUUCUUGGGUCACGUGAUCAACUAAAAAGGGAUAAUGGUUGAUCCAGCAAAGAUUGAAGCUGUAAUGAAGUGGGAACAACCGAAAAGUCCCACGGAGAUCCGAAGCUUUUUAGGAUUAGCCAGAUAUUACCGAAGGUUUAUCCAAGGCUUUUCUACGAUCGCUACUCCAUUAACAGCGUUCACCCACAAAGGAGUUACUUAUGCUUGGAAUGAUAAGCAUAAAGAAGAAUUCGAGAGGCUAAAGAAGAAGCUAUAUGAGGCAGCGAUUCUUUCUCUACCCGAUGGAGUUGAAGACUUCGCUGUUUAUAGCAAUGCGUCUGGUGUUGGCUUGGGUUGUGUUUUAACCCAAAGGGAAAAGGUGAUCGCAUAUGCAUCUCGACAGUUGAAGGAGCAUGAAAAGAACUACCCGACUCAUGAUUUGGAGUUGGAAACGGUAGUUUUCGCUCUGAGAAUAUGGAGGCAUUACCUCUAUGGCACGAAGUGCAACUUUUCACUGAUCAUAAGAGUCUCCAAUAUCUCUUUAGUCAGAAAUAAUUAAAUAUGAGGCAAUGAAGUUGGCUUGAAUUACUUAAGGAUGUACGACUGCGAGAUACUUUACCACCCUGGUAAGGCUAAUGUUGUUGCUGAUGUUCUCAGUCGGGAAGUCAAUCUUGAAAGAAAAAGGCCAAGAGCGUUGAGAAUAGAAGUUGUCUCAACAAUUGUGGAGAGUAUAAAGAAAGCUAAAGAGGAAGCUUUUGUGAAGAAUGAUCGAAAAGAAGAACUUUAGGGAAAAAUGUUGGUGUUCGGUAUAAACAGUCAUGGACUGAAGGUGUUCCAAGAUCGGAUUUGGAUACCUAAGACAAGAGGAGUCAGAGAUCUUAUGAUGGAAGAAGCUCAUAAGUCCAUGUACUCAAUUCAUCCCGGUAGUACUAAAAUGUAUAGGGACCUAAAACCCUACUACUGGCGGCCGACGAUGAAGCUUGAUGUUGAAAAGUAUGUAGCCGUGUGUGUGACUUGUGUGAGAGUCAAGACACAACAUCAGAAACCGUAUGGGAGUUUAGAACCUUUGCCUGUGCCUAUGGGUAAGUGGGAAGACAUUGCUAUGGAUUUUAUCACUAAACUGCCCAGAACGAAAAGUGGUCACAACAUGAUUUGGGUGAUCGUUGAUCGAUUCACUAAGAGUGCGCAUUUCAUAGCAUCCAAUGAGAAAUGGUCUAUGGAAAAGCGUGCGAAUUCUUUUGUGAAGGAAGUUGUGAGGCUUCACGGUGUUCCGUUAACGAUUGUGUCAUAUCGUGAUAGCCAUUUCACCUCGCGAUUUUGGAGAAGUCUACAAGAGGAAUUGGGUAGCAAGUUGUGUUUGAGUACAUCUUACCAUCCACAGACUGAUGGUCAGAGCGAACGGACGAUACAAACACUUGAAGAUAUGCUGAGAGCAUCUACCCUAGAAUUCCAAGGUACUUGGGAUGAACAUUUACCUUUGAUGAAAUUUUCCUACAAUAAUAGUUUCCACUAGAGCCUAAAGAUGGCACCUUGUCAAGCUUUGUAUGGACAGAAGUUUCGUACGCCGUCUUAUUGGCUUGAGGCUGGAGAAAAGAAGUUUAUGGGACCCGAGAUGGUUCAUCAAAUUGCUGAAAACCUGAAAAUAAUUUAGGAAAGAAUGUUAGUAGCUCAGGAUCGUCAAAAGUGCUAUGCUGACAAAUAGCGAAGACCGAUGACUUUUGAAGUUGGAAAUUCGGUUUUGCUUAAAGUCUCGCCAUGGAAGGGACUUAUAAGAUUUUGUAAAUGGGCAAAGUUUAGUCCAAGGUUUAUUGGACCUUUUAAAGUUCUUGAGAGGAUUGAGAACCAAGCUUACAAGAAUGAAUUGCCAGAAGAACUGCAUGGUAUUCAUAACACUUUCCAUGUGUGUUAUUUGAGGAAGUUUACUAGAGAACUUCCCGACAUGAUUCCACUUUCGGAGUUGAGAAUCAAUGAGAACAAAAGGUUGAUUGAAGAACCAGAGGCAAUCGUUCACUGAAAGACUAAGAAGUUGGGACGCAAGAUGGUCGAGUUUGUGCUUGUCCGAUGGAAACACACGAAUAGGCCAAAUCUCACCUGGGAGACGGAGAGUGACAUGAUCAGUCACUACCCGCAUUUGUUUGUUGAUGUGUGAUUCCGAGGACGGAAUCAUUCUAAGGUGGAGAGAAAUGUAACACCUGUGUUUCUGGGCUUGUCAUUAAUAUUGAUGUAAUAGUCCAGGUUAACCAUUGUAACCCGUUUCGAAAUAAUAGAAGUGUAUUAUUUGAGUAUUAUGUGUUUUGUGCUUAAUUGUGUGUCUCAAUUGAGUUAAGUAUGAAAAUAAGCGUCAAAAUUAAAUGUUAGAUAAAGCCGAUAUUUAUGUAUAAUGCUCUAGUAGUUGAAACGAGGUUUCCGAAUAUACAUAGAAUGCCGAAAUCCGAGUUAUAAGGAAGAAGUUAUGAUAUGUCGAAGUUUCGCGACAGAAACCGGCACGACGCUGAAUGACGUAAAAAGUGAAUUUACGUUAGAGUGAUACUUAGCCCUAGUGAUCUAAACGAAUGUUGUAGAUUUCGUUAAAUUGAGAGCGUGCAUAAAAAAAUCGCCCAAAUCUGACUUCGUAUGAGGAAGUUAUGAUUUUCCGAAGUUUCAACUUAUCAGUGUGCAGCCCGAAUACUCGAUUUGAGAUCAAGCGGUUUUUAGCCGAAACAAUCUAAACGAGAAUUGAAGAUCUCGUUAAUGGUAGUGCAAUGGUAAAAAGACAGAUGAAAACGGACGUCGGAUGAAGAAGUUAUGAAUUUAUAACGGGGUUUUUCUGUCCCGGCCUACUAAAAAUAAAUAAUAAAAAAAUAAUAUCAAAAUCAGCCGACGGAGUCUAAACGAAAGUUGUAGAGCGUAGUCUCACCUACGCGUGGAUAUAAAGAAAGUCGAAACGGAGUUCAUAUGAAGAAGAUAUGAAUUUCCGAAGUUUUUAAAUGAUUAACAUUUAUUAAUUAAUCUUUAAUUCGGAUGUAUAUCCGAAGGAGACACCGAUCUAGUCCGCACUACGCCCAGCGUAGUUGAGUACGACCAGCGUACACCGAAGUGUGACCCGCCUUACACUCAAGAGCUCCGAUAACGCAUGCAGUGACGAAUCCGAAGUGUACACCCCGCGUACUGAGCAUUACGCCCAGCGUAAUGUGAGGCUUCAGCCUCUAUAAAAGGGCUUGCGAGGGCAGCCAAUGCUUUUGCUCAAUUUAUUUUCUCUCUCUCCCGUUUUGCAUCGUUUUGCAUACAAAUUAUACCCCGAAACCCCGAUAUCAUUCCCGAGCCCCGAAGCAUGUCCUGAAGCCCCGAAGAUCCCGAGGAGUAGUGUUCCCGAGCCGAAGCUCUGCCUGCAAGAAGCCAAUUUUUUUGAAGAUCUUCCAGAUCUACCGAAGAAUACUACUUCUACAAGUCGUAGUGUUGUCCGAUCAUCUUCUGAUCAAGUGAGUAUGUAGUUACUUUCAUCUAAUGCAUAAUUACGAAGUAUUUUAUACGAAAUACGUGUUAUGUGUAUAUUUGUUGUUAUAUGUGUGAAUGUAUAUUCACUUUCUUCUAUCUCGUACAUAUGACUAAUUCUCUAUGAAAUAUGUGUUAUGUGUAUCUGUCUCAUCUGUUGUUUGGAAUAUGUAUUGAAUGAGAAUGUUAUACAGGUUUUAAACUAAGUAUAAAAAUAUAUAUUUUUAUCUACUAAUAUGUUGGGUAGACCAUGGGUAGAUGGUUGAUGUGUGAUAAACAGAUGAGAGGCCUCGAUGUUGCUGUUGAUCUAGUUAUUCAGCGGACUAUGGAUAAUGACCACAGACUCUUUCGAGACAGUCAUGUGGAACGCUGUGACAUCCUCAAAAUCACGGCCAAAAAAGACCGUUUUAAUUUAUGCUUUUAAAAUAAUUUGAGAGUAAAUCCUUUGAUUUAAAAGAGUUGCGGAAUUUGUUCCCAAAACAAAAUAUGAUAAAAUAAAGUUUUUCAAAGCAUUUCAUCAAGAGAUGCAUCUUCAUUAUAUAACAAUAUUCGGGAUGUCAUGUUCCCAUAAACAGACCAAAAAUAUAAACAACAAAAGAUAGAUCAUACAACAGUUACAUAUAACAAUUGGUCUAGUAUCAAAAGAUCUUGAUAAGUCAUCCAACUUAUGCUCUCGCGCCACUACCUAUAAUACAAAUAAACUGAGUGGGUCAGGCUUGGGAGCCUGGUGAGCAUAUAGGGUUUUCAACCCGAAAUAAAUAAUUAUAUUUAAUUUCACCAACCAACAAUAACCCAAUUACCCAUUCCCGUUAUCCUCACUUUACGUCCCUAAAACAACAUCUAUCUCAAGGGAUCUAAUAUAGGAUUUUCAUCGGGACAGACACUGCACAGGGGUUACCUCAAUAGUAGAUGUCCUAAAGGCAACCAUGAGGGGGAUAGAGUACACCGGUGAACACAUCGUUCACAACACCUAGCUAGCGUUCCACAGGACUGUCUAGAAAGAGUCUGUGGUUGUUAUCCAUACUCCGCUGAAUAACUAGAUCAACAACAACAACAUCGAGGCCUCUCAUUUGUUUAUCACACAUCAACUAUCUACCCAUGUUCUACCCAACAUAUUAGUAGAUAAAAAUAUAUAUUUUUAUACAUAGUUUAAAACAUGUAUAGCAUUCUCAUUCAAUACAUAUUCCAAUCAACAGAUGAGACACAUACACAUAGCACGUAUUUCCUAGAGAAUAAAUUAUAUCUCUGAGAUAGAAGAAAGUGAAUAUACAUUCACACAUAUAACAAAAAAUAUACACAUAACACGUAUUUUGUAUAAAAUACUUCAUAAUUAUGCAUUAGAAGAAAGUAACUACACACUCACUUGAUCAGAAGAUGAUCGGACAACACUACAGCUCUAAGAGUAGUAUUCUUCGGUGAAACUGGGUUCACUUCACUCACCAGGCUUCUUGCGGGCAGAGCUUCAGCUCGGAAACUCUUUUCUUCGAGGGAUCUUCGAGCUUCAGGACUUGCUUCGGUUGUCGGGAUGAUACCGGGGCUUCGGGGGUACUUUUUCACGUAAAUCGAGGUAAUAUGAGUGAGAGAGAAGAGAUUUGGCAACCACAAACGGUUGCCCCUUCAAAUCUAUUUAUAGGGCUAUUUUCUCAUUUUCCACGUCGUGGGCACUUCUUCCACGUCGUGAGCUUGGUCGUCAUUGCAUGCGUCAUCGUCCACUUGCUCUGCCAGGCUCCAGAAGGCGUCAGAAGCCAUGCCACGUCGUGGUCUCUGACGGUUUUGGUGUUUCGCACCCCGAACUUCAGAAAUCCAUAACUUUCGCAUACUUACUCCGUUUUCGACGUUCUUUAUAUCGACGUGUAGGUAAAAACAAGAUCUACAACUUUCAUUUAGACUUUGUAUGCUAAUUUUGACUUUAUUUUUAAUAUAUUAAUAAUAUACUAUUGUUAGUAGGCCGGGACAGGAAAACCCCGUUAGAAAUUCAUAACUCCUUCAUCUGACGUCCAUUUUCGACUGUCUUUUCACCGUUGGAGUACAAUCGAUGAGAUCUUUGAUUCUCGUUUAGAUUGUUUCGUCUAAAUAUCGCUCGAUCUCGUAUUCGAACUUCGGGCUAUACACUGCUAAACAAAAACUUCGAAAAAUCAUAACUUCCUCAUACGAAGUCAGAUUUGGGCCUUCUUUUUAUGCACGCUCUCAGUUUAACGAACUCUACAACAUUACUUUAGAUCGCUAAGUCCAAAUAUUUUUCUAAUGUAAACUCACUAUUUACGUCUCGCUGUGUCGUACCGGUUCUGUCGCGAAACUUCGACAAGUCAUAACUUCUUCGUUAUAACUCGGAUUUCGGCAUUCUUUAUAUAUUCAGAAACCUCGUUUCAACUACUACAACAUUAUCCAUAGAUAUUGGGUUGAUCUAACAUUUCAUUUUGACGUUUAUUUUUAUUCUUAAUUAAAUUAAGACAUACAAUUAAGCACAAAAACACAUAAUACUCAAAUAAUACACUUCUAUUAUUUCAAAACGGGUUACAAAGGUUAACCUAGACUAUUAUAUCAACAUUAAUGACAACCCCAGAAACACCGUCAUUACAAUUCUCUCCACCUUAGAAUGAUUCCGUCCCCGGAAUCACACAUCAACAAACAAAUGUGGGUAGCGACUCAUCAUGUCACUCUCCGUCUCCCAAGUGAGAUUUGGCCCAUUCGUGUGUUUCCAUCGGACAAGCACAAACUCAACCACAUUGCGUCGCAACUUCUUAGUCUUUCGGUCAAAGAUUGCCUCUGGUUCUUCAAUCAAUCUUUUGUUCUCAUCGAUUCUCAACUCCAAAAGUGGAAUCAUGUCGGGAACUUCUCUCGUGAACUUCAUCAAAUAACACACAUGGAAAUUUUUAUGAAUUCCAUUCAGUUCUUCUGGUAGUUCGAGCUUGUAAGCUUGGUUCCCAAUCCUCUAAAGAACUUUAAACGGUCCAAUAAACCUUGGACUCAACCUUCCCCUUUUACCAAAUCUUAUAAGUCCCUUCGACGGCGAGACUUUAAGCAAAACCGAAUCUCCAACUUCAAAAGUCAUCGGUCUUCGCUUGUUGUCAGCAUAGCUCUUUUGACGAUCUUGAGCUGCUAACAUUCUCUCCCUAAUUAUUUUCAACUUUUCAGCAGUUUGAUGGACUAUCUCUAGUCCCAUAAACUGCUUUUCUCCAGCCUCAAGCCAACAAGACGGCGUACGACACUUCUUUCCAUACAAAGCUUGAUAAGGUGUCAUCUUUAUGCUCGAGUGGAAACUAUUAUUGUAGGAAAAUUCUACAAAAGGUAAAUGUUCAUUCCAAUUACCUUAGAAUUCCAGGGUACAUGCUCUCAUCAUAUCUUCAAGUGUUUGUAUUGUUCGUUCGCUCUGAGCAUCAGUCUGUGGAUGGUAAGUUGUACUCAAACACAACUUGGUACCCAAUUCCUCUUGUAGACUUCUCCAAAAUCGCGAGGUAAAGCGGCUGUCACGAUCUGACAAAAUCGUUAACGGAACACCGUGAAGCCUCACAACUUCCUUCACAUAAGAAUUCGCACGCUUUUCCAUAGACCAUUUCUCAUUGGAUGCUAUGAAAUACGCACUCUUAGUGAAUCGAUCAACGACCACCCAAAUCAUGUCGUGACCACUUUUCAUUUUGGGCAGUUUAGUGAUAAAAUCCAUAGCAAUGUCUUCCCAAAUACCCAUAGGCACAGGCAAAGGUUCUAAACUCCCGUAUGGUUUCUAAUGUUGUGUCUUGACUCUCGCACAAGUCACACACUUGGAAACAUACUUUGCAACAUUAAGCUUCAUCGUCGGCCAACAGUUGUAGGGUUUCAGGUCCCUAUACAUCUUAGUGUCGCCGGGAUGAAUUAAGUACAUGGUUUUGUAAGCUUCUUCCAUCAGAAUUUCUCUGACUCCUCUUGUCUUAGGUAUCUAAAUCCGAUCUUGGAACACCUUCAGUGCAUGACUGUUUACACCGAACACUAACGUUUUGCCCAAACAUUCUCCCUUUCGGUCAUUCUUCUCAGAAGCUUCCUCUUGAACUUUCUUUAUACUUUCCAUUAUUGUCGAGACAACUUCAAUUCUCAACGCUCUUGGCCUCUUCCUUUCAAGAUUGACUUUCCGACUGAGAGCAUUAGCAACAACAUUUGCUUUGCUGGGGUGGUAAAGUAUCUCACAGUCAUAGUCCUUAAGUAACUCUAGCCAGCGUCGUUGCCUCAUAUUCAAUUCCUUCUGAUUAAAGAGAUAUUGGAGACUCUUAUGAUCAGUGAAAAGUUGGCACUUCGUGCCAUAGAGGUAAUGUCUCCAUAUCUUUAGAGAGAAAACUACCGCCGCCAACUCCAAGUCAUGAGUCGGGUAGUUCUUUUCAUGCUCUUUCAACUGUCGAAAUGCAUAUGCGAACACCUUUUCCCUUUGGUUCAAAAUACAACCCAACCCAACACCUGACGCGUCGCUAUAAAAACAAAGUCUUCAACUCCAUCGAGUAGAGAAUGUAUCGGUGCCUCGCAUAGUUUCUUCUUUAGCUUCUCGAAUGCUUCUUUAUGCUUAUCACUCCAAGCAUAAGUAGCUCCUUUGUGGGUCAAAGCUGUUAAUGGAGUAGCGAUCAAAGAAAAGCCUUGGAUAAACCUUCGGUAAUAUCCGACUAAUCCCAAAAAGCUUCAGAUCUCCGUGGGACUUUUCAGUUGUUCCCAGUUCAUUACAGCUUCAAUCUUUGCUGGAUCAACCAUUAUUCCUUCUUGGUUGAUCACAUGACCCAAGAAUUGGACUUCUCGAAUCCAAAAAUCACAUUUGAAGAACUUAGCAUAUAGCUUCUCCUUAUUCUAGACUUCUAACACUUCUCGCAAGUAUCUACCAUGCGCCUCUUGGCUUUUCGAAUAAAUCAGAAUGUCAUCUACAAACACUAUCACUGAUUUAUCAAGGAACGGAUUAGAAACCCUGAUCGUUAAAUCUACGAAUGUUGUUGGAGAAUUGGUUAGUCCAAACGACAUAACCAAAAACUCAUAGUGUCCGUAUCGUGUUCUGAAUGCAGUCUUCUCUAUAUCCUGCUCUCUUACUUUCAGGUGAUGAUAUCCUGACCUAAGAUCGAUCUUUGAGAAAUAGCUCGAACCUUGUAGUUGAUCAAACAGGUCAUCAAUCCUCGGCAACAUAUAUCUAUUCUUUAUUGUUGCCUUUUUCAGAUCUCUGUAAACGAUGCACAUUCUCAUACUUCCAUCUUUCUUCUUUACGAAUAACACCGGAGCUCCCCAGGGUGAUGAACUAGGUCUAAUGAAACCUUUGUCCAAUAACUCCUGAAGUUGCAUCAUCAGCUCCUUCAUCUCCGUCGGUGCUAAUCGGUAAGGUGCUUUUGCNNNNNNNNNNNNNNNNNNNNNNNNNNNNNNNNNNNNNNNNNNNNNNNNNNNNNNNNNNNNNNNNNNNNNNNNNNNNNNNNNNNNNNNNNNNNNNNNNNNNNNNNNNNNNNNNNNNNNNNNNNNNNNNNNNNNNNNNNNNNNNNNNNNNNNNNNNNNNNNNNNNNNNNNNNNNNNNNNNNNNNNNNNNNNNNNNNNNNNNNNNNNNNNNNNNNNNNNNNNNNNNNNNNNNNNNNNNNNNNNNNNNNNNNNNNNNNNUCUUUCCCAGGUGGGUUUACUUUGACUAUCUUCUUCUUGCACAAUAUCUCAGCAUCAUUGGCGCUAAGCCAAUCCAUUCCAAGCACGAUGUCAAAACCUUUAAGUUCAAUAGGCAAUAAUUUCUCGUGAAACUUAUUCUCAUUCAAAUCAAUUAAGAUGUUUUUCAUACGAUGACUAACAGGUACAAACUUGCCACUAGCAACUUCGACUAAUAAAGCAUUAUCUAGUCUAUCGACAGGCAAAGCUAGUUUUCUACCAAAUUCAUGUGAAAUAAAGGAGUAGUUGGCUCAAGACUCAAAUAAAAUUUGGGCAGGCAAUUCGUUAACGAGAAAGGUACCUGAAGCGACAUCAGCUUCAUCUUUAGCAGCUUCCAGUGUCAUCUGGAAGGCUCUCGCCUUCGGCUUUGGCGGAAUGUUGGGUCUUGCUGCCUCCUUUUUGGGGCAGUCCCUAGACACGUGUCCCUCCUCACCACAACCAUAACAAACUUUCUUGGUGAGAGUGCAUUCGUUGGCAUAGUGCCCUGGCUUUCCACAUUUAAAACAUGUGGCCACUACCUCACAUUUUCCAUGAUGCUUCUUCUUACAUUUGUCGCACCAUUUUGCUUCGCCUCCUCCUCCUCUCGAACUAGACUUCGAGAACUUUUUUUUCUUGUUGGACCUGAAGGUCCUUCGAACUUCCUCUUUUCACCAACCUCUAUCCUUUCCAGACCCUUUUCCUUCUGUUGGGCCUCCACAUUCUUAGCUGCUCGAACAACUUUUUUCAGAGUGGUUGCCAUCUUGACUGUCGGACCUAAUUCGGUAGGUAGUCCAUUAGCAAACCUCUCAAUCUUGGAGAGUUCCGUUGGCACCAGGUACGAAAAUAACUUUAUUUUCUCAGUGAAUGCAGUAGGAUAGUCGUCUACGCUCAUUCUCCCCUUCUUCAAGUUUUGGAAAUCAUUGUUCAAAUCAAUCAGAUCUAUCUUUGAACAGUACUGCACCCUUAGUUGUUCCAAGAAAUCCUCCCAUGACAUUUUCAGGGCUUCUCCUCAUUGCAUAGUAUCUGCCAACAGCUUCCAAAAACUCAAGACACCAGUCUUCAGUUGUCUAAAUGCAAAGACAGUCUUCUUUUUGUUGCUACAGUCGCAACUUUCAAAUACCAUCUCCAUUUCGGAGAUCCAAUCCAUAAUCUCAACAGGCUUCAGGCUUCCAGAAAGACUUGGCGGCUUGGCGCCCAAGAAAUUCUUGUACAUUCGCCCAUCCUUGUUGUUUCUCCUUUCCGGGUCGUUCCUUCGUUCUCCUUGAGUCCCAACUUGACUCAUAAUGCGACUAUUGUUUCCGUCCUCCGAUUGUUUGGGAAUCAGUUCAGGUUCCUCAAUAGGUAUGAUUGGUUCAUCCCUAUUUUCAUGUAACAUUUGUUGCAUUUCUUCCCUUUAUUCGGCUAACAUAGCCUGAACCAUGGCUUGCACCCCAGCCAUUGUUAUUGGUUCUGGUGCUGCUGCUACAACAGGUAUUUGCUCAAUCACUGGUGGUUGAUUCCUGUUUUCAUCUGCAUUUCCAACGCCACUCCUGGUUCUUACCAUUUUUUAUCUACACACCGAAUAAGGUGAAAUUCGAUCCUCAUCCAUGAUAGAUAAUUAAAUCAUCCUUAUCACUCCGAAACAUUUACAUGUUAGUUCUAAUACCGACGUCAUACGCUUAGAAUCUUACACACAUAAGGUUUCAAGAUCCGGUCGGCAGUAUACCAUAGAUCCGAACAAAUAAUAUCAUAUAUGGCAACAUAUAACAUUUAGCACAUAAAAGCAUUUUAGGCAGCUUCCUAAAAUAUACUAGUGCUCGUGUCUAUAAUAUAAUAGACACACAUCUCACAAUCUCCACUUAGCAUUCUAAUUUUAAGUCUAGAAAUCCUACAAAUUCCUAGUUCGCUUAAACUAAUGCUCUGAUACCAACUGUGACAUCCCCAAAAUCACGGCCAGAAAAGACCGUCUUAAUUUAUGCUUUUACACUAAUUUCAGAGUAAAUCCUUUGAUUUAAAAGAGUUGCGGAAUUUGUUUCCAAAACAAAAUAUGAUAAAAUAAAGUUUAUCAAAGCAUUUCAUUAAGAGAUACAUUUUCAUUAUAUAACAAUGUUCGGGAUGUCAUGUUCAGAUAAACAGACCAAAAGCAUAAACAACAAAAGAUAGACCAUACAACAGUUACAUAUAACAAAUGGUCUAAUAUCAAAAGAUCUUGAUAUGUCAUCCAACUUAUGCUAUCACGCCAAUACCUGUAAUACAAAUAAACUGAGUGGGUCUGGCUUGGGAACCUGGUGAGCAUAUAGGGUUUUCAACCUGCAAUAAAUAAUUACAUUUAAUUUCACCAACCAACAAUAACCCGAUUACCCAUUCCCGUUAUCCUCACUUUACGUCCCUAAAACAAUAUCUAUCUCAAGGGACCUAAUCAAGGAUUUUCAGCGGGACGGACAUUACUGCAAAGGGGUUUCCUCAACAGUAGAUGUCCUAAAGGCAACCAUGAGGGGGAUAGAGUACACCGGUGAAUACAUCGUUCACAACACCUACAGGUUAUGAGCCUGCUAGCGUUCCACAGGACUGACUAGAAAGAGUCUGUGGUCGUUAUCCAUACUCCGCUGAAUAACUAGAUCAACAACAACAACAUCGAGGCCUCUCAUCUGUUUAUCACACAUCAACUAUCUACCCAUGUUCUACCCAACAUAUUAGCAUAUAAAAAUAUAUAUUUUUAUACAUAGUUUAAAAACUAUAUAGCAUUCUCAUUCAAUACAUAUUCCAAUCAAUAGAUGAGACAUAUACACAUCGCACGUAUUUCAUAGAGAAUAAAUCAUAUCUAAGAGAUAGAAGAAAGUGAAUAUACAUUCACACAUAUAACAACAAAAUAUACACAUAACACGUAUUCUGUAUAAAAUACUUCAGAAUUAUGCGUUAGAAGAAAGUAACUACACACUCACUUGAUCAGAAGAUGCUCGGACAGCACUACAGCUCUAAGAGUAGUAUUCUUCGGUGAAACUGGGUUCACUUCACUCAUCGGACUUCUUAUGGGCAGAGCUUCGGCUCGGAAACUCUUUUCUUCGCGGGAUCUUCGAGCUUCUGGACUUGCUGCGGGUGUCGGGAUGAUACCGGGGCUUCGGGGGUACUUCUUUGCAUGUAAAUUGAGGUAAGAUGAGUGAGAGAGAAGAGAUUUGGCAACCACAAACGGCUGCCCCUUCAAAUCUAUUUAUAGGGCUGUUUUCUCAUUUUCCAUGUCGUGGGCACUUCUNUUCACAUCGUUACAUCAUCGCAAGUUGGGUCUGGUAGACUCCAGGAGUCGUCAAAAGACAUGCCACGUCGUGACCACUGAUUUCACAUCGUGGUCUCUGACAGUCUUGGAGUUUCGCGCCCCGAACUUCAGAAAUUCAUAACUUUAACAUACGAACUCCGUUUUCGACGUUCUUUAUAUCGACGCGUAGGUAAAAACAAGGUCCACAACUGUUAUUUAGACUUUGUAGGCUUAUUUUGACUUUAUUUUUAAUAUAUUAAUAAUAUACUAUUUUUAGUAGGCCGGGACAGGAAAACUCCGUUAGAAAUUCAUAACUCCUUCAUCUGACGUCUGUUUUCGACUGUCUUUUCACCGUUGGACUACUAUCGAUGAGAUCUUCGAUUCUCGUUUAGGUUGUUUCGGCUAAAUAUCGCUCAAUUUCAUAUUCGAACUUCGGGCUGUACACUGCUAAACCGAAACUUCGAAAAAUCAUAACUUCCUCAUACGAAGUCAGAUUUGCACAUUCUUUUUAUGCAUGCUCUCGGUUUAACGAACUCUACAACAUUCCUUUAGAUCACUAAGUCCAAAUAUUGCUCUAAUGUAAACUCACUAUUUACGUCUCGCUGUUUCGUACCGGUUCUGUCGCGAAACUUUGACAUGUUAUAACUUCUUCUUUAUAACUUGUAUUUCGGCAUUCUUUAUAUAUUCGGAAACCUCGUUUAAACUUCUACAACAUUAUCCAUAGAUAUCGACUUUAUCUAACAUUUCAUUUUGACGCUUAUUUUUAUUCUUAAUUAAAUUAAGACACACAAUUAAGCACAAAACACAUAAUACUCAAAUAAUACACUUCUGUUAUUUCAAAACGGGUUACAAAGAUUAACCUAGACUAUUAUAUCAACAUUAAUGACAAGCCCAUAAACACAGUCAUUACAAACGCUAGCAGGCUCAUAACCUGUAGGUGUUGUGAACGAUGUGUUUACCGGUGUACUCUAUCCCCCUCAUGGUUGCUUUUAGGACAUCUACUGUUGAGGAAACCCUUAGCAGUAAUGUCCGUACCGAUGAAAAUCCUAGAUUAGGUCCCUUGAGAUAGAUGUUGUUUUAGGGACGUAAAGUGAGGAUAACGGGAAUGGGUAAUCGGGUUAUUGUUGGUUGGUAAAAGUAAAUAUAAUAAUUUAUUGCGAGUUGAAAACCCUAUAUGCUCACCAGGCUCCCAAGCCUGACCCACUCAGUUUAUUUGUAUUACUAGUAGUGUCGCGAGGGCAUAAGAUGGAUGAAUCAUCAAGUUAUUUUAUUUAUUAGACCAGUUAUUAUAUGUAACUGUUGUAUGGUCUAUCUUUUGUAGUUUAUGCUUUUGUGUCUGUAUCGGAACAUGACAUCCCGAGUUUUGAUUUUAUAAUGAAAAUACAUUUUGUUAUGAAAUGCUUUGGUAAAUAUUAUUUUAUCAUGCUUUUUUUGGAACAAAUUCUGCAACAAUUUAAAAUCAAAAGGAUUUACUCUGAAAUUAUUUAAAAAAACAUAAAUGAAACUGGUCUUUUCUGACUGUGAUUUUGGGGAUGUCACACUGCGCCUAAUCGAGAACAUCAUAAUCCUGGCAGCUACGCCCAAAGGACAAUAUUAGCACUUGCGCCUAAUAGAGAAUAUUAUAAUUCUGGUAGUUGCGUCUAAAUGAUAAUGUUGGUAGUUGUGCUUAAUAGAUAACGUUGACAACUGUGUCAUUAGGAAAACGGUGGACUGCGUGCCUAUUCCUUAGGAAAAUCCUUAGGAAUGAAUGAGUUAAUGAUAAAUGAUUCUUAGGAUACAUCCUUAAGAAAUAACGAAGAUAAUGGGGAUGGAUAAUUGGGUUAAUUUUUUAAUGAUUAAACAUAAUUAUAUUAUUGUGGGUUGAAAACCCUAUGUACUCACUAGGUUUCCCAAUAUGACCCACUCAAGUUUAUUUGGAUCACAGGUGUCUAUACGAAGCUACUUUACACUGAGAGAUUAAGGAGACGUAAAUCACUAGUGUAAAUGAAUGGAAGGUCUGUUUAUGCUUAUAUUUAUGUAUUAACGAUGACGUCCUAAAGUUUUAAAAAGAAAUGAAAUACAUUUCUUCGAAAAUGCUUUGAUAACACAUUUAUCAUGUUUUUCUGGGAACAAAUUCCGCAACAUUUUUAUAAAAAGGGUACUCUCAUUUUUAAAUAAAGCAUAAACAAAUCGGUCUUUUCUGGCUGUGAAAAUGGGGAUGUCACAAUUGGUAUCAGAGCAUUAGUUUAAGAGAACUAAGAAUAAGGGUUUAUUUCUAGACUUAAACUUAGAAUGCUAAGCGAUGAUUAUGAGUUGAGUGUGUGAUGUUGCGCAUAAAAAAACACAAAGAUAACCAAGAAUGAACCUGUUGAUUCUAAAAGAAUAGCCAGGACAAUCUCUUCAAAACCACGUUGAUUCUACGAAUACUGUGGGAUUGGCUUCAAAAACUGGGUUAACACGCACAAAAUUUGGGAGAAAACUGAAAGUUCAUAAAAUUGAUGAUCGACCAUCCAAAUUACAUAAAAAACAGUUAAAUAAAAAGCAUAAAUUAAAAUGAAACCCUAAAAGUCCAUGGGCGAAAUACAAACCCAAAAAUUAAGGAAAAAUAACAAAAUUGUUCAUAACUCCAUUUAGAAAGCGAUUUCUGGACUCAAAAUGGGUAAGUCCCUUUCGGGGACUUAUCUAGAUGUGCUCCUUGCUCCAAGCUUCGACUUGACUGGUCGUAGGCCCAAAACGGAGACUCGUAGCCAAAGUUAUGGCCAUUUCCGUGAAGCCCCUUUAAUCACACGAUCGUGGGCCUCUAGGAAUGCAAUGGCCCGAUCCUCCACACUAGGGCCCGCAUCUGUGUGUCUAAUAUAUUUUAGGUAGUACACCUGAAUAGACACAGCCACUAUCUUAUUUUGGGAGGAUGCCUAAAAUGCUUUUAUGUGCUAAAUGAUUUGUGAUACUUUAUGAUGCUAUUGUUCGAUCAGAUAUAUGGUAUGUUGCCCACCGGAUCCAGAAACUUUAUGUGUUUAGAUUUCAAAAUGUUUAAUUACAGUAUUAGAACUGGCAUGUAACUUUUCGGAGUGAUAAGAAGAUUUACAUGUGGAUCGUAAAUAAAACCUUUCCUAUCUUAAUUAUCAUCAUUACACAUCAAACGUCUGAUUUGGUGUAUAGAUCAACAUGUUGAGAACUCGAAGCGGAUUAGGAGACGCUAAUGGAAAUGUUGAUCAACGGCCUAUGAUUUAACGUGCACUAAAGGUAGCAGCUACACCAUAGCCAAUCACAAUGGCAAGAGUCCAAGCAAUGAUUCAGGCUAUGAUAGCCAAACAAAGGGAGGAGAUGAGGCAAAUGUUGCUUAAUAGGGAUGAACCUACCAUGCUCAUUGAAUAACUAGAACUAAAUGAUGAACAGUUAGAGAAGGGAAUUACAGUAGAACCGUUGGUCAAGCUGAACUGCCAGUGGUUAGGAGGAAUAACCAAGAGGAAGGGAUCAAGAGAAAUAGAUGCAAGUAUAAGGAUUUCACAACUUGCAAACCAUAGAUUUUCACUGGGAAAGAGGAUCCAAAUCGGAGUUACAGACCGGAUCUCGGAGAUGGAUUUGGCUUUCAUAACAUGUAGAUUCAAAGGAAAGCUAAAAACCAUAUAUGCAGUGCGUCAGUUGAUGGGUGGAGUUGUUCACUAGUGGAACACUUUGGGAAAGAUCAUGAGUCCUAAUGAGCUGCUGCAACUGACGUGGGCAGAGUUCCUAGUGCAUUUCAAACGAAAGUUUUGCUCGGCCCAAAAUCUGUUGGAGCUAGAGAACCAAUUCCUAACAUUGAAGAAGGGCAUCAUGCCUAUUGACGAAUACAGCAAUGCCUUCACCGACAAGAUGGAAUUUUCUUUGCGCAUCGUCCCUGGCGAACUAACUAAAGUCGAUAAGUAUACAAAGGGACUACCAUGGGAAUAUGUUGUGCUAGUACGCCAGGCACCUACCAUCGAGGCGACUAUCUGGGCUGCUAAGUCUGUUGAAGAAAUGAUCAAGAGUAGGGCCACCAACAACGUCGAAGUUGGUGAAAGAGAAAGUUUGAAGGAUCUUCAAUGUCCAAUGAGAGGAGAAAAUGCUCGAAGUCUGGUUCGAAGAAGUUUGAAGGAGGAGGAGGUGAAGCAAGAUGGUGUGAUAAGUGCAAGAAGAAACACUUUGGAAAAUAUGGCAAGAAGGUGACUUGUUUCAAGUGUGGAAAGUCUGGGCAUUAUGCCGAUGAGUGUAUAUUCAACAAAAGGGUGUAUUACGGAUGUAAUGAAGAAGGGAAUUCAAGCUGGACUGCCCAAAGAGGGAAGGAGCUACAAAGCAAAAUGCACCGCCAAAGCCGAAGGCAAAAACAUUCCAUAUGAUCCUUAAUGAAGCAGAUGAUAAUGCAAGGAAUCAAGAAUGAGGACUGAUACCCGAAGAUCAAGUUAUGAAGUAGCCAUGCAGAUAGUAUCAGGAGGUGUAGCCUAUUAGAGGCAUAUUAUAGGUUGAACUUUAACAUCCAUGUAAUCAUUUCAAGAAGUAAUAUAAGCCUUGGUUUUGUUAUCUGGUGCGUUAAGUUGUUAUGUGAUUUUCAAGUAUGGUGACUUGGAAAACUGCGAGACAAUACUUGGGACAAGUAUGAGUAUAUGUGAAUGGUAGUAGAGGCCUAUACUACCAGAAGCACAGGACUCGCACUUGGAUUAGGGAAAGUCACAAGGUUACCAAGGCACUAGUAAUUGAUUCUUUUUUGUUCAUGUUUGUCGUCACCAUCGUUUCGGUAAUGACUAAGAAGAUGAUUGUUAGUCCAACCCUAGUGGUCAUAUCAAAUCGAGUCCGACUAAGAUGAAUAUGUUGCGUGGUUCAAAAAACCAAGGUCGAUGUUGCAUCUGACUUAAGCCAGACGAUUGAAGUGAAAGAUAAUCGAACCGAUCAAUAGAAGUAUCGUAACCUUUGUUAAGGUAAGAAGCUUGUAGCUAGAAGUGCUACAUGCUAGAAUAUGAUUAUAUCACAUUAGAACAUGAAGGAAGGUAUAUUUUGUUCUAUAGUUUGACUCUAAAAGACCUAAGUCUAAGUGUUGCAUCAUACGAUAAGAGGUCAUUACAACAUGACCCAUCGGUUUAUUGUGGUAAUCAAAUAACUUCUCUUAAUAUAAGUAUGUUUAACAAGAAGUAGGAGUCUCUGAUUUGGAUCGAUUUUGUAACUCGAAGGUUACGAUUGGAAGUCCAACAUAGGAUAAAGAACGGGUGCAAGAUUGAGUACCUCCUGCGGUCAAGAAGUCCAAGAGUUUGAUACUCAUUCGAAGGAACAUAAAAGUUACGAUUAUUACCUAAUAUGAAGAGAUAACAUAAGGAUUCAUUAUACAAGCCCUAUUUUGUUGAUUAUUCUGGGACGUAAUCAUCCUAAGGAGGAGAUAACUGUAACGCCCGCAGAUUCAGGCUAGUCAAUUAGAGAUAUUGAGCGUCAAAAAUGACAUUUUUAUGGGAGUUUAUUUAGAAGAAAUAAUCUUAACCUAGUAAUAGUAUAUGUCACAAGGGUUCCGUACAUAUAAAGAACGCCGAAAUCCGAGUUAUAACGAAGAAGUUACGACCCGACGAAGUUCUACAGCAAAACCGGCACGACACCGCGUAACAUAAAAAGUGAAUUUUUGAUAAAUUACUUUUUAGCCUUAGAGAUAUAAAUGAAAGUUAUAAUAUAGGUUAAACCGAUAGCAUGCAUAAAAAGAACGUCAAUAUCUAACUUCGUAUGAGGAAGUUAUGAUUUUUCUAAGAUUUCGCAAAGUAGUAUACAACCCGGAAUUCGAAUUUCAGAUCGAGCGAUUUUUAGCCAACACAACCUAAAUGAAAAUUGAAUAUCUCAUUAAUAGGAGUUCAACGAUAAAAAGACAUUAAAAAUGGAGUUCGAAUGUACAAGUUAUGAAUUUUACACGGUCAUUAACAAUGUAAUCUUCUCAUACUAGUAAAUUUAAAAUCGGUCGAGAGUUAGCUGUUUGAGUCAAAAGGAGAGUUGUAGAUCAUGUCAAUACCUAUGCGUGGAUAUAAAUAAUGUCAAAAAUGGAGCUCGUAUGCAAAAGUUAUGAAUUUUUGAAAAUUGGUUGUUUUACCUGCGUCCAGCACCACGUGUCAGCACCAAGCGAAGCCAUGGUGCCUACGCAAGGCCACGACGUGGAUUGGCUCCAGAUAGCCUAUAAAUAGAGGCGGAAAUCAUCCGUUUUCUUCACACCUUCACCCUUCUUUCUCUCUCAACGCUCCUAAUCUCUCCCUCCCAAUCCCUAGCAACUUCUAAGUGCUCCGAGAAGAAGAUCUUUCGGCUCAGAAGUUCCACCCCCGCAUAGCCCGGUUCCUAGCCAAACCCACGGUAAGUUAGUUAUGAUUACCCUACUUUAAGUAUAACUUAUGUUUGAGUUUAUUAUCAUUAUUAUGAACUUAUAAACAAGAUUUAUCAAUGAUUCCAAGUAGUUAUAUUGAUUGAUCUACUUAUGGGGAUAAUGUCUAGGCUGUGAUUUUGUGAGGUGUUUAAAGUGGGGUUUCCAAAUAGUAUACUUCGUAUACCAAACGAACCCUACCUCUGAUAUGAUCCUACCUGGUUGCUCUUUACAUGAUAGAUCAUGAAAGUAGACUUUGAGUUAAUGAUGAAUCUAGACUAAUAAUUAGUUGCAAUAAAGAUUAGACUAAAACUUAGCGAUAAUAAUGUUAGGUUUCGUCGAAGGAAGAUAGAAUCGUUAGAAGUGAAGCGUUUCUCGACUUUGGAAUUAUCACUUUGAAAAGUGAGUGCAUAGUUACUUUCAUCUUACACAUUGAUAUGAAGUAUUUUAUAUAAAUUACGCGCUAUGUGUGCAUGUUAUCUGUUUACUUGAUAUAUAUGAUAAAUGAACGAUCUUAUACAUGUACUCUAAACAUCCUAGUAGCUGUGCUCAAAGUGUAGUAUCGGUAGCUGUGCCGUCACACCCCCAAACCAGAACGACGGAAACGUUCAGGGGCGGAGGACGUCAUGUAUAGUAUCAUAACAAUGCAUAAUAGUAAAACAAGCAACAACAUCAUCCAUUGAAUUAAUGAUAGAAUUUAUACAUGUGUGUUCUUUGUAAAGUUGUAAGACACCAAAAAUAUAUAAUCAAAAUAAAGACGAGUCUUGAAUACGCUCUGUCUCCUCAAAACCUGGUCAUCGAUACAUGUCUACUGGUGACCUAAGAAUACAAGUUAUUUUGAAAGAGUAGAUCAACAUUUAAGCUGGUGAGUUCAUAAGUAUAUUAGUGUCAAAAAUUUUCAUCUGUUUCAUGAAAAUGUUUGUAAGUAUUUAGAUGUAAAUGUUUGUAUGCUUCCAAGAAAAUCCUAUAUUUUCUACUAAAAUGAAAAGUAGUCUUCUUCCAAGACUCAACUGUUUUGUAUGUUUGUUUUCUCGUAAAAAUUGAUGUAAGAUGUAUGUUUGUACUUGUAAUAGUAUAAAUGUGGGUUUUCCAUAUUUUUUUAAAACUUUCUAUACACGAAAAAUAGUAUGCAUUUCUUACGUGAGAAUAUCACUGUGUGAAUAUGAUGGAAAAAUGACGAUAUUCAGUAGUGUUGUAUAAAAUAUCUACUGAAGCACUAACUACCUUAAAGCAAAUUGUUAAUUAAGGUAAAACGUGAUGAGGUUAUAACCAUGCUUGAUUGACUUGUAUAAAACACAACGAUCAAAAUACAUCGAAAUGGUAUGACAUUUGUCACUUGUAGACCUGUAGGUCCCAUUGUAGCUAGCAACAAGGUUUAGGAUGGUCAAUCCAGUAUAGAUCUAUACACAAACUCACGCUCUCCCUCCAAGAGACUCUGGUUACAAAGCGUGACACAACAAGUAUAUUGAUAUGCCAUGAAGUAGUGGCUCACAUUAAUGUUAUCUUGUUCUAGUUAUAGUAUGUAUGUUCCUUUCUGUUCUAGUUAUAGUAUGUAUGUUCCAAUCUGUUCUAGUUAUAGUAAGUAGUAAUACUCUAAACUAUACCUAUUAUAGUUUACUAGUAUGAUUGUUUGACUGUUACUAAUUUGCAGAAAAGUCUCAAUUACUCACAUAAGCAACUAACUUAAGUAUGUAACUUAAAAAUGGGUUUAAUAUUCAUAUAUGUAUUUAAUAAGCAUAACUAUGAUUUUGCUGACAUUCGAACUAGUGAUCCUACCCUAAGCCCACAACCAAACAAAGAAACAGGAGUUAAGGUAUCUCGCAGUAGUCCUAAGCCCGUUAAAGCAUACUUACACGUAAACAGAUAGACGAAUAUGAUUUGAUAUAAAAGAAGUUUAUAAAAGAUUUAAAAGAGUUUUAACAAGUUUUGAGUAUAAGAAAUCCCUUUGGAUGUUGUUUUCACAUGUAAAUGGUUAACAAAAUUUAAUUGUGUUCUACUUGUUAUCCCCCAUAAAAGCAUUUAAAAGGUAUUUAAAAGUGUAUUGUAGGGGUAUGAACUCAUAUGUAGUGAGUGAUUCGAAUGAAAGAUCGAUAUAGGAUGAUAAGUAUGCCAAGUGAAGUAUCGAGCACAAACGGGUCCUAUUAAGCAUAUAAUAACACAUAUAUGUAUACAAUUAGUAUAUAUAACAACUAAAAUGUAAGGGAAACAACCUUAGGAACUAGGAAACACUUUGAAUGAAGUGUUAGCAUCACAAAUGAUUGGCUGAAAGGUGUUCACGACUAAACAAGGGGUGUUCACGGCCUUAGGAGGGUACAUGUCCAUAGAACGCAUGAUGUGUUCACGGACCAAGGUUGAUCUUAUGAAGGUUUCACGGUCCUAUGAUGCAUCUAUGAAGGGUUCAUGGCCCUAUGAAGGGUUCACGGUCGUGAACUCUUGAAGAUCUUGCAAAUAAGUGUUUGUUUCAUGGGUGGAAUCAAGUGUUUCUAAGGGACAACAAGAUGAUGGAUGAGAUACUUAUGUUUUGGAAGCCUUUAGAAGUGUUCACAGUUGAAGAUAGUUGAGAGAGAAGUGGUGUUCACGGCUAGGGUUUAAAGAAAUGAAGAAAAAUGAGCCAACUCCUUAUAUAUAAGACUUGUUCACGGCCAAGGAUGGGUACACGGCCAUGAACCUAGAUGUGGCCGUGAACUCCUUUUGGUGGUGUUUCCGGCUCGAUUGCAACUCAAUGAACUCAAGCUAACACUUCCUAACUCACAAUCCUUGAGUGUACUAGGCUUAGAAAUUCUCAAACAUACCCUUAACACAACAUAAAGGUAACAGAAACAAGUCUGACUUUAGAUUGAAUUGAUUGACUUUACAAGAUAGAAAUUCCAGGUUGUCGCAUGUGCCUAAUAGAAAACAUCAUAACCCUGGCAGCUACGCCCAAAGGACAAUAUCGACUGUUGUGCCUAAUAGAAAAUAUCAUAAUUCUGGCAGCUGCUCCUAAAUGAUAAUAUUGGCAGCUAUGCUUAAUAGAUAAUGAUGAUAUAUGGUCCAUUAGCAUGGCCUAGACUGCUCUAGCGCGCCAUAUGAUGCGACAUCGGCUCCGACCACCUGCUCUAAGGAGAUGCUUCUGCACCAGAGAUAGAUCUGUGAGGUCACAACAAACAAGACCGUUAGAGCUGCCCCAAAGACUGUGCCCUGGGAGAGAGCUCCGACGGUCAAGUUAGAUCAUUUGGUAGAUCUGAGAUGGAUCUCUUUAGCUAGAGAGGAUCAUCCUUGUGUUGGUGGUGUUGUAUGGUGGUUGACGGCGGCGGGUGCCGGCUGAGCCACCCGGCCAAAGUAUAGGGCGGCGGCUGAGCCAAGGGGAAGAUCCUAAUGGUGGCAGAACCACCUAGGAAAGAGUCCUCCUUCAUGAAGGAGGCACUAUUCUAUUUAUAGGGGGACAACUAGGUCAAGGGGAAUUAGGUCAGGCCUUGGGCCAACCCAAUUCAGGCCCAGCUAGCAAGGAGCUGGGUAAGGCCGCCCGGAGGCGCCGCGCGGGACUUANUGACGGGCGCGUACCAGGAAAGGACGGCAAGGGUGCGCCAGGAAAGGGAGCGUCAGGUCGGGCCUGCAAGAGAUUCCCCAGCAAGGCUGGCAAGGGAGUCCCCAACAAGGUUGUCAAGGGAAUGCCAGGAGAGGCUGGCAGGAGCGCGCCAGGCCAAGAUGGCGCGCUAGAGCAGUGUAGGCCAUGCUAAUGGACCAUAUAUCAUUAGAUAACAUUGACAGCUGUGUCAGUAGGAAAAUGAUGGACUUUAUGCCUAUUCUUUAGGAAAAUCCUUAGGAAUGAAUGAGUGAAUGAUAAAUGAUUCUUAGGAUAGAUCCUUAAGAAAUAACGAAGAUAAUGGGGAUGGAUAAUUGGGUUGAUUGUUUAAUGACUAAACAUAAUUAUACUAUUGUGGGUUGAAAAACAUAUGUACUCACUAGGUUUCUGAACCUGACCCACUCAAGUUUAUUUGUGUGACAGGUGUCGAUACGAAGCUACUUUACACUGAGAGAUUAAGGAGAUGUAGAUCACUAGUUAAAAUGAAUGUAAGGUCUGUUUAUGCUUAUGUUUCUGUAUUGACGAUGACAUUCCAAAGUUUUAAAAGAAAUAAAAUACAUUUCUUCGGAAAUGAUUUGAUAACACAUUUAUCAUGUUUUUCUGGGAACAAAUUUCACAACAUUUUUCUGGCAUCGGGCCUCGCCCGGUAUACAAAUAACAUAUAAGCACAUGCAUAAAAAUCACUUAAACACAUGCAUAAAAAUCACAAUGAUAAAUAGCAUACAAUAUAAUCAUUACGCCCCGCCCGGUAAUCAUAUAAACACAUAACACAUGCAAGAGUAACACAUACAACUAGUAAGGAAACUCACCUCAAGCUGCAAAAUCACUCGGAUAAAAUCUCAAUCUGUUGGUCCGGAAGAUCCUCGCGCUAACCUCAUAAUAUAAAUAUCCAAUUAAUAAUUGGAUCUCGACCCAUAAUAACCAAUCUAAGUUCCUUUUCCAAUAUCCAGGGUAAAAGAUUGUUUUACCCUUUUUCUUACAUGGCCCAAAACCAAGGCCCAAUCCAUUGCUCAAAAGGGCUAAAUUCCAAAAUGGCAUCCAUAGGCCCAAUAAGGCCCAACUUCCAAAUUGGGCUGAAAAUCAUCAUGGACCUAAUCCCAUGAAAGUCCAUAGUCUAUCCAUGACCCAAAGUCAAAAUUCUAAUGACCUAACAAGGCCCAAAUCUUAAAAACCCAAAAUAUGGCCAAAACCCAGGGAAGUCAAACCAAAAGUCAACCUACUGUACGCUUAGCAUACUCCUUCCAGGGCAAGUAUGUGCAUCGUACCAACUGGGUAUGCCCAACGUACUCCCCAGAUUAUCAACCCAACCCAUUAAUAACUUAAUUGGUUAAGCCAACAUGCUAAACUCUCAGAUCUGGUUCUAAAUGGCGACUUACUAUGUAAAGUUGACAACUUUACACCCAUGCAUGAAUUAAUGGGGCCCAACACUAAAAAAGAAGCUUAAUAAGACUCUUAACACUUGCAUGGAAUAAUAUCUUACAUAAAGUUUGCAUUUUUAUGGGCAAAGGACCUCAAAUCAGCGAAGAUCUAACAUCCAUAGCUUCUGGAGUGGACCAUAACUUCAUAUAUGACUUAAAAGACCCAAAAACGCAUAAAUAUCACCAUAAAAUGGAUCUAGCACAAAGGACCAUCCAGAUGAGAGAUUUUUACCUCAAAAGGCUUGCUAAGGUGAAGAUAACUCUAGAUCUACAAGAUUAAGCUACUCCCAAGAAACCUCGAAGUGUUCCUCGUUUUCUUCUUCUUCACCACAAAACACCAACAAACUCACUUUCAAGCUCAAAUCUGACCAAAUACACUUAGGGUUUCGAUAUUGUGACAUAGGGUGAUGGAGGCUGAUCAAUAAAAUGUCCAAAGGUGGUUUAAGAUGUUUAAGUAGGCUGCAAACCCUAAAAAUUAGGGUUUGCCCCUGCUCUACGUAUGUCAUGCAUACUCUACGUACGCCCCACAUACGUGGGUGAAUCUUGCGUCCAGAAAAUAGAUAGUAUGAUAAGCGUACUCAUAGAGUAUGCCCUGUGUACUAGCUAUGGACCAAAAUGAUAAGGAUUUUGCAUUAAGGGGUUAGAAAGAAACUUACCAAAUUACGAAUGUUACAAUUCACUUUAAUCAGAAUUUGUCCUUGAAGUAUGCUGCUCCAAACAACUUUGGGUAGUGCUCUCUCAUCUCGUCCUCCGGCUCCCACGUCCAUUCUGAACCCUUUCGAUGCUGCCACUGAACUUUCACCAAUUCAACAACCUUGUACCUCAAGGCUUCGUCUUCCUGUCAAGAAUUGUUACCGGUCUCUCGAUAUAAUUCAUGCGAUCAUCCACUUAAAUAUCCUCUAAUAGAACCACCACGGAAUCAUCAAUUAAACAUUUUUGUAACUGAGAGACAUGAAAUAUGCUAUGGAUCAUACUAAGAUCCUCGGGAAGAUACAAGCGAUAAGCAACCCGAACCACCCGUGUGAUAAGUCCAUUUUAUGAAUGUACUAAAUUGUCAUAAAUCUGUUGAAUUGAUGUAUAAUUGUCCAAGAAUGGCACUACAUUGCUGAGUUAUUGAACUUCAUAUGCAGGUCAAUAUAUUGUACUAAAAGUGGGUGGAACCUACAAGUAAAACGGAUUGUUAAAGGAAUGAAGAAACGUUGCUGGGAAAAUUGACCAUUCUUCAAUGUUUUGGUCUAAUCUCAAGUUCUGGAGCUCCGAUUGACAUGAGUAUAGAAGUUCUGGAAACUAGACAAGAUUUUCUACAACUUUCGUGUUUUGUGCUUCUGCUAGUUAUGUCGUUUUGACUACCAAAACUUGCACAGAAGAUGAAGGACACCUCCAGACAUCUAAGACGUCCAGGUCAAACAGCCAACAUCUGGUCGUUAUUUCAGAGCAGAAAAGAAGGAAGAACCCCGUCAGCAUCUAACAUGGAAUCUAAGAUGUCCCCUAGGAUGUCUUGGCAUUUUAGGGACGUCCCGUGUUGGAACGGUGUGUUUAGGAAAGUUUAGAAAACAAGGCACGACGUCCUAGAACGCAUCUAAGACGUCUCCUAAGACGUUUGACGUUUUUGGCCAUUUUUUAGUAUAUUUCAAGGACGUACAAAGAUCGCUUGGGCGUUAUACACGACGUCUAAGAUGUCUCCUAGGACGUCCAACGUCCCACAUCGCCCAAUUUCAUUAUUUUUUAUCCCACACUAUAAAUAGGAGCCUAUUUCGUUGGUUAAAAUUCGGAUUCAAAGCAAGAUUCGAUUCAAUUCAUCAUCAAGCUAUAAGUGAAGAUCAUUUCAUUGGUUAAUUUUCAUCAAUUCUUUAUUUUCCAGAAUUAUUUCUUCUUCCCCAAGGUUUAUUUGUUCUACACUUCGAUAAUCAUUAGGCUACAUUUGUUUGAUGAUUCUACGUUUGUUUAUGAAUUCUAUAAUGGAUUUUAUUCAUUUUAAUCAAGUUAUUUGUCUUAUGAACUCAAUGGAAGGCUAAAUCAUUAGGGUUACUUCCGGGGAUGUUUAGGACUUUUUGAUGAACACACUUGAUUAUUACUUGAUUCUAGUUAAUUUCAAUUGUUGUUUUAUGCUUCAUGUGAUGAUCUUUUGGUAAUGAUAAUUGAAAUUGGGUUGUAUGAAUUGUUUGAUGUCAUAAUUAAGAUAGUCUAUUGUCAAUUCAUCAUUUGUUCCAAGUUCACAUAGUUUAGGAAUAAAGACAAGUGAUUGAAUCAACAUAUAUUAUUCCAACUUAUGAUAUUGAAUCUUAAUGCGGUAAUAGGUACUUGUAAGAUAUUUUAUUGCUAGUCCACUAAUUGUUCUUAAUCCAUUGAGGCAUAAAGGAGUAAGACAACUAGUUAAAUGAACAUUUAGUAUGCCCAAACUAUGUAUUACAAGUUAAUAAAUCCCAAUUGUAUCUAAGUAAUUGAAUUAGGAUUUAAGGGAAGAAAGUGUGUGAAUUUAAACUGUCCAUAACUGAACCGGGAGUACUCUAGUUUUCUCAUUGAGAUUUUCGUUGUAAUUAAUAAAUUUCCAUGCUUUUUGUUUGAUCUUUGCGUUAAAUUCUUUUUCGUGACAAUUGCUAGUAGCUUUUUUUCGUUGACUAUUUUAACACAAAGUUUGACAACAAACUCCCUGUAGAUUCGACCCUUACUUACCCUAGCUAUCUAGUGGUUUUGAGGUUAUUUUUGAUUGAUACAACGACAUCAAUCAUAAUUUGGCGCCUUUGUCGGGGAGAUUGUGCGCUUGAGCUAUUGUUUUUAAGUAGUUAUAGCCUUUUACUUUCAUUUUCAAUUCUCGUUUGUAGUUCACAUUUUGUUUUAUUUGUGUUGUGCAGGCACACUGGUGCAUGCAUACAAGACAUAGCAGACGCUCUUCACCGCUUGCAUUUGAUCCGGAAAUCGAACGAACAGCUCGCUCAAAUCGGGUCGCCAGAAGGAACAUCAACACUAUGAGUGUAGAUAAUGUUGUCGUGGAAGAUGUGGUUGAAGGGCAUGAGGAAGAAGCCAACAAUCCUCCACCACUAGUUCCACCACCAGCUCCUCAAUUCCCAAACAACAACAAUGGGAAUAACAACAAUGCCGGUGCACCAAUCAUCCAACCAGUGCAACCAUAACUGAAUAGAAACAACCGUGGCCAAAAUGGUGGAAACGGAGGAAAUUGGGCAUAGAAUAUGGGAGGCAAUGUAGGAAACCACACUGGUGGUAAUGUUAGAAAUCAUAACCAAAAUCCUAGAAAUGUUGGUCCUCAAUUCGGUAAUGGUGGUAAUGGUGGUAACGAGGAUGAUUGGGAUUUUGACGAUGGAAGUUACAACGGACUUGGUUGGAAUCAUAACCACAACGGUGGUAAUAGGCGGAAUCAAGGAAAUCGGGGUGGAAACGGGUACUAAAACAAUAACUGGAACAACCUGAAUUUCCCUAAUGGUGGCAACAAUUACUACAAUGAUGGGUUCGGAAAUCAAGGCUUUGGGAAUCAAUAUCGAAGGAAUCCAAAUGGUGGAUUCAACAAUGCGAAUGGAGGAUACUAAAAUGAAGGUAAUCAAUUCCCUCAUCUUUACUUUCUGCAGCCUAAUAGACAAUCUGUGGCGUCUCAUUUUCAGCCGAGAGAGUAUGAUGAUGCUUCACCCAUACUCUUCGCAGAAGUAAAUGAGCAUCAUGUAGAAGUAAGACCACAACUAAUUAGUGUCUUACCCGUCUUUAGAGGCCAUAAAACUAAUGAUCCAUACAAUCACCUCUAUGAGUUCCUUGCAAUUGCUAACGCGAAUACUCCGCGAGGAACUAAUAGAGAUUCAUUUAGACUUCUCUUAUUUCCGUUCACUUUAAAAGAAAAAGCUAAGUAUUGGUUCACUUCUCUUGCCCCCAUAGUAUCACUACUUGGGAGCAAUUAAAAACUAAAUUUUUGCAAGAGUUUUACCCAGCUAGUAAAACAACGGAAAUAAGAAAAGCCAUAGAAGAUUUUGCACAAAAACCCAAAGAAGAAUUUCAUGAUGCAUUUGAACGCCUCAAGGAAUUGUUCCGUUCAUGUCCCUAUCAUGAAUUUCCCCGUUGGCAACUGGUAGGUUUCUUUUAUGAUGGAGUCGAUACUGCCAAUCAAAGCAUGAUUAAUGCCUCGUCCGGCGGCAUUAUUAUGAUACAAGAUAGUGAAGACGCUUGGCGAUUCUUAGAGUAGUUGAGUCAUGGUUCAAAAACCAAUUACUCAGCUAAGAAACGGGACAAUCCAGUUUCAUCUGUUGCUUCAGUUGGACUAGACAAAAAACUGGAAAAAUGAAGUCAAAUCUGAUAUUAAUUCUUUAAAUAAAAUUUUUGACUUACUACUCUCUAGUCUAGGCAAAAAGAAAGGUGUGUUUUUUCGCAGGGACAGAAGAUAUGUGUAAGCUGUGGAGAUUCAUGACACAUUGCAGAUGAGUGCAUGAGAAUUCAAGAGGAAAUCAAUCAAGUGCAUGGUUAUGGUCAAUUCCAAAAUAAUCCACGAUCAUUCAAUCGGAACUACAUCCAAGGCGGGAACUACAACAACAUUGGGAUUUUCAACAACAACAACCGUCAAGGGAAUUACCAAAACCAAAAUCAGCCAAAACAGUUCCAGCAGUCCAACUUUAACCAAGGUGGAACAUCAAAGAAGGAGGAAAAUGAUGGCAACAAGUUGGACAAAAUCAUGGAGUUCAUAACCUAAACAUAUCAGAAAACCGACACUAACUCCAAGUCUAUAGCUGCUAUUGAGAAGCAAAUUGCUCAACUGGCGGAGCAAAUUGGGAAAAGAGAAGAUGGCAAGUUUCCAAGCACCACAACAGUGAACCCAUCUCAUACCCAGAGACCCCGAAAAGAGCAUCAAGUGAACGAGGUAAUUACCUUGUGUAGUGGAAAAAAGGUUGACAACAAGGUAAGUGCUUCUACAUUAGAUAAUGACAGUGACACUGAAGUCAUCUUUGAUGAAAAAGAAGAGUUUGAGAAAGAUUUUAAAUCCGAAAAACAAAAAGAAGAUAAGGUUAAAAAUGACUCUAAAGUUGGGGAGCAUGGUGUGGAGGUUAAUACCGCACCAUACCCUUCGGCUUUAGAGAAGCCGGCAUCCUUCCCUUUUGGGAAGCGAGGGCUAAAAAUGGAAGACAUGUGAGAUCUAUUUAGUCAAGUUAAAAUAAAUAUCCCAUUAGUCAAACUUAUUAAGGAGGUACCUUCUUAUGCUAAAUUUUUGAAGGAUUUGUGUGUUCAAAAACGCAAACUCCAAGCAUACCUCCCUAAAAAGAUUGAUUUAGUCAAGCAUGCGAGUUCGAUAAUAUCAAAUAAACUUCCACCCAAGCUUAAGGAUCAUGGAGCACCUUUAAUUUUUGUUACGCUAGGUAACAUUAAUAUAAAAAAGGCGCUCCUUGAUCUUGGAGCUAGUGUUAAUAUAAUCCCGGGAAAUUUUUUUGAUCAACAUGACUUAGGCACUUUGGAACAAACUGAUAUUAUUUUACGAUUGGCCGAUAAGUCAACAAAAAUUCCUUGGGGAAUAUUAUCAGAUGUUAUUAUUAAGGUGGGAGAUUUCUAUUACCCAGUUGAUUUUCUUAUGCUUGACACCGUGAGCACUUAUAAAGAAAGUCAACCUUCUAUUAUUUUAGGUCGUCCGUUAUUGACAGCAAUAAAUGCACAAAUUAAUUGUAGAACGGGUGCAAUGGAUAUCUCUUUUGGAAAUAGGAAACUUAGAAUUGAUAUUUUUAAUACGUUUCCUAACUCACCAUCAGAUUAUGAAUGUUAUCAUGUGGAUGUGGUUGAUGACUUAGUGCAUCAAUUCACUCUUAAAAUCUUACACCCUGAUCCAUUGGAGUUUUUUCUUUCUAAUGACAGGGACGAAGUUUUAGAGUUGGAUGACAUCAAGAUGGUUGAGGAGGCAUUUGAAAAUGUUAUUGAGCAAGAGAGGCCACCAUGGAGUUAUCAAGUUGAAAAAUUGCCAACAAGUUUUUCGGACCCACUUAAGCCAUCUUUGGAGGAGCCACCCAGUCUUGAACUCAAAACUCUUCCUUCACAUCAUAGAUACUCUUUUUUAGGAUCUAAGGAGAACUUACCAAUUACCAUAUCUUUUGAUUUGACAUGUCCACAGGAGGAAGCAUUACUGAAGGUGCUUUCGAAGUACAAGGGAGCAAUUGGAUGGACCAUAGCAGACUUGAAGGGAAUUAUUCCAGCCACAUGUAUGCAUUGAAUCAUCACUGAAGCUAGAGAAAAGCCAUCCCGAGAUGCACAACGAAGGCUCAACCCGAAUCUGCGAGAAGUUGUUAAAAAGGAGGUGUUGAAAUGGCUUGAUGCGGGUAUUAUCUACCCAAUAUUUGAUAGUGAUUGGGUGAGCCCGACACAGACAGUGCCAAAGAAGUCGGGCGUUACAGUGGUAGAUACAGAAGAUGGAGAGAAGAUCUCAACAAGAUCGGUCACCAGAUGGAGAGUUUGCAUCGACUAUCGCAAACUCAAUGCUGCAACAUCAAAUGACCAUUUCCCUCUCCCUUUUAUUGAUCAAAUAAUUGAGAAAUUGUAUGGUAAAAAGUUUUAUUGUUUUUUGGAUGGAUACUCGGGGUAUAAUCAAAUUGCCAUCCACCCCGAGUAUCAAUCCAAAAUGACAUUCACGUGUCCAUAUGGCACCUUUGCUUUCCGAAGGAUGCCAUUCGGCUUGUGUAAUGCCCCUGCCACAUUUUAAAGAUGUAUGAUGGCUAUUUUUUUAGACGUGGUGGGGGAUGCAUUAGAAAUUUUCAUGGAUGAUUUUUCUAUUUUUGGAUCAUCUUUUGAGACAUGCUUAGACCAAUUAGAAAAAGUUUUGAAACGUUGUAUUGACUCUAAUUUGGUUUUAAGUUGGGAGAAGAGUCAUUUCAUGAUAAAAUAGGGAAUUGUACUUGGCCAUGUUGUCUCCGAGCAUGGCUUUGAAGUCGACCGGGCCAUAGUACAAAUUAUUUCUACUCUUCUCCCACCAACUUCAGUAAAAGGCGCCCGUUCUUUUCUUGUACAUGCCGGCUUUUAUCGAAGAUUUAUCAAGGAUUUUAGUGCAAUGUCAAAACCUCUUUGUAAUUUACUUUUAAAAGAUGCACCAUUUUCCUUUGAUAAAGCAUGUCUUGAAUCUUUUACCACAUUAAAGAACAAACUUGUUGAAGCUCCUAUCUUGCAAUCACCCGAUUGGACUUUACAUUUUGAAAUUAUGUGUGAUCCAAGUGAUUACGCGGUAGGGGCAAUUUUGGGACAACGGGUGAAUAAAAAACCCAUUGCAAUUUGUUAUGCGAGCAAAAAAAUUUCGGAUGCACAAUUGAAUUACACUACUACCGAAAAAGAGUUGCUUGCGGUCGUGUUUGCACUUGAAAAUUUUAGAUCUUACAUAUGGGGAUCUAAAGUUGUAAUUUUUACCGACCAUAGUGCCAUUCACCACCUCUUGGAAAAGAAGGAUGCCAAACCACGUCUCAUAAGAUGGAUCCUUCUUCUUCAAGAGUUUAAUCUUGAAAUUCAGGACAAAAAGGGUUCUGAAAAUGUUGUGGUGGAUCAUUUAUAUAGAAUAACUAAUAAUGAUAACUCAACGAAAGUUAUUCAAGAAAACUUUCCAGAUGAGCAUAGUCUUGUUGUCAAAACUAUACCAUGGUUUGCUAAUUUAAUUAAUUACUUUGCGACAGGGGAAACUCCAUUGUAUUGGAAUGCUCAACAAAUGAGGUUCUUCCACUCUCAAACAAAAUACUACAUAUGGGAGGACCCAUAUAUUUUCAAAAUUGGAGCAGAUCAAGUGAAUAGGAGAUGUGUACCACAUACAGAGCAAGAAGACAUUCUUCGACACUGCCAUUCAUAUACAUGUGGAGGGCAUUUUAGUGCCAAAAGGCAGGGCAUCGGGUUCUACAAAGCGGUUUUUUCUGGCCCUCUAUUUUUAAAGAUGCACAUACAUUCGUUAAAGCUUGUAUUCGUUGCCAACAAGUUGGGGGGAUCUCAAGACGGGACAUGAUGCCAAUGACCCCAAUUUUAGUAGUUGAAAUCUUUGAUGUAUGGGGCAUUGAUUUCAUGGGUCUGUUCCCCACUUCUUUUGGCAAUCUAUACAUUCUUGUAGCCGUUGAUUAUGUAUCAAAAUGGCUCGAAACCGAGGAUACACACACGAAUGACCAUAGUGUUGUUUGUAAAUUUGUUAAAAAGAACAUAUUUUCUACACACGGAAUCCCUCGAACUAUUAUUAGUGAUGGGGGCUCCCAUUUUAAAAAUUGGCAUUUUGCAAAGUUACUUAAACACUAUAGUGUCACACAUAUGAUAGCUACUCCAUAUCACCCACAAACAAAUGGACAAGUAGAAGUGUCAAAUAGGGAAAUAAAACGAAUCUUGGAGAAGACUGUUCAUCCCGACCGAAAAGAUUGGUCAUUAAGAUUAGAUGAUGUGUUAUGGGCAUAUCGAACAACCUAUACGACGCCCAUUGGAAUGUCUCCGUAUCGGCUUGUUUAUGGAAAGCCAUGCCAUCUCCCGGUGGAGUUAGAACACCGUGCCAUGUGGGCCAUAAAAAAUGCUAACUUUGAAUUGAGUGAUGCAGGUAUAGAAAGGAAACUCCAAAUUGUUGAAUUGGAAGAGAUUCGAAAAGAAGCUUACGAAAGCUCAAGGAUCUAUAAAGAAAAGACGAAGGCAUUUCAUGACCGACAUAUUGUCCGAAAACAAUUCGUUAAAGAACAAUUGGUGUGGCUAUUCAACUCUCGUCUCAAACUCUUCCUCAGAAAGCUUCGGAGUAAAUGGAAUGGACCUUUUGUGGUGAAAAAUGUGGCGGAUCAUGGAUCUAUUGAAAUCAAGGACACGAAAGGCAGUGAACCAUUCAAGGUAAAUGGACAAAGACUCAAACCUUAUAUUCGAAUGGUAAAUGGUGAAACAACAUUCGUUGAGAAAACAACGCUCAAGGCAACACAAUAUUUAGAAACAACUUAGUCGAGGUAAACCGUCCGGCUGAAGACAUAAAACUUACCGCUUUUCGGGAGGCAACCCGUGGUUUGGUGUGUUUUUACUUCUAUUCUUCUUUUGGUGUGUUUUAAUUCUUUUCGUAUCGAGGACAAUCCAAGGUUUAAAGUUGGGGAGGGGGUAUUUAAUUUUUGUUUAAAAUUAAAUAAUAUUCGAAAAAUACUCAAAAAACAGCAAAAAAAAAUAGCCUCAGGCAUCCUAGGGGUGUCUUAGACGUUGUCUAAGACGCCGUCGGGCUGUCACUUCUUUUCCCCCCGAUGAAAACCCUUCGCGAAAAUUAAAAAAAUACCCUUAAUGUGUAUGACGUCCUAGGACGCGUCUAAGACGCCGGCUAGGACGUCGACGUGUUUUUCAACCGUUUUAUGCCGUUUUCUGCAUUAUUGUUGGUAUCUUUCUUCUCCAAACUGCCAUAGCCGAAAACCCACUUGUUCUUGCUUAUUUCCUUUGAUUUCUUGGCCAAAACUCAACCAAAAUUCGUGGUUUUUGUUGCAAUCUUCAAGAAAUCAAGUAAGAAACAUCACAUUGCAAGAUUUACACACUCUAAUCACUUAUUUGGGGCCGAUUUCAAAACCCACAAAAACUAGGGUUUCGAAAUUUUGACUUAUUUUGAGAUUUUACUUCAAGUUCUUGGUUCUUCUUCACUAGAAACACAAUUUCAACAAGGUAUAUGCUUCAAAACUCCAUCUUUUAGUUGAAUUUCAGAAUUUUUGCAUGUAUGUUCAUAUAUGUUUGAAAUUUUGAAAAAGAUGAAGAAUAUGAUAUAUAUUGGUAUGAAUUCUUGUGAAUUAGUGUUUGUAGUUGUUAGAAGUAUGUUCCAAACAAGUUGCAUGUGUUGAUUCGAGAAAUUUCUAAAAAUUGAAUUUUUGUUGUUAGUUGUUAAAAAAUAAUAAUAAUAAAUAAAAGCACAUAUAAUGUUGGAAAAUCAUUCUUAUGUUUAUAUUUGUGUUUGAAUUAAAAAUUCAAGUUUUUAGAAAAUUUCAGAAUGACACUGAAUUUUGACAUUGCAUUGUUAGUCUGAAUAUUUGCCUGUUACAGUUCUGUUCUGGUUUUAGUUAGAACUUGUCAGUUGAAGUUAACUUUUGGUUUAACUGUGUUUUUACUGAUUGGAUAAAUUUUUGAAAAAUAUUUAGUUACUAAAAACAUAACAGGACUUAAAACGGUUAUUUAUUUAGACUGGAUUUAUUUUAACUUUGUUUGGAACAACUUGCCAACUGAAUUAUUUGUUUUAUUUUUGUGACAUUUGAUAUGUUUAAUGGCAAGUUUUGUUUUGUGGUUUUGUGUAUGAAUUAUUUUGCAGAUGCCAGCAAAGAGAUCAAGGGUAGCAUCAUCAAGCAGUGCAUCUAGACAACCAGCUAGACAGUCGGAGCCAAAUGUACAUGUGGCUUUCAACCCACAGUAUCAGACAUUGCAUGAGCAUCUAGAUGACAUUCGUCCAACAGUUUAUGAGGCAACUCAUCCGAAUAUGGGUUUUAUUGUAGAGUACAUGGUGGAGCGACCGAGCUUCACUAGGUAUAAUAUUGUGGAGACGUUUGAUCGCUAUGGAUGGGGUGGAGUGCUAGACUUCAAUCCCACGCAGAUUUAUGUUGAUAUAGUGCAGGAAUGGAUGAGGAAACUUCGACGUGUCGAGGUGCCUGGUAGGCCGGAGGAGUUGCCGCUGAUUGGGACGGUCCGUACUCAUGAUAUAGUGAUAACUGUGCAGGGUAUUCGGGACAUGUUUCAUGUAGAUACUGGCUGUCAUUUUCAUUAUCUUGAGAAUCAUCUGACUGAGUAUAGAUGUAUUGACACGAGGGGGUAACCCUGGGGUUAGUAUGACUGAAGUAUACCGUAUAGUGUUCCAUGAGGGGACGAGGGCAUACGACAGAUUCCGCGAAUUGGUGCCUUUAGCAAAGGCAUUACAUAACAUUAUCACGAAAAAUGUGAACCCAAGGAAUAGUGAUCCUAGGGCGGUGAGGCCACAUGACUUAUAUGUAUUAUAUGGAUUGAUGAUAGGAUCUAUCUUUAUCUCUUAUGCAUAUAAUGCUAUGUGCAACAUAUGGUCCUGUUUUGAUAUCCAGCACAGAGUCACUACCCCCCAUGUUGCCCUGAUAUCGACAUAUGUUGCCUUGCUACUUCUUUUAGACACAUCUCAUUUCAUGUUGAAAAUGGGAGACAUAUUCUGAGGGAUUCUACCACAAAUCCGACAUACACGGCACCACUCGGAGUGGGGGAUGAGGAGCCAUUCGUUGGUGAUUUUUAGGGGGAUCAGUAGCAGCAAUAGGCAUAAGCAGCAGGUCGGGGAUAGAACAUGCAGGCAGCUUGGGAGGACUUUGUGGGGAGGCAGAACAUGCAUAACCAGGAGGUGCAGGCUUGGAUGGGGAGAACGGAUAUAUGGUUGAAGGGUGUCGAUACGACACUAGCUGAUAUUACUGAGCAGAUGCGACAGAUUGGCAUUACAUCUAGCAACACUUAUAGUGUUGCCACUCGUCAGUUGUACCAACAGGAGUACUAUGCAGAUGCUGCCUACACAUAGAGUCGUGUCCAGUAUGAACCGAUGGACAUUGAUCAACCACAGUAUCGAUACCGAGCUCCAGCUCCGUUCUUCUACCGAUCCGGGAAUCUGAGCAACUAUCCACCGCCAUCCGAGCAUGAGCAUUAUCAGCCACCACCAGCUACAGAGGACUCUACUCGCUUUGAGGAUUUAGUUGGAUCGAUCUUUGGGUAUCCUCCACCAUACCCACGUUAUCCUCCACAGUCGCCCCCACAUUGAACUUUGGUGAGAUCCUCUUUUGAUUUUUAUUUUUAUGGUUGUUUGAUGAAGACUUUUUUUAUUUUUAUUUUUAUUUUUCGUUUGCUUUUCAUGUCUUUAUUUGGGAUGAAUGUACUAUUAUUAAACUCAUUAUUAUUAUUACUCUCUCUUGGGUUGGUUCCAUUAAAUAUGUGAUGAGUUAGUAGCAUCUCUAUAUCUUGAACGUAACUCAUCAAAAUGGAAAAUGAUAGGAGUUUCGUAAAUUGAGUCAUAAUAUUUAUUUAAUAUUGAUUUUGUGGAUUGCUCAACCGAUUUGGGAAUAUUUAUAUUUAGUUAAAAAAUUGUUAUGUGAAAUACCCAAGUGUUUGAAAAAUGACGGUUUUUAGCUCGAGCCUACGAUCUUUCAAUUGAGGACCCAACCGAACAAUAUGUGUCAUCACGCUCUGAGUACUUGGUCUUACUUACUCUUGCGCCUUUGGGGUUGGGAGGGGACUAUUAUUGUUUUCACACAAUAAAAAAGCAUCAAAAGACAUUGAAGAACUUCCAAGUAUCUAUAUUCAAGCUCAAGUCAAAUACCAAAAUGAUCAAAUCCGAUGAAGCCAUCAAAGAACUUGAAGAAUGCAAAAUCAAGAUAAAUAUGAAGAAAAGUUCAAGUUGAAGACAUUGUGUGAAAUAAUGUGUGACCCCUCGAUAGCGGGAGCGUAUGGGUUGGUCCAUUAAGUGUUACCGACCGCGCUAACUAUGUUAGUGAACCUUGAAAAAAGGGACUUUGGCAAUGAGUUCAACUGAUUACUCAUGAGGGUGAUUAUUGGAAAGGGUUCAAAAAGUGGAGGGUUUCAAACAACAAAGUAAAAUAAGCAUAACAUGUGUUUUGAGUUUAAAAGUCUGGAUAAGAAAAUAAUAAUCCCCAUAAUCAAUAUAUUGUGCUAUUGGAAAUGUUGUGAUAAAAAGUACAGAAUUCAUGAUUCCAUUGAGUUUUUCUUAGGAUAAGAGAGUAAAGACUACGCUGAUUAUUUCAGGCCAAUCUCGGGACGAGUUUGGAAUAAAGUUGGGGAGGUUUGAUAAGUCCAUUUUAUGAAUGUACUAAAUUGUUAUAAAUCUGUUGAAUUGAUGUAUAAUUGUCCAAGAAUGGCACUACUUUGAUGAGUUGUUGAACUUCAUAUACAGGUCAAUAUAUUGUACUAAAAGUGGGCGGAACCUGCAAGUAAAACAGUGCUAAAGGAAUGAAGAAACGUUGCUGGGAAAACUGACCAUGCUUCAAUGUUUUGGUCAUAACUGAAGUUCCGCAGCUCUAAUUGACAUGAGUAAAGAAGUUCUGGAAACUAGACAAGAUUUUCUACAACUUUUGUGUUUUGUGUUUCUGCUAGUUAUGUCGUUUUGACCACCAAAACUUAAACGAAAGAUGAAGGAUGCCUCCAGGCGUCUAAGACAUCCCCUAGGACGUCCACAUCAAACGGUCAGCAUCUGGCCGUUAUUUCAAAGCAGAAAAGAAGGAAGAACCCCCGUCAGCGUCUUACAUGGCGUCAAAGAUGUCCCCUAGGACAUCUUGGCAUUUUGGGGAUGUCCCGUGUUGGAACGGUGUGUUUCGGAAAGUUUAGAAAACAAGGCAGGACGUCCUAGAACGUGUCUAAGACGUCUCCUAAUACGUUUGACGUUUUUGGCCAUUUUUUAGUGUAUUUCAAGGACGACAGAUGGCAUGCAAGGACGUACAAAGAACGCCUGGGCGUUAUACACGACAUCUAAGAUGUCUGCUAGGACGUCCAACAUCCCACAUCCCCCAAUUUCAUUAUUUUUUAUCUCACACUAUAAAUACGAGCCUAUGAAUUCGUUUUUAGGGUUACCACCUCCGAUUUUCAGAGUUUUUCAUGUGUUUUUGAGGCUUCUAAAACACUUGGAAACAUUUGAAAACACAAAUCCAUUCCAUUAAAAUCCGGAUUCAAAGCAAGACUCAAUUCAAUUCAUCAUCAAGCUAUAAGUGAAGAUCAUUUCAUUGGUUAAUCUUCAUCAAUUCUUUAUUUUCCAGAAUUAUUUCUUCUUCCCCAAGGUUUAUUUUUUCUAUAAUUUGAUAAUCAUUAGGCUACAUUUGUUUGAUGAUUCUACAUUUGUUUAUGAAUUCUAUUAUGCAUUUUAUUCAUUUCAAUCAAGUUAUUUGUUUUAUGAACUCAAUGGAAGGCUAAAUCAUUAGGGUUACUUCUGGGGAUGUUUAGGACUUUUUGAUGAACAUAAUUGAUUAUUACUUGAUUUUAGUUAAUUCAAUUGUUGUUUUAUGCUUCAUGUGAUGAUCUUUUAGUAAUGAUAAUUGAAAUUGGGUUGUAUGAAUUGUUUGAUGUCAUAAUUAAGAUAGUCUAUUGUCAAUUCAUCAUUUGUUCCAAGUUCACUUAGUUUAGGAAUAAAGACAAGUGACUGAAUCAACAUAUAUUAUUCCAACUUAUGAUAUUGAAUCUUAAUGCGGUAAUAGGUAGUUGUAUGAUAUUUUAUAGCUAGUCCACUAAUUGUUCUUAAUCCAUUUAGGCAUAAAGGAGUAAGACAACUAGUUAAAUGAAAAUUUAGUGUGCCCAAACUAUGUAUUACAAGUUAAUAAACCCCAAUUGUAUCUAAGUAAUUGAAUUAGGAUUUAAGGGAAGAAAGUGUGUGAAUUUAAACUAUCCAUAACUGAACCGGAAGUACUCUAGUUUUCUCAUUGAAAUUUUCGUUUUAAUUAAUAAAUUUCCAAGCUUUUUGUUUGAUCUUUGCUUUAAUUUUUUUUCGUGACAAUUUCUAGUAGUUUGUUUUUUUUCGUUGACUAUUUUAACACAAAAUUUGACGACAAACUCCUUGCGGAUUCGACCCUUACUUACCCUAGCUAUCUAGUGGUUUUGAGAUUAUUCUUGACUGAUACAACGACAUUGAUCAUCGUGCCAAAACCCUAAAGAGACCGAUGUGCCUGGGGCCCAAUUUGCUCUUCUUCCUGAAUCGGAUGACACCUUUCCAAUGUGACAAGUUCAGGGGGACCAUAUCCCUAACCUGAAACUCUAAAUCUGAUUGGUGCUUGUCGGCAUAGCUCUUCUUCCGGCUCUAAGCUGUCUGGAGCCUACUCCAAACUGCUGAAUCAACUUGGUAGUCUUGAGUACCGCUUUGGUACUCCCCAUUAGUAGCUGACCGUCCUCACCCCAACAUAUCAUGGUACUGCAUUUCUUUCUAUAGAGCAUCUCAAAAGGAGGUCGAUUAAUGUUGGCGUGAUUACUAUUGUUAUACAAAAACUAUUGGAUUAGGUGUCUAAGACCAUAACUAUUUUGGUAUGUACUUGACCCGAUUGUGAGCAUGGUCCUUUUGGGUUGCCUUCACCAUAGCAACUGAUGGGAUGAAUUAAGGAGAAAAAGGAUUAAUUAUGAUUUAUUAAUAUAUUAUAUGAAUAAUAUAUUAAAAGAGAAAUCAUAUUGUUUAAUUAAUAUUAGUCAAUAAUUCAUUUUGUGGCUAAAAGAGAUUAAUUAAAUAAAGGGGACUGAUAUUGCAAUUAUAUGAUAGUUGCAAAUUGGGCUAUGGAUUCCUAAUGGAAAUCGGAUUGGACAAAAUCUAUGGGAAGCCCAUAUGGAUUUCGUCCAAGGGCUUUCCAAGGGAACUCCAUGGGUUGCUUAAGGCGUAAGCAGUGAGAUUAGGGUUUCCUGAUUCAAAACCCUAAUAGCCUAAGUAUAAAAGGAACCCUUGGCAAGCCAAAAACGUCCCUAACCUUAUAAGAGAAACCCUAGGACGUUUUUGGUGCCUCCUCCCUCUCUCCUUGUUCAUCUUGUUACAUAUGGUGUUUGUGACUCCAUUAGAGGUGCAACAUUUGAGGCACUAGGCUUUCAGAAGUCAAUUACAAGAAGGAUUCGGAUUGUUAUUGCAACAUAACAAUCAAGGUAAGAUCUAAAAUCUAUCCUUUUGUCAAUUUUGAUUAUUGUAUACUAGAGUUAGGGUUUAUGAGCUUUGGAUGAUUAUUACGUAUAUCAGACAAACUAGAUCCAAAGCUUUAGGGUUUGCAUGUACACCAUAGGAUUGACGUAGUGCUCAAAACCCAUCAAAAACUACGCCAAAGGGAUAUAUGUAUCCCAACUCCCACCAAAAUCCAGAACACACGCCCGAAGCAUAUCCUCCAAGGUAUGAAUAGUCCUCUCGCUCUGACCAUCAGUAUGUGGGUGGAAAGUCGUACUGAAAUGCAGAUGAGUACCCAGCUCGUCGUGGAACCUCUUCCAAAAUCUGGAAGUAAACCGGACGUUCCUGUCUAAAACCACAAAACGGGCACACCAUGAAGUGCCACUACCUCCCUGAUGUAUACCUCAGCUAACUUCUCUGAGGAGAUACUAUCUUGAGUCGGAAUAAAAUGUGUGAACUUGGUCAAUCAAUCCACGAUGACCCAAAUCGAAUCCACUCUAUGUUCACUCUAAGGCAACAUCGUAAUGAAAUCCAUGGUAAUCUCCUCCCAUUUUCAAACAGUGAUAUCUAACGGUUACAUCUUGUCGUGAGGCCACUGAUGCUCGGCCUUGACUUUCCUUCAAGUCAAGCAUCUCUCCACGUACCAAGCUACAUCCCGCUUCAUACAGGGCCACCAAUAAUCAGGAUGAAGAUCAAUAUACAUCUUCGUCGUGGUGGGAUGAAUGGAGAAUCUCAAUUUGUGUGCCUCCUCCAUCAGAACUUGACGCACACCAGCCCAAUCGGAACCCACACUCUUCGAUGGAGAUUCAAUAACCCUUGGUUUUCAUAAUAAAAGGAAGCCACCUGACUCACUGUGCGCUCACUCUUCCCAUCACAACCUCAACCUGAGCCUCUCAAAUCUACUCUAAAAGUGGAGUGAUCACAGUCAUCCUGAAACAAAUAUCCUUGAACGGAGCCGCGAUCGCCUUGCUGCUAAGAGCAUCGGCCACCACAUUAUCCUUCCCCGUAUGGUAAAGGAUCUCACAAUCAUAAUCCUUCACCACAUCCAACCAUUGGCACUGCCUCAUGUUCAUAUUUGGCUGAUCCAUCAGAUACCUCAAGCUCUUGUGAUAUGUCUAUAUAGUACAGCGGGCCCCAUAGAGGUAAUGUCAUCAAAUCUUGAGGGCAAAAACCAUAGCCCCAACUCUAAAUCAUGCAUCGGAUAAUUCGUCUCAUGAUGCUUCACUUACCUUGAAGCGUAAGCGAUCACGUGACCCCUCUGCAUCAGAACUACACCUAAACCUGUGAUCGACGCAUCAUAAUAAACCAUGAAAUCUUCAACACCCUCCGGCAGGGUCAAAAUAGAUGCCUCACACAAUCUUUAUCUUAGGGUCUCAAAAGUUGCAUGUUGGUCGGGCGCCCAGCGAAAAGUGACAAUCUUCUUCGUCAACCGAUUUAGAGGAACCGCUAUCUUGGAGAAAUCCUAAAUGAACCUCCGAUAAUAGCCUUCCAACUAAGGAAACUCCAAAUCUUAGAUGGAGACCUCGGUACCUCCCACCUCAUCACGGCCUCGACCUUGGCCGGAUCGACCAGAAUACUGUUUUGGUUGACAAGGUGCCCUUGAAACUGCACCUCGUGCAACUAGAACUCGCACUUGGAGAACUUUGCAAAAAGUCUCUCCCUCCUCAAAGUUUCCAAUACCUCCCUGAAGUGCUCCUCAUGUAGCUCCUGGGUCUUGGAAUAGACCAGGAUAUCAUCAAUGAAUAGGGCAUUUUGUAUAAUCAAUUGUUGAUGUUAUUGAAAAUAAUGAUGUUAUUGAAACAUAUGCAUGGCAUGUAUUCCCAAUAAUUAUAUUUAAUUAAUUGGUUGUUGUGCAUGUUAUUAUAUUGGGAACAAAUUAGAAAGUGGUCCAUGUGGUAGUACAUGAUAUGUAUGGGGACCAUUUGUAGUUAAUAGUCAAUGGGUAUUUUUAUAAUGGAAAAAUGGGACCUUUGAACCCAUUAUAGAACCAUAUCCAUGACUAUAUAACAAAUUCACAUGCAUGCACAUUAUUCCAAAUUUUUCCAUGCAUAAAUAUUCAAACCCAUUGGUCAUGAGUUUACUUAAAAAGGCAACAUACUUUCAUAAGUGAGUAAAAUAUCAUUUCAUGUCAACAAUUUACUUACAAAGGCAACAUACAUUCAUUAGUGACCAAAAUACCCUUUUAUGUCAUGAGUUAACUUAAAAAAGCAUCACGCAUACAUAAAUGACUAAAAUACCCUUUUAUGUCAUGAGUGAACUUAAAAAGGCACCAUGCAUACAUAAAUGACCAAAAUACCCUUUUAUGUUAUGAGUGAACUUAAAAUGGCACCAUGCAUACAUAAAUGACCAAAAUACCCUUUUAUGUCAUGAGUUAACUUAAAAAGCCACCAUGCAUACAUAAAUGAUCACAUCACAUGUAUUCAAAUACACAUACUUUAAAUCCAAAUUACCAUCAUCCUAAUACACAAACUUAAAAUCCAAAUUACCAUCAUCCUAACACACAUACUUUAAAUCUAAAUAACACAAAGGAAAAAUCAACACUAAUAAAUUAGAAGAGCUUUUCCCUUAGAAUUUCCUGGAUCAUCAACACCACCAACUUUCUUGCCUAAUUUCAACUUGAAGAUUCUCUUUGACUUUCUUCUCCUUAUCCUGUUCAAAAUCUUGGAAAUUGGUCUAACCCUUACCUGUUGAACCUAGAUAAUAGGAGUAACCUCCUAAAUUUGAACAUUAUCAACAACUUGGACAUUAGGAAUAACCUCAUCAUCUUGAACAUUACCACCCUCCUCAACUUCCUCACCCAUAACACCCCCAUCACCUUCAUAACUUCUAGGUGGAAUAACUUGCAUAGACUGACUAAAAUCCCUUGCACUACUGGAUUCAACAUGAGUAGAAGUAACUUGCAUAUCAUUUUGAGUAUUAUCCAUCUCAAUUGGAGUCAUUUAACCUCUUCUUGUUGUUGUGGUUCACUUGUACUACCCUAUAUGGCAUGAUAUAAUUAUGUUAGUGGCAAAUCAUAUGUAAAUAAAUUUAAAUUUUAAAUGGUUUUACCUGUUCUGCAUUUUUCUUCACAUAAACUUUUUGUUUCUUCUGUUUCUUUACAUUUAACUUUUGGGGCCUUCUCUAUGGACAAGUGGCCUUACUGUGACACAUCUCCUUGCAUAUAAUACAUCUAAUUUUCUUUCCAUCCUUAGAAACCCUGUGUGUUCCUGUAUUCUUUGUAGUGGAUUUCUUCUUCUUAGUAGCUGGCCUACCAUGCAUCCGUCUACUAAUAAGAGGCAAUGGUGGAGUAUAAUUUGUCUCUGGCCACAUGUCACUGCCAUUCAUGGGGGAAAUUCUGUAAUUGUAUGCCUUCCGAAUUGUGGUGGUGUUAAACAUGUUGUCUACAUAGGCUUCUACAUCUCUAUUAAGAUUGGAUAUGGUAGCUACAGAAUGAGCAUAUCCAUAUCCAUUUAACCGCCACAACCUACAUGAACAUGUUUUCCUUUAUAAGUCCACCUCAUAUGCAUCUGUUUCUCCCUUACCUCGAACUGGUUUAAUCCACUAGGUAGUACCUGAUAAUGCCUCUGAAUUUUUUAAGCAAAUUCACCUUAUCCCUUAUCUCUGGACAAAUAUUAUUUCCCCAUUGUUGUCCCUUUAAUUUCAUGUUGUACAUUUUGUCCAUCAUGUAUAAUCUUAACUCCUCUAACAUGGUUAUUAUGGGCUUCUUCCUGGUAUCCACUAUUACAACAUUAAAACUUUCAGAGAAAUCAUUUUCAACUGCAUCACAACACCUUCCAGCUUGAAAGUAAGCUCUUGACCAUGUUUUAAGAUCUUUCUCCAUGAGAUAUUGAUGGGCAUCUGGGUUUAAUGUCUCAAUUUCCUUCAUCACAACUUUAAAAGCAUGCUCAUUUGUGGUUUUAGAUGCUCUCCAAAACAAGGUAUGAUAUAUGACACCAGUGAAUCUCUUCUGCAAAUUUUGAAAAAUAUGUCUAGCACACUGCCUGUGCAUAUGGAAGAAACUCUUUAACAGCCUCUAUCAAACCUUGUAUUAAUAAAAAGGUUUAAAUCAGAUAGUAUAAAAUAAAUAUAAAUGAAUUACUAUGUAAAAUACUAACCUUAUGUUGGUCUGACAUUAAACUGAAGCAAUUGCCUAAACUUAAGUUUAGAUUAUUAAUGAGAAGCUCUAAAAACCACUUUUAAUUCUACUUGUUCUCCACACUAACCAUUGCCCAAUCAAUAGGAUAUAUCUUGUUAUUUACAUCCCUCCCAAUAACACAAAGCAAUCCCCCCUUACAAACACCUUUAAGAAAACAUCCAUCAAGACCCAUUAUCCUUCUACACCCUUUAAUCCAACCUUGUUUAAUUCCUUGAAAACAAACAUAGAACUUGCUAGAAUAUUUCUUUCCAUCUGGACCAUCCUCCACAUCUAGUUUCACAGUUGACCUAGGAUUUGUCCUUAAAAUCUCAUCAACAUAUUACCAUAGCUUACCAUAAUGUUCAACAAGGCUACCUUCAACAAGAUUUAAUGCAUACUUCUUUGUUCUCCUACAUUAGCCCAUACUAACUUGGAUACUAAACUUGGUCAUUACCUUUACCCUAAGCUUCCUUACACUCAUUUUAUGACUUUGUACAAUCUCUUUGGUAUAGUGACUCCCAAUCCAUGCAUAUGUCACCAAUAAUCCAAACUUGAAGUUCCUAGCACAAUUAUGAUAAGCUUUUUGUGACUUGAUUUGGAAAGUCUCUCCAUCAUUCAUCCAAGAAGCCCAUAAUAUAAAUGUGCAAGCACCCUUGCUACAUCUCACCAAAAGUCUUUUCCUAUCAUAUUUUUUCAAAACACAAUUGAUAUCCAUUAGCCACAACAUAGUUGCACAACCUUGACUUUACUUGCCCUGGACCCUUAGAUCUCAUUCCUAGAAUUGGUUUUUGUUUUUUCCAGUGUAAUAGCUCAUUAAAUAUGGAAAUAGUUUGGAUGUUAGGUUCAACUUCUCUCCCAUUAUCAUCAUCUACAAUGUUGUUAUCCUCCUCAUCAUCAACACACAACUUACUCACGAAAGGAUCAUUUGAUGUCCUAUUCAUAUGCACUGCAUCCUUAUUAAAUUCAAAGACAACAUUCCUAAGUUCAUCUAUGUUAUCUUCAUCUAUGUUAGCGGCGCAGCUUUUUGCCCGUUUGCCUUCAAUCGAUAUGUAUUGAACAAAAAUGUUUGAAUGUCUAUCAAUACAAGGCUCAUGUUCAUCAUCAAACCACCCACCAACACCAACCCCAAUAUGAUCCACAUAAACCGAAAUUACACCAUCUGUUCCAUCAACAUCAAAAAUAAAAGCAGCAUAGUCCACAUCAUCUGAAAAUGGGAUUAAGCUCUUCCAUCAGGGAAUUGCCUGGUUUACAGUAGUAAAACUUUUUACACUCUUCAUGCAUGAAAUGUUCACAGAAGGUCACAAGCUCAGAAUAAGUCAUAGAAGAAAAGUCGACAUCAGUGAACAUGGUUUUCACACCACCAGUGUAAGAGAAAGGAUUUCGAUUAAAUACCCCUUGGUAGUUGAGUUCCACCAUCACAAACACUCCAUUAGGUUCCGAUUGUGCCAUUUUUGCGACUUCUUUGGCUCUUCAGCUCGAUCACAAAAAUGCUUCACAAAACCUAAAUCAAUUUCUUUUAAAACUAAAUAAUGAAGACGAGUGAAGUUCGAUAGCUGAAGACAAAAGGCUUAAAGCUUCGUAUAUCAUCUAUUGAUGUGGCAUAUCUCACAUGGCAUCAGAUUAGCUAAAAAAGAUAUAUUAAUUGACAUAUAUAAAAUGUCAACCAGGAAACCGUUUACAAGUAUGGAAAUGACUAAAUUAAUAAGUCAGAUACCAUUUUAAUGGUCUAAUGUACCCAAAAAACUUUAAUGACCAAAUUAGCCAAAUGUAAAAAGUUUCAUGUGCUACAGUGACAUUAUCCCUGAUGGGUUUUGAGCAUUCUAACACUCCUAUGGUGUACAUGCAACCCUAGAAACCUUGGAUCUAUGUUUGACUAAUAUACAUGCAAAUAAUUAUUUUCCAAGGUUCUUAUCCUAUCUAGCAUGGCAUGGGAACUUGAAUCAAAUAGAGCUAGUAGAAUUACUUACCUUGUAGUUGUUUAAAGCUUCGUAUAUCAUCUAUUGAUGUGGCAUAUCUCACGUGGCAUCGGAUUAGCUAAAAAAUAUAUAUUAAUUGACAUAUAUAAAAUGUCAACCAGGAAACCGUUUACAAGUAUGGAAAAUGACUAAAUUAAUAAGUCACAUACUAGUUUAAUGGUCUAAUGUACCAAAAAAACUUUAAUGACCAAAUUAGCCAAAUGUAAAAAGUUUCAUGUGCUACAGUGACAAUAUCCCUGAUGGGUUUUGAGCAUUCUAACACUCCUAUGGUGUACAUGCAACCCUAGAAACCUUGGAUCUAUGUUUGACUAAGAUACAUGCAAAUAAUUAUUUUUCCAAGGAUCUUAUCCUAUCUAGCAUGGCAUGGGGAACUUGAAUCAAAUAGAGCUAGUAGAAUUACUUACCUUGUAGUUGUAGUUGAUUGCUUGGAGUUUUAGAGCCUAGCACCAAUAGUGUGGAUGCCUCAAAUGUAAAUCACAAAUCACUACAAACUUGGAACUUUGAGAGAAUAGUAACCACCUUUCUUGAAAUCGGCCCUCUUACUUUACUCACCACAACUAGUAUGAUUUCAAGAACCAAAGCCUCCUUUAUAUAGUGUGGUGGAUUAGGGUUACAUCCAUGUAAACCCUAAUACCCAUGUCUUUUCAUUUCCAUGAGAUCCAUGGGUUAAAGCUCCAUGGAGUAUCCAUGGACUUUCCAAGCAAGCCUAGCCCAUUCCAAAUAAGCAUUAGCCCACACUAUAUAAAUAUAAGAGCCCAUAUUUAAUUAGUAAUACUUUUGAUCUCUAAAUUAAUUUUAGAUUAAUUAUAGAUCAAUACUAAUUAAAUAAUAUGGUUUUAUAUUAAUAUAUUAGAACUUAUAAUAUAUUAAUAAAUCAUAACUUAUACUAUUCUCAAAAGAUUAUCCAUAAAUUGUUCGGGUGAAGUGCAACCCAAAUGGACCAUGACGGGUCGGGUCAAGUACAUACCAAAUAUAGUUAUGGACUUAGACACUAUAUCCAACAAUCCCUACAUAAAGUCAUAUGUAGUCAAGGAUCAGAUAGAUAAUCGAACAUAUGACUCACCUAAGAGCGAACAAUCAGAAAAGAACAUCACAAUCAAGCCUUAGAUCAAGAGUUAUCAGUCUAUCCAACUUAAACUAGAUAGACCUAAGAUAUUAUUACCACCUAACCAUGUGACAUAAACAUUUAACAGAUACUAGCAUAUUUAUACACUUAGCAACUAUCCUUCCCUAGUUACCCUGUCAUUGAUCACUUCUCAAUCAAGUGAUCAUCUGGUCAGUCAUGCAUAAUCAUGAUAAUUGACCUACCCCAAUUUCCCUAACUAAACAUAACUCAUAACAAUAUCAUACAAUAAAUAGGAAAGACCUCACAAGAAUAGCAUACCCAGACACCAAGUGUUCUAAACUGCACAUGCAUAUCCUAGCCAACUAGCAUAUUUGUACUCUAACAGUAUCUCCAUCCUAUCAUGCACAGGAUAUAUAAUGAGAUAUGUGGCAUACUAUGAAACUCACCUGAACUGAAGAACCGGAGAAGCACAACAACACUCUUACACAUUUCACUACUCGAUCAUGUGAACCAAUUAACACCAAAAUAGAUAAAUCCUCAAUCAAUAAUCCAAAUCCUCCAAGUUUGACCCUAAGUCAAACUGGUCAAAAGUCAAUAGUCGAUGUAACGCCCAUGUUUCUUUCCAGACAUUAACUAAAUAAUUAGGGUCAACAAUCACCACAACGUGGUAACCUCUUGGCCACAUCCUGGGAAUUUCCAUACAAAAUAGUUACGAAGCUUAGGAUCACCAUGUCGUUGCAAGCCUAUUGCCACGUCGUGGAAAUUCACAGGAAGUCAUAUUCUUCAUUAUGAGCUUAAUGCUUACAGAUCUAAGCUCAAACUUUCAUAUUUGAUUCUUCUUGAUGAAUUAAUGGAUCUUAAACCAUAAGUCUAUUAAGUCUUUAAUAUGACCAAAACUAGAGCAUGGAGAAAAGGGAGCUAUGAAUUAACGCUUUUUCCAUCAAACAAGACCAAAAGAUGGUCACCAAACAAUUCUAAAGUUCUGGAGUUGGCCAAAACUCCAAGAAAAUGCCUUCAAGGGACUUCAAAGCAUGAUAUGAGAGAAAAGGAUGAUAAAGGUGGAAGCUUUAUACCUUCCCAAAAUCCACAAGACAUAGGAGAUGCAAGAUCUGAAGUAGAUACACCAUUCAAACUAGCAAACACACUGUCGUUUCCUUCCCAAAGUGCAACCCAAGGCUUCAAACUUCAAGAACUCCAAGAACUCAUCAAUAUCACUCAAAUAGGGCUAGGGUUUCGAAAUAGGAGGAUGGAGACUGAGGGAAAUGAGCUAACCCUAGAGUUAAGGCCAUUAAAUAUGGGAGAAAAUAUAAAAAAAAAAAUUAUGUGCUUGGGCUACAGCACUCACAACGUCGUGGCAACCCUCUAGUCAUGUCGUGGUGCUCUUCAAAAUGUGCGUUCCCGAAAAUAUGUGUCACGUCGUGGUCAUCCAUGCACCAUACCAAGGCAUAGAUUUUUCUCCUAAAACCCCAUCUUUGAUCCUAUUAGCUCUUUAGUUAAACUAUUAUAGAAAAUAGGUGUUAUAGCCACCAUUCCGAGUUCCUUCUGUGACUGCUAAAUUAGUGUUUGGCGGGUUGGGGAGCCCGACUUCUUUCUCUUAUAUCUUCACAUAUAUAUAUAUAUAUAUAUAUAUAUAUAUAUAUAUAACAUUUUUUUUUCAAAAGUGUAAUACUAUCAAGGGAAAUUGACUUAUCAGGGUAAUUACUGUUUUGUUUUGUUCACAUCGGGGUAACUCUUUUUUUAGUACACAUCUAGGUAACAAACUUUUUGUAAGUGUUCACAUGUGACCAUUAUAAUUGGUUGUAGCAAGUUACAACCGAACGUAAUUGUCAUAUAUGAACACUUCCAACAAGCUCGUUACCUCGAUGCAUACAAAAAAAUGAAGUUACACAUAUGUGAACAAAACGAAAAGGUAAUUACCCUGAUAAGCCAAUUUCCCUUUUUAUUAAGGUGGCAAAUCAUAAUGUUUGUAAUAUUAAUAUAUUCAUUUAAAUUUCUUUAAAACAACAUUUGUAACACCCGGAAUCUAGAAGAUUAAUUAUGGAAACAAAUUCCCUUACCUAAGUAAAAACACGAUGAGUUGAUGGUGGGAAACUCGAUGUGUUGGAGGUUUUUGGGACACACGUUUUUAUGAACCAACUCGGUGAGUUGGUGAAGGAAAAUCGGCGAGUUGGACACUGACUGAGAAACCCUAAUUUUUAGGGUGUUACACCCUAUUUAAAGACCUUAAGUUCUUUAGCUGGCCUCCUUACCGGCCUCCUCUAUCCAGAAACCCUAAAACUGAGCCUUGUCUUCCAUUUAUGAGUGUGAAAGCUUGGGGAGAGCCUUGAGAGUUCAUUUUUGGUGCUUUUUGAAGGAGCUAAGGAAUUAGGAGUUGCUUGGCUUGAAGAAGAAGUCUUGGAUCCAGAAUCUCUGCCUCAUUUGCCAAGUUUUUGAGGAAUCGUGUUCUUACCUUGCUUAUUUGUUGCUUAGAUCUCUUCUUGGGUUAGAGUUUAUGAUUUUUAGCCAUUUUGGGUGAAUGUUGGGGAUUAGGAGGUCCCAAGCAAUUAUUAUUUCAGAUAUAAGGGCUAGCGGCGCUGCUUGUUGCCCGUUCGCCUUCAAUCGAUAUGUAUUGAACUUUCAUUGGAGUAUAUUUUCUUAAUAUAAAUAUAUAAUAGAUAUAAGGUCUACAUGAGCUCUUUAGGCAUAAAGGUGCCAACUUUAUGGAUUUAAUGGCUUCAUGUAUUCAUUAAGUCUUUCAGUUAGCCCUUUUUGAGCUUUUGAUCACCUCCUAGUCAUGCUUAAGUGUAAAGUUGGAAACUUUACACGGCCAUCUAGCCUUAUGGGGACAGAUCUGCAUUAUGGGUUUUAUCUUUGAUGAUUAAGUGAUUAAUGAUUAAGCCUUCACUCUUUUAAGUUUAGGGUUUGGGUUUGGACCCAUUAGGUGAUUCCUAGGGGUAAAGUUGGAAAAUUUACCCUUCUUGAUCUCAUUUUGGUCGAGAGCAGAGCUUUGGAGCCUUUGGACUCGAUGAAGGUACCUUAAUGCAUUAAGAUGUUGGUUCUUGAGAGAACUCGGCGAGUUGACUUGGUUUCCCCGAUUUGUGUAGUUGAUGGAGAAACUCGACGAGUUGGGUUAACUUGGACCGUUGACUUUGACUUUCGAUUUAUGUCUUUGAACAAGUUUGUCCCAAUGGGUACUUGAGGUAAUCUGAAUUGUAAUUAAGGGAAUUAUGAGAUUAGGAUAAGGCCCAUAUGGGGUUGGUCCCAAUUUGGAAAAUUGGGCCAUUACUGGGCCUUUGCGGAUCUUUUGGUUUUGGACUUUUUGGUUAAUGGAAUUUGGGCCUCAGUUUUGGUUCAUGACGCGUUAGGGUUAAAAUGGUCAUUUUCCCCCAAGUAUGGAUGGAGGGCUUUAGAAUGGAACCCAAUUGCUAAUUAGGUGUUAUUUUGAUCUCAUAGCUCGGAGGUCUCAUCAGGGCAGCAGCUAGGGACUUCUUUCUGUGAGUUUCUGCGUUCGAGGUGAGUCUCCUUACUUUUCUAUGGUUUGAAGGCAAUAAUGACGGCCCAUUUGGUUUAUGUAUUAUAGGAAGACCUGGGGGAUAAACCUUGGCAGUUUGUAUGAAAGACCAGGAGGCGGCUCCUGGCAAACUGUAUGCAAGACCAGGGUCUGAACUCUAGCAGUUGACUAGUUAAGUAGUGUAGAUUUUAUACUAUUUGUCUUUGUGACACUUUCAUGGAAGACUCGAAGGUGGAUCCUGGCACUUGUCUGUAAGACCUAGGUUUUUGGCCCCCGGCCUGACAAGGAAGACCACAAGGCGGCUCAUGUCAUAAUGGCAAGACUAUGGAUGGCACAUAUCACCUUUACUAAUUGGGGUAUAUGUAUGCUAAGUAAGACUCAGUGAUAUUAAUGUUAUUUAUAGUUUUGAGUUGAGUUUUCUCCUGCGAUUGAGGUGCAACAGUUGGUGCGAGAGUUUCUGGAUCUCUGUCAGACUACUGAGACUGUGGCAGAUUGUGGAAGGGUGGAAGUGAUGUAAGACUGAGGGGUGGCCCGUAGCAUUCACUAGUUAGAAGUUGGUAUAAAAAUGUUGUAAGACUGUGGGGUGGCACGUAGCAUUCACUAGCGAUCAGAUAGUGUGGGAAGUGUUGUAAGACAGAGGGGUGGCCCGUAGCAUUCACCAGUCCCUAUACAGCGGUGAGAGUGUGGCAAAUUUGUGAUUUGCUCACGGUUUUCUUCGGAUGAUUUUGGCCAGGAUGGAUCAGUUCGCAAGGCUAUGGGAAGGACACAACAUGUUUGGAAUCAAGAUAUGGGAGGUCGUGGGAGACCGGGUUUGAGGUAAGACUAUAGUUGGUCUGUAACGUUCAACCUAGUAUCAGAUUAUUGACGAGACGGUUUGGGUAGUUAUUGCCAGUGAGGCUUUUUUUCAAAAGUUGCGAUGGGCGAUUGUGUGGAGUUUCAAAAGCAGCUACGAGGCAACAAGCUGUUUUGGGCAGUAUUAGUGAUUUUUGGGCAGUAUUUUCGGGUAGUACUAGUCAUUUGGAAUUUGUGUGUGAAUAUGUAAUUUUUCAAACAAUUUUUUUUUCAUUUAUAAAACUCAUAAAAACUCAUAUAUUUCAUUUCAUAAAAUCACAAGUGUCUCAAGUCAACAUAAAUCCACAAGAAAAAUCAAAUCCUAGAAUCCUCAACAUAAUCUCGAACAGGUGUGUACAAUCACGUCGGUGCCUUCCCGCGAUCCUCGGAGGUACUUGAAACACAUAUCACAUAGCACGGUAAGCAUAAAGCUUAGUGAGUUCCUCAAAAUACCAUGCACACACAUAAUUAGCCACUCGAGGCUAUCGCUCUGUAAGACCCUCCGGUUAAUGUGUCUUAGCGAGACCCACCAGUCCUACAAAUCGUCAGACCCUCCGGUCCGGUCUAAGUGAGAACCCUCCGGUCUCACUACUCGUUGGACCCUCCGGUCUAGUCUAAGUGAGGACCCUCCGGUCUCAUAGUUCGUUGGACCCUCCGGUCCGGUCUAAGUAUCUCAUAAUAUAGUACACAGUAUAUAUCACACAGAAAUACAUAACUCAAGCAAGCACAUAAGACCCUCUGGUCACACAUAAUGACCACACUAGGUAAGGUAUAAUGAGAAGACUCACCUCCUAAGAACUCGGAUAAUCUCAAACUCAAAUCACAGGUUUAGCCUCCGCCUAAUAUACACAAUAAUUAUCCCUAAUUAAUAACGGCUCUCACAAGGCUGAACUAACCCUUCCAUACACUCACAGAAGGGUAAAAGACCAUUUUACUCCUCCAUGGGCUUAAUAGACCACAUGUUGACCAAACCCUAAAAGUCAACCGAAAGCCAACAGCAAGGAGUACGCUGUGCGUACCAACUCCCUACGUUGGGCAUACUCGGCUGCCAUGCAGGCAUCGUGGAGACUCGACCUCUACGUUGUGCGUACUGGGAUUAUGCCCAGCGUACAUCCUAGUUUCACUCUCCUCACAAUUUUGGUCUUAAACAGUUAAUACAUUGGCUCAUAAUUCAGAUCUGGACUCCCUAAUGUCUCUUAAUCCAUAAAGUUGGUGACUUUAAGCCUUUGCGUGGCUAAAUAGGUCACAAACACUGAAAACUCCCAUCCCCUUUCCUCAUGAAACUCAUAACUCAUGCAUGGCUUACUCCUAAUGUCCAAGAUUAGAUUUUUAUGACUUUACUCCACAAAAUACACUGAAAAGGGAUAGAUCAAGGCCUCUAGAGUGCAUUAUCUCAUAAAGUCUCCAUCUUUUGGGAAAAAACCCUAAAGUAAUUCAUAUGAAUGCACCAAACAAACAAAUGAGAAAGCUUGAAGAUUUAUACCUUUAUGUGAAACCUUCUUCACAGCUAAGCUCAGAUCCAACUCCUGGGGCUCUCACUCCUUCUUCUCUAAAGCUUCCUCUCUACUUCAAGAACACAAGAUUACACCAACAAGCUCUCAAAUGCACUCUCCAGCUAUAAUGACGGAGAUUUAGGGUUAGGAGGGGUUGGUGUUUGGGAAUGGUGGCCAGGAAUGAGGCCAUCAUGUCCUUUAAAUAGUGAGCUCAUUAAAAUUUAGGGUUUCAUUAUGGGCCUAGCAUGCCCAGCGUACCCACUGGUACGUCGCGCGUACUAGGUGGCCUCCACAUCACUAACACGCAUUGGAGUAUGCUGAGCGUACACUCAAGUACGCCCCGAAUACUCGUUUACCACCUUUUCUCUAAUAAGGCCAAAAUGGACAAAUGCUCAAUAGAUCAAGGUUUACAAGGUAUACCUGGACUUGGGAUGUUACAUCGUGUGUGAGUCUCUUGUAGUUCGGGGAAUAUAAUAAGUUGCUUGUAGUGGAUUAAAUAAUCUCAGAGUGGUUGAUUUGAUUCUAUUGCGCAGUUCUCGUCUGAGUCUAACCAUUGCAGGGAUGAAUCUUCUACUCAAAGGAUUAUCUGAGCCUAUUGUCGAGUAUAAGUGUUCUGUAGCUGCAAAUGAUCUGUUUUUUGGUUCCUUUAAAAGCAUUAAGAUAUUGGUUUUAUAGUGGUUCAGAGAGGGGGAGGGGGUGAUCAGCCAGGAAGUCAAAUCAAAUUGAGAUUUCAGGUAUCAGGAAAGGUAAAGGUGGGUUUUUCUGCAAGGGAUUAAGGUUCGUUCUGCUAGGGUUGGUUUCAGUUGCUAUGGGAAGGUGGUAGUAUUAUGGGGUUGUGAAGAUGAGUCCUUAUGGGGACAGUGUUAUCUGGUGCUAUCUGUCAUGGAGUUCGGCAAUGUCCAGGGUUUUCCAGGUUCAAGUUUAAUGGUUAGGGAUCUUCUAUUUUGGAUUUGUCAUCGGUAUGGGUGGGCGGUUAUCUAAGCGGGGUGACUUCCUUAGUCUUUUGGGGUUCAAGGAGUUUAGUCAGGAUCAUCAGUUCGGUACACGAGAUUUUAGGGAAUGAUUUCGAGGAUGAAAUCUAAUUUAAGUGGGGGAGAGUUGUAACAUCUGGAAUUUACAAGAAUAAUUGUGGAAAUAAAUUCCCUUUCUAGGGACCAACACGGCGAGUUGAUCGUGGGAAACUCGACGUAUUGGAGGCUUUUGGGAUGAGCGUUUUUAUAAACCAAUUCAAUGAGUUGGUGAAGGGAACUCGGCGAGUUGGACGCUAAUCGAAAAACCCUAAUUUUUAGGUUGUUGUACCCUAUCUAAAGGCCUUAAGUUCUUUGGUUGGCCUCCUUACCAGCCUCCUCUGUCCAAAAACCCUAAAAUCGAGCCUUAUCUUCCAUUGUUGAGUGUGAAAGCUUGGGGAGAGCCUUGAGAGUUUAUUUUUGGUGCUAGUUGAAGGAGCUAAGGAAUUAGGAGUUCCUUUCCUUGAAGAAGAAAUCUUAGAUCCAGAAUCUCUGCCUCAUUUGCCAAGUUUUUGAGGUAUCAAGUUCUCACCUUGCCUGUUUGUUUCAUAGAUCUCUUCUUGGGUUAGAGUUAAUGCUUUUUAGCCAUGGUUGGGUGGAUUUUGGGGAUUAGGACAUCCCAAACGAUUAUUAUUUCAGAUCUAAGGUAUAUAUGAGCUCUUUUGGCAUAAAGGUGCCAACUUUAUUGAUUUAAGGGCUUCAUAGAGUCAUUAAUUCUUUCAUUUAGCCGUUUUUGAGAUUUUGUGCUCGUCCUAGUCAUGCUUAAGCGUAAAGUUGGAAACUUUACAUGGCCAUCUAGCCUUAUGGGUUCAGAUCUGCAUUAUGGGGUUUUGUCUUUGCUGAUUAAGUGCUUAAUGAUUAAGCUAUCACUCUUUUAAUUCUAAGGUUUGGGUUUGGACCCAUUUAGGUGGUUCCUAGGGGUAAAGUUGGAAACUUUAACCUUCGGGGUCUUAUUUUGGUCAAUAGCUGAGUUUGGAGCUCUUGGAUUCGAUGAAGGUAGCUUAACGCAUUAAGCUGUUGGACUUUUAGAGCUCAUAUCGUGAGUUCGAUCUUAUCCAUCCGCUGAAUCGACUUCUGACAGCCCGACUCUGGAACCCAUCCAUCACUGGCUCACGUCGUGAGCUUCAUGCUCACGUCAUGAGUCCUCUUAUAGUGUGGGGUUGAGUCUUUUACUCGAAGGAUUAUUUGAUCUUUGUUGCGUGUGGCUAUAUUAAUGAGGAAGCUAGUUGACAUUGGUGGGAUUCCUUUAGCAGUUGAGGGUUUGGUGAGGUCGGGAACCUAGGAAAGCCUAGGAUAUGCUUUAGUGGGUUAGUGGUACGGUUUAGUGAGUUUUGGUGCAUUGUGCUGAAGAAGUGACUUAGAGGAUUCGAGAGGAUUACUGAGGAAAGUAUGGAUAGGUGGGCUUUAGAAUGGAACCCAAUUGCUAGUUGGGUGUUAUUGUGAUCUGAUAGCUCGGAGGUGUCGUCAGGGCACUAAUGUCGGCCCAUUUGGUUUAUGUAUUAUAGGAAGACCCAGGGGAUAACCCUGGGCAGUUUGUAUGAAAGACCAGGAGGCGGCUCCUGGCAAACUGUAUGCAAAACCAGAAUCUGAACUGUGGUAGUUAACUAGUUAACUAGUGUAGAUUGUAUGCUAGUUGUCUUUGUGAUGCUUGCAUGGAAGACUCGGAGGUGGCUCAUGGCACUUUUUUGUAAGACCGCAGGUUUUGGCCCCCGCCCUGACAAGGAAGACCACGAGGCGGCUCGUGACAUAAUGGAAAGACUAUGGAUGACACAUAGCACCUUUACUGAUUGUAGUAUAUGUAUGCUAAGUAUGGCUUGUUGAUAUGAAUGUUAUUUAUGGUUCAAUCGGUAUGUUUGGUAUGUGGUAUUUGGGGAACUCAAGAAGCUAUGUGCUUACAUUUUGUGCUUUAUGGUUUCAUGUAAUUCCAUUUUGAAAGGAAAGGGUUCGGCUUAAUCGCAACGCAUACACCCAUGUUUUCCGCAAUGUGUGAUAUUUAGGAAUGAACUCUGAUAAUUGUUUUAUUUUGAAACUCUUCUAGAUGUCGGAUUAAAGGUUAAUGAAUGUUUUGGGCAUAAUAAAAACGAAAUUUUUACCCCUGAUUUUCGGGAUGUUACAACAUUUAUUACCAUUUAUUGACAUUUAAAUUGGCCACGACAUGUUUGAAACCAUUUGUGAUAGCAUAAUUAUCAAAUCAAAUAACUCUAUAUAUUGAGACAAGAGCAAUGUUAUCCAUGUGGAUAAAAUGUAUUUCUAUUUUUUGUAUUUUAAAUUCAUGUAAUACAUGGAACAAAAUUGAAGAUGAUAUUCUAUUUCAUGUUAUUGGUCUCAAUAUCUGACACUUUUAGUAUCUAGUAAAUUUUAAUUUUCAUAUGUAAUAUCUUAAACAAUAAAAUUCUAUAAAAUGACGAUGUAUUUUUUCCAUGUCAAAUGUGAUUUUUUUUUUGUAUCAAAGUAGUGUAUUUUAAAAAGAUAUUUACCAAGUUGGAUUGAGUGACAAGUGGAUUGAGUUAACUGAAAAAAAAAAUUAUUUUUCAUGGGUUAGAAAAGAUGAAAAAAAAAAGUUGAUAUAGAACUCACACCACAUGAAUGAUUUGACACCGUUCUACUCCUACGACCUUUACCCCCAACAUCGAAUUCAUUAUGAUUGUUAGCCUAUCUUACGAGACAGACAUGACCUCCUACUACCAUGUAUACUAAGUCCCACUAUUUAUAACUCUACCCUAUAAAACUCGACGGAGCGCUGGGGUGAAGGGUUACGGGAUCCUUUCCCGCUCACCGGAACANNNNNNNNNNNNNNNNNNNNNNNNNGGGGGGGGGGGGGGGGGAAGGCUGCUGCACUCUCUCUCUCUCUCUUCUUCCUAUUGGCUGGUUUUUUUCCCAAGCGAACUGUUUGAAAUAAAUAACAAAAUUAAUUUUUUUUUCAAUACAACUAUUGAAAAACAACAAUGAAUUUAUAUAUAUAUAAUUUUGUUUUUACCUCUAUAACAUCUAUAAAUAUACACAUACUUUAACCUUUCAAACUCACACCUCCUUCUAUGAAUUUCUCUGUACUUUCUUCAAAAAAAGGAAUCCAUACAACCAAACCCCAAACUUCGAUAGAAGGAAAAAAACCAAUGUUUCAAAUUUAAGCACCCCAACUCGAAACAUUUUUGAUAUCGAUUCAUCUCAAGGGGUUUAUCGUCCACAACUCGAUGCUCACAUUUAAUCUUCACUACAAUCACAAUACCAAAAUAUUAGACAAUUUUACCCGAUGCAAGUUCCAAAUGUUACUCCAAAUAUGCUAUUAAACUUUGUUGUUUUUCCUGAUCAACUUUCGCCAAAUCAACCCCAAACUCAAAUCCCACUCUUUCAAUCUCAAACCCAAACCCAACCUAAGCCCAAACACAAUAUCAACAACAAUACCAAAUCUUCGAUGAGUCGGAUGAAGAGAUUGUACGGGAAACUCAACCCACAACCCCCAACCCCACAAAGUAAAACAACAAGUGAGAGAGGGUUCCAUACAACCGGGACGACAGAAGCCGCAACCAUGGACUAAACGAGAAGAGAUAAUUGGGGUAAAAGCUUGGGUUGACAUUUCAGAUGAUUCAGCGACAGGAAAAUGCACAACCUGAGGAUCAUUUUUGGUUUCACAUUCUUGAGAGGUUUCAUAAGGAGAUGGGAAAAAGUGACGAGUAUCGUACCAAUCAUCAAUUGAAUUCAAAGUUUCGAGAAAUAGCGUGGGCCGUUUCAAAAAUGAGCGGGUGUACAACAACCUAAAAACCUAAUGGAAAAGCAGCCAAGGAGAUGAAGAAAUACUUCAGGAAGUUUUGCAUUUUUUCGAGAGGAAGUGGGAAAGUCAUUCAAGUGCCACGAUUGUUGGAAAAUAUUGAUUAAAAGUCGUAGGUGGAAAAAAUACGAGCAAGAGUUUAUACGUCGAGUACAACAAUCAAAACGAACAAAAAUGAGCUCUAGUGGUUACACAACUUCCUCCGAUGCUCGGGUCGGUCUAGAUUUAAAUGACGAGGACGCACUCGAGCUAGAAGAAAUUGUCCGACCGAUAGGUAGGGACAAAGCAAAAAUGAAGGGAAAUGAGACUUCUUGGGGUGAAUCGAAUUUCAGCAUGGACGCGGACCAAGUGCGAAAAAUGGUGGAGAUAUUUGAUCGAUAUAAUCUUAAUUUUGCUGAAAGUUUUGGCAUUCGACAAAGACAAAGAAGGAGAAAAAAAGAAGGAGAACGCAUAGAAACAAGAAAUGGAGGAGAUGAUGUUAUUGAUGAAAAAUACCGACCAUCUUUCGGGACUAGCUUCGGAGCUCGUUUUGAAAAAAAAAGGUGCGGAUUAUGCAAAAAUAUUUUCCCUAAGAGUGUUGUUUGUUUUUUUUUUCUAGUUAUUUAAAUCUUAGGUUUUUAUGUAAUUUUUAUUAUAAUUAACAAUGGCGGAGUUACUAUAUCAUUAUAAAUAAUAUUUUGUUUCUUAUAAUGAUAAUCUUUCCUAAUAAAUAAAGAACUUUUUGUCACAUGUCAAACUCUCAUUGAUUUGACCACAUGUCAUUUUGUGGUUAUUUUCAAUUAAUUUUUUUUUACACAUGUCAUUUUGGGGUUUUUUCAUUUUAUUAAUUUUCACAUAAUAUUUAAAUGUAAUAAUUACAAUAAAUAUAAUAAUAAAAUGCAUAUCAAUUUUAUUAAUUGACUUCCUUUUAAUUUUAAAAUUUCUAAAUUAAAGUUUCAUUAGUUUCCUUUAUUUAUUUAUCUAAAUUAUUUGUUUAAUUUAAAAGAAAAACAAACAAUUUAAUUUUAAUAAUUAAAUGUUUUUCUAUUGUUUUCUUAUAAAUUCAAACUUGUCAAAUGUUUAAAAUUUUAUAUGUUUUUCUUUAAAAUGAACUCAUGUAAUACAUGAGUGUUACACCUAGUGAUAGAUUAUAUCACGAGUACAAUUCAUUUAAUGAAACAUAUGUACGUAUAAUUAGAGAAAAUUUUUAAUAUUAGCAUGUUAAUCCUCUCUAAAAAAUAAAAAUAAUUUUGCCACAUAUCACUCUUUUAUUAAUUUGGACACAUGUCAUUUUUUGGUAUUUUUGAUUAAAUGUUUUUUCCAUUUGUCAAUUUUUUAUUUUUUAAUAUUUUCUUAAUUAACACAUCAUAUAUACACCUCAAUUAAUAAUUACCUUAAUUGAAAAUAACCAAUAAAUUACAAUAUUAAUAGUCAUAUAGUAUUUAAUAUGUUUCCUUUUAAAUUUAAAUUUUAAAAUUUUAAUUUCAAAUCUAAAAUUUCAAAUUUGAAUAAAAUUUGUUUGAACUUUUAUAUUUAAUUUUUGUUUUAUCAAACUCGUAUAACAUACGGGUCUCACACCUAAUGGAGAAUUAUAAAUCAACGUUUAUUGUCGGUCUAAACUUUUGAAAUGUCAUUUUUGCAAUGAUCGGUAUAACUUCUCCUUAAAGGAAUUUUUAUAGUCAUUUUCUCUUUCAAGAUUGUAGACUCUUUUACAUUAUUUUGAUAAAAGAUAUAUUUGAAUAUAUUUUUACGACGUCGGCUUUCCUUAUUCUUAAAUCCUGGCUCCGUUCCUUUUAAUUAAUGUAGUGGUUUUUAUUUUUAAUUAUAUAUAUAUAUAUAUAUAUUACUUAUUCAUUUAUAAAAUUAUAAAUCAUAAAAUCAAUUAUUUUUACUUAAAAAAGAGUGAUACACCUUUACAAAAUUAUAAACCAUAAAAAUCAAUUAUUUUUACUUAAAAAAUAGUGAAAAAACCUUCCCACAUACACCUUGGUUUCUAACUAAGAAAAAAAAUGUAGGAAAAAGGAUAAAAUGAUAAAGAAAAAUAAUAAAAAAAAAAAUAAAAACCUUCCCGUACCCACCCUCCGGCAUAAGAAGGUGCGUCCCUACGAGUACAAGAUACACAGGUGUAGAUACAUAUGUAAAAAGCUAGUAAUUAACCAACUAAUUAUUAAUUAUUAAAUAAAAUAGGGAUAUAAUAUUAAUGAUAAACACAUUAAAAUAUUCCAAAUGCUCAUGAAGUCAACAUGAGAAAUUAUAUUGCAAUAAAUUUCUUGUUGGGUGAGAAAUUCACAAGUAAAAUUUGUAUAGUAAAUAACAAACCGAAAGUUCCAGAAACAGGUCAAAACUUAAAACCCUAAAUGAGCUUACAAAUUUCCAUUGGCCACAUACCCCACCACAAAGGCACAAACAAUCAAUGAAACAAGUGUAGAUGUAGAGGCCUUUUUCACCACAAUCACCCUUCAUCGGCCAUUUCGAAGGCCACGUGAAAUGUCACUAACGUGGCCCUCUAAAUAUCCACUACUUUGUCUUUAACCCCUCCCCCCUCCCUUAUAAAACACUCCAUCCUCCUCCUUAAUCACCAUCACCAACAACCUUCUCUCCUUCCUCAAAAGUACCACCAUCUUUUCCGACAUGGCAGCUUCUUCAAUCUUCAUGGCAACUCCCAUCACACUCCUCAAAAAAACUCCCACCUUCUCCGUCAAAUGCAUGUCACAAACACCUCAAAGCGGUGAACCGGAGAUUUCAAAAUCAGCAACCACCCCAACACCACCACAGAUCAACAUUCCUCCUCCUCCGCCACCUGCUCCAAAGGUCAGCACGAAAUUCUCUGACGUGUUGGCGUUUAGUGGACCUGCACCGGAGAGGAUCAACGGAAGGUUGGCGAUGAUAGGGUUUGUGUCGGCGAUGGCUGUGGAAGUGAGCAGCGGUCAAGACGUGUUUACCCAGAUCGGCAACGGCGGAGUUGCGGUGUUUGUGGGGACUAGCGUCGUGUUGACGUU
rnacentral:lncRNA from 1 species